UCUGUUAAAAUCCUAUGAAUCAAUGAGAACCAAUAAUCAUACCAAUGCAAACAACAAGUGAUGAGGCUAUGCCCAAUUUUUUUAAUACACACAAAAAAGGUCAAAUACACAGCAAAUGCCAUUAAUCUGACAUCAUUCUUUGCUUUAUUUAAUUAUUUCUCCAUUAUGAAAAUGGUCUUACACUUAAGGCCUAGGUACUUGCCGCAGGUGGAGGUGGUAGAUUUAUUUCCGGAACACGAUAACCUGCAAAAUUUCAUUCUUCACAUCACAAUGAUGAACAUGAGAAGUUAUAUAAAGUGUAAAUAUAUAUAUUUGUGUGUGUUAUGUGUUUGUGCAUGCGCGUGCAAAUAUGAAAAUAUACCGACCUGCAUAGUGAGUGUCUGUGUGCAACCCAUUGCCGCAUACAUGUGUAGCCACGGCAAACUUGGCAAGACUGAGCAAAGUCAAUCCGUGUGCGGUGAACCGAUCACAGACGUAGUGGAUGUCUUUUGCAUCUCUUAUUGCAUUGCAACAUGCGCUAUGGAGUGGCGGGUACUGGUCACCAAGUUUCUUUUCGAUGUGUUGCCAACAGUCUCGCAUCACCCUUUUUUUUAUCAAGGAAGCAGUGAUCUAUGUCGUUGGGUGCUCGUGCACGGAGCGAACAAGAAGAGAGAGCCACAAGGACUAGGAAGCAUAACACUCUAGCUACUUUUGCGUUGUUCAUGUUCUAUGUUGUUUAGCACUAUUGGUAUGUGUUUAUGCACGACUUCUGUGCCACUCAGUCUCUAUAUAUAGUGGUCAUAGUGAAGUUUUUAGACUCCAUUCGCUCAUCAGUCGCUUAAUUGGACUCUUUUAACUAAGUGAGAGAUAUAUGACUUGGAUAUGUUAUAAUUUAAUGUUUGCACAUCUAGAUCUUGUAUAAAGUUGUUGGCAAUGGAUGUGGAUGCAACCUAUUAAUUAUUGGCAAUGGAGUAUGUGAUUUUGAACUCUUAACAAAUAUGUGUACAUAACUUGGGUAUGUUAAUAAUUAAUGUAGGGACAUGUGUGGUCCUUGUAGUAUCACAUCGAUGGCAAAGGAUACUUCUAAUUAAAUAUAGCUAGGUGCAUCCAUUUCUUGUAUCAAAUUGAUGGUAACGGAUAUGUAGAUAAGCCUAUUUAUUUGUCUAUCUAUCUCUAUCACUAUCUCUAUCUCCAUCUCUAUCUAUCUAUCUAUCUAUCUAUCUCCAUCUAUCUAUCUCUCUAUCUAUCUAUCUAUCUAUCUAUCUAUCUUUCUAUCUAUCUAUUUAUCUAUCUAUCUAUCUAUAUCUAUAUCUAUAUCUAUAUCUAUAUCUAUAUCUAUAUCUAUAUCUAUCUCCAUCUCUAUCUCUAUCUCUAUCUAUCUAUCUAUCUAUCUAUCUAUCUAUCUAUCUAUGUCUAUAUCUAUCUGAUACUAAUAACGGACUCCCUACAUAUUAAAACGUUAAUCCGUGAAAACAAGAAAUAGAAACCAGUGAUUUUAGCGGGCCUGAAUUACUAUGGUUACGAUCUAUUAAUAAAUCCCUUGGAUAUUUCAUAUGAAAAAUAGAACUUGGAUCUCAAUCAGGGAAAAAAGGAAAAGAUACGAUGCAAUCUAAACUACCGUUCAGAUUUGACACGGUAGCUAAGACAUCAUGCAAUUGUCAAAAUCAUGACCGUGUUUCUUUGUGACUAACCCAGAUACGACCUGACACUACAAAAAAAUACACUUCCAUGAUGAUACAUGUUUGUCACAGUAGGUCGCGUUUUUUGUCAUGUAUGUACAUCCAUGACGAUUUUAUGAAAGAAUCAAGAUAGUCAUACCUGUCCUGUCGUAGAAGUGUUCCAUGACAUUACCAAAAUUAUCAUCACGGAAGUGUCCACUUCCAUGACGAUAAAUCACGCGUCAUAGAAGUGCUUUCGUCAAGGGUGACCGACACGUGGCAUCCACCGUAACGGAACGCCGUUAAGCUAUCGAGUCGGGUUUUGGAUCCGAUAACCCGUUAACAUCCCGGACCAAUGGGGAUUUUCCACGUGUAAAAUCAUCAUUGGCUGGAGGAAACACGUGUCGGCUCACCGUUGGGACAGAUGUCAUCCGCUCAUUGGACCGAAGGCGCCUAUGAUACGGUGACACGUGGCACGGCUCAACAGAGGUCCAUUCCUGUAAAAAGGCCGGCCCGUUUGACUUAGUAAAAAGUUGGCGGGCCGGCCCAGGGAAAGCGUGUUAACGACCUGUUCGCAUAUAUCCCAUUUAUAGCCCGCUAACCCAGGGCCCAUUACACCCUAUCCGAAUUAGGCCCAAUAGUGUCGUCUGGGCCGUCCAAUAUGAUUCAGCCCGUUUUAACUUCUGGCCCAUGUGUGGCCCAUGAAUUCUUUCGGCCCAUAUGAGGACCUUUGUAAAUCUUGGCCCAUUAAUGGCCCGUGGUGAAACUGGCCCGUAAUGAAGAAUGUAUCACUUUAUACCCAUUAACGGCCCGUUAUUCCAUUGGGACGUUUCAAACCCAAGUUAUGAUUCGGCCUUCUCAGGGCCCAUUGAUUCUUGGGCUCAUUUGCAGCAUUCGGUUACAUACGGCCCGUUACUGUCAUUUUCUGCUUGUCGGCCAAAUUCAGUCCGUCAUUACAGUCGGCCCGUUUGCGGACCGUUAAUACGUUGGGCCGUUUUCAUGUCAAAAAACCCCGUUGGGCUGUUUUCAUAGAGUUAUCAAAUACGGCCUAUUAACGGCCCGGUAUAGUCCACGAAUAGUAUGGCCCAUGAUUGGCGAAAUGAUGAUAUGCCCCGUAGAAGGCCCAUGGAUCCUACGGCCCGUAUGAGGCCCAUGGAUAGUACGGCCCGUGGAAGGCCCAUGGAUCGUACGCCCCGUAGAAGGCCCAUGGACCCUACGGCUCGUAGAAGGCCCAUGGACCCUAAGGCCUAUAUAGAAGGCCGAUGGAUCCUAUGGCCCGUAUAGAAGGCCAAUUGAUCUUACGGCCGGACAAAGGCCCAUGGAUCAUAUGGCCUGCAGGAGGCCCAUGGUUACAACAGUCCGUGUGUUGCCAUGAUUAUUUUGGCCUAGUUACCAAAAAUAGGCUAUUGUGGCCACUAGAAAAAACAGAAAAAGAACUGCAGUGACUACAAGCAAACAACUAAACAAGACAAUAAGGAAAUAAAUAAGCAAGCAAUUAGCACUAGCGUAUUACCAUUAUUACACAUAUUACAUCCACUGGGCAUCAAAGUUCGCCACCAGUGCAAAUAUAGGGAACAAAGCAGCACAUUACAUACACUGGCCGUCAAAAUUGGCCACCAUGGCAAAUAAAUGAGACAGCAAAACAAGAGCAUAACCGAAACAACUUCAGAAGAGCUCAAGAAACGUUAUCUUGGGUAUCCACCAUGCUGGCAAUAAGUUUAGCAAGCUGAUUAGCUUUGUCCUGUUUGGCGCUAAAAUCCUCCAACGCUUGCUGUUGCACCAGAAAGUAUGCAUCUGAAUGCUCCAGGGACUUCCACAGUCCUUCCGCUUCUUGUCGCAGCACAGCUGAUCGAUGUCUUUCAGCUUGUAGUUGAGACUGAAGAAACCGAACUGGUCCAGACAGUGAGUUUGAAUAGCUUGUGCAAGCGGUAGUGUCCAGUAACUCGAACACUAAACCAAGACAGGACUUUGGGGUUGUCUCGCUGUCUUCAAGAAAGUCUUCCUUAGCUGUUUUAUCAGCUUUGUUGGAGACCAACAAGGAUGUGUCACUAUCCUGAACCUUAUCUACAUUACUUCCUUUACCAUUGAUUAAUAAGGCACUCUUCCCCAAUAUUCUGUCAGCAUUCUAAAAGAAGAAACAAGCAGACAUAUAACAAGUUCAGCAUGUACUAGUAUAUGAAACUCAUUUCGGUGAACCAGUUCAUCAGUAAGGUGGACAGGAUUAAACUACCAAGUCUUCUAUUGCAAAGUACUAGUACAUAAUAAAAACAUCAAACAAACAUAUAUCUAUGUCCUAUGGUCACUUCAUUGUCUUGCCAAAUCAAAAUAGAGACACGGUUCAAAUCAUAUCAGUUGAAGACAAAGCAGCAGUGAAAGAAUACAAAGCGUGGGAAACUACACGGCACAACAAGAUUUCAGAUGGGUACCACGGGUCUACAUGUACAACAAUACUAUUGGCUAUGUUGUGAUGCUAGUAAUGUGCACGAUAUGAAAGUCAACUGUAUACACAAUUGAAAUUGAAAUCAAUAGAGCUAUUAAUAAGAGCAAACCUGUUAAAGAAACAUGCAUGAACAUACCUGCUGUGCCAUUGGAGUUUCGAUUGGAUCCUUCAAUUUAAAAAUAAGUUUGUAUGAGUAAAUAUAGUGAUACAAGAGCAAUGCAAUCAUAGUUAAAAAAGGCGCGCCUAAGCGAGCGCUUAAGCGCGCCUAGGCUCUAGGCGCUGGCAAAACGCAUUGCGCAUAACUACACAUAAUCUAUGCAUAACUGCGCAUAAGCAUGCGCUUUCGUUAGUAAAGCGCAAGGCGGUGGCAAAACACACACUUAACGCCUAGCACUUUUUUGAACUAUGAUAGCAAUGGAAUCUUAAAUUAGAACAGUUGUUCUUUAGGUUUAGGCACUUGUUCUACAUGAACAGAGUACAGUAAGACGCAAGAAUAUAAUACUUAAAAAUAGAAAAUGAGCUCAUAGACCUUACCACAUUCUUGGUUCGGGACCAGCAUAGAACAAGGCAUUCCCAGUCAUCGUCCAGUAAAUGUGUCUCAGGAGAACGUAAGGGAAUUUGAUGAGUUUCUUUGCCGGUGAAGUAUGUCUUCUUCAGGUAAUUUCGAUACUGCCACCAAGCAUGCUUGAAGAUAGCAGAGGUAUUAACACAGGUUACCUCAUCCUAAGUUUCCAAAUAGGUCCUUCUCUAUAGACAAAAAUGGGAAAAUUUGCUGUAUUAUAACCAUCAUGGAGGUAGGAUGUAUGGGACGAAGCAAAGUAAUUGCCAUGAAUAACAUUACUUACACAUAACUCCUGGACAAACACCUGCAACUAUCAUUUUCCUUCAUCUUCAGUAUAAUAUUUCCAAGAUGGGAAGAUACGCACAAACGAUUUAACAACAUCAAAUGCGAUAGAUGCUAAACUAUGAUUAGCUGGUUGUGCUUCCUCCAUAGGAAUAGGCGUACUAACUGGUGGAGUUGGGGUUCGCCGUGAUAGUACUGGACCUUUGGGCACUGGAGCUGCCUUACUAACUGCUGUUGUUUGGGAGCUCUGUGGUGGAGAUGGUGUUGUGUCAACAGGAACUGGGUUACUAUCGGCUGGGGUUGGGGUUAGAUUGGGUGAAGCUGGUUCUCUGUCCAUCGCAGUAGGGGUACAAUCUGUGAGAGUUUGGGUUAUGUGUGGUAGGGCUGGUUCUUGUGCAUGUACAACCGGGGUGCUAUCUCCACCAAGAGGUAGCACUGUUUUAUUUGAAGACCAUGUUUUUAUUCCGCUAGAUACUGGCGUCACCCGCUCUAAUUCAAAUGGCUGAUAAAUAGGAAACAUAGUUGAAUGUACAGACAUUGUAUGAGAGACAGAUGCAAUAGAUAGUGUGGAAAAAAGAGGGCAUGAAAUAGUUGACAUGUAUAUUGCUUAAGUAAAACGGAUAGCAUGACAUAAUUUAACAUAUAUGAUGUCUAUCUAAACUGGAUAGCAGAGCAUAACAUAAUUCAAAGAUAUGAUGAAUAACUAAACAGGAUCGCAUGACAUAAUUCACCUACAUGUUAUCUAAGUAAUCAUGAUCGCAUCAUUUAAUUCACAUAUGUGAUUUAUAUGCUAAACAGAGGGCAUUCGAUAUGAUGUCUGAACUAAGAACAUGGUGUUGAAUAUUGUGUAUAUGAUGUCUAAACUAUGCAAUGCAAGACACUGUAUGCAUGAUAUGAGCAGUAUAACCGUGCCAAGUUAGAGCAUACACCUCAGUGUGGGAAUAGGACUGGUCAUCUGUCUCUGAAUCAAUCUCUGAGGAGCUAUCGGGACCCAACAAGAGAUCUGCUUCGACAGGUAGCACUGUCUGCUUUGAAGGCCUUGUUUUCACUCCAGAUUUUUCCAUCUCCCACCCAAAUGGCUGAUUCACAGGAAGAUUAGUUUAAUGUACAAACAUUGUCAACAAAUGGAAAUGUAAUGAAGAAAAGGAUGGGCAAGAUAUCAUUCAAAUAUAUGAUGCCUGGUUAAACAGGAUGGCAUUGCACAUUUCACAUAUAUUAUGGCUGGCUAAAAGACAUGAGACUGCAUAAUUCCCAUAUAUGAUAUAGAAACUAAACAGGUAGGCACUGCAAGGCAACAUAUGCAUGAUAUGACUAACAUCAUCAUGCCAAGGUAGAGCAAACACCUUGGGGGGUAAAUAGGAGUGGUCAGCGGCGUCUGAAUCCGCCUCAGAACAGAUAUCUUCCUCUAGAUUACAAUCUGGAGAGGGGUCGGGAGGGUUUGCCAUUGAACCCACCAUAGAGCGAUGUAUGCAUGACAUUGUAUUGCCGCGCAAAACUCUUCUCUUUUUCUCUACAUGUUCAGCAUGACUGUGUACAAUAUCUGACAUGCAUACGAAAAAAAAUAUGGUGAGAUUAUGUAAGGAGAGCAUGCAAAAAUUUACAGUGAUUGUAACAACCAGUGGAUCGACGUUUUUCCGUUGAACCAAAAUAGACCUAAUGGAUCGACGUGAAUGUUAGUAAUAAGUGAUGCAACAAGUGUACAACCUCUUUGCCGUAGCCGUGUCGACCUCAACAUCAUUUGGUUGGUCGCUGAAGCAGUUGAGGCAGAGGUGGCUGUCAGAGGUGUGGAGGAAGAUCUGAGGAAUCUGUAGACGGCGUCCAGGGCACUGCUUUGUUGUGAUAGAUCGUUGUGUCACUGGAGCAGCUCCGGUGAGCCGUAAGACGUCAAGGCUAAAGCAGCACAAGACAGACAUCGUCAAUCUCAAGUGGGAUUCUAAUGGCAUCUCCAAUAGAUGUUGUGAAAUGAAUGUAAAAUGAACAUCACCAAAAACCACCUGACUACAACAGAUGAGGUAAAAACUGUUGACUCUGAACUUAACUGUCGAAACUGAAAUUUACUGUGGAAUCUGAAUGCUACUGUCGAAACUGAAUGCAAUGGUAGCAGAGAGGCACUUGACAUGUAGUUUAGGGAGGGCCUAUAGUUCAUCUUCAACCUGCACCCCCCUGAGCCGCCAGCCNNNNNNNNNNGGUCGCUGAAGCAGUUGAGGCAGAGGUGGCUGUCGGAGGUGUGGAGGAAGAUCUGAGGAAUCUGUAGACGGCGUCCAGGGCACUGCUCUGUUGUGACGGAUCGUUCUGUCGUUGGAGCAGCUCCGGUGAGCCGUAAGACGUCAAGGCUGAAGCAGCACAAGACAGACAUCGUCAAUCUCAAGUGGGAUUCUAAUAGCAUCUCCAAUAGAUGAUGUAAAAUGGAUGUAAAAUUAACAUCACCAAAAACCACCUGACUACAACAGAUGAGGUAAAAACUGUUGACUCUGAACUUAACUAUCGAAACUGAAAUUUACUGUGGAAUCUGAAUGCUACUGUCGAAACUGAAUGCAAUGGUAGCAGAGAGGCACUUGACAUGUAGUUUAGGGAGGGCCUAUAGUUCAUCUUCAACCUGCACCCCCCUGAGCCGCCAGCCACCACCGGCCGAACCGCCAGCCCAGCGCCGCCUCGCCGCCCCGAAACAACUCGCCACCGNNNNNNNNNNNNNNNNNNNNNNNNNNNNNNNNNNNNNNNNNNNNNNNNNNNNNNNNNNNNNNNNNNNNNNNNNNNNNNNNNNNNNNNNNNNNNNNNNNNNNNNNNNNNNNNNNNNNNNNNNNNNNNNNNNNNNNNNNNNNNNNNNNNNNNNNNNNNNNNNNNNNNNNNNNNNNNNNNNNNNNNNNNNNNNNNNNNNNNNNNNNNNNNNNNNNNNNNNNNNNNNNNNNNNNNNNNNNNNNNNNNNNNNNNNNNNNNNNNNNNNNNNNNNNNNNNNNNNNNNNNNNNNNNNNNNNNNNNNNNNNNNNNNNNNNNNNAUAGUGGGGUACCUCUCCGACGAGCCCCCAUCCCCGAUGCGGGUGGUUCUUCCUUAACUCCGGCGAGCCCCCCAACCCCUGAAAAUCGACUGACCCAAAAGUCGAUUCAGUCGACUGAAGUGUGGCUUAAUCGGAGCAGAGCAGCAACACGAGCGAGGGGGAGAGCAGCAACGGCAGCUGUGCGAGCGAGCGAUCAAGCGAGAGCCAGAGCAGCAGUACCCCCCAUCGAUUUGAACUAGCGGCCCUUUCGGCUCAGGGUUAGAAGGGGGAUUUCGCUUGUCGGGAUUUGGCACCUGGAGGGAGUUUUCGCGCGCGUUGUAAUUUCAGGAUAGCAAGGCGCGGGUUGUGAAGGCACCAGUUUUGGGAGCACAAUAUCUGAAUUUUCGGGAUAUAACAAGACGCGGGUUGAAUUUUAGGGACAAGCCUAACGUGUAGUAAUAUUUUACUUGUACGUACCAAAUCAAUUCGCACUUCCCUCAACCAAAAAGAAAACAAAAAAAAUAAAACUAUUCACACCAUACAAAGAGAGAGUCUUGCCCCGUUUUACUAUACAAAUGCUAUUCAAAGCUACUCCCUCCUUCCAUCUAUAUAGGGCCUAAUGCGUUUUUCGAUGCUAACUUUGACCAAAUAUUAGAGCAAUGAUAUAUGACAUGCAACUUACACAAAGCACACCGUGAAAUUUGUUUAUGGAAGGUUCUUUCAAUGAUAUAAUUUUCACACUGUGCAUGUCAUGUACUAUUAAUCUUGUCAAUAGUCAAAGGCUGUCUUAAAAAAUCUCAUUACGUCCUAUAUAGAUGGAAGGAGGGAGUAUGAAUCCAUGUUAUGUCCGAUUAAAUUUUUUCGCUUGCUAUAUAAUGCAUGUAACCUACUCAUACCAACAUUUUAGUGCAUUCCAACUGUCUAUACUACCGCUGCAUUUCGAACUAAAUUUGAAUCCGUUUCUCUAUUUCAAUAAGAAUCUACAAUCAUGAUUGUUGCCAACUUAAACCAUCAUAGUUUCCUUGCUAUCCGCCAGAUAUAAAUCGGACGACCUAUAAUGCAGGAUGGCAGGCACACCAUCAUCAACAACUCCGUUUUUUAUAAGAGUAGAGAUAAAAUAUAUUAAAUGUAGUAUAACAUGUUCAUAAACACACCAUGUGUAACACCGUUAUAUAUAUUCACACAUGCGUCGGUUUAAAACACUAUGAUAAAUUCUUCAAAUAUCCGAAUUCGCUUUUUAUAAUGAAGUAUGUAUGAUCUCUAUUCUUCUUUUACACCCACGCAACCCUCUUAUCUUUGUAGCUAGCGCUAACUUUCUCUUGUGCAUGCACACGCCCGCAUCCCUCUCACCCUCCCUCAGCAUUCUCUAGCUCCAUCGCGCAAAUUCAUCUUUUCACUUUAGUCGUUCACCCAUGGUGUGUGUAUGCCCCCCAACUCCUUCUUUACAGCACACAUCGAUCGAUAUACCUCUCUAGCUAGGUGUUCCUAGCACAAACACAAGCUUCCCCUCUUCUCUUGUCACUAUCCAUGCCUCACUCCCACUACUCUUUUCAUCGUUCUCGUACUCGCACACUCCUCUCCCCUCGAUAUAGUAUGCCUCUCGUACCACCUCCUACAUGCAUCCCUCUCUCUCUAUCCUUCUUCUCGUGCCUCAUUUGCUUCUAACACACACAUGCAUGUAUACCGACCGAUCUCCCAACAUAUACCUAGAUUGACUUUAACUACCCACCACAUCGAUCGACGUACCUCACAAGUUAUGUCUCUCCUUUCUCUAACAAAGGGCGAUUGAUCUUCCUAUGUAGUUACAUAUGCUUACCACAGCCACAUCGUCCCCCCUCAUCAUUCGUGCAUGCCUCCUGACCCGUCUCUCACACGCACGUGCACAGACAACAAGCAGCCAUCUCCUCUCUUAUUGAUAUUGCGGGCGUGCCCUCCGUUUGUCUAGCAAGCCUAUCCCACCAUUUGUUAGAAGCAACUCCACUACCACCCCCUCCAACACUCUAGCUCUGUCUCUCUCCCAACCUUAUUCCUCUCCUGCACAUAUGCAUGGAUGCCGAUCGAUCUCCCUUAAUACAUGAGGCAGAUCGAUCUCCUUAAUACAUGAGGUAGGCGUCUCUCCUCCUCCACACAUAUACCAGCCAUUGUACCUCUAUAGUUAAUUGGGCCUCCCUCUUCCCCAACCACACACCGAUAGUCGAGUGUUGCAGGUAGGUAUCCAUGCCACAGACACAAACUGCACAUGUCCCCUCUCACGUUCCAGUAGGCCAUCCACUCUAUAUCUUUGACGUGGGCACACACAAAUUCGAUGGCACUCUUUAUCGAUCGCACGCGCACACACACACACAUCAUCCCUCUCUUUGAUUCUGUGAACACCUCAAGCCGAUGAUACCUCCACUCUCUUCUCGUGGAUCGCCCCCUCUAUAUAUAUGUUAUAUCCAGGACUCUAUUUCACACACAUUGCAUAUGUUACAUUUUUUGAUUGACCCCCCCCCCCAAAAAAACUCUCAAGAUCCCACACACUAUAUCUCUCUAGGUUUGUAUCUCUCUCACACAAUGCCACGUAGGUUGUGUGCGUAUACAAGAAGAGAAUAGGUGCACCAUGCACGUACUCACGCUUCGUGCCCAGCCACACCCGCGCGGGUACACGGUGGAGCUCAUUUCUUUACGAAAUGGCAGCCCACAUGCUAAUUUGAACGCCUGUAGCAGUUGUUUACCUAGGGAGGUCAUGUACCACGCGUGCACGAAAUAAAGUUUGACUUUACGCGUUGCCGCGUUAUUUUUAAAUAAAGUAAUAGCGCUCAAUGGCACAUACAUAGAAUAUAAAACUUUUUUUAUGGAGAAAAAGGUAGUCCGCUCACUAUAUACAAUGGAGCGUGCCUGCCUGGUUUGUCGCUGUUCAGAGUAUCUCACGCAAGGCUGCGGUGGCCUCUCUCUCUCUCUCACCGUUGGUCACUGAUACGGCCACAUCCCGUCCGUCGGGGGAAAGGGAGUGCAGUGGCCUCUCUCUCUCUCAUCGUUGGUCACUGAUCCGGCCGCAUCCCGUCCUCCGGGGAAAGGGAGAAAGUGCAUCGUUUCUCUGUUCGACGGUGCCGAGGCAGCUUGUCCCGAUCUGCGGUACACGCCGUUCUCUCUGACCAAGCUCCGGCGCGACAGGGCCUACGCCACCUGCUCGCAGAUUCCUGUUGGGGAACGUAGGAAUUUCAAAAUUUUCCUACGCACACGCAAGAUCAUGGUGAUGCAUAGCAACGAGAGGGGAGAGUAUUGUCCACGUACCCUCGUAGACCGUAAGCGGAAGCGUUAUGACAACGCGGUUGGUUGAUGUAGUCGUACGUCUUCACGAUCCGACCGAUCCAAGCACCGAACGUACGUCACCUCCGAGUCAGCACACGUUCAGCUCGAUGACGAUCCCCGGACUCCGAUCCAGCAAAGUGUCGGGGAUGAGUUCCGUCAGCACGAUGGCGUGGUGACGAUGAUGAUGUUCUACUGACGCAGGGCUUCGCCUAAGCACCACACGAUAUGACCGAGGUGGAAUAUGGUGGAGGGGGGCACCGCACACGGCUAAGGGAAGGAGAAGGAGAAGGAAGGAGAGGGAGGAAAAGGAGGAAAGGGGGGCCGGCCCCUUAGUCCAAUUCGGUUUGGGCUAGGGGGGCCGCGCGCCCUGCCUCCUCUCUUCCACCACUUGGCCCAUUAGGCCCAUUGCUUCUUCCUCGUAUUCCUGUAACUUCCCGGUACCCCCGAAAAUACCCGAAUCACUCGAAACCUUUCCGAAGUCCGAAUAUAGUCGUCCAAUAUAUCGAUCUUUACGCCUCGACCAUUUCGAGACUCCUCGUCAUGUCCCCGAUCUCAUCCGGGACUCCGAACUCCUUCGGUACAUCAAAACUCAUAAACUCAUAAUAUAACUGUCAUCGAAACCUUAAGCGUGCGGACCCUACGGGUUCGAGAACAAAGUAGACAUGACCGAAACACAUUUCCGGUCAAUAACCAAUAGCGGAAUCUGGAUGCUCAUAUUGGCUCCUACAUAUUCUAUGAAGAUCUUUAUCGGUCAAACCGCAUAACAACAUCCGUUGUUCCCUUUGUCAUCAGUAUGUUACUUGCCCGAGAUUCGAUCGUCGGUAUCCAAUACCUAGUUCAAUCUCGUUACCGGCAAGUCUCUUUACUCGUUACGUAAUGCAUCAUUCUGUAACUAACUCAUUAGCCACAUUGCUUGCAAGGCUUAUAGUGAUGUGCAUUACUGAGAGGGCCCAGAGAUACCUCUCCGACAAUCGGAGUGACAAAUCCUAAUCUCGAAAUACGCCAACCCAACAUGUACUUUCAGAGACACCUGUAGAGCUCCUUUAUAAUCACCCAGUUACGUUGUGACGUUUGGUAGCACACAAAGUGUUCCUCCGGUAAAUGGGAGUUGCAUAAUCUCAUAGUCAUAGGAACAUGUAUAUAUCAUGAAGAAAGCAAUAGCAACAUACUAAACGAUCAAGUGCUAAGCUAACGGAAUGAGUCAAGUCAAUCACAUCAUUCUCCUAAUGAUGUGAUCCCGUUAAUCAAAUGACAACUCUUUUGUCCAUGGCUAGGAAACUUAACCAUCUUUGAUUCACGAGCUAGUCAAGUAGAGGCAUACUAUUGACACUAUGUUUGUCUAUGUAUUCACACAUGUAUUAUGUUUCCGGUUAAUACAAUUCUAGCAUGAAUAAUAAACAUUUAUCAUGAAAUAAGGAAAUAAAUAAUAACUUUAUUAUUGCCUCUAGAGCAUAUUUCCUUCAGUCUCCCACUUGCACUAGAGUCAAUAAUCUAGUUCACAUCAGCAUGUGAUUCAACACCAAUAUUCACAUCUGUAUGUGAUUAGUACCCAUAGUUCACAUCGUCAUGUGAUCAACACCCAAAGGGUUUACUAGAGUCAAUAAUCUAGUUCACAUCGCUAUGUGAUUAACACCCAAAGAGUACUAAGGUAUGAUCAUGUUCUGCUUGUGAGAGAAAUUUGGUCAACGGGUCUGUUACAUACAGAGCCGUAUGUAUUUUGCGAAUAUUCUUAUGUCUUCAAUACUCUGCACGGAGCUACUAUAGCUAAUUGCUCCCACUUUCAAUAUGUAUCCAGAUUGAGACUUAGAGUCAUCUGGAUUAGUGUAAAAGUUUGCAUCGAUGUAACUCUUUAUGAUGAACUCUUUUAUCACCUCCAUAAUCGAGAAACAUCUCCUUAGUCCUCACUAAGGAUAUUCUUGACCGCUGUCUAGUGAUCUACUAUUACAUCAAAAUUGUAUCCUUUGCCAAACACAGAGCAAGGUAUACAAUAGGUCUGGUUCACAGCAUAGCAUACUUUAUAGAACCUAUGAUUGAGGCAUAGGGAAUGACUUUUUAUUCUCUUUCUAUUUUCUGCCAUGGUUGGGUCUUGAGUCUUACUCAAACUUCACACCUUGCAACACCGGCAAGAACUCCUUCAUUGACUGUUCCAUUUUGAACUAUUUCAAAAAAAAAUUAUCAAGGUAUGUACUCAUUGAAAAAUCUUAUCAAGCGUCUUGAUCUAUCUAUAUAGAUCUUGAUGCUCAAUGUGUAAGCAGCUUCACCGAGGUCUUGCUUUGAAAAACUCUUAUUCAAGUAUCCUUUCAUGCUAUCCAGAAUUUCUAUAUCAUUUCCAAUCAACAAUAUGUCAUCCACAUAUAAUAUUAGAAAUGCUACAGAGCUCCCACUCACUUUCUUGUAAAUACAGGCUUCUCAAAAAGUCUGUAUAAAACCAUAUGCUUUGAUCAACUCAUCAAAGCGUAUAUUCCAACUCCGAGAGGCUUGCACCAGUCCAUAAAUGGAUCACUGGAGCUUGCACACUUUGUUAGCACCUUUAGGAUUGACAAAACCUUCUGGUUGCAUCAUAUACAACUCUUCUUUAAUAAAUCCAUUAAGGAAUAUAGUUUUGACAUCCUUUUGCCAGAUUUCAUAAAAUGUGGCAAUUGCUAACAUGAUUUGGACAGACUUAAGCAUCGAUACGAGUGAGAAAAUCUCAUCGUAUUCAACACCUUGAACUUGUCGAAAACCUUUCAUAACAAGUUGAGCUUAGUAGAUAGUAACACUACUAUCAGUAUUCGUCUUCCUCUUGAAGAUCCAUUUAUUUAACAUGGCUUGCUGAUAAACGAGAAAGUCAAUCAAAGUCCAUACUUUGUUCUCAUAGAUGGAUCUCAUCUUAGAUUUUAUGGCCUCAAGCCAUUUCGUGGAAUCUGGGCUCAUCAUCGCUUCCUCAUAGUUUGUAGGUUCAUCAUGGUCUAGUAACAUGAUUUCUAGAAUAAGAUUACCGUACCACUCUGGUGCGGAUCUUAAUCUGGAAGAUCUACAAAGUUUGGUAGUAACUUGAUCUGAAGCUUCAUGAUCAUUAUCAUUAGCUUCCUCACUAAUUGGUGCAGGAAUCACUAGAACUGAUUUCUGUGAUGAACUACUUUCCAAUACGGGAGAAGGUACAAUUACCUUAUCAAGUUCUACUUUCCUCCCACUCACUUCUUUUGAGAGAAACUCCUUCUCUAGAAAGGAUCCAUUCUUAUCAACAAAGAUUUUGCUUUCGGAUCUGUGAUACAAGGUGUACCCAACAGUUUCCUUUGGGUAUUCUAUGAAGACGCACUUCUCCGAUUUGGGUUCUAGCUUAUCAUGUUGAAACUUUUUCACAUAAGCAUCGUAGCCCCAAACUUUAAGAAACGACAACUUUGGUUUCUUGCUAAAUCACAGUUCAUAAAACGUCGUUUCAAUGGAUUUUGAUGGUGCCCUAUUUAAGUCAAUGCAGUUGUCUCUAAUGCAUAACCCUAAAACGAUAGUGGUAAAUCGGUAAGAUACAUCAUAGAUCGCACCAUAUCCAAUAAAGUGUGGUUACGACAUUCGGACACACCAUUACGUUGUGGUGUUUCUUGUGGCGUGAGCUGUGAAACUAUUCCACAUUCUUUAUAUGAAGGCCAAACUUGUAACUCAAAUAUUCUCCUCCACGAUCAGAUCGUAGAAACUUUAUUUUUUGUUACGAUGAUUCUCCACUUCACUCUGAAAUUCUUUGAACUUUUCAAAUGUUUCAGACUUGUGUUUCAUUAAGUAGAUAUACCCAUAUCUGCUCAAAUCAUCUUGUGAAGGUCAGAAAAUAACGAUACUUGCCAUGAGCAUCAACACUCAAUGGAUCGCAUACAUCGGUAUGUAUUAUUUCCUAUAAGUCAGUAGCUCGUUCCAUUGUUCCGGAGAACGGAGUUUUAGUCAUCUUGCCCGAAAGUCACGGUUCGCAAGCAUCAAAUGAUUCAUAACCAAGUGAUUCCGAAAAUCCAUCUUUUAUGGAGUUUCUUCAUGCGCUUUACACCGAUAUGACCCAAACUGCAGUGCCACAAAUAAGUUGCACUAUCAUUAUUAACUUUGCAUCCUUUGGCAUCAAUAUUAUGAAUAUGUGUAUUACUACAAUCGAAAUCCAACAAACUAUUUUCAUUGGGUGUAUGACCAUCGAAGGUUUUAUUCAUGUAAACAGAACAACAAUUAUUCUUUGACUUUAAAUGAAUAACCGUAUCGCGAUAAACAUGAUCAAAUCAUAUUCAUGCUCAACGCAAACACCAAAUAACAUUUAUUUAGGUUUAACACUAAUCCAGAAAGUAUAGGGAGUGCGCGAUGAUGAUCAUAUCAAUCUUGGAACCACUUCCAAUACACAUCGUCACUUCACCCUCAACUAGUUUCUGUUUAUUCUAUAACUCCUGUUUCGAGUUACUGAUCUUAGCAACCGAACAAGUAUCAAAUACUCAGGGGUUACUAUAAACACUAGUAAGGCACACAUCAAUAAUUUGUAUAUCAAAUAUACCCUUGUUUAGUUUGCCAUCCUUCUUAUCCACCAAAUAUUCAGAGUAUUUCCGUUUCCAGUGACCAUUUCCUUUGAAGUGUAAGCACUCAGUUUUAGGCUUUGGUUCAGAUUUGGGCUUCUUCGUGGGAGUGACAACUUGCUUGUCAUUCUAGUUGAAGUUCCCUUUCUCUCCCUUUGCCCUUUUCUUGAAACUAGUGAUCUUGUCAACCAUCAACACUCAAUGCUCUUUCUUAAUUUCUACCUUCGUCGAUUUCAACAUCACGAAGAGCUUGGGAAUCGUUUUCGUCAUCCCUUGCAUACUAUAGUUCAUCACAAAGUUCUACUAACUUGGUGAUGGUGACUAGAGAAUUCUGUCAAUCACUAUCUUAUCUGGAAGAUUAACUCCCACUUGAUUCAAGCGAUUGUAGUACCCAGACAAUUUGAGCACAUGCUCACUAGUUGAGCGAUUCUCCUCCAUCUUUUAGCCAUAGAACUUGUUGGAGACUUCAUAUCUCUCAACUCGGGUAUUUGCCAAACGUUCAUAACGUCUGCAUCUGCUCCUGCAAUAGGUCUGUCACCUAGCGGUGCAUUAAAGACAUAAUUCUUCUGUGUAGCAAUGAGGAUAAACCUCAGAUCAUGGAUCCAAUCCGCAUCAUUGCUACUAACAUCUUUCAACACAAUUUUCUCUAGGAACAUAUCAAAAUAAACAUAUGAAAGCAACAACGCAAGCUAUCGAUAUACAACAUAAUUUGCAAAAUACUACCAGGACUAAGUUAAUGAUAAAUUUAAGUUCAAUUAAUCAUAUUACUUAAGAACUCCCACUUAGAUAGACAUCUCUCUAGUCAUCUAAGUGAUCACGUGAUCCAAAUCAACUAAACCAUGUCCAAUCGUCACGUGAGAUGGAGUAGUUUCAAUGGUGAACAUCACUAUGUUGAUCAUAUCUACUAUAUGAUUCACUUUCGACCUUUCGGUCUCCGUGAUCCGAGGCCAUAUCUGUUAUAUGCUAGGCUCGUCAAGUUUAACCUGAGUAUUCUGCGUGUGCAACUGUUUUUCACCCGUUGUAUUUGAACGUAGAGCCUAUCACACCCGAUCAUCACGUGGUGUCUCAGCACGAAGAACUUUCGCAACGGUGCAUAGUCAGGGAGAACACUUCUUGAUAAUUUUUAGUGAGAGAUCAUCUUAAAAUGCUACCAUCAAUCAAAGCAAGAUAAGAUGCAUAAAGGAUAAACAUCAGAUGCAAUCAAUAUAAGUGAUAUGAUAUGGCCAUCAUCAUCUUGUGCUUGUGAUCUCCAUCUGCGAAGCACCGUUGUGAUCACCAUCGUCACCGGCGCGACACCUUGAUCUCCAUCGUAGCAUCGUUGUCGUUUCGCCAUCUAUUGCUUCUACGACUAUCGCUACCGCUUAGUGAUAAAGUAAAGCAAUUACAGGGCGCUUGCAUUUCAUAGAAUAAAGCAACAACCAUAUGGCUCCUGCCAGUUGCCGAUAACUUGGUUACAAAACAUGAUCAUCUCAUACAAUAAAAUAUAGCAUCACGUCUUGACCGUAUCACAUCACAACAUGCCCUGCAAAAACAAGUUAGGCGUCCUCUACUUUGUUGUUGCAAAUUUUACGUGGCUGCUACGGGCUGAGCAAGAACCGUUCUUACCUACGCAUCAAAACCACAACGAUAGUUUCUCAAGUUGGUGGUGUUUUAACCUUCGCAAGGACCGGGCGUAGCCACACUCGGUUCAACUAAAGUGAGAGAGACAGACACCCGUCGGUCACCUUUAAGCAACGAGUGCUCGUAGCAGUGAAACCAGUCUCGCGUAAGCAUACGCGUAAUGUCGGUUCGGGCCGCUUCAUCUCACAAUACCGCUGAACCAAAGUAUGACAUGCUGGUAAGCAGUAUGACUUGUAUCGUCCACAACUCACUUGUGUUCUACUUGUGCAUAUAACAUCUACGCAUAAAACCUAGGCUCGGAUGCCACUGUUGGGGAACGUAGUAAUUUCAAAAUUUUCCUACGCACACGCAAGAUCAUGGUGAUGCAUAGCAAUGAGAGGGGAGAGUAUUGUCCAUGUACCCUUUUAGACCGUAAGCGGAAGCGUUAUGACAACGCGGUUGAUGUAGUCGUAUGUCUUCACGAUCCGACCGAUCCAAGCACCGAACGUACGGCACCUCCGAGUUCAGCACAUGUUCAGCUCGAUGACGAUCCCUGGACUCCGAUCCAGCAAAGUGUCGGGGAUAAGUUCCAUUAGCAUGACGGCGUGGUGACGAUCAUGAUGUUCUACCGACGCUGGGCUUCGCCUAAGCACCGCAACGAUAUGACCGAGGUGGAAUAUGGUGGAGGGGGGCACCGCACACGGCUAAGGAACGAUCACGAAGAUCAACUUGUGUGUCAUGGGGUGCCCCCCUGCCCCCGUAUAUAAAGGAGCAAGGGGGAGGGGGCGGCCGGCCAAAGGAUGGCGCGCCAGGGAGGAGUCCUACUCCCACCGGGAGUAGGACUCCCUCCUUUCCUAGUCCAACUAGGAGAGGGGAAGGAAGGGAAGGAGAAGGAGAAGGAAGGAGAGGGAGGAAAAGGAGGAAACGGGGGGCCGGCCCCUUAGUCCAAUUCGGUUUGGGCUAGGGGGGCCGCGCGCCCUGCCUCCUCUAUUCCACCACUUGGCCCAUUAGGCCCAUUGCUUCUUCCUCGUAUUCCCGUAACUUCCCGCUACGCCCAAAAAUAUCCGAAUCACUCGGAACCUUUCUGAAGUCCGAAUAUAGUCGUCCAAUAUAUCGAUCUUUACGUCUCGACCAUUUCAAGACUCCUCGUCAUGUCCCCGGUCUCAUCCGGGACUAUGAACUCCUUCGGUACAUCAAAACUCAUAAACUCAUAAUAUAACUGUCAUCGAAACCUUAAGCGUGCGGACCCUACGGGUUCGAGAACAAUGUAGACAUGACCGAAACACGUUUCCGGUCAAUAACCAAUAGCGGAACCUGGAUGCUCAUAUUGGCUCCUACAUAUUCUACGAAGAUCUUUAUCGGUCAAACUGCAUAACAACAUAGGUUGUUCCCUUUGUCAUCGGUAUGUUACUUGUCCGAGAUUCGAUGGUCGGUAUCCAAUACCUAGUUCAAUCUCGUUACCGGCAAGUCUCUUUACUCGUUAUGUAAUGCAUCAUUCCGUAACUAACUCAUUAGCCACAUUGCUUGCAAGGCUUAUAGUGAUGUGCAUUACCGAGAGGGCCCAGAGAUACCUCUCCGACAAUCAGAGUGACAAGUCCUAAUCUCGAAAUACGCCAACCCAACAUGUACCUUCGGAGACACCUGUAGAGAUCCUUUAUAAUCACCCAGUUACGUUGUGACGUUUGGUAGCACACAAAGUGUUCCUCCGGUAAACAGGAGUUGAAUAAUCUCAUAGUCAUAGUAACAUGUAUAAGUCAUGAAGAAAGCAAUAGCAACAUACUAAAUGAUCAAGUGCUAAGCUAACGGAAUGAGUCAAGUCAAUCACAUCAUUCUCCUAAUGAUGUGAUCCCGUUAAUCAAAUGACAACUCUUUUGUCCAUGGCUAGGAAACUUAACCAUCUUUGAUUCACGAGCUAGUCAAGUAGAGGCAUACUAGUGACACUAUGUUUGUCUAUGUAUUCACACAAGUAUUAUGUUUCCGGUUAAUACAAUUCUAGCAUGAAUAAUAAACAUUUAUCAUGAAAUAAGGAAAUAAAUAAUAACUUUAUUAUUUCCUCUAGGGCAUAUUUCCUUCAAUUCCGCCCGCCGCUGCUCACCUAGUUACAUCCCGACGACCUCCAGGUAUCCCCUCCGGCCUUGCUCCACUGCCCGUCUUCCAAGUCGCUGCAUGUGGAUCUUCCAUAGUUCAUUGCCCAAAACGUAGCUCGUCCGGCGUACUUUCCAUAUUGCAUUCUCGUCCUCACACCGUUUUAGACAAACACAACCGUGUUGUUAUCUUCCCUUAGGACAAGGAAUAUGCUUCUUUUUUGUCCUCGCAUGUGUCAUCAACUAUUAUUGGCCAGUAAUAGUUUCCUUUCUACCUCUUUUUUGCAAACAGGGCUAUCCAUUUCACCUCGUUGCUAUUGCGACCUUUUGGUGAACUACACAAAUCACUUUUUUCUUAAGAGUGUUUUGUGCAGUUGUACUAAAAUGUCACACGGGAAAUGUCUCUACAUUUCAGUCCGACUACACAAAGGGAGAUUGGUUUUGCUCUAUCCUCCUCAUCCAACUCCGAGCCUAAUCUGCUCCAACUAGUUAAUCUUAAGAGAGACUGCAAAGGUGACCGGCUUCUAUUUGUGUGUUUAUUGUUUCAUCAACAGUCCUCUAUUAUCGUAAUCACACUUAAUAUCUUUGGAACAGGGAUGCUCACACUUAAUAUCUUUGGAACAGGAAUUGCACAAAAUGAUCGGAAUGUUGCAUGCUCCAGAUAGCUACUUUUUUUCCCAACAUGCCUUGUUGAUUUAGACAGAGCUGGGGGGACGUUGCUGCCAAUGAAAGCAUGGACCAAUUUUAAUUUUAACACCUUCUCACAACUCUGUCUUCAGUUGUGAUGUAAUUAUUAGCUCUGAUCUGCUAAUAAUUGACAUGCAUUAGCAAGGAAGUUAGCUUUUUAUUGUUUCCGAAAGAGCAUCAAUGGCAAGACACGCGAAACAAAAGGUGAAAGCUCACACCAUUGUACAAUUUCAUGUCGCUGGAAAAUUAUUUGUAUAGUACGUCAAUUAUCUAAACAAAUGAUGGAAGCUUGAUAGCAUUGCCAGAAGCCUCUUCACCAUCCGGGUCCAUGUGCCAUGCACAAUAUUAUACUCAUUCGUUCCUAAAUAUUUGUCUUUUUACAAAUUUCAAACGGGCAUAUUUUAGAGUGUAGAUUCGCUCAUUUUGCUUCGUAUGUGUACUCCCUCUGUUCCUAAAUAUUCUAUUCGUCUUUCUAGAGAUUUCAACAAGUAACUACAUACGGAGCAAAAUGAGUGAAUCUACACUCUAAAAUAUGUCUAUAUACAUCCGUAUGUGCCAGUCCAUUUGAAAUCUCUAAAAAGACAAAUAUUUGAGUAGUCACUUGUUGAAAUCUCUAAAAAGACAAAUACUCCGGAGCAUAUAUAAGAACCGAGGGGGUAGUGCACAACCGCAUGGGAGACUCAUCUCGGUCAUUGCGCCGCAUUAAUAGUGAGUAAUGAGCAGUCAAAUCAUAAGCCCCACCUUUCCCAUUGUAAGUUGCUCUGAAGAAGCAACCAUCAAUACGCUCUUCUUUGAAUCCGCUCAUACGACUCCAUCCGUCACUGUUUACACAACGCGCUUCAGAAAAAAGAAAAAAAAUCUGUGGGACCAAGGCGACUAGCGAUCGGCCUGAAAAACAGCACUGGUAGUUAUAGCAUGGCGUCAAUUACUAGAGGGAAUAAUGCGUACACACAUGCAUGCAGUGCUUCCACCUAGGGUACACACAUGCAUGCACUUACUCCACUCCAUAGUACUCCCUCCAUUCCUAAAUGUUAGUCUUUUUAGAGAUCCAAAUGUACUACCACAUACCGAUGUAUAUAGACAUAUUUUCGAGUGUAGAUUCACUCAUUUUGCUCCGUAUGUAGUCACUAGUUGAAAUCUCUAUAAAGACUUAUAUUUAGGAACGGAGGGAGUAGUACAGAGUACAUGGAGAGAAAAUUGUGGACUUGAUUGCGGUUACCACGCCCUAAUUAAUUAAGCAUUAAAGCAAACGCGUCUAAAGUCUCUCUGGUGGUGGAAAUGCAUUGAGAGAAAUGCAUCAUAAUGAAGCACGCCUUGUAAACUGUGAUGGAGGGAGGAGUAGUAUGAACAUGCAAAACCAAGUACGCGUAUGGCCAGUCGGUCAACGCACCUCCUCUUGGCAUAUCACUGACAUGUGGGACAGGAGUGUGAGCAAACCGAUCUCAAUUGACAGCAAAGAGCCAACCCACCGUUCCUUGAGACAGACGAGGAUCGAGAACACACAGACGGGCACGCACGGAGGCCAAGAUAUAUUCGAGCAUGGCUGGUUGAUCGAUAUCAUUCCUUACAUGUUGGGCUGUCGUUUCCCGCCCUUCUCCGGAAUAAAUGUGUACUUUACAGAGAUAAAAAAAUAAGAGUACAGACGCUCCACCAUGCGGUUCUAGUAGUAGUACUACUCGUACUACUGCGCUUGGCUCUUCGCCUCUUCGUGAAGUCGAACAAUGACGGUACUCCGCAUGUUGGGUACUACAGCGUAUGCCUCUGACAAUCUGACACCGAAUGGACUGAUGCAUGUCCACCGAGGGUUGGUUGCAUUAGUCAAAAGGCGUAAGCGACCUUCACCUUGUCCUGCAAGCUUCUCCUCAUUCUACGAGUUGACGGGACACACCAAAAAGUAGUGCUAGUCCAUACUCCCUCCUUUCCGGUUAAUAUGGCUUAAUAUUUUUUGCGGGUAAAUGAGAGAGCUUUAUUCAUAUAUAAGCAUUCUUAGGACGAUCGGCCAAGACAAUGGUCACUAGGAAGCGAGGCACCUCGCAAAAAAAGAAGUAGGAAGCGAGGUGUUUCAUCAAGCCAGCUCUCGACCACAUUCAAAGUGCAGCAAGCACGGUUCGCACGAAGAUGCGCCGAAGGUUUGCUGACCUGUUUACAUGCUGAAUAACAAAAAAAGAGGAAAUAUUACCGAGCACUACUAUUUGUAACAGGAUAUGUGCCAGAAUUAAGCGAGAAUUGUGGCGAGUGUUCCAUGCAAUCAACUUCCAUUAUCACAUGCGAGAACCCUCGAAGAAAACCAAAUGUGUUGAAGAUUGCUUUAUCACAUUCUAAAAUUAUAAUAAGAGUGCAGACGCUCCUCCAUCUGGUUCCUAGUACUAGUAUAGUACGUACCUUUAUAGAGUAUAGUAGUAGUACUAGUACUAGUAAACUUUGCGCUUGGUUGUUCGCCUAUUCGGGAAGUCGAACAAUAAUAGCACUAGUAGUAUAGUGUAUGCUUCUGGCAAUCUGACACCCAAUUAACUGUUCAAUGUCCAUCGCCUGAGCGAGGGAGAGCUUGCAUUAGUCAAAAGUUUCUCCUUGUCCUGCAAGCCACCGCGAGCAAGCUUCUCCCGUCUCGCAACCUUCUCCUCGUUCGACAAGUUGACGGGACACAUCAAAGUAAUGCUAGUCCAUACUGCCUCAUCUCCGGUUAAUAUGGCUUAAUUUCAAACGAGAUAAAUACACUGUCUGUCACUAUAUAUUUGUAAAAAUAUGGUCAGUGGACUUCAUAAUACGCUAAUUGCGCUCAAUAUAUAUAUUUUCCGGUGUUUAUAUGGUCACUAGCUCACCCUGACUGAGUAUGUGUGUGCAUGCACGUGUAGGUUGAGCACUUAGCGUGACCGUGCGUGUUCUGUCGUGUGCUCGGACAUGCAUGCAUUAGGGCAUCGCGCGCGUUUUGCGUCCAUGUGUACGUGUGACUGUUGCAUACAUGUAGGGGGAGUACAUGUAGGGGCCACUAAGGAGCAGUCAAAUCACACAGUAAGUUAGUUGGAAGAAGCAACCAUCAUUUCACUCUUGAAUGACACGUAUGCAAUAUAAAAUGGUUGAUAUGGAGAGAAAAAGAAAACCACUAUAUAUAGACUAGCAGGAGACUAAGCUACAAGCCUGCUUGCUUAGGUUGCUCUCUUCACAAGCAUAGAACGACGGGCCUGAUCCUGCAGCUGGGGGAAGGGAACAAUGUUCUGCGUAGACACGGUCGACAUCGGCGAGGGAGAAAACCCAUAGUCGGUGUGUCCCAAUCGGGGGUCACCGCGGUAUGAGCUGAUGCCGCGUCCGAACCGCCCUUCUAGCUACAGCCCGACAUCCCAGGUAGUCCAUCUUCCUUUUGGAGCCGGCUUGCUCCACUGCCGUAGCUCCAUCUCCAUGUCGAUCUUUCUCUACUUCUACCGACUUCUACUUGUGAUGAUUUUAUGUCUCAUGAACUAGUGCCAGUACUAUUAUUCUAAUCACACUUCUUCAAUAUCUUUGCCAUCAGGGAUGCUCAGGUCAAUUUUAAUGGAACUGCACAAAAGCAUCAUAUGAUCCGAGGGUGCCAGCCAUCUUUCCUUCGAUAGGUUCUACUUGGCCAGGGAAUAAAAUCAUGUUUAGGGUUUAGGGUUUAAGUCGUAGUGAACCCAUCAGUAGUUUUUCUUUCGUACACGCUCUCACAACUUUUUUCUUUAGUUGUGAAGUAAAUAUUGGCUAUGAUCUGUGAAUCAUUGAGAUGCAUCAGCAUGUGUGUUAGUUUUCCUUUGUAUUUGAUGGAAUAUUGUAACGGGGCAACCUUGGAAUAGGAAUUGAAAUGGAGUGGAAAGUUUCCGUUUUUCUGGAGAAAAAAAUGGAAACGGAGAGAAACCAAUGUUUUGUUUCGUUGGAUCGCGCCAUCGAGCAAAACCAACGUUUAAAUCACGUCUAUCGUGUUCGUGUCUCACCCUCCUGCACGGCUCGACCCCACACGGUCGCUCGGCAUGCCACUCACCGCAAACCGAGUAUACGAUAACUUUCCCGCCUGCUUGUCGAUGGAUCGCGCCAUGGAGUACUAGCACUACUGGAAGAGAUUGACAAGUUGGGGGAGGACAGCUAGCUGUAGCACGGACUCCCAAGAACUUUUUACAUGCAUGUUGUAGCCGGCUAUUGUGACCUUUGAACACGGAGCAGCCGUGUGCACCCGGAAGCGGCGCGGCGACGGUCUCUCAGCCGGCGCUCCGCUUCAAUACCGGCGCCUGUGAGAGGUCGCGUCCGCUCUGGCCGGGCAUGAAUGCGGCACUGACCGUUUCGGGCGGGAAGCACGCGCGGGUGAUGAAGAGGGUUUGGAUUGGUCAGGACCGGCCGUGGCAGCGGUCCGGACGUGCGCAAACAAGAGAUGCUAUACAUUAAUAUUGCUGCGUAUAUAACUAACAACAUAAAUAAUCUUCCAGUUGGACAAAUAUGAUUGGAGAUGGAGAUGGAAAUGGAAUUUUACGUAAACACGGAUAUGCAUGUCUAUGUAUAUGUGUGUGUGCGCGACGACUCUCGCGACCUGGAAGCGGGGGUGUGUUUUUGAUCGAGUUUUCUUUCUUGGUAAGUUAGAAAAUCAGUUUGUCUAAUUCACAUCUAGAUGUUAUUUAAGGAUAUCACAUCUAAGCCCGCACAACUAUAUAAUGUAGCAACAAGAAAUAAAAAAAACUAGGACAAAAAAAUAGACCACAAACAGAGUGGACAUCAACUUAAAUAUGACAUAACUAUGUCACAUCUAGAUGUGUCCUAGACAGACCCUUAAAAAAUUGUCCGCCAGUUUUCGUUUCUUUUUUCCGGGAACGCGCGUAUUCUAUUUAAAACCACUGCUAUGGAGAGAUUUUUUUACUCCAUUAUAGCCUCUUGUUUGAUAGAGUUUCUCGCAUCUCGCUCUCUCACCCUCACCAUAUCAAAACAAGAUGAGAGUGUCCACUCUAUCUCUCUCCUCACCGGUUGUCACAAAUCCGGCUGAAUCCCGUCCGCUGCGGGAAAUGAGGAGGUGCAGCGUUGACGUUGUCGCCGUCGGCGACGGAGGAAGCCGAUGCGCACCGUCCUCUAGGAGCCGGCGCUGGCGCGCACGAAGAUCCUCCGCGCCCUUAUUCGCUGCCGUCGUGUGGGAAGAUCCCGCCCACCCACCUGAACGACAUCUCACCCACCUGAGGUAUAACUUCUUGUACUGGUCCAGCUCCCCAGUUCGCUGCGUGCGGGUUUUCUUCUAUGCGACUACUCCCCAGCUCCCCAUGCGUAGUAGCUAGGGUUCGUCGGCUGGUCCAACAUCACCUACUAGUACUAUUAUAGAGGAAAUGCCACUCGAAAAGUUGUCCUGAUUUAUGCCUCGGUGGAGGUAUACAUGUUGUUUCGACAAAAAAUACAUGGUGGUUGUGCGACCAUUGUCCAUAUGGUGGUAGUACUAUCACUGGUUAAAUGAAGAAAUGUUUUUUUCUCGGGUAUCCUGGUUUAGUUCCCAUCAAGAUAAUUAUGAUGCUUCUGUUUGUUGGUGUACUUUUCAUUAAUUCUUGUUGACAAUUGAGAUGUCAUUGCUAACCCUUUUUUAUAUUUUUGGAAACAGUGAUGCGUGUCUCCAUACCCGGGCAUGUCUUCCUCAAUUUUAGUGGAACUGCACAAAAUUGGAUGGCCAUUGUUGUUCCGCCUCACUGUCCUCUGCCACGUGGUUCUUCCUUCCUCGAGCUUGAUUACUGAGAAGAAACAGACCACAGUGAGGAUUUGUCGAACUUCAUAGGUGCCUCACCCAAACUUGAUGCCAAAUGGAUGAUGCAUCACCACGAUGACCUAUCGAUGCUCAUGGUUGCGCCUCAUGGUUGCCUUGGCUGGUGAAGCUGAUCGAUUUUCAAUGAAAAACAAGCUAUCUUCCAUCAGUGCACUUUGCUUGUUAGGCACAAAGAUGAUAUCCUUCGUUAGUUCCCCUUGGUUGCGUUGGAGACGCAGUCGUCUUUCACGUUGAUGCAAUUUUAUCACACAAUUGGCUAUGAACCAAAUGUUUCCUUGAAGAAGGAUCGACGUUGGUACUAAGAGCAUAAAUUUUGUAUUGAUUUCUAAGCCUUCUCACAACUUUGUCUCUAGCUCCCCUGAAAUUUUAUUUGUCCAGCUAUUAACUUUGAUUUAAAAAAUGGUGUGGACUAAAAGCCUGGAUGGACGUAGUAGCCCUCCAUUUUUAUUUACUGCGCAUAUUAGAUUUGACUGAAGUCAAACUUUGUAAUACUCUCAAACCUUUCCGAUAAUUAAAAUUAAAAUUCUUUAUUUGUACACACUCUCACACAUUUCCGAUAAUCUGGCGCAUGUGUGGUUGUUCACUUAAGGGAGGGUAGUGUACCACAUGUGAAAGACAGGAAGUGCGACCAGGACGCGUGGGUGUGGAUCGUUAGUUCAUCGGAAGUAGUACUAGUUUUCUUCACUGUACAAUAAAUAAAGAGUUUCGUUUCGUACUUACACAGUUUAAAACGAUUGUUAUGGAGUGAAUAAGAAAACCACUCCACUAUAUAUUAGUCCUAUACAUGAGAGUACUAUAUGGACGCACCUUCAUUGACUUAAUGCACCUGCCUUUGGGUUUAUGACAGGUGGGCCCAAAAUGUGGCUGGCUCACCUGUCAUACAGCCAAAAGCAGGUGCAGUGAAGGCACUGGAGCUCAGUCCGUGCUACAAUGGUAUAUAUAUAAGCGGGAGCCUCAGCGCUUGUUUGCUAGGGUUUGCACUCUCCACACGCUCGCCGCAUUAUAUAUAUGUUACACACUGGAGGCUCAGCGUUCAUUUGCUAGGGUUUGCUAUAUUCACAGUCUCUCACCCUCUCUUCAUCAGAUCUAAACAAGACUGCAUUGGCCUCUUGUCUCUCUCUCCCCCCUCACAGCUGCUAAAGGAGGCGUCCGUAUCCCGUCGCACCGGGAAGGGGAGGAGGUGCAGCCAUCACUCUAUCGCCUUCGGCGAGGGAGGCAAUCCACUGCCGGCUGCGUUGUUCUCUUUCACCCAGCGCCUGUGCAGGAGGGCCACCGACCCCUUCUUCCUCGCUGCCGUACGUAGUGUGGGCAGAUCCGGCCUCCCGCCGAACGCUUUGCCACAUCCCAACGACCCUGAGGUAUAAGUUUCUUUGAAACCGUCGUUGCUCUAGCUGCAUGUGGAUCUUUUUUGAUCUGUAGUCAAAUCUAGGUCUUGGUUCAAAGAGGAAAGAAAGGUGCAGUGGGUGGAGCAUGAAUCUAGGACGUGGUUCAAUGAGGAAAGGAGGUAGGAAAAGUAGUAUAGACUGGCUAUCUAGCCGCUUUGUUGGUCGAAAAGGGAAAAAGGGGGUAACCCAGUACACACAUCUGUAAGGAACCGAUCUCUUUUUUGAAAAGGGAAAGAAACUGGGGGGUCGGGUAGUUUGUGCAGGACUAGAUUUGCUACCCUCACAUAGGGAAAAUUUUCAAAGAGAACAAAUAUGGGACCAACACAGAUAUGCUGCUGGGCUACAUACUCUGCAUCACCCAUUUAUACGUGUGGAUGCACAUGGUGCUAGCAUGUCCCAUAUAGCUAUUUUGCUAUUGUUAAUCUAAGAAUGCCGCCGAAAAAUUGAAGCAAUGCCACUGUUAAAAGUAAAUUACAUUUUUUAACGAAUGUUGUUUCAAGAGAAUGUCUCUGUUAAUAUGAAUCAAUGCAACCGUUUUAUAAAUGCUACUAUCCUACUUUGUUUUCCAUCCAAGAUAAUUAGAUGCUUCUUUCUGUCACCGUUUAUUUCAUCCUUUAUCGGCAAGUAAUUGUUUCCUUUUUUGCCUCUGUUAAAACAGGGGUAUCGAUUCAACUUGUUGCUAUUGCGACAUUUUGCUUCGCUACUCGAAUUACUUAUGUUUUAAGAGUGUUUUGUGCAGUUCAACUUCAAUGUCACACCGAUGACUUUGCUUAAUUUUGGUGGAACUGCACAAAAGGAGAUCGAGAUUUGUUUCCAGUCUUCGUGGCGAGUUGUUUCAAAUCUUGGUCUCAACCACAUGAUGUACAGUGUGCUUUGAGAUGUUGUGCUACUGGUUUUGGUACUGUUUUAAAUAAAUGUUGACUUUAAGCUAUUGUAUUGCUGUCUUUUCCCAUUAACUAGUGAACAAAAAUGGGACCAACCCAGAAAUGAUGCUUGUUGCUUUGUUAUAACAAAUUCAGCAUCACCCCCUUUAUAAGCCAGUAAUUGAUGCCACUCUCAGAAUUAACUACUGAAUCUUAUUUCAAAACUGCAACACUUGUUAGGGAUUGGCGGGAUUACCAUUUUUGUGGUCGCAUGUUUCAUCCUCCUUUAUUAGCCAGUAAUUGAUUCCUUUUUUGCCUCUGUUUAAACAGGGAUAUCUAUUCAACUUGUUGCUAUUGCAACAUUUUUCUUCACUACGCGAAACACUUUGCUUGAUUUCAGUGCAACUUCACAAAACGAGAUUGGAUUUCCUAUUCGUGUUGGCAGAUUCGUAUUUUAUCUUGUCUGUCUCAUGAAAGGUUAGUAUAGGCCUUCAUCCAUAUGAUUAUGCAGUGUGCUUUGAGAUGUUGUCCUACUUGUAUUGGUACUGUUUUAAAUAAAUGUUGAAUUGAAGCUAUUGUAUUGCUCUCUUUUCCCAUCAAGUAGUGAACAAAAAUGGGACCAACCCAGACAUGAUGCUUGUUGCUUUGUUACAACAAACGCUACAUCACCCCCUUUAUAAGUAGAUGGAAGCACAUAAUGUUGUUGCGCCCACUCUCCCCUGGAACUGUUUAUGCUUUUCGUUAAUCUAAUGCCGCUGGUAAAAUUCAGCAAUGCCACUCUCAGAAUUAAUUAACUACUGAAUCUUAGUUCAAAACUGCAACACUUGUUAGGAAUGGUACUAUCCUACUUUGUAGUUCUUUCUACAUGUUUAACCAAGGUAUUGUUAAGAUAAUGUCUCUGUUAAAAUGAAUCAGUUUCAUUGUUUUAGGAAUGGUACUUUUCUGCUUUGUCAUUCUUUAUACGUGUUGAAACAAGGCAGUGUUAAGAUAAUGUCUCAGUCAAUAUGAAUGAAUCACACUGAUGGAGAAUUGCUACUCUCCUGCUUUGUUUCCCAUUAACAUAUAUAAAGUAGAUCAGUAGAUGUUUUUCUUCUGGGAGUACAAGUCAUCAACCGUUAUUUCUCAGUAAUUGUUUCCCUUAUACCUAUUGUUGCUUACAGGGAUAUCAAAAUUAAAACUUGGUUUUAUUCCGACUUUGAUUUUAGUUGAACUGCACAAAAGGAGCCAAUGUGUCCAAGGCAAACUGCUGAAUUACUGGGUCUAGUUGGUCGUUCCACUUUGUAGAAAGAAGCAGUCACUGUUUGCGCUACAUUACAUAAGGAAUGACCGAGAUGCUUUACAGAGUAUUAUUAGACACCGGUGACCUGACUAGUCUGCAUAGACCAUUGGCAAUUUAAUAACACGUGGAGUGCCCUAGGCAAAAAGUGCCCAAACAAGUACAAGAAGCUACGACAGGACUCGACGAUCAUAGGCAUUACAUAUUUUGAAUGGGAAAAGCUUGUCAAAGUUUAAUCAUUGAUGUUACCUAGAAGACAUUAGUUUAAUAUAUUGGAAUUGGAAAACCUUGUCAAAAUUUGCUCAUUGAUGUUAGCCAGAAGACAUGCAUUUGAUAUUUUUGAGUGGUACGCCCUUGCUGUGAGCAGCGUCGAGUGUUUUUUCCUAUUCCUGUGUUCAGUUUAGAAGUAAAUAGGUACUCUGCUGAGAUAUUCCUGUGUUAAGAAUUUGUUCUUAAUAUUGUCUAUGUAAUGCCAGGCAUUGUGUUUGAUUGCACAGUUGAGCUUGGAAUGUUAUGGCAUGCGGCAUCACGAGUUGUUCACCGUGCCUCCUGAGAAUAAUGCUUCAUAUUGUUUUGCAUGUCGAUCUAAUGCCAGUGAUUUGCUUGUUAAGAAGAUCAUCCUCUUCUGUUGUUUUCGUGCUUAAAAAGUUCAUCGUCUGAUGUUUCAUUCAUAGCCUAUACGACAAGUCGGGUAGGUUAGACGUGAAACCAUAUGAUCUUCCGACCAACUCAUGAUAUUAGGCCGUGAUUGGAUCGUCGUUUUCCAACCAAAACCGCUUGUAAAACUGACGCUUGUAAAUUAAAGCAGAUGGUCUUGGGCGAAGGCGCUUGGUUGGUCGAUUUGACUAGUAAAAUAUUCGAAGUACUUCACACACGAUAAAAACGCUGAACGAUACUCAGAGAUUGCUAAUCCAGCCGUUAGUUGUUAUUUCAGACUUGCCCAUCGAUGGCAUGAUACGCACGUCAUACAUGUAUCAUCUGGUAAUGUUAUCCAUAUACCAGUGCUCGUAAAAUAUACACUGGUCUCUCAAAUUACACGCAUAACCCGCCGGUUUUACUUACAGACCUCGGGCCCUCGGCUUCAUUAUGCCUGUAUUUUACGCGUUGUUUCCGGUGACAAGUAAAUUACACUUGUAUGUUAAUACAGGUUUGAAAUAAACCAGAGCUCCCAAGCGCGGCCUUACUGUUUCAUGCCGUCUCAGUUUCUUGAAGGUGCUCAUAGGUGUCCGAUAAUCCUAGCUUCCUGAAUGAGCAGCGGGCGCUAUAUCAGACCAUCCGUAGGGCCCGCGAGGCCCUCUCCGUUGUCCUUCGAGUUGUUGCGCUCGCCGUGGCACCGAGCAUUGUUAACAUCAUCAACGAACAUGAGGAUUCAGGAGAUGACUUUAUUUUGACUGGAUGACACUAGGGACCCACUAGGGCCAUAGCCGUACGUACGCAAGUGCCUCCUUAUUAUGUACAAAUAUAUUUUUUGCUUUCUCCUGGUUUCCUGACAUCAGGUCCCACACCAUUGUCAACCUAUGUAGUCAAUAUGAACGAGAGAAUUGCACAAGGUGCGGCUGACAGCUGGGACCAAGCUGCUCGAGCAGUAUUUGUGUUUUUUAGGCGUGAGCACUGUAGAGUUUUUCUUGGCGAUGAUUUUGUUGUUGUUCAGAGGAGAGUAGGGUAUUAACUGGACGGGCUGUGACCCGUCUAGCCCAGGCCAGAUAUCCAGCCCAUAUACUAAUCUUUUCAAGAUGAAAAUGGCUAGCCCAGCUAUACGUCUUUUUGAGGAAUACCCAGGCAAGGUCAACUUGUUAUUCUCUGCCCCGCUGGGCUGUAAAUCUUUCCUAGGAGGGAUGCAUUAGGCUUAACAGGAAAAUGGGCUUUAAAAAUAAUAAAUGGGAUGUAAUUAUAAAAACUGGGCAGUAACUAUAAAAAAAUUCACCAAACACGAAAUUAGUUUAUAAAAUAUUAUUUAUGCAUUUUGAAAAUCUUAAAUUUUCAUUGUUGCGCACGCAUUGUUUCAUUCAAUUUUUACGUAAUACAAAUUUAUAUUUAAUAUGACUAGAAAUUUCGGGAUAAAAAUAUUUCGGAUCCCAUCAAAAUGUGGGAAAUUUUAUUGAAUUCUGUCUUCAACGGUUGGUUGAAAUUAUUAAUCGUUCCUAGCUAGAAAAUAGGCUGUACUUUUAACAAACUGUAAAUGGGUUGUUGUAAAUUCCAUUAGAAUUCAAAAAUGGGUUGUACAUUCGUACAAAACGCAAAUGGGCUAUAAGUUCUCUUCCACACACUUGUGGGCCUACUAAGUGAUGCGUCCCCUAAAAAAAUAAGUUGACGCGUAUGCAAGGCUUUGUCAACUUAUUAUAGUCAACACAUGGUUCUAGCAGCAGUGGCUGUUGGAUGUCUAUCCAAUGGAUGUCGCGCUUCUUCUUCAAUCUCGAAUAUUCUUAGCAUCGGCCGCCCAAAAAAUGAUUCCUCCCCCUAACAUCUGGGGUGCACCGUUUCGGAGGCUGACCUGUGGGCCUACUUAGUUGGAGCGUACCAAGGGCUUUAUCAACUUAGUCAAUAUAAACGAUUCUAGCUUCAGUGACCGUACGAUGUCCAUCCAACGGCCGUAGUGCUUCUUCAACCUCUGGUCUUCUUGGUCCAGCCGCCCCAAGCAGCGCCAGUCGUGCCGCUUGAUCCUACCUCCCAUGGCCGGCUGUGCUGCCGCGGAGGCCUCACCGCCUCCAUACUACUCCCACCGCUGGCCAGGCCAUCCCUCCACUCACCCACACCCCCUGUUAUUCUACGGCGAUGGUAGCCUCACACCACAACCGAACCAGUGAACCCUCGUACUCCUCUUCGCGCGGGCUUCCAAUGCUGCGUCUGCCCCGGCUCCGCGUCGUCCCCUUCCUAGGCCUCGCUGUCGUCCACCGCCCUGGUGCUCUCGGUGUGGCGUGGUCAACGUGGUCAACGAUCGACUUCCAUCGGAAGAGUAUUGUACGUGGAGAGGCUGACAUCUGGGUCCACGGCGGCCGCAAGGAAGUGCCUCCUUAUUACGCGCAAAAUAAUUAUUCCUCCACCUGACAGCAGGGACCCACCGGACGAGCCACCUUAUUUCGUGAAAAAAACAUUUCCCCCUGACUGCUGGGACCCACCAGACGGGCCACCGUAUUUCGUGAAAAAAACGUUCCCCCCACUGUUAGCUCGGACCCACCGGAAGUGCCUCCUUAUUACGCAGAAAAAAAUGAAUACUCCCCCUGCUAGCUGGGACCCACCUUGGUGUGAGGCUGACUUGUGGGCCUACUAAGUUGACGGGGACGGAAGGCUUUGUCAACUUAGUCAAUAUGAACGAUUCUAGGUCAAGUGACCGUACGAUGUCCAUCCAACGGCCGUAGUGCUUCUUCAACCUCUGCUCUUCUUGCUCCAGCCGCCCAAAGCAGCGCCGGUCGUGCCGCCUGCUCCUGCCUCCCGUGGCUAGCUGUGCUGCCGCGUAGGCCUCAUCGCCCCCUACUAUUCCCACCGCUGGCCGGGCCCUGCGGCGACGGUAGCCUCACACCGCAGCAGAACGAGUGAACCCUCAUACUCCUCUCUGCGUGGGCAUCCACUGCCGCGUUUUCAUCGGCUCCGCGUCGUCCCCUUCCUAGGCCUCGCCGUCGUCCACCGCCCUGGUGCUCUUGGCGCGGCGUGCUCGACGUGGUGAAGGAAUGACUUCCAUCGGACGUGGACUGUACGUGGAGAGGCUGACAGCUGGGUCCACGGCUGCAGCAAGGAAGUGCCUCCUUAUUACGCGGAAAAUAAUGAUUCCUCCACCUGACAGCAGGGACCCACUAGACGGGCCACCGUAUUUCGCGAAAAAACGUUUCCCCCCUGACUGCUGGGACCCACCAGCUACACCUUCGCACGCAAGGAAGUGCGUCUGGCUAAAAAAAACAGUUCGCCCGCCUGACUGCUAGGACCCACCCGCUACAUCUUCGCACGCAAGGAAGUGUGUCCAGGCAAAAAAAACCCAAAACGAUUCGCCCCCCUGGCUGUUGGGACCCACCAGCUACAUCUUCGCAGGCAAGGAAGUGCCUGACAGUUGGGCCCACCUGGUCGAAGCGUACUUAGCGUUGUCAUUCUAGUCGCGAACAUGUACGUACAUAUAUACUGGUGGAUGUAGAGGCAAGCACGUGUCGUAGUAGAGGCGCGCACGUAGCAUGCACACGUAUGUACAGCGGCCAGGGUGCAAGAAAGAAAAUACGGCCACGUAUGUGUACAUACGGGCAGGGUCUCGAACGCCUACUCACGUAUACAUACGGCGAGGGCUCGUGUACAUGACUGCGUCAGAACAGAGAAACAACGUCAUCGUCGUGUUGAUGGGGAGGCAACGGAAUGCGUUGUGUUCAUGGGGAGGCAACGGAAUGCGUCAUUUUCAUGGAGAGGCAACGAAAUGCGUCGUAUUCAUCGGGAGACAACGGAAUGCGUGGGAGCCAACCAGCUGGGUCGGAAUGGAAUGCGUGGUCGUGUUCAUCAGGAGGGCUUGGACGGAACAGGCGAUGGAAAUGAAGGCUGGCAUACCGCAAAACGGAGGAAAUGGACCUCCUACGUUCGGAACGGGGGUCCUAUUGAUCGGGAGGGGUGUGUCGUACCGAAAAAUGGAGGAAACGGACCUCCUAUGGUCGAAACAGGGGUCCUGUUGAUCGGGAGGGGUGUGGCGUACCGCAAAACAGACGAAACGGACCUCCUACGGCCGAAGCGGGGGUCCUGUUCGUCAGGAGGGGUGUGGCGUACUGCAAAAUGGGACUCCAUGGGAUACUGUUCAUCUCCACCGUCGACCUCCUCCAGCCUCCACGGGUUACCGUCGACCUCCUCCAGCAUCCACGGGCUCCUGUUCAUCCAGCCUCCACCGUGCGCUACUCCACCGGCUACUGUUCAACCAACCCUCCAUGGGCACCCCUCCACCGUCUAUUGUUCAUCCAACCCUCCACAACACGAGGUCCUAUUCAACCACCCCUCCACGGGCACCCCUCCAUCGUCUACUAUUCAGCCAGCACUCCACCACACCAAGGGGUCAUGUUCAUCCAGAGGCAACGCCACCGGUCACUGUUCAUCCAACCCCCCCCUCCCCGCAACGCUCACUGUAAAUCCCAAAGGCAGCAUCGAUCGACUUCAGUUAGCAGCAGUAGCAAAGGAAUCGCUCGAUCAGGUUCAGUUAAUAGCCAUCGAUCGAUCCCUCGGGUUCAGUAACACGUAACCUGCGGUGCAAUCGCUCGGGUUCAGUUAGAGCCCAACGCCUCACUCGGGUUCAGUUAGAGCCAACGCCUCGCACACACGCGCGUACGUGUACGAGAGAAAUGCGCAUCGCUCAGCCCCCGACUUCCCAACGUAACCGGGAACUCCCCAAAAUUGUCCUCCCCCUCGCUUCUACCACUGUUUUUUCCGUCAUGGACGGCCCAAAGAAUGUCAUGGAGCUGGGUCUUCGGCCCGCCCAGGACGAAAAGCCAAUUUUCUGUCAUGAUUUUUUGUCAUAGAAGUAGGAGCCCACCACAUCUAUGAUGAUACCGGGUUUUGUCACAAUUAUCGUCAUAGAAGUGUCAUAUGUAUGACAGAAGAAAAAUUCGUUCGGCCCAAAAUGUCACGGAUGUGUCUUUUUUUUGUAGUGUGAUUUGUAUAUCUCCAGCCAAUUUGCAGUCCAUCGAUUAUUCCAUUGCCAUCUCAUGGCCUUGGCAUGGAGGAACUAUGCCACAUGAUAAAGCAGUCCUGAUGUAAUCUCUCUGGCCUUCUCAGCAUUCUCCAUGCCUGUUCCUAGCCAUGGAUAUCUGCCGGCACCAACCAGCACACAAACUGUAAGUAGAAAAAGACGAUCGAGGGUUAUGGUUAUAGGGAUUUAGACAUAGUUUUCUUAUGUUUUAGAUCCGCUGAGGAUGUUGUUACAGUGAUUGAACAUACGUCUGGCUACCUAUAUGCUCAACACAGGGUGGUGCAUAUUUGAUUCCAUCAAUAAUUUAACGCACUAACCGACAUUGAAUCUUUGUUUCUCUUUUGUUCUUUUUUACAUCCUUCGCUAGUUCUUGCAAUCUUCUAAAUAAGUCACAUUCAGUUGGUCACUGUUUGUUCACAGAGUUCUUUCAUGAUCAGUAGAAACUUGAUGUGUGUUGACAUUGGCAUUGGUGGCCCAAAAUAAGGACAUGAAUAUGUUGCAUUAAACUUCUCUCCUUGCCAUCGAUGCUCAUAUUUGCGCCUUGGGGGUGAUCUUGGUUUCUUUGCAUGGUUUGGCCGAUAAGCAUUCUUGUCUUCACUCUUCUUUUGAUAUUUAUCCAAUAGUUCAGUGAAGGUGAUUUUUAAUCUCUUACACUUGUGCUUAUUUCGGCCUUUGUUUUCCUUUUGUUUUCUUUCAUCGAUCAUUGGAGUUUCUUCUUGCCCUCUAGUCCUUAGCGUCUUCAUUGUAGCUUCGAUAGAAUUUUCACCCUCAAGAAUAUUAUCAUUGUGCUCUUAAAAGAUUUUCCUACCUGAAAGCUUAAUCCCAUUCUCUAUAGUUUUUACCUUCUCAUGCUUAAAUAGACCAGCAUGAAGCAGCCGAUGCAAAAACUAUUUACCAUCUGGACCAAUUGGAAUAGACUGGUCAUCUCUUGGUGUCUCAACAAAUUUGAACCGUCCUUAUCAAUGGCCGAUUUAACUAUUUGAUGAAACAUAUUGCAAUCCUCGAAAUUAUGUUUGAACGAAUGAUGCAAUCUACAUCACAUUCGUCCUUGGUUUGAUGGCUUGACGUGGUGAUCAAGAAUUCAAAUGUAAUUAUUUUUCAGCAACAACUCAAAUAUUUGAUCACACAUGCUUGAAUUGAAGGUUAACCUUAUAUUUUCUAGACGAUCUUGUUGUGAGAACGGCUUUAGAGGUAAGCACACAAAUGGUUCAGAUUUGGAAUCUCCCCAUUUGGCUAUGAAUUUUCUUUUGCAUUCUUUUUACGAUGUCAUUGGAUAACAUAUUAUACUAGCAUCCAUUUUCUCAACAGGAUCUAAACUUGACAUUAUGUUUCUGAAACAAAAAUAGUUAGAACACACAUGUUUCAAUUGAGACGAAAAGCAUGCCAUGUAAGAAAUAAGGAAAGCUACCCAACUAGAUAUGAAGUUUAGAUAAAGCAAUGGGGAAAGCCUUGGCUAUAACAAUUAGUCACUCUCGGUCUAUAUAAAUGGCGCAAUGGGUUGACCGAUAUGCUCUAUAACAAUUUUAUCGCUUACAAGUAAAUUACCCUUCUUCACUGGUCUUUCAAAGUUACUUAUUAGGAUUUUUUCUAAUAGAUGCAUCAACAAUAAAGUUGUGACCAAAUAUGAAAACAAGUAAGUUAAUUGAUAGACAUACCUCUUCAAAUUUAUUGGAAGAGCAUGAUGGUGGUGUGACUUGAACAAUAUCUUGCUCCGUCUUUGGAUGGCUCCCCAACGCCUUUUGAUCAUAAUCUUUAUUCUUGAUUCCGUGCAUUAUUACAUCGAAGAUCUUUGUCAGCCGAGCUUUUUCGGCUACUUGUUCUUGUCCUCAAGGCUUGUCAAUUUCUACGGCAAGGAACUCAUAGGGCAGGAAGUAGGUUCCAUUAACUUUAGAAAAAUCAGGCACAACUGUUUUCCUAUGCUUGCGAUGACCUUUCUCAAUAAUGCUUGCCUAUUCGGAUUUGAUGGAUUCAGAAUAUACACUACUUGAUUCGGGGUUUUCAACCGAAGCAUUUUCAUGUUACGAAUCAUCCUUCUUUUCAUUGACUCUACCAAUUGGCAAUGCUUCUUUUAUAUAUUUGAGCCAAUUAUUUUUCUGUUUGUUUCUGGUAGUGUGCGGCAAAAUUGGCUUUAAGCUGUUUCUCAAUUUCAGCCGACUCUGGAUAUGAUUGCCCCCCAAUGCUUUUAGAUUCUUUCGGAAUGACACAUGAGUGUUGCCAAAACAUUGCAAUUGCAUGGGGGUGUAUAAUAUUUGUGCAGUAUAACCGCACCUAAUCCCUGCUCUCUCACGCCAUUUGGCUUUGUGGCUAUUUGUUUUGCUGAUUUAACCAUUCCUGGCUGUCAGAUCUACUUGAUGUAGCAUCAUGGCCCAAUUCCUAUAGCAUUCAGGCCCAACUAUCCUAAGGGGCUGCUACUCUGGAAGAAAAAACUGAGGCCUCUUGUUAAUUGGGCCACUUGAGGCAGCCCAUUUAACCUUCCUGACUCCAAUCUUUCGAUGGCUCGCUGCAGCUGUCGCUUGUACGUAAAAAACAAAUGUGAGGUCAAUAGGAUGUGUUGGACUCGAAUAGAGGAGGCGCUCGAGGGAGCCAGGCACGCGAGGGGACCGAGCGGUGGCGAAGCAAGAUGAGUCGAGCGACGGGAGCCGAGGCACGCUAGUGGAUCCGCCGUCACGCGGUUCAGCCGAUGCGUGCGAGGGGAACCGAUCCAACCUAUGAGGGGAUCCAGCGGAUGUGCGGGAUUCAGAUGAAUCAGGAGGACGUGAGGCAGUCAUCAGAGAUGAAUUGGGUUAUUUUGUAGCUGUAGCAACAUGUUCGUGCCACAUGUUUCUGAUGUAGCUACUGCUGAAGCAAUUGCUCUCAGGAAUGGUAUUAAUUUGGCAGCUCAUGUGGGAUGCUUGAGGAUAGAUGCUGAGUCAGAUUGUGAACUUGUGAUCAAUGCAGUAAAAGAUACUUAUAGAUUCAAUGGUUCCCAAGCAACAAGAAUUAUUGAAUGCGUUCAACUCUCUUGUGACUUCGGACAGGUGAAAUGUUCUUUACGCAACCGAGAAGCAAACAGUGUAGCAGAUGCUUUGGCUAAGCAAGCAUAUAUGCUGAAGAAUUCUUCUGUUUGGGAAGAUGAUCGGCCCAAUUUCAUUUCCUCUUUGAUUGUAAAUGACAUUGCUAUUGUCUGAGAAAUGAAAUCUUUACUUUGUCAAAAAAAAUAUUAUUUCUCCCCAAUUAUUUGCUCAUCAUUGGAAUUGUUCUCAAAGUUGAUAAAAUUUACCCCAUGCAACAGACAAAAAUAUUGAUCCGCUUGCACUUUCAAUCAGUAAUUUGGACCAAAGUGUCUGGUCUGAACCAAAGUGCCUCUUUCUAGAUGCUUAAGAAAUGACACUUCAAAAUAUGACUGACCGUUUCGUAAAGAAAACAUGAUCGAUCAUGAUCUAGAAGCCUCUAAACAAAACCAAGUUUGCCAAUUGGAACUGGAAAAAUGAUGCAAAAUAAUGAACGCACCAGAAGGGGAGCUCAAAUCCAAGUUGUAUUUUGCGCCCAUCUUAUACUAUUUACUAAUUGGAGGCACCAAAUGAGGUUCCAUGUUAAUCCCGGUAGUUAGAAAAUUUGGACCAUUAGGUUUACUAAUGAUACAUCGAUGGCCGUCAGAUAAUGUCUUGAUGCACCUCUUCACGUGCGGGAAACAGACUCCUCUAUUUGCACCUCCUUACGUGAUACUUGAGAAUAUACUUUGGCUCCCAUUGUGUCGAAUCAAUAAAUUUGGGUUGAAUACUUUACCCUCGAAAACUGUUGCGAUCCCCUAUACUUGUGGGUUAUCAUUUACAAAAUCAUAUCAAAGAUGCUUGCAAAUAGAUUGAAAAGGAUCGUGCCUAAGAUUAUAUCACCCACCCAAAGUGCAUUUGUUCCUGGGAGACUAAUAACACAUAAUGUGCUAGUUGCUUAUGAAUGUUUUCAUGCAAUCAAAAAUAAAACACAUGGAUCGGCUGGCUUGUGUGCUGUAAAGCCUGACAUGCAUAAAGCAUAUGAUAGAGUCGAAUGGGGGUUUCAGAAGGCAAUGAUACAACAUAUGGGUUUUCAUGAACAUUGGGUUGAAUUGAUGAUGGAAGGCCGUUUCUCACCUUCUUUUUGCAAAUGAUUCAUUAAUUUGGAUGAAGGAAAAUUUGGCAAAUGCAAACACACUGAGAAAUGGUCUGCAUAUGUAUUGUCAGAGUUCGGUUCAAUUAGUCUCAAGUGCUAAAUCCAACAUUUUCUUGAGCCCAAAUAAUUCAAUGCUAGUAAGAUAGAAUAUUUGUAAUCAACUGUUUAUAUUUACUAAGGCCCUCAUUGAUAAAUACAUGGGGUUGCCUUCCAUGGUGGGAUUGAUAGGAGUGACUGUUUUCAACAUCUUGUUGAUCGGGUAUGUGAGAAUCUUAAAGGCUGGAAAGAAAAUAUGUUAUCUGUUGGGGCCAAGGAGACUUUGUUGAAAGUUAGGGCACAGGGAAUUCUCUCAUAUGCAAUGUUAGUGUUUAAUUUUCCUUUGAGAAUUUGCAAAGCUAUUAUUGAUGAGAUUGCAACCUUCUGGUGGGGAGAUGAUGAAGCUAAGAAAAAGAUGCAUUGGAUGGCGUGGUGGAAGAUGUGCAUUCCAAAGGGGAUAGGAGGUAUGGGCUUUAGGGACCUUCAUAGAUUUAAUCUUGCUAUGUUAGCAAAGCAAUGUUGGUGACUAAUCCAGAAUUCAGAAUCUUUUUGUGCCCGCGUUGUCAGUGCAAAAUACUUCCCAGAUGGUGAUAUUCUAAAUGCAUGGUCAAAGGGUUGUUCUUAUUAUAGAUGGCAAAUCUUUGUGCAGGCAUCCAAACCUUUAAACGGGGGUGUAUUUGGAGAGUGGGAACAGGUCGGGAUUAAGAAUUAAUCCGUGAUACAUUCUACCCUAUUGAUGUGCAUCACAUAUUUCGAAUCCCUUUGAAUGUCCAAGGAAUUGACGACUAUGUUGCAUGGCACUAUACAAAGUCUGGUACAUUCUCAGUUUGAUCUGCUUAUCAUAGGGAAUUGGAGCAUAAAUUUGGACAACGUAUGCCUGCGGAGGAUGGCCAAGGUCGAGCAAAUCCUAUCCCCAUUUGGGAUGACAUGGUGUCGGCUAAGGUUAAAAUUUUGCUCUAGAAAGUAUUACAUGGGAUCCUUCUCUGUAAGGUGUACUGGAAAACAGACAUGUUUUAAAACAAGCACAAUGUCCGACCUGUUUGAGGGGAACUGAUGAUAUUCAACACUGUCUUUUUAGCUGUAAGAGGGUUAAAUUUAUUUGGGAACAGUUGGAUCUAACAGAGAUGAUCAGGAAGGCCAUAUGUCGAGAUCGGUCGUGUUUUUUUAACUUGAAUCAAAUUACAAAAGAGAACUUAGGGAAGAGUAUUGGAGGUCUACAUAUACCCGAGCUUGUGGUUGCGGCAUCUUGGUAUCUUUGGUGGCAAUGUCGGCAGCUAAUAAAGGGUGCAUCAGUAUUGCCAGCAGAUAGAACAACAACAUCCAUCAGAGGAUUCUUCAAGUCAGUAUUCCGGGCUCAAAUCCUCCUCAUCUUCGUCAUUCCGAACAGAUUAGACAGAGAUCCCAUAUAGAUUCAUGCCAGCUCCUCGGAGCGGCAAGGUUAGGGUUUCUCAACAUGCGUACACAAUAGCGAGAUUUGCUGUGAUUUUCUUGAGAUCGAUUCACGGAUUCAAUGGCGACGACUGCGGCUCCCGAAUACUGGUCCUUAGGGGCACGUGCACGAAGACAUCCCGGCUGUCAUCGAUAAGGUUAGGUCGGAUCCGGUAUGGGAGCGGUGACAGUGAUGCGAGGCGGCUUGUUCAGCCGGCGGCAAUGGUCGUUCGGUUGUACAUGGACCACCAUGUAAUUUUUUUUAUGUUUCGGUGCUUUGUAUUUCUGAUGAAUCUUUAUAAUAAAUCUGAUAUUUUCGCAAAAAUAAAAACUAACUAGAUACUUAAUUUAUGUUUAUGUGUUUGGAUUGCUAAACCUCAGUCGACUAAAACUUAAUCAAAUCUCAGUGGAUGCUAUAUUCAUCAGAUCUUAUGUGGUGAUUCAUGCAAAAUUUUCGUUUUAAUUUUUAAUUUUUAAUUUUUAUAUGUUAUACGUCAUUUGACUGAGACUUGGUUAAGUCUCAAUCAACUGAGAUCUAGACACACCCUUUAUGUAUUUUUGGGCUAAGGACAUUUUUUUCCGUUGCAGCGCACAGACAUUUUUACUGCUUGGUAAAAAAGGAAUUAUAGAAUCCGUCGGACAUCUUGACGUACGAUGUUCUCAGCCACGGCCAGCUCCCGAAGCCACAAGCACGGCUUGAGCUUGACUGAGCUAUGGACGGAACAGGCGGGCGUGGCUUUCCAAUGGACAAGCGGGCUAGCGUUUAUAUAGCCGGCGCGAGAGUGCGGGAAGCGGUCACCUAAUUCUGACUGUGUACGUACUGCACCGUCGAAUCAGAUGCCGAUCAUCAUGCACGAGAGCGUGCGGCACUGUUGAGGUCGUGGGCGAUCAGGGCAUAGCUCUACUGUUUACACCCGUACCUUAGUGCAUCCAUGGUCAUUGAAUGCUAUUGCUGCCUCAUGGUAGCACCACGUACCGUUCUGUACCUGGAUGGUUACAAGUCUCGCUGGACUUCUCGACGUGGAUGCACAUAUGAACGGCGUACGUGCAGUCGUGCAUCCUUGGAUUUAAAAUAUUUUUUCGGAGUAUGACACACACUUACGGCGCAGAAAAUCAAAUAGCAUUUCAGCUUAUAAUUUGAGAGGGGGAGGCAGAUAGGCACCGGGGAAUAACAAGGUUGCUGUCCGGAACGAAAAGACGAUGCAUGUCUUGUUGUGCGCACGUGCCCUGCCGCUCAUGGCAUCGCCGGGUGGUCGCGGUCGACGUACCAUUUCCGGAUAGACGACGCCACGUGCCCGCAGAUGGUCGUCCGGCCGUAGAAAUUUUCUAUGGACCCGGGUUAACGGCAUCGCGGGCCAAGCCGCCCAGAGCAGCACGGCGGGCACAUGUAUGACCGGUCGUCUUAAUCAAUCCGCUGUCGCGCACCUUUCCGUGGAGGCAUGCGUACGAAUCGUAGAUGCCCUCGCCAAUGUAUAUCGAUUCGGUGAUAGACAUGAUUCUAUUCUGGAAUUGUGAAAUCCACCUCUCCAUUUUGACAACCCUUAUUGAUCUUCAUUAUCAGAAAAGGGCAAUGCCAGCAAGCCUUUUUUUCAACGCUAUCCUACCAUGUCACUCAUUCCCUGGACGAGCACGGUUCGCUUCCGUUCGCUUAAUGAUGACGUGGCCAUGACAUCCGUGUCCCGCAACAUGAUCACCGAGUCCGUCCUCAACUCCGAGCCCAUCCAGAUGCAACCGGUGCUAAGCCAGCUUUGGUGUAGCUCCAUUUACACCAACCUCUCCACACGUUGAUCCACUUCCGUGCACACCACCACAGCAUGGUAGAUCGUAGUGCCGGAGUUCUAGCGAGAUUUGUGUGCUUAAACAUGUGUGCAUAUUGUUGUGAGUAGCAGUAAAAUGUGAUGUUGCUUGUACGUAAUCUUAAUGUCUCACGUGUUUUUGUUUAAGUUGUUUUUUGCUUCUUUCUUUGGGUGUUCGGUGUCACCUUAUUUCCCUUUGUGUGCUCCCAUAGCCAUGAAUAUCUAGUAAAUGUUCCUAGACAGUAAUAGUGAUUAACCUCUUUAUGUAAUGUCUAUACGUAUGUUCAUUUCUGUAGAGUCGAGAUCUGGUGUACCCAUUGUUUGUCCCGAUUUCUAUGUUUUCUAGAUGGAUUUCUUUGUCUCUUGAUCAUGUAAGAUCAACGAGCACAUUCCUUGGCAUACUGGAAGCAUUUUUUUUUCUAUUUCUAUGUCUGUUAAAAUCCUAUGAAUCAACGAGAAGCAGUUAUCAUACCAAUGCAAACAACAAGUGACGAGGCUAUGCCCAAUUUUUUUUAAUACACACAAAAAGGUCAAAUACACAGCAAAUGCCAUUCAUCGGACAUCAUUCUUCGCUUUAUUUAAUUAUUUCUCCAUCAUGAAAAUGGUCUUACACUUAAGGCCUAGGUACUUGCCGUGGGUGGGGGUGGUAGCUUUAUUUCCGGAACAUGAUAACCUGCAAAAUUUCAUUCUUCACAUCAUAAUGAUGAACAUGAGAAAUUAUAUAAAGUUUUAUUUGUGUGUGCGCGCGCAAAUAUGACAAUAUACCAACCUGCACAGUGAGUGUCUGUGUGCAACCCAUUGCCGCAUACAUGUGUAGCCAUGGCAAACUUGGCUAGACUGAGCAAAGUCAGUUCGUGAGCGGUGAACCGAUCACAGAUGCAGUGGAUGUCUUUCGCAUCUCUUAUUGUAUUGCAACAUGCGCUAUGGAGUGGCGGGUACUGGUCACCAAGUUUCUUCUCGAUGUGAUGCCAACAAUCUCGCAUCACCUUUUUUUAUCAAGGCGGCAAUGAUCUAUGUCAUUGGCUGCACGUGCAUGGAGCGAACAAGAAGAGGCAACCACAAGGACUAGGAAGCAUAACACUCCAGCUACUUUUGCGUUGUUCAUGUUCUAUGUUGUGUAGAACUAUUGGUAUGUGUUUAUGCAGGACUUCUGUGCCACUCAGUCUCUAUAUAUAGUGGUCAUAGUGAAGUUUUUAGACUCCAUUUGCUCAUCAAUCGCUUAAUUGGUCUCUUUUAACUAAGUGAGAGAUAUAUGACUCGGAUAUGUUAUAAUUUAAUGUUUGCACAUCUAGAUCUUGUAUAAAGUUGUUGGCAAUGGAUGUGGAUGCAACCUAUUAAUUAUUGGCAGUGGAGUAGUUGAUUUCGAACUCUUAACAGAUAUGUGUACAUAACUUGGGUAUGUUGAUAAUUAAUGUAGGGACAUGUUUGGUCCUUGUAGUAUCACAUCGAUGGUAAAGGAUACUUCUAAUUAAAUAUAGCUAGGUGCAUCCAUUUCUUGUAUCAAAUUGAUGGUAACGGAUAUGUAGAUAAGCCUAUUUAUUUGUCUAUCUAUCUAUAUCUCUAUCUCUAUCACUAUCUCUAUCUCCAUCUCUAUCUAUCUAUCUAUCUAUCUCUAUCUCUAUCUAUCUAUCUAUCUAUCUAUCUAUCUAUUUAUCUAUAUCUAUAUCUAUAUCUAUAUCUUCUCUAUCUCUAUCUAUCUGUCUGUCUAUCUAUCUAUCUAUCUAUCUAUCUAUCUAUCUAUCUAUCUAAUACUAAUAACGGACUCCCUACAUAUUAAAACAUUAAUCAGUGAAAACAAGAAAUAGAAACCGGUGAUUUUAGCGGGCCUGAAUUACGACGGUUAUGAUCUAUUAAUAAAUCCCUUGGAUAUUUCAAUUGAAAAAUAGAACUUGGAUCUCACUUAGGGAAAAAAAGGAAAAGAUAUGAUGCUAUCUAAAUAAUCAUUUAGAUUUGAUACAUUAGCUGAGACGUCAUGCAAUUGUGAAAAUCAUGACCGUGUUUCUUUGUGACUAACCUAGAUACGACCUGAUUCGUAUAUCUCCAGCCAAUUUGCAGUCCAUCAAUUAUUCCAUUGCCAUCUCAUGGCCUUGGCUUGGAGGAACUAUGCCACAUGGUAAAGCAGUCCCGAUGUAAUCUCCCUGACCUUCUCAGCAUUCAUCAUGCCUGUUACUAGCCAUGGAUAUCUGCCGGCACCAACCAGCACACAAACUAUAAGUAGAAAAAGACGAUUGAGGGUUAUGAUUAUAGGGAUUUAGACAUAGUUUUCUUAUCUUUUAGAUCCACUGAGGAUGUUGUUAUAGUGCUGGAACAUACGUCUGGCUACCUAUAUGCUCAACACAUGGUGGUGCAUAUUUGAUUCCAUCAAUAAUUUAACACACUAACCGACAUGGAAUCUUUCUUUGUCUUUUGUUCUUUUUUAGAUCCUCCACUAGUUCUUGCAAUCUUCUGAAUAAGUCACGUUCAGUUGGUCACUAUUUGUUCGUAGAGUUCUUUCAUGGUCAGUAGAAACUUGAUAUGUAUUGACAUUGGCAUUGGCGGCCCAAAAUAAGGAUAUGAAUAUGUUGCAUUAAACUUCUCUCCUUGCCAUCGAUCCUCAUAUUUGCGCCUUGGAGGUGAUCUUGAUUUCUUUGCAUGAUUUGGCCGAUAAGCAUUCUUUUCUUUACUCUUCUUUUGAUAUUUAUCGAAUAGUUCAGCGAAGGUGAUUUUUAAUCUCUUACACGUGCGCUUAUUUCGGUCUUUGUUUUCUUUUUGUUUGCUUUCAUCGAUCAUUGGAGUUUCUUGUUGCCCCCCAGUCCUUAGCGUCUUCAUUGUAGCUUCGAUAGAAUUUUCACCCUCAAGAAUAUUAUCAUUGUGCUCUUAAAAGAUUUUCCUACCUGAAAGCUUAAUCCCAUUAUCUACAGUUCUUACCUUCUCAUGUUUAAAUAGACCAGCAUGAAGCAGCCGUUGUAAAAACUGUUUACCAUCAGGACCAAUCGGAAUAGACUGGUCAUCUCUUGGUGUCUCAACAAAUUUGAACCAUCCUUAUCAAUGGACGAUUUAACUAUUUGAUGAAACAUAUUGCAAUCCUCGAAAUUAUGUUUGAACGAAUGAUGCAAUCUACAUCACAUUCGUCCUUGGUUUGAUGGCUUGACAUGGUGAUCAAGAAUUCUAAUGUAAUUAUUUUUCAGCAACAACUCAAAUUUUUGAUCACACAUGCUUGAAUUGAAGGUAAACCUUUUAUAUUCUAGACGAUCUUGUUGUGAGAAUGACUUUAGAGGUAAGCACACGAAUGGUUCGGAUUUGGAAUCUCCCCAUUCGGCUAUGAAUUUUCUUUUGCAUUCUUUUUCCGAUGUCAUUGGGUAACAUAUUAUACUAGCAUCUGUUUUCUCAAAAGAAUCUAAACUUGACAUUAUGUUUCUGAAACAAAAAUAGUUAGAACACACAUGUCUCAAUUGAGAUGAAAAGCAUGCCACGUAAGAAAUAUGGAAAGCUACCCAACUAGAUAUGAACUUUAGAUAAAGCAAUAGGAAAAGCGUUGGCUAUAACAAAAAGUCACUCUCGGUCUUUAUAAAUGGCGCAAUGGGGUCGACCAAUAUGCUCUAUAACAAUUUUAUCGCAUACAAGUAAAUUACCCUUCUUCAUUGGUCUUUCAAAAUUACUUAUUAGGAUUUUUUUCUAAUAGAUGCAUCAACAAUAAAGUUGUGAUCAAAUAUGAAAACAAGUAAAUUACUUGAUAGACAUACCUCUUCAAAUUUGUUGGGAGAGCAUGAUGGUGGUGUGACUUGAACAAUAUCUUGCUAUGUCUUUGGAUGGCUCCCCAACGCCUUUUCAUGAUAUUCCUUAUUCUUGAUUCCGUACAUUAUUACAUCAAAGAUCUUUGUCAGCCGAGCUUUUUCGGCUACUUGUUCUUGUCCUUGAGGCUUGCCAUGACCUUUCUCAAUAAUGCUUGCCUAUUUGGAUUUGAUGGAUUCAGAAUAUACACUACUUCAUUCAGGGUUUUCAACUGAAGCAUUUUCAUGUUACGAAUCAUCCUUCUUUUGAUUGACUCUAGCAAUUGGCAAUGCUUCUUUUAUUUGAGCCAAUUCUUUUUCUGUUUGUUUCUUGUGGUGUUCGGCAAAAUUGGCUUUAAGAUGUUUCUCAAUUUCAGCCUACUCCGGAUAUGAUUGCCCCCCAAUGCUUUUAGAUUCUUUCGGAAAUGGCACAUGAGUGUUGCCAAAACUUUGCAAUUGCACAGGGGGUGUAUAAUAUUUGGGCAAUAUAACCGCACCUAAUCCCUGCUCUCUCACGCCAUUAGGCUUUGUGGCUGUUCGUUUUUGCUGAUUUAACCAUUCCUGGCUGUCAAAUCUACUUGAUGUAGCGUCAUGGCCCAAUUCCAAUAGCAUCCAGGGCCAACUGUCCUAAAGGGCUGCUACUCUGGAAGAAAAAACUGAGGCCUCUUGUUAAUUGGGCCACUUGAGGCAGCCCAUUCAACCAUCCUGAGUCCAAUCUGCCGAUGGCUCACUGCAGCUGUCCCUUGUACCUAAAAAAAUGUGUGGUCAAUAGGAUGUGUUGGACUCGAAAAGAGGAGGCGCUCGAUGGAGCCAGGCACGUGAGGGGAUCGAGCGGUGGCGAAGCAAGAUGAGUCGAGCAACGGGAGCCGAGGCGCGCUAGUGGAUCCACCGUCACGCGGUUCAGCCGAUGCGUGCGAGGGGAACCGAUCCAACCUAAGAGGGGAUCCAGCGGAUGCGUGGGAUGCGGAUGAAUCAGGAGCAAGUGAGGCAGUCAAGAGAGAUGAUUUGGGUUAUUUUGUAGCUGCUGCAACUGUUCAUGCCACACGUUUCUGAUGUGGCUACUGCUGAAGCAAUUGCUCUCAGGAAUGGUAUUAAUUUGGCAGCUCAUGUGGGAUGCUUGAGGAUAGAUGCUGAGUCAGAUUGUGAACUUGUGAUUGAUGCAGUAAAAGAUACUUAUAGAUUCAAUGGUUCGCAAGCAACAACAAUUAUUGAAUGGGUUCAACUCUCUUGUGACUUCGGACAGGUGAAAUGUCCUUUACACAACCGAGCAAGUAGUGUAGCAGAUGCUUUGGCGAAGCAAGCAUAUAUGCUGAAGAAUUCUUCUGUUUGGGAAGAUGACCCCCCUAAUUUCAUUUCUUCUUUGAUUGUAAAUGACAUUGCUAUUGUCUGAGAAACGAAAUCUUUCCCCUGUCAAAAAAAAAUAUUUUUCUCCCCAAUUAUUUGCUCAUCAUUGGAAUUGUCCUCAAAGUUGAUAAAAUUUACCCCAUGCAAAAGACAAAAAUAUUGAUCCGCUUGCACUUUCGAUCAGUAAUUUGGACCAAAGUGUCUGGUCUGAACCAAAGUGCCUCUUUCUAGAUGCUUAAGAAAUGACACUUCAAAAUAUGACUAACCGUUUCGUAAAGAAAACAUGAUCGAUCAUGAUCUAGAAGCCUCUAAACAAAACCAAGUUUGCCAAUUGAAACUGGAAAAAUGAUGCAAAAGAAUGAACGCACCAGACGGGGAACUCAAAUCCAAGUUGUAUUUUGCGCCCAUCUUAUACUAUUUACUAAUUGGAGGCACCGAACGAGGUUCCAUGUUAAUCCCAGUAGUUAGAAAAUUUGGACCAUUAGAUUUACUGAUGAUACAUCGAUGGCCGUCAGAUAAUGUCUUGAUGCGCCUCUUCACGUGCGGGAGAUAAACACCUCUAUUUGCACCUCCUUACGCGAUUAAAAAACUGAAAUAAAAAUCAGCGGGGAAGCACCUCUUCACGUGGAGGAGACAGACUCCUCUCUUUUCACGUCCUUAUGCAUGAUAAAAAAACUGAAAUAGAAAUCAGCAAAAAAACACGACCAUGUCUCCCAUCGCCGCUUCUUCUCCGCAAGCAGGUCUGAUCCCCUCGAUCUGCUGACCACCAAUCUCCCUCAUCUGGUCUUCAAGGCAGCUCCGACACCAUCUAUCUCCUUCCUCCGGCUACCUUAGAUAUUGCCUCCCCAAUUUAUUGAGGUAUCAGCCCCCCUCCAUGCUCACCACUUACUUAAGUAGGUCGGAAAAAUUGGCCACGCGUACAGCAGAAUUCAGCAGCAUGCGUUGCAUUGGAGAUGCAUGAGGAGAAUCGAGCUCCCUGCCCCUUUUUGCUGCGGGUAGGUAUAUGUUUUCUAUCUAAUCAACUAUUUUGUAUCUAUAUAACAUGGGACAAUAGCAACAAAGUAGAGUUAAAUCCUAUAGUUUUUACCAAUUCAACUAUUAUCCAUAAAAUUGUCCAUCCUUAGAUUUGAGUGGAACCCAAAAUUAAUACCAAUCUGGCUGCUAGAGUAUGCAAUUUAGUAAGGUUAGAUGCCAGUGGAAUUAAUUAGGUUAAUAUUCAAUCUGAUUCUACUAUGUACAGCCAGUUUGGUUUCAAUGUCAAUGGAAUAAAAUACUGAACAAAUGAAUGUCAGAAUAAUUUUAUAUGAAGACUAAAAAAUAUUCUCUCCUUGAUUUUAUUAUUUUGUUUCCAUAUCACACUGCACUGAAGAUAAAGAGCGGUGUGGGGACGUUUUAAUAACUCUGGGGGUUCUGGCUGAGGGCGAGAGAUCUUGAUGAAGAAUGUGUGCUAGAGCUCAGAUAUAGAGGGGUCUGCAUCAAUGAACACUUGCAGCAUAUAGUAUACAGCCGUGUGGAGUUUGUUCCAGAGGAAGUAGCAUUUACACACGUAAAUGUUGCUCUGUCGUAUAAGCAGUAGAAAAAGUGUUGGGACCGCCAUGUAUGGCUGUUUAGGGCAGACUGCUAGAUUAUGCAAUUUUAAAAAGGUUAGAUGGCAGUGGAAUUAAUUAGGUUUUUAUUCAAUCUGAUUUCUACUAUGUACAGCCAGUUUUGUUCCAAUGUCAAUGGAAUAAAAUGCUGAACACAUGAAUGUCAGUCUAAUGUUAUACGAAGACUAAAUAAUAUUCUAUCCUUUAUUUUAUUAUUUUGUUUCCAUAUCACACUGGACUGAAGAUAAACAGCAGCAUGGGGACGUUGUAAUAACUAUGGGGGUUCGAGCUGAGGGCAUGAGAUCUUUAUCGAGAAUGUGUGCUAGAGCUCAUAUACAGAGGGGUCUGCAUCAAUGAGCAUUUGCAACAUACAGUAUGGAGCCGUGUGGAGUUUGUUCCAGAGGAAGUAGCAUUUACACAAGUAAAUGUUGCUCUGUUGUAUAAGCAGUAGAAAAAGAAAUGUUGCGACCGCCACAUAUGCCUGUUUAAGGCAAACAAUAUAGCAUGAAGUGAGCAGUCGUGGACCCGGAAAAAGUUCAGGAAGGACAAUACCAAAAUCUAGGAGGUAUAGAGUUUUGUAUCUAUUUUUACUUUUGUAGAACUAUGAGAUAUAGAGGCCGGAUGUGGAAGUGGUUGUAUCACCUACAUACAUGACAAAAAUUACUAAAAGCUUCAACCGCAAAAAUAUGAUAUUAGUUCGCCGGCGCUAAAUCUUACUCCCUCAGUUCCUAAAUAUUGAGCAAAAUGAGUGAAUCCACACUCUAAAAUAUGCCUAUAUACAUCCGUAUGUGGUAGUCCAUUUGAUAUCUCUAAAAAGACAAAUAUUUAGGAACGGAGGGAGUAGAUAUGACGCUAAACUCUGAUAGAUCAAACUGAGUUGAUAUUUUUUUAUAUAUAUGGUGUCACACUCAUUUUCUUCUCUUAUGAACAUUAAUUUUCAUUUGUUCCUUUCUCAAAUUCUGCACACAUGGCCUAUAAACACAUGGUUUUCAAAACAAACUAAAUUACCAACUAUAUUUCCGAGCAAGCUUCUGGUGGUUUGUGUCCGGUCUGUGUGUGCAGUGCUAUUCGGGAGAAUAUUAGAAAUAACAUAAUGUGCUACCGAAAAACAAUAGUCGCUUUGAAAUUUCUGUCGUAAUUAUUCCAAUAAAACAUAUUUUAACUUUCACCAAAAUUGUGUGUACUGCUAUCUCUACUCCUAAUGUCUCAGUUGGUAGUCUCCGUUCCCGGUUAUAUUUCGACCCACCAUUUUUGCCCGGUUUUUUUCAUUGGUUUUUUUUCAUCAGGUUUUUUUCUUCUAGUGCUCCCUGUUGGUUUUCCCCUUCCGCAUCGCUCGAUCCAACUCCUCCCCCUCCCUCGGUCUCGCCUCUCCUAUCGCUCGAUGACGCUCGGUCCUCUCUAGGGUUCGCCGCCUGCCGCCGUAUCCCGCCGCCCUGCUCUGUUGUUGCCCCUCUCUCCGCCUGCCUCGCCCCUGCUCUAGAGUUCGACGCCCGCCGCCGUCCCACGCCGCCCUGCUCCGUUGUUGCCCGUCCCUCCGCCUGCCUCGCCCCCCUCCCCUACACUCACCCGUGCCCGAUCUGGAUCUGGAUGAGGCGUUGCCUCCCGUUCCUCUCAUCGCGUCCCUUGUGCCAGCCAUGGAAGAGGAGAGGAAGAAGGGGAGGGAGAGCACAGAGGAGGAGGAGGAAGAAUAAGAAGCUUAUCUGUAGAAUCAACCGAUCGAGCGGGGCUCUUGAUCUUGGCUAGCGAGAAUGCGGCAGAUCUCGUCGAUGCUGCAGGGCUUGGCCCGUUCCAUGUCUCUGGGAAAGGAGAGGAAGGUGGAGGAGGAGCACCAGGGGACGGUGAUGCGGUUGUCGGGGACGCUCUGGGGCAAGGGCUCCGAGACGUUCGCCGCCGCGUGCUCCCGCCGCGGCGAGAAGGGCACCAACCAGGACACCUCCAUCGUCUCGGAGGUGAGUUUGCCGCUACCCUGCUUCUUCCCUGCUUGCUCUCUAUUGCAUGCGAAUGAUUUUUUGCGCUGGUUAUCGCAACAUAUUACCGGUGGCGUGUAGUAGUCAAGAUCAGCAACACCACGUACUCUGCACGGAGCUUCUUGCCACACAAUUUAAUUCCCGCGUUCCAAACACAAAUUUCUGCUACUCGAGAGGCAGAAGAGGUUUUAAUUGUGGCCAAGACGAGCCGACGACACGGUCUCUGUUCCACAGAAAAUGGCGAGGGAACGUACAGCGUUGGGACUUGGGACUGGUCGCUGGCUUCUUCUUCUCAUUUAUGGCCACAGAAGAAAUGAAACAACUUUCAAGUGCUUGCCUUGCGUGUGCACGAAAUAGAAUAGAGAUUGGAUCCCAUCUCCCUCGGUUGUUCACCUAACCAUUUCUCUGAUAUUUUUGUGACUGAGAUGGUUAAAUUCGGUUUUGUUAGGCCAUUCAUUCACCAGAUUACGUGUUGCCUCUUGGGACAAUCCUGGAUCAUGUUGCUCACAAGUUUCUUGGAUAUGGCGCUUGCCUUUUGCGUCUAGGGGUUUCAGUCCGUAGUGUUAGAAGGGAGAGAGGGUCUAGUGGAAUAGUUCGUUGUAUUGCUUGAGCCUCGUGUGCAUAUAUAUAUAGGCGUACAAUCAUCUAUUUAGAGUACAAGACAAGCCAGAACAAAUCCUAGUCUAUCUCGUCUUUUCUAAUAAACAUUAUACUCAACAUCCCCCCGCAGUCACAACGGUAGCGAUGCAGUCGGUGAGACUGGAAAAGAAUCCGAAGGUAAGCCGACAGACACCCCCCCACAGUCGUAAUGGUCGACGCAUCGCGGAGUCGUGGCUGGAGUGGCAACGGACGAGGUUGCUCAAGCAAGGCGGUAGCCCUUUGUGCCGUUUGUCGAUGUAGCUGAGAGCGUGGGUGGUGGAGCCGUGGUCGAGGUAGCCGUGCGAAGAAUGCCGUGGUCGAUGUCGAGUCAGGGUGGCCGGUGCAAGGAAGUCGCCGUGGAGCCGCGGGCGCAAGAGGGCACCGAGUUAGUCAUGGGCACAGUGGUGUCGAAGUAGUGGUGCGCCGGGAAGAAGAUGUUGUUGACGACGCGUCGCGGCGGGUUUGCCAAGCCCGGGGACACAUCAUGGACGAAGGCACGCAUCGAUGUUCCCAGCACCAAGCAUGCGUAGACGGACGAAGACGAAGUACCGCACCAGGCUUGGCAGGUCCGGGGACACGUCGUGGACGAAGGCACGCCACGGUGUUGCCAGCACCGGACAUGCGUAGACUGGGACCUGCACGAGCUGUACGCCAUGUCGAAGAGGUCGGAGAGGCCAGCGGAGAAGGACUCGACGAUGGUAUCGGCGUCCAUCGGCGCAGGGCCGAUGUCACCAGCGGUGGUCGGAGUAGAGGAAGUGGUCGGGGUAGAUGACGACGACGCUGGCGAUAGGCUGGUGCUGGAUGAAGAAGAAGGGGUGGACGGGCGGCGGCGGCGGCUAUGUUGACAUAUAAUGUGCUGCCUAGUCUCUUCCAUCAGAUCGGUCUUUUGGUUGCAUUGCCUAGAGCAUGCACUUCUACAUGGUAUCGGAGCCAAGAGGUCUUGAGUUCAAGACCCGACUGGCGCAAUUAAAUUGCAACCCACUAUCGGUCCACGUUUAGGCCUGAGGGAGCCACACGUGAGGGAGAGUGUUGACGUAUAAUGUGCUGCCUAGUCUCUUCCAUCAGAUCGGUCUUUUGGUUGCAUUGGCUAGAGCAUGCAUUUCUACACGUAGGAGUAGUAUCUGCCAAAAAAGGGAUGGUACGUGUCUUGAUUUGCCGAGAAAACUUGUACUACGUACGUAAAAACGUUAUUUCCAACAUCUUCAUAGUAGGAUCAGAUGUGCUGAUUGUUUUUCAGACUGCAAAAAUCAUUGUAUUUCAUGAAUACUCCGUGUGACUACCCAUUUUUUUGUUGGAUAAAAAACAGACAAUUGGUUAUUUGGUUAUUCAUGUUUGUUCUCAAUUUCUCAUGUCUCUCUCUUCCCUGUCCAGGGAUACGGGUGCCAGGACGACGCCAUCUUCUACGGCAUCUUCGACUGGCACGACCAGUGGGGCCACUACGUCCCAAGGCCGUCCGGGAGUCGCUGCCGCAGUCGCUUCUGUGCCGCUGGCAGGAGGCCGUCACGCUGGCGUCACUCAUCGACGGCGAGAAGAGGCUCAUUGACUGCCAGUUCGACCUCGUGAGGAAGUCCUACCUGGCCGCCGCUGCAGCCGUGGACGAGGAGCUCCGCCGGAGCCGGCGCCUUGAUGCCAUCAACAACGGCUGCACGGCUCUGUCCAUCAUGAAGCAGAGCGACCUGAUGGUGGUCGCGAACGUCAGCGACUCGCGGGCCGUCCUUGCGACCACGUCGGACGACGGGGACAUCACGACCGUCCAGCUCACCGUCGACUUCAAGCCCGACUUACCCCGUAAGUCAUCAUGACAAGACUAGAAGAUGGACAGUCCAUUCCUGACACGGCAAUUGCUCCCCCACGUUCGAAUCCGAAUCGCAGAGGAGAAGGCGCGCAUCUUGCAGUGUGAGGGCCGCGUGCACUGCCUCAACGACAAUCCCGGCGUGCACCGGGUGUGGGUGCCCCAUCGGGAGGCGCCGGGGCUGGCCAUGUCGCGCGCGUUCGGCGACUACUGCGUCAAGGACUACGGCGUCAUUUUGGUGCCGGAGGUGACGUGGAGGAGGAUCACCGCCCAGGACCAGUUCGUCAUCCUGGCCACCGACGGGGUAAGCUACAGUAGAAAACCACCCAUUAGUCUCGGUUCGUAAGGGCCUUUAGUCCCGGUUCACGAACCGGGACUAAUGAGUCGUUACUAAUACCUCCACCCAUUAGUCCCGGUUCAAUCCAGAACCGGGACCAAUGUGCCUCCACGUGGCUCUGUGCGCCCACCCCAGUCAGGGGGCCUUUGGUCCCUGUUGGUGGCACCAACCGGGACCAAAAUGCAUCCACGCGUCAGCAUUCUAGUUGCUGGGGUUUUUGUGUUUUUUUUUGAAAGGAGGGGAGGUUGGGGGUUUUGGGGGGUUAAUUUGAUUAGGUGUUUCAUAUAUUGUGUUAGCUAGCUAAUUAAUAGAGAGAAGUGUCCUCUCUUAUGUCCGUGCUUGGAUGCUAUGUACUAUAUAUACAUAAGUGAUCGAGAGAACCAUUCAGUACAGAAGUUCGUCAUGCAUACCGAGAGAAGUGAUCGAUCGACCUCUCCUUCUCCGAGAGGUUGGUCGAACAACAAGUUUUCGUAUCAUGUAUCCGACGCUACCGGCUACAUACAUGUACAAUAUGUAUAAGAUCUCUUAUAAUUACAAACCCUUAGCUAGCAUUUGAAAUCAAUUUCCACAUGGUAUUCUCCGGUUUUACUGAUGACGUGGUCAAGAAAGAAUCCCGCCAAUUCCUCUUGAAUUGCUUUCAUGCGAUCUGGUUCUAGGAGUUCAUUCUGCAUCUGCCACGUCUAAUUUGAAGAAGGGGGUUAAUUAAUACAUAUAUAUGAAUGAAACUCAACAGAAAUGAUGGUGUAAUAAAAUGAAAUUGUGAAUAUUAUUGCUUACGCACUUCAUAUUGUCUUUGAGAGUAGCCCCGCUUGUUUUUCAAAGUCGUGGUGUGGAUGAACUCGCACACGUAGUAUUCACAGAAAUCAUUCCCUUCCUCCUGCCACAAGCACUUUACGAGAAAUAGAGGUCAAUCAAACUGAUAAUGAAGCAUUAUAAAUGGCAUUGAUGAAAGUAUAUAUAGCUAUAUAUAGAAUUAACGGGCCGGAGAUGCGCGCAACUAGCUAGCCAGUAGUACUUACUUUCGGGUAUGUAUAUCGCAGCUCCUUCGGCAGUCCCGGAGCUUCUGCGGUGAACUGUUCCCAAACCCUGCAAGACAAAGAAAAUAAUUAUUAUUACUUGAGAUAUCAGGAAAUGAACAAAAAGUUACCGAUAUGGUGCAAUAAUUAUGAUCGAUUGAACUUACUUGCUGAGCAUUUCAGUCAUGUCCGCAUAGGUUUUGGGAUCUUUCCGUCUCGAGUCUAAGACGGUUACUAGUCCACGCUCAAGCUUAAUCUCCAGAAGAAUAUAGUGGUACCUGCGCACGCAUGCAUAACUCAUCAAUUACAUUACUAUAACCUCGCUUGAGUAAUAUGGGAAACCGAAUAUGCACACGACAGUAACACUCACGGGCCGUUGUAAGGAAAGAGUAUGGUAUCUUUGUUUUGAUUUUUUAUCAAUGAUCGUAGCAAGUUGUCCUCGGCCUCUUUGACGUUCUUUUUAACCAGAAAUACAUCUAUGAUAUUUGUGUUAAUGAACCCAAUAUCAUAAAUUUCUUGUUUUUUGCACUCGACGAUCUUCAAUCUGCAUAAUAUAUUGAGGAUAAUUAAUUAUAAAUACAUGCAUGCAAUGAAAGAGCCGAACUAUAUAUAGAGACUUAAUGACAGAAAUAGUACUUACAGGCAAUAGCAAAAGACCAUUAAUUUAUCGAGGGUCUUUUGAUUGAAGAACUCGAAGAACUCCUCAAAUGGAACAGUCAACAGAUCAUUUGCAACGAGAUCGUGCUCCUCUUUAAUAUGCAGAUACAAAGCAUUCUUACCAUCAGACUCUCUGCAGAUUUCCAUGUACCAAUUAUGGAAUCUUCGCAUCAUUGUUGUCAGAGAUUUUUCAUCUUUGACGAGAGGCUUCCCGUACUCGUAUCUGUGUCCGUCCACCUUCAAGAAAUCAGGAAGUGCAUCGUCAGGCAGGUAAUCGUCAAGAUUGCCAUAACCGGCCACCGUCCCCGGAGCAUUAGACACAUUGAGCGAGGGGCACGAUUGCUGUGCUUGUUCGCCGAGCUGGGCAAUUUUUUUCCCCUUUGCUCGUUGUUUUGACCUUUUAGCACUAACAGUAGUUCCCGACCGCUGGGCUUGGAGAUAUGCCUGUUCAGUAAUGCGCUCAUAGUUGGUUCUCGGCGGAGACUUUGGUGGUUUCCUCAGGGCAUCGAUAGUGCGCUUUGCUUUCACCGGAUCUACCUUCUCCUCCGGAGGUGGAUGUCUCUUUUCUUUCAUCCCUUCAAAGAACUCCUUCACGUGGGCAUGCACAAUCGUAUCGUUUUCCUCCUCGGACCUCUCGUACGGUAACUUCUCUAGAGGCUUGAGAGAUGAUGGACCGUAUUUGUAUUGCCUCCCGCCUCUGGUUGUGCUGCUAGACGCCGGAGCAGACGGAGCGGCUGCAGCGUCUGUCUUCUUUCAUGCUUGCUUACGAGGCGGAGGAGAAGGAGUACGACGCGCCGGAGCAGUCGGGGCGGCGGCGGGUCUCUUUCGCCCUUGCUGGCGAGGCGGAGAAGGAGGAUGCUGCUGGCUGCUCGGGAGCGCCGGCGCAGGCGGAGAAGGAGGCGGAGUGCCGCCAUGCGCCGGAGAAGGAGGCGGAGUGCCGCCAUGCGCCGGAGAAGGAGGCGGAGUGCCGCCACGCGUGCCCUGAUCGUCACUCGCCGGAGGAGGAGACGGUGGAGGAGGCGGAGUGCCCUGACUCGCCGGAGCUGGAGGAGGAGGCGGAGGCGUCCAGUUCAGAAGGUUUAUGAGCUCCUUCUUCCAUAGGCAUGGAGUCUUCAGAGCAGAACCCAGCCUAGUCUCCCCUUCACUGGUAGGGUGGUCAAGCACGAGGUCCUCAAAUCCCUCCGUUAUUUCAUCCACCAUCACCUUAGCAUAUUCUUUUGGAAUCGGCUGGCAGUGAUAAGUUGUGCCGGGUCCACUAGGAUAAACUUGGCCAACAGCCACCUUGACCUUCAAAUUCAUCCAUCGCGCCAUCAUGUGGCAAUUUUGAGACUCCGUGAUACCAUCCACGGGAUAGCUGGCAGGAGCCGUCAAGACAUGCUACGGCUGAAGUAGCUCGGUGGAAGCCACGCUACUUCUCCGCUGAGAUGGCGGGGUAGCUUCGGGGGAAGCUUCGGCAUGUCGUUUGUUGCGAUCUGCUGCUUCGCGUUCCUCUUCUCGAUCCUCUAGCCCCAUUACCCUUCCAAGCAGCGCUUGCAUUUGGUCCUGCUCCAGUUUCCUCCUCCUCUCGUGGGUUUUGUAACCCCCUGCGUCCAGAAAACCAACCUUCCACGGAAUGGAGCCUGGCAUGCCUCGUGUCCGUCCAGGGUGCUCGGGAUUCCCAAGGGCCAUUGUGAGCUCGUCCUUCUCCCUGUUUGGAAGGAACGUCCCUCGCUGCGCUGCAUCGAUAUAGUGUCGAAGGUUCUUGACUGGUAUUUGCAGUUGCUCGUCCGUCCACUGACACUUCCCUGUUACAGGGUCCAAGGUUCCGCCAUCCCCGAAGAACCAAGUCCGGCAACGGUCUGGCCAGCGCAUUGUCUCUGGUUCGAUCCCUUUUUCAAGCAGAUCAUGCUCAGCCUUGGACCACUUAGGCCGGGCUUUGAGGUAGCCACCUGACCCCGUGCGAUGGUGAAGCUUCUUCUUCGCAGCAUUUUUCUUGUUUGUCUCCGACAUCUUCUUACUCUUUUCCAAUGUCUUGUGGGCCACAAAUGCGGGCCAGUGAUCUUUGAUCUUCUCAUAUUUGCCGAUGAAUUCUGGUGUCUUUUUUUCCUUGACAAACUGGUUCAGCUCUUUCCUCCACCUCCUCAUUAGGCCUACCAUCUUCUUAAGAGCACAAGACUUGAUUAAUUGCUCUUUAACUGUCUUCUCUGGAUCCUCCUCUGGCGGUAGGGUGAAAUUUGCCUUCAGCUCAGUCCAAAGAUCUUCUUUCUGCAUAUCAUUGACAUAAGACACCUCAGCGUCUUCAUCCUUAGCAGGCUUAUACCAUUGCUGGAUGCUGAUCGGGAUCCUGCCCCUAACAAGAACCCCGCACUGAGCAGAAAAUGCCUUCCUUGUCCGGAUGGGUUCAAUCGGUUCGCCGUCGGGCGCAAUUUCUAUGAUCUCAAACUUUUCAUCCGAGCUCAACUUUUUCUUCGGGCCUCGUCUCCUUACCGAAGUUGUGCUCGAUCCGGAGGGCUAGAAAUUAUAAGGAAGAAAGACGAUAGUAAUUAAUAUGUGUACAUAUACCAAAACAAUGGAUGCAUCAAUUAACUAGUCAGCACGGGCUUAACUAAUAUAUAUAUACCUGGCCGGACUUGGUUCGGUGACCAAAGCAGUCAGCACGGUUCCUUCGUCUUGUACCUCCAUUGUGUCACCGGAGCCAUCAUGAACAUAGUCCUCCUCUUGUACCGGCAUUAAUGGGUCGAAGCCACCAUCAUAAACAUAGCCCUCUUCUUCAUCUAGCUGAUCAACGGUGUCGAGGAGAAAUGACGCAACAUCAUCACUUGAUCCAUUUGCGAUUAUGUCCCCCAACAUCGCUUCUGUUUCUUCGUCUCAGGAGUGCUCCAUAGUUUCUGCAAAUAUUUACAACAUGUCAAUUAUUAUUCAAACAUGGUACAGAUGGAUAUAUAUAUAUAUAUAUAUAUAUAUAUAUAUAUUAGUGGCAAACGUAGAACUAGCUAGCUAAUCACAAUAAGGAAUCAUAUUAGUGGCCUCGACACAACGCUUCAAGGGUUUGGGGUGGCCUCGACGAUAACGCUCUUUUAACUUGAUAAAUUUGGGUGGCCUCGAGAGAGUUAAUUUGUCAGGUAGGGGCGCGGCGGGAGGGGGUAGGAGACCACAACAUCGUUUUCUCUCUAGGGUUUGGGUGUCCUCGAGAGUUUUGGUCGAGCGAGAGGGCCAAGGGGGGUGCUGCAGUUGUAUAAGUUAUCACGGUCGAGAGGGGGUAUAUAUAUAUAUCGACCGCCCCUCAUGUCGAAGUUAUCUAGAGGGGGUUAUAUCUUCUUCUCCUCUUCUUUUUCUUCUUCUCCCUCGAGAAAGGAAAAUAAUUAAGGAAAAGGAAGAAAAGAGAAAAAGGAAGAAGGAAGAAGAAGAAGAAAAAGAGAGGAGAAGAAGAAAGGAAUAGAGGAGAAAGAAGAAAAAAUAGAAUUUUUUCUUUCUCCUCUAUUCCUUUCUUCUUCUCCUCUUCUUUUUCUUCUUUUUUCCUCUUCUUAUUUAUUUCUCCUCUUCUUCCUCUCCUCUUUUUCUCCUUUCUUCCUCUUCUUAUUUUCCUUUUUCCUCUCAUUCUUUUAGUAUUGCUUGUUUUAAAAAAAUGUUCAAAUAGAAAAUUUCGAAAAAACCAAAGGUUUUGCCUAAUGCAUUGUUCAUAUGAAUAUACAAACAUUUGCAUAUUAUACAAUAAUUAAUAUCACCAAUAGAUACAAUAAAUACAGAGCGACGAAGAGCCAAUAGAUACAAAAAAUCUAUGAACAGAAAAAAAACAUGAACAAUAAAUACACAUAUGAACAAUAAAUACAUAUAUGAAGAAAAACAUGCUCUGAACAAUUUUUGAACAUUACAUACACAUAGCCACAUACAUACACAUAUACAUUAUAUAUAUAUAUAUGAACAAAAAAAAUUAAACUAAUAAAAAUGAAAAAAACAGAGCCGCAUAUAUAUAUAGCCACAUACAUACACAUAUNNNNNNNNNNNNNNNNNNNNNNNNNNNNNNNNNNNNNNNNNNNNNNNNNNNNNNNNNNNNNNNNNNNNNNNNNNNNNNNNNNNNNNNNNNNNNNNNNNNNNNNNNNNNNNNNNNNNNNNNNNNNNNNNNNNNNNNNNNNNNNNNNNNNNNNNNNNNNNNNNNNNNNNNNNNNNNNNNNNNNNNNNNNNNNNNNNNNNNNNNNNNNNNNNNNNNNNNNNNNNNNNNNNNNNNNNNNNNNNNNNNNNNNNNNNNNNNNNNNNNNNNNNNNNNNNNNNNNNNNNNNNNNNNNNNNNNNNNNNNNNNNNNNNNNNNNNNNNNNNNNNNNNNNNNNNNNNNNNNNNNNNNNNNNNNNNNNNNNNNNNNNNNNNNNNNNNNNNNNNNNNNNNNNNNNNNNNNNNNNNNNNNNNNNNNNNNNNNNNNNNNNNNNNNNNNNNNNNNNNNNNNNNNNNNNNNNNNNNNNNNNNNNNNNNNNNNNNNNNNNNNNNNNNNNNNNNNNNNNNNNNNNNNNNNNNNNNNNNNNNNNNNNNNNNNNNNNNNNNNNNNNNNNNNNNNNNNNNNNNNNNNNNNNNNNNNNNNNNNNNNNNNNNNNNNNNNNNNNNNNNNNNNNNNNNNNNNNNNNNNNNNNNNNNNNNNNNNNNNNNNNNNNNNNNNNNNNNNNNNNNNNNNNNNNNNNNNNNNNNNNNNNNNNNNNNNNNNNNNNNNNNNNNNNNNNNNNNNNNNNNNNNNNNNNNNNNNNNNNNNNNNNNNNNNNNNNNNNNNNNNNNNNNNNNNNNNNNNNNNNNNNNNNNNNNNNNNNNNNNNNNNNNNNNNNNNNNNNNNNNNNNNNNNNNNNNNNNNNNNNNNNNNNNNNNNNNNNNNNNNNNNNNNNNNNNNNNNNNNNNNNNNNNNNNNNNNNNNNNNNNNNNNNNNNNNNNNUUAUAAGCCCCACUGCCGCACCCCUCUCGAGCUCCUCUCUACUGCACGCUUAUGGGCCUACUUGCGACUGCUUUGCCUGAUGGGCCUUCUGGGCCUACUGCGUUCCUGAAUCCUGGCCCAUAGUAGGGUUUCAAGUCGUAUUCAAGCCGUGGGGCCCUAGUGGGGGGCAUUUUUUUUGUUUUUUUGUUUUCUUUACUUAUUGUUGCUAUUUUUAUUUUUUUUCCAGUUUUUUUGUUUUGUUUUGUGCAUUAUUUAUUUUCUUUUGUUUUUUGCUUUAUUUUUAAUUCUUUUUGCUUUUAGUUUUAAGAAAAUUAUAAACUUCCCACUUUUUUUGUUUUUUUGUUUUCUUUCUUGCUUUAUUUAUUUUAUUUUGUUUCUACUUACAACAAAAUACUUAUUGUUGCUAUUUUUAAUUAUUACGAGGGCCGAACCAUAAGACAUUAAAGCAUUUCAAAUGAACUCUGAAAAAGUUGAAAGUUGGCAUGGUAUCAUAAAUUGACCCACACAUAGCAUGUGCAUGUACAAAACGGACAAUGGUAUCAUACUCGUCAGUUACAAAGUUGGCAUGGUAUCAUCAUAAUAGUUGCGGGAGAAAGUCUUCACUUUUUCUUCGCUUGUGUCAUUUGCUUAUUGCGCCGUAACCAUGGAUAAUCUUCAUCGUUUAUCAGGAUGCUGGGGUCAGCCUUGACUUUAAAGGGAGGAAUUUCAUGAAACUUUUCAUAAUCUUUAGACAUGUCUGUCUUGUCCUCCACUCCCACGAUGUCCCUUUUUCUGAAAGAACUAUGUGGCGCUUUGGCUCAUCGUAUGAUGUAUUCGCUUCCUUAUCUUUUCUCUUUCUCGGUCUGGUAGACAUGUCCUUCACAUAGAUAACGUGUGCCACAUCAUUGGCUAGGACGAACGGUUCGUCAGUGUACCCAAGAUUUUUCAGAUCCAUUGUUAUCAUUCUGUACUGUGGGUCUACCUGUACCCCGCCUCCUGACACAUUGACCCAUUUGCACUUAAACAAAGGGACCUUAAAAUCAUGUCCGUAGUCAAGUUUCCAUAUGUCCACUAUGUAACCAUAAUAUGUGUCAUUUCCCCUCUCGGUUGUUGCAUCAAAGCGGACACCGCUGUUUUGGUUGGUGCUCUUUUGAUCUUGGUCAAUCGUGUAAAAUGUAUUCCCAUUUAUCUCGUAUCCUUUCCAAAUCAAUACAGUCAAAGAUGGUCCCCUGGAUAACAAAUACAGCUCAUCACAAACAGUGUUGUCACCUCUGAUACGUGCUUCCAACCAACUACUGAAAGUCCUGAUGUGUUCACAUGUAAUCCAGUCGUCGCACUGCUCCGGGUGUUUGGAGCGCAGACUGUUCUGUUGUUCAUCGACAUACGGGGUCACCAAGGUAGAGUUCUGUAGAACUGUGUAGUGUGCUUGAGACCAAGAAUAUCCGUCCCUGCAUAUUAUUGAGUCCCUUCCAAGCGUGCCUUUUCCAGUCAGUCUCCCCUCAUACCGCGAUUUAGGGAGACCUAUCUUCUUAAGGCCAGGAAUGAAGUCAACACAAAACCCGAUGACAUCCUCUGUUUGAUGGCCCAUGGAGAUGCUUCCUUCUGGCCAAGCACGGUUACGGACAUAUUUCUUUAGGACUCCCAUGAACCUCUCAAAGGGGUACAUAUUGUGUAGAAAUACGGGGCCCAGAAUGACAAUCUCGUCAACUAGAUGAACUAGGACGUGCGUCAUGAUAUUGAAGAAGGAUGGUGGGAACACCAGCUCGAAACUGACAAGACAUUGCACCACAUCACUCCUUAGCCUUGGUAUGAUUUCUGGAUAGAUCACCUUCUGAGAUAUUGCAUUGAGGAAUGCACAUAGCUUCACAAUGGCUAAUCGGACGUUUUCCGAUAGAAGCCCCCUCAAUGCAACCGGAAGCAGUUGCGUCAUAAUCACGUGGCAGUCAUGAGACUUUAGGUUCUGAAACUUUUUCUCUACCAUAUUUAUUAUUCCUUUUAUAUUCGACGAGAAGCCAGUCAGGACCUUCGUACUAAGCAGGCAUUCAAAGAAGAUUUCCUUCUCUUCUUUGGUAAGAGCAUAGCUGGCAGGACCUUCAUACUGCUUUGGAGGCAUGCCGUCUUUUUCGUGCAAACGUUGCAGGUCCUCCCGUGCCUCAGCUAUAUCUUUUGUCUUCCCAUACAUGCCCAAGAAGCCUAGCAGGUUCACGCAAAGGUUCUUCGUCACAUGCAUCACGUCGAUCGAAGAGCGGACCUCUAGGUCUUUCCAGUAGGGUAGGUCCCAAAAUAUAGAUUUCUUCUUCCACAUUGGUGCGUGUCCGCCAGCGUCACUCGGAACAGCUAGUCCGCCGGGACCCUUUCCAAAGAUUACGUGUAAAUCAUUGACCAUAGCAAGUACGUGAUCACCGGUACGCAUGGCGGUCUUCUUCUGGUGAUCUGCCUCGCCUUUGAAAUGCUUGCCUUUCUUUCGACAUUGAUGGUUGGUCGGAAGAAAUCGACGAUGGCCCAAGUACACAUUCUUCCUGCAGCUUGCCAGGUAUAUACUAUUGGUGUCAAGUAAACAGUGCAUGCAUGCGUGGUAUCCCUUGUUUGUAUGUCCUGAAAGGUUACUGAGAGUGAGCCAAUCGUUGAUGGUCACGAACAGCAACGCCUUUAGGUUAAAUUCCUCCUGUUUGUGCUCAUCCCACGUACGUACACCAUUUCCAUUCCACAGCUCUAAAAGUUCUUCAACUAAUGGCCUUAGGUACACAUGAAUGUCAUUGCCGGGUUGUUUAGGGCCUUGGAUGAGAACUGGCAUCAUAGUGAACUUCCGCUUCAUGCACAUCCAAGGAGGAAGGUUAUACAUACAUAGAGUGACGGGCCAGGUGCUGUGAUUGCUGCUCUGCUCCCCGAAAGGAUUAAUGCCAUCCGUGCUUAAAGCAAACCAUACGUUCCUUGGCUCACUUGCAAACUCAUCCCAGUACUUUCUCUCGAUUUUUCUCCACUGCGACCCGUCAGCGGGUGCUCUCAACUUCCCGUCUUUCUUACGGUCCUCACUUUGCCAUCGCAUCAACUUGGCAUGCUCUCUGUUCUGAACAGACGUUUCAACCGUGGUAUUAUAGGAGCAUACCACAUCACCUUCGCAGGAACCCUCUUCCUGGGGGGCUCGCCGUCAACAUCACCAGGGUCAUCUCGUCUGAUCUUAUACCGUAAUGCACCGCAUACCGGGCAUCCGUUCAGAUCCUUGUACGCACCGCGGUAGAGGAUGCAGUCAUUAGGGCAUGCAUGUAUCUUCUGCACCUCCAAUCCUAGAGGGCAUACGACCUUCUUUGCUGCAUAUGUACUGUCGGGCAAUUCGUUAUCCUUUGGAAGCUUCUUCUUCAAUAUUUUAAGUAGCUUCUCAAAUCCUUUGUCAGGCACAGCAUUCUCUGCCUUCCACUGCAGCAAUUCCAGUACGGUACCCAGCUUUGUGUUGCCAUCUUCGCAAUUGGGGUACAACCCUUUUUUGUGGUCCUCUAGCAUGCGAUCGAACUUCAGCUUCUCCUUUUGACUUUCGCAUUGCGUCCUUGCAUCGACAAUGACCCGGCGGAGAUCAUCAUCAUCGGGCACAUCGUCUGGUUCCUCUUGAUCUUCAGCAGCUUCGCCCGUUGCAGCAUCAUCGUGCACAUCGUCUGGUUCCUCUUGAUCUUCAGGAGCAUCACCGUAUUCAGGGGGCACAUAGUUGUCAUCGUACUCUUCUUCUUCGCCAUCUUCCAUCAUAAACCCUAUUUCUCCGUGCCUCGUCCAAACAUUAUAGUGUGGCAUGAAACCCUUGUAAAGCAGGUGGGUGUGGAGGAUUUUCCGGUCAGAGUAAGACUUCGUAUUCCCACAUACAGGGCAUGGACAACACAUAAAACCAUUCUGCUUGUUUGCCUCAGCCACUUCAAGAAAAUCAUGCACGCCCUUAAUGUACUCGGAGGUGUGUCUUGAACCGUACAUCCAUUGCCAGUUCAUCUGCGUGCAUUAUAUAAUUAAGUGACCAAAUUAAUAGAAGUUCAUCAUCACAUUAAAACGAAAGUACAUACAUAGUUCUCAUCUAACAACAUAAAGCUCUGCAGAGCAUCUAAAUUAAUUAAACCAUACACUGAAACUAUGUAAAACAUUUCAAUGCGAAAACAAAUGCGAUCAUAAUCGCAACCAAUGUAACAACUGAUCCAACGGCAUAAUGAUACCAAGCCUCGGUAUGAAUGGCGCAUUGCAUCCAUCUUGAUCUUGCGAUCAUCGACGACAUCCGCAACAUGCAACUCCAAUAUCAUCUUCUCCUCCUCAAUUUUUCUAAUUUUUUCCUUCAACAAAUUGUUUUCUUCUUCAACUAAAUUUAACCUCUCGACAAUAGGGUCGGUUGGAAUUUCCGGUUCAACAACCUCCUAGAUAAAUAAAAUCUAUGUCACGUUGGUCGGCAUAAUUGUCAUAAACAAUAAAUGAACCAAUAGUUAUGAAAAGAUAAUAUAUACCACAUCUGAAUCAUAGACAGGACGAGGGCCGACGGGGGCGGAUACCAAAACCAUUGCACUAUAUAAGAUGCAAUGAUAAAAGUAAGAAAAUUAUACAAGUAUCUAUAUAAACAUACAAGUAAGAGUUUUUUUUCCUUUCAGAAAGAAGAUAAGAACAAGAGGCUCACCACGGUGGUGCCGGCGACGCGGACGAUCGACGGCGGUGAAGACGGGGACGGGACGUGACAGACCGCUAAACCUAGACAAAUAUUGAGAAAAAUGGAGCUUGGAGGUGGAGCUUGGAGAGGAGAAAGCUUAAGUAGUGUGGCUCGGGCAUUCCAUCGAACACCUCGUGUGCAUAGGAGGUGAGCUAGAGCAACACAAAGCUCUCUCCUCGCCGGCCACGAAAAACAGAGCACUGAGAGUGCUCUGCUCGCGGGGUAUACAUAUAGGCAAUUAAUUGGUCCCGGUUCGUGGCAUGAACCGGGACUAAAGGGAAGCCUUUGGUCCCGGUUCAGGCCACCAACCGGGACCAAUGGUGGUGGGCCAGGAGCAAGGCACAUUGGUCCCGGUUCAUCCCGCCAACCGGGACCAAAAGGUCCAGACGAACCGGGACCAAUGGCCCACAUGGCCCGGCCGGCCCCCGGGGCUCAAGAACCAGGUCCAAUGCCCCCAUUGGUCCCGGUUCUGGAUUGAACCGGGACUAAUGGGCUGGACCGGCCUGGACCAUUGCCCCCUUUUCUACUAGUGUGGCGUCACUCAUCGACGGCGAGAAGAGGCUCAUUGACUGCCAGUUCGACCUCCUGAGGAAGUCCUACCUGGCCGCAGCUGCAGCCGUGGACGAGGAGCUCCGCCGGAGCCGGCGCCUUGAUGCCAUCAACAACGGCUCCACGGCUCUGUCCAUCAUGAAGUAGAGCGACUUGAUGGUGGUCGCGAACGUCAGCGACUCGCGGGCCAUCCUUGCGACCAUGUCGGACGACGGGGACAUCACGACCGUCCAGCUCACCGUCGACUUCAAGCCCGACUUACCCUGUAAGUCAUCAUGACAAGACUAGAAGAUGGACAGUCCAUUCCUGACACAUCAAUUGCUCCCCCACGUUCGAAUCCGAAUCGCAGAGGAGAAGGCGCGCAUCUUGCAGUGUGAGGGCCACGUGCAGUGCCUCAACGACGAGCCCGGCGUGCAUCGGGUGUGGGUGCCCCAUCGGGAGGCACCGGGGCUGGCCAUGUCGCGCGCGUUUGGCGACUACUGCGUCAAGGACUACGGCAUCAUCUUGGUGCCGGAGGUGACGCGGAGGAGGAUCACCGCCGAGGACCAGUUCGUCAUCCUGGCCACCGACGGGGUAAGCUACAGAUUCUCGCACAGUCACAAUGUAUUUUUAUGAUGUGCCCAAAUGAUUAUGGACCGUACAUUGAGAAUGAUCUAAUGGUUAGGAGGAUGCAUUAUUUCAUAAUUUAAGAAAAGGUCAUGUCUUUACAGAAAUGUUCAGUUCCCCCUCAGUUUGAACUUGUAAGGUGUACAAUUUUUUUAAAAAUUCAAACUUACCUAAUUUUGACCAAGUUUAUAUAAUAAAACAUAAAUAUCUACUAUAGAAAAUCAGUAUCAUUAGAUUCAUGAUGAAGUAUAUUUCCAUAUUUGAUUUAUUUAGGGGCUGUUCGGAAAGCAUCCACGCCCUCGCCACGGAGCGGAGCGGACGGAGCGACCUUCUGGCCACUCUGUAGAUUAUUGUUGCAUGCCACUCCGCUCCAGAGCGGAGCUGCGGAGUGGGAGUGAGUCCGAACAGGCCUUUAGUAUUGUAGGUUUUAGAUGUAUUUUGCUACAGAUUUGAUCAAACAUAGGAACUUUGACUUUUGGAAAUUUAAUUCACCUUAUAUUUUGACAGACAUGAAGUAGUAAUUGCUGGGACCAUAUCCAUGCACCAUCAUCUGAAACCCAUGUAUUCAUGAGGUGUGAUGUUAAUUUUAACAAAUGUGCCCAUGGACAGAACCUUGAUACCAUUAUUCACAGACCAACCCACAUAGAAUUUCUGUAGACUGACAUAUACGCCGAGUUCAUCUUGUAGUAUGUCCCUGAACUUUUCUGAUGACAAUGCUCUUAGUUGGGAUGCCAUCAGGCUCCAAACCAAACUAAAGCAAACCUGGGAGCACUUUACUUACCAAUAAAUUAAGAUAACUUCUGCAUAAGGUUUUGUCGUAAUCCGUUACCAAGAUGGGUAGCACUGUAUAGUUUCCUAGUAGCAACAUUUGGCCAGCUUCUUAGAUUUUAUCGAAAUGAAUAGUAGAUUUGCUCAUUUUGAUUUGUAAUAUUGUAAAUGUUCACCUCAACUGACAGAUUAACAUAAUGGAACGUUGUCAGGUGUAUUUGAAGGUUGCCCAUUUUGGUGGGCCAAACAGCCAGUGCGCUGAGGUCAAAAUAAGCAUGACACCAGUUUGAUUCUUUUAGUGGUCGCCUACAUGACGAAAGAUGCUCAGGCACACAUAAUUGUUGGGUUUUCCCAUGUCAUGUCAUACUUGGUCUGUAACUGAAUCUUGAGAAUUCAUUUGUAUGACUUGAUGUACAAACGUGUUAUUCAUAAUGAAAAUAAUAUCAUUGUAUGUGCUUAAAAUAUUAUGUAAUAAUUCUAUUAAAAAAUGGCAUCAUCUACUAGAUAAAGAAGUGAUAACAGUAAAAAAAAUAAUCUUUGGACAGUCUCCAUGUGUAGAAGGUUGGAACGCUUAGAUAUUAGGAAGUGUGCAUUAAUUCUCCCGAUGGAAAAUUGCCCAGCUAGGGAAUGAGAAUAGCGACACGAAAUCAAGAUUUUUGAUGUGUUUGUAUUUAAAACAAGAUAAGGGCAAGAUAAUAAAAAUUGAUGUAUAUUUUGAUAAAGGUUUAAAGAACUAUGGAUAACAAUGUCUACACACUAUCGAUACACAGAUGCACUCACAUACAUGGAUGGGUAUCAUCACUAUCCUAACCAUUCAACUAUUGGGUGGUUUCAAUAACAUUUGGUUUAUUAGCCAAUAACAUAUUAUUGCAUUUGAUAGUAUGAUUUAUGUUAGUUUAUUGUAAGUUGAUUGUAAAAAAAGAGACGCGUGUUCUUUUAGACGACAUUGUUCUCAGCUAUUUUAGCUUUAUGAAUUGCAUCUUAAAUUUUUGUAAACACACGUGACAACACACGGGUGUUAUACUAGUCAAUGUAAUGACAUACAGAUUAAAUUUACUAUUUAUCUCUGUUACUCAAGUGAAGUCCUCUUGGUGUUCAUAAUUUUACGUAAUGCAUGAUGUGCUUCUAUGUUAGUGGUUUCCACAAUAUAUCGGUGUCAGUUUUCUUUUUUUAAUAUGUUGAAAAGUAUAUAAAUAUUUAUAAUAUUACGUUGUACUAAAGUCACUAGUAGAAAAAGCCUCAUUCAUCCCCACUACAAGAAAUAUGUCCACUUGUGACCACCACUAUUGGUUACUGAAUGGUCAUUAUUUUCCAUUUGUGACCUUUUUGUCACCAAGAAUAGAAGGUUAAAAGUUGGCCGUCGUAAACUGGCAUUAGCGACCUUUCUUCUGGAAUGGUCGUAGACAUUUAUGACCAAAAAAGGUCGUAGAUUUAACGACCAAUUAUUUUGGUCACUAGCAAUCCGACCACACCACAUCAGAUCCACCAUGGCAAGCUGACGUGGCAGUAUUACGACCAAAUGAAAAGGUCGUAAAAUAGAAUCAGCCCGGUCCAUUUCAGCCGUCUACAUGGGCCAAGCCCAAUAAUUCAGCCCAUUUAAUGUUUUUUUCUCUUUAUUUUGCUUAUCUGCAUGGGCCUGGCCCAAUAAUUUGGCCUUUUAUUUUUUGGGAAUGUAGCCUUUUUUUGAUGAAUUUUUUAUAGUCCACUACUGUUUUGGGCCACAGCCUUUUUAGUCUAGUUCGAAUUUGGGCCUUGGGCUUUUUGUUUUCUAUUAUGCAGGCUUUUACAAACUAUUUUUUUUAAAGUCAACUCUUUUUAUAGGCCCAACCCUUUUUAGUCUAAUUCUUGUUUGGGCCUCGGCCUUUUUGCAGUCCAACUAAGUUUAGAGCCCAAUUAAUCAAAAUAAUAUUAUGUGAUCCAAACAAAACUCAAAUAAUUCAGAAAAUGCAUAACUUCACAUGUUCAUAACUCCACAACAAGUGACUUCACAGCUUCCAAAACUUCACAUGUGCAUAACUUCACAACAAGUAACUUCACAUGUGCAUAACUUCACAGCUAUCACUGGUUCAACAACAAGUGCUCCCAGUUUCACAAGUGCUCCAAGGUUCACAAGAUCCCAGGUUCACUUGCCAAGUGCAAAAUCCAACAAUCUGCAUAAGUUCACGACCUACUACGACAUAACACUAGUGCAGAACCGGCCUUUAGUGCCGAUUCGUAACGGCCUUUAGUGCCGGUUCGCCAACCGGCACUAAAGAGUGGGGACUAAAGGUCCCCCCCAUUUAGUACCGGUUCGUCACGAACCGGCGCUAAAGAGCCACCACGUGGCACGAGCCAGGCCCGGGUGCGUGUAGGACAUUAGUACCGGUUGGUAACACCAACCGGUACUAAAUGUUUGGGAGGGUUUUGGCUUUAUUUUCCAUUUAAUUAUUUUUUGUUUGUUAGUAUUUCACGAUACUACAAAUUGUAGACAUUAUGCAUAUAUGUAAAUAGAUUUUCUCAUACGUAGAACCGCAUAUAUAUAUAUAUAUAUAAUAUCAUCGAAUGUCUCACAACCAACACCAUUAACUAUUCACACAUACACAUGUAUAUACAUAUACAAUUUCUCCUACAUGUUGCCUUGGUGCCUUCGGAGCACGAUAACAAGUGGUUCAUGGGGGCGGUAGCGGGUAAUAGUAUUCUCCUUUGGGAUCUAUGACCUGGUCGAGCAAAAAUCCGGCUAUUUCCUCUUGAAGUGCACUAGUAGAAAACAAGGCAUUUGUCCCGGUUCAUAAGGGCCUUUAGUCCCGGUUCGUGAACCAGGACUAAUAGGUCAUUACUAAUGCCUCCCCCCUUUAGUCCCGGUUCUUACACGAACUAGGACAGAUGGGCAUCCACGUGGCCGCUGUGGGCAGCCCAGGCAGGGGGGCCUUUGGUACCGGUUGGUGACAUAAACCGGGACCAAAAGGCUUCCACGCAUCAGUAGCUGGCUGGAGCUGAGGUUUUUAUUUUUUCUUUUUAAAAAAAGUGGCUGGUUUAGGGGUUUUGGGGGUUAAUUUUAGGUUGUUAUUAGCUAGCUAAUAGAGAGAAGUGUCCUCUCUUAUAUCUUCGUCCUUGGUUUACCAACGCUACUGCUAUGUUCAUUUCACCCACUAAUAUAUAAUAACUCAUGCAUGCUCGCAUCAUACAUCAUCAUAUAUAAUAACAAGUCCUACUAAUCAUGCAUCAUCAUACAACUUCUACUCAUUAUUAAUAAUAAGUCAUACGAUCAUCAUCCUCAUAGUCAUCGAACCCAACCCUACAUAAUUGUUCUUAGCACAUGAUCAUAAUUAUCAGGUAGGACCUAAACACCCUUAAGGUAAAAUAUCAUAAAACAAUAUAGACCCUGACUCUCCAUUAUGAAGAAUGGAGAUCAUCCUGUCUCCAAUUCUUGCGCUUCGCUUCCUUUUGCUUCCAAGAAGGUCCUUACGACUAUCCAUACAUUUUUUUCCAUGCUUUGAUUGUCAUGUCUCCACUUCUUUUAGAAAUCUAGUAUGGACAGUUGAGAUUCAUAGGACGACCUGGUUGUAUGUUCAAAACAUCAAGGCGACCGUGUGUAUACAUUAUAUGAGGCACACAAUCAUUCGGGAUUAUCUGUUGAAAAACAUAGUAAUAACUUCGUAGUUAGAUGCAUGGAUGUCAUAAUAGUAAAAAAUCUUACCAGGGUAUCUCCAUGGUAGUUACCGUAGCUCAACACGUGCACUAGUGGCAUGUAUUGACCAUAAUGUUGAGGAGUUUGAUUGUAGACAUUGUAAUUCUCAAGAUCAGUACAAAAUCCUAUCAGAUGAUUUUUCUCCUUAUAAGUUAAUUCGGAGCCAUCGGUGUAGUGGGUUUUGUCUACCAUCUUCUGCACAUUCUUUGAAGAAUGAAAAUAAACUGUCAAUGGAAAUGAGCUGUCAACUAUUUUGAAAUAAACAAUAUAAAUUACUUAAUAACUAUGUUAAGCUCACAUGGGGGAAGAAUUGGAGUUGUAUCCACAAGGACCCAAAUUUUCAUAUUGUCUUGCUCGAUUGUAGGAUCACCAAGAUCCAUGGUGACAAGCAUACCCUCAUCAAAACCAUACAUCUUGCAAAGUGCUUCCCAAUUUUUGCAACCAAAAUGGGUUGCACUCUCAGCAUUGUACAACUUUACUUUAAAAUCCACACCAAGAUGGGCCCUUAGGAGAUUUUUUUUGGUUUCCAUACUUUCAUGGUCUUCAAAACCCAUCCUCUCCAAGACAUAGCGUCUUGCAUAGCAUGGGAUAAGCUAGUCGAAUUGGAAAAGAUGAAAAAUACACGUUAAAAUAGUUGAAGUCGUGCUUUAUUACAAAAAAAAACUAUUGUCGUCGUUGCGUAUCGUAUGAACAUCGAAGGUCACCUCGAGCUUAAUGCUGAAGUGCGGAUCUUUGUCCAGCUCAAUGAACCUGUCGCACAUACCUCGGUCGUUGUGGCACUAGUCGCACUCCCCCGGGCGAUUUUCGUCGACCGAGUACGACAUUUCCGGCCUAUGUUCAUAAUUCAAAUAUUAAACUUGUACAAUUAAAUAUAUGUACUAAAAAACCUAAAUUAGAUUAUUAUUAUUAAUCACGGGUUGACUAUCGGUGAUGGUACGUAGCUCCUCCUUUCAUUGUCGGGUGCAUUAUUACACCAAAUUGUCUAGCACACGGGAAUCAAGGAGAAGCUACCCCCCACGACGGCGUGGAUGAUGGAGGGGGCUCCUAGAUUUCUGCAUAGUGCUCUCCAAUUUUAGCAUUCAAAGUACGAGUACUUUUCCAAUAUGAGCAAAACCAAUUCAUAAACUAAAGUAGUAUUCAAAUUAGCAUGCAUUCAAUUAUAAGCAAAAGUACAUCAUCUCUUGUGUCCGUACAUCGUCUAAUAUUAUCACUAAUACUCCUCGAAUACUGUCAUACAUAUAGCAUCACUAAUACAGCUAGUACCGUAGCGCCUGACGGGUAUCGUCGCGGGCGGUGGACACCCAAAGAUAAGGAACCAUCACAUGAUCAUAGCUCCAGUGAGAUACCUGAAGAACCUGCCAGGUAUUGUCGAACCUGCCCUCCAAUGCAACCAUGUAGCGACGGACGUGCUCGUCCUCCUUGCUGACAUGGUGACGUACCACCUCCGCGGUGUCCGGAAUCCUCGUCACCGUCACUAGCCCACGCGACCGCCACCAAACAAGGAUCGGGUCAACAACGGGCUGCCUCCUCACCAACCUACGUCCCCCGGAAGGUAGCACCUCCCAAUACCAGCCCGGCGGAGCCCAGUCCCGAACAUGGCCCUGAUCAAGCAGGCCUCCACCACCGAGUCGACGACGACGGGGAUGCGGGAUAGGCAUCGCCGACGUUGAUGCGGGAACUACUUCUAUAUAUAGUAAAAUAAAGUAUUUUUAUUAAUUAAAUCAACUAGUUCAACUACUAAGCACUUACUAUAAAUAAAUAAACUAGUACUUACUAAAAACAAACUACUUUUAUAUAUAGUAAAAUAAAGUAGUUUAUUAAAUCAACUAGCUAGUUCAAUUAUAUAUGAAGCACUUACUAUAAAUAAAAUAAAGUAGUACUUAAUUAGUAAAAAUAAACUAGUUUAACUAUAGUUCAAUUAUUUUUCUAACUAAUUAUAUUAAACGCUUUCUCUUCUUAUUUUUUUCCUUUUUCCUCUAUUCUAAAUAUGAACAUAUUCAUAAAUGACUUCUAUCAUUCACAAUUUUCCUAUACAUACACAAUAAAUUGACAAAGAAAANNNNNNNNNNNNNNNNNNNNNNNNNNNNNNNNNNNNNNNNNNNNNNNNNNNNNNNNNNNNNNNNNNNNNNNNNNNNNNNNNNNNNNNNNNNNNNNNNNNNNNNNNNNNNNNNNNNNNNNNNNNNNNNNNNNNNNNNNNNNNNNNNNNNNNNNNNNNNNNNNNNNNNNNNNNNNNNNNNNNNNNNNNNNNNNNNNNNNNNNNNNNNNNNNNNNNNNNNNNNNNNNNNNNNNNNNNNNNNNNNNNNNNNNNNNNNNNNNNNNNNNNNNNNNNNNNNNNNNNNNNNNNNNNNNNNNNNNNNNNNNNNNNNNNNNNNNNNNNNNNNNNNNNNNNNNNNNNNNNNNNNNNNNNNNNNNNNNNNNNNNNNNNNNNNNNNNNNNNNNNNNNNNNNNNNNNNNNNNNNNNNNNNNNNNNNNNNNNNNNNNNNNNNNNNNNNNNNNNNNNNNNNNNNNNNNNNNNNNNNNNNNNNNNNNNNNNNNNNNNNNNNNNNNNNNNNNNNNNNNNNNNNNNNNNNNNNNNNNNNNNNNNNNNNNNNNNNNNNNNNNNNNNNNNNNNNNNNNNNNNNNACGGGCAAGCGUCGGCGGUGUUGUGGGGCACGGGGCGCGGGGUGGGGGGCGGCGACGGCAUCGGGGCGGCGCGAGACGGCGUCGGGGCGGCGUGGGGCGAUGACGGCGAUGGCGAAGGGAGACGGAUGGGCAGCCUGGCGGCAUCGGGCGGUGGGGAAGAACGAACUGAACCAAAUUUUCAUGAGUGCUGCUUAUAUAGGCAGAGCAUUGGUCCCGGUUCAUGGCACGAGCCGGGACCAAUGCACCCCUUUAGUCCCGCUUGGUGGCACCAACCGGGACGAAAGGCCUCUUUUCAGCAGCCCAAAGGGCAGGAAACAGAGACCUUUGGUCUUGGUUGGUGCCACAAACCGGGACAAAAGAGUGGCAUUGGUCCUGGUUGGUGCCACCAACCGGUACCAAUGCGUCCCUUUAGUCCCGGUCGGUGCCACCAACCGGGACCAAAGGUGGUUUGCUGGAACUGGCGCGGUGGGUGCUAUGUUUAGUCCCACCUCGCUAGCCGAGAGGGGCUCGUAGUGGUUUAUAAGCCCUGCCAAACCAACCACUUCGAGCUCCUCUCUACUGCAGGCUUAUGGGCCUAAAAUCACUCUCUGUGCUUGUGGGCCUAUUGGGCCUACUGCAGGCCUACAUCCUGGCCCUAGUAAUGGGUUUCUAGUCGUAUGCAGGCCGUGGUGGCCCAGUAGGUGGCAUUUUUUAAAAAAAAUUCCCACUUUUUUGCUUUCUUUUUUGUUUCUAGUUACUUAUUUAUUUUCUUUUACGAUAAUUAUUUUUGCUAUUUAAGUUUGUAACAAAAUUCUAAUUACUUAUUUAUUUUAUUUUAUGAUAUUCUUUUUGCUUUUAAUGUUUUGAACAAAAUUCUAAUUACUUAUUUAUUUUCUUUUAUGAUAAUUCUUUUUGCGAUUAAAGUUUGCAACAAAACAGGUUUUAAGGCUGGGGCCCCACGAGCACCUUUUAGUACCGGUUCGUGGCAUGAACCGGUAAAAGAGCUUUUUGAUUGAUUCUUUCUGCAACUGUUUUUUAGUCCCACCUCACCAAGCGAGAGGCACUCGCAGCGUUUUAUUAGCCCUGAGUGUAGAGACGAUGAAGGGAGAAGCGUAGUGCUCACCUGCACGUUGGCCUGAAGCUAAGCAACAUGCAGGUGAGCAUUGCGCCUCUCUUUUAUUUUGGCAUGGUAUCAUCAUUUCAUCCACAUAGCAUAUGCAAGAAAGUUGAGAGGGUUACGGCAAAAACUGGAUGCAUUUCGUGUACAAAACGGACAAUCGAGAUUUCAUACAGAAACUUGUCUGUUACAACAUGAAUUUCAAAUGAACUACAAAAAGGUUGCAAGUUGGCAUGGUAUCAUCCUAAUAGUUGUGGAGGAAGCCUUCACUUUUUCUUCGCUUGUGUCCUUUCCUUAUUGCGCCGUAACCAUGGAUAAUCUUCAUCAUUUAUCAGGAUGCUUGGGCCAGCCUUGACUUUGAAGGGUGGAAUUUCAUGAAACUUUUCAUAAUCUUUGGACAUGUCUGUCUUGCCCUCCACUCCCACGAUGUCGGUUUUUCGUGAAAGAACUAUGUGGCGCUUUGGCUCAUCGUAUGAUGUAUUCGCUUCCUUAUUUUUUAUUUUUCUCGGUUUGGUAGACAUGUCCUUCACAUAGAUAACCUGUGCCACAUCAUUAGCUAGGACGGACGGUUCGUCAGUGUACCCAAGAUUGUUCAGAUCCACUGUUGUCAUUCCGUACUAUGGGUCUACCUGUACCCUGCCUCUUGACAGAUUGACCCAUUUGCACUUAAACAAAGGGACCUUAAAAUCUACUCCAUAGUCAAGUUCCCAUAUGUCCACUAUGUAACCAUAAUAUGUGUCCUUUCCCCUCUCGGUGGCUGCAUCAAAGCGGACACCGCUGUUUUGGUUGGUGAUCUUUUGAUCUUGGGCGAUCGUGUAAAAUGUAUUCCCAUUUAUCUCGUAUCCUUUCCAAAUCAUAACAGUCGAAGAUGGUCCCCUGGACAAUGAGUACAUCUCAUCACAAAAAGUGUUUUCAUCUUUGAGACGUGUUUCCAACCAACUGCUGAAAGUCCUAAUGUGUUCACAUGUAAUCCAGUCGUCGCACUGCUCCGGGUGUUUGGAGCGCAGACUGUUCUUUUGUUCAUCGACAUAAGGGGUCACCAAGGUAGAGUUCUGUAGAACUGUGUAGUGUGCUUGAGACCAAGAAUAUCCAUCCCUGCAUAUUAUUGUCUCCCCUCCAAGCGUGCCUUUUCCAGUCAGUCUCCCCUCAUACCGCGAUUUACGGAGACCUAUCUUCUUAAGGUCAGGAAUGAAGUCAACACAAAACCCAAUGACAUCCUCUGUUUGAUGGCCCAUGGAGAUACUUCCUUUUGGCCUAGCGCGGUAACGAACAUAUUUCUUUAGGACUCCCAUGAACCUCUCAAAGGGGUACAUAUUGUGUAGAAAUACGGGCCCCAGAAUGACAAUCUCGUCAAUUAGAUGAACUAGGACAAGACAUUGAAGAAGGAUGAUGGGAACACCGGCUCGAAACUGACAAGACAUUGCACCACAUCACUCGUUAGCCUUGGUAUGAUUUUUGGAUCGAUCACCUUCUGAGAGAUUGCAUUGAGGAAUGCACAUAGCUUCACAAUGGCUAAUCGGACGUUUUCCGGUAGAAGCCCCCUCAAUGCAACCGGAAGCAGUUGCAUCAUAAUCACGUGGCAGUCAUGAGACUUUAGGUUCUGAAACCUUUUCUCUGCCAUAUUUAUUAUUCCCUCUAUAUUCGACGAGAAGCCAGUCGGGACCUUCAUACUAAGCAGACAUUCAAAGAAUAUUUCCUUCUCUUCUUUGGUAAGAGCGUAGCUGGCAGGACCUUCAUACUGCUUUGGAGGCAUGCCGUCUUUUUCGUGCAAACGUUGCAGGUCCUCCCGUGCCUCAGCUGUAUCUUUUGUCUUCCCAUACACGCCCAAGAAGCCUAGCAGGUUAACGCAAAGGUUCUUUGUCACGUGCAUCACGUCGAUCGAAGAGUGGACCUCUAGGUCUUUCCAGUAGGGUAGGUCCCAAAAUAUAGAUUUCUUCUUCUACAUGGGUGUGUGUCACCCAGCGUCACUCGGAAUAGCUAGUCCGCCGGGACCCUUUCCAAAGAUUACAUGUAAUCAUUGACCAUAGCAAGUACGUGAUCACCGGUACGCAUGGCGGGCUUCUUCCGGUGAUCUACCUCACCUUUGAAAUGGUUGCCUUUCUUUCGACAUUGAUGGUUGGUCGGAAGAAAUCAAUGAUGGCCCAAGUACACAUUCUUCCUGCAGCUUCCCAGGUAUAUACUUUUGGUGUCAGCUAAACAGUGCGUGCAUGCGUGGUAUCGCGUGUUUGUAUAUCCUGAAAGGUUACUAAGAGAGGGCCAAUCAUUGAUGGUUACAAACAGCAACGCGUGCAGGUUAAAUUCCUCCUGUUUGUGCUCAUCCCACACACGUACACCGUUUCCAUUCCACAGCUGUAAAAGUUCUUCACCCAAUGGCCUUAGGUACACAUCAAUGUUGUUGCCGGGUUGCUUAGGGCCUUGGAUGAGAACUGACAUCAUAAUGAACUUCCGCUUCAUGCACAUCCAAGGAGGAAGGUUAUACAUACAUAGAGUCACGGGCCAGGUGCUGUGAUUGCUGCUCUGCUCUCCGAAAGGAUAAAUGCCAUCCGCACCUAAACCAAACCAUACAUUCCUUGGGUCACCUGCAAACUCAACCGAGUACUCUCUCUCGAUUUUUCUCCACUGCGACCCAUCAGCGGGUGCUCUCAACUUCCCGUCUUUCUUACAGUCCUCACUGUGCCAUCGCAUCAACUUGGCAUGCUCUUUGUUUCUAAACAGUUGUUUCAACCAUGGUAUUAUAGGAGCAUACCACAAUGCACCGCAUACCAUGCAUGCGUUCAAAUCCUCGUACGCACCACGGUAGAGGAUGCAUUUAUUAGGGUAUGCAUGUAUCUUCUGCACCUCCAAUCCUAUAGGGCAUACGACCUUCUUUUCUGCGUACGUGCUGUCGGGCAAUUCAUUAUCCUUUGGAAGCUUCUUCUUCAAUAUUUUCAGUAGCUUCUCAAAUCCUUUGUCAGGCACAACAUUCUCUGCCUUCCACUGCAGCAAUUCUAGUACGGUACCCAGCUUUGUGUUGCCAUCUUCACAAUUGGGGUACAACUUUUUUUUGUGAUCCUCUAACAUGCUAUCGAACUUCAGCUUCUCCUUUUGACUUUCGCAUUGCGUCCUUGCAUCGACAAUGACCCGGCGGAGAUCAUCAUCGGGCACAUCGUCUGGUUUCUCUUGAUCUUCAACAACUUCCCCCAUUGCAGCAUCAUCGGGCACAUCGUCUGGUUCCUCUUGAUCUUCAGCAGCUCCCUCCGUUGCAGCAUCACCGUAUUCAGGGGGCACAUAGCUGUCAUCGCCCUCUUCUUCUUCACCGUCUUCCAUCGUAACCCCUAUUUCUCCGUGCCUCGUCCAAACAUUAUAGUGUGGCAUGAAACCCUUGUAAAGCAGGUGGGUGUGAAGGAUUUUCCGGUCAGAGUAAGACUUCGUAUUCCCACAUUUACGGCAUGGAGAACACAUAAAACCAUGCUGCUUGUUUGCCUCAGCCACUUCGAGAAAAAUAUGCACGCCCUUAAUGUACUUGGAGGUGUGUCUGUCACCAUACAUCCAUUGCCGAUUCAUCUGCGUGCAUUACAUAUAAUGAUGUGUGUCAAAAUUAAGAAAAUUAGACAAAUAUAUAUCUAAAGUAAGAAAAUCAGACAAGUAUCAUAAAGAAGAUAAGAACAAGACGCUCACCACGGUGGUGCCGGCGACGAGAUCGGCGCGGACGAUCAACGACGGUGAAAACGGGGACGGGGCGUGACGGACCCCUAAAUCUAGACAAAUCUCGAAAAAAAUGGAGCUCCUAGGUCGAGCUUCGAGAGGAGAAAUCUUAACUAGUGUGGCUCGGGCAUUUCAUCGAACACCUCGUGUGCAUAGGAGGUGAGCUAGAGCACCCAAAUGCCCUCUGCUUGCCGGAUUGAAAAAACAGAGCACUGUGGAGUGCUUUGCCGCGGCAGUGGGUAUAUAUAGGCAAGUUAUUUGUCCCGGUUUGUGGCAUGAACCGGGACUAAAGCCACCCCUUCUGUCCCGGUUCAUGCCACGAACCGGGACCAAUGGUUGUGGCCAGCAGCGAGGACCGUUGGUCCCGAUUCGUGGCUCGAACCGGGACAAAUGGUUCUACACGAACCAGGACCAAUGCGCACGAGGCCCCGGCCGGCCCCCUGGGCUCACGAACCGGGUCUAAUACCCCCCAUUGGUCCCGGUUCUUGAAGAACCAGGACUAAUGGGCUGGCCAGGGCUGAACGGUAGCCCUGUUUUCUACUAGUGGUGCUAGUAUGCGGUCCGCUGGUAGGAGCUUAUCCCGCACCUCUCUGAACUGUUAAGAAGGAGAUCAAUAUGCAUGUGUAUUAGUUGUGUUACAAGAUAUCGAUAAUGGUGUGAAUAGUGUUCUGACAAACGUACCCAGUCCUGUCUUUGAGAUCUGCUCCUUUCGGACGCCAUCAUGCGAAUGUUCUCGCAAACGUAGAAUGCACACAGAUCAUUCCCCGGCGCCUGCUUCAGGGCCUUUACGAGAAUGGAAUUGAAUCAGAUAAUGAUUAAUCAAGCAUGAUAAUUAUUUAAUGGUAUUGAAACAAGAAUUAAAGAUAUGGUAGCUAGCUAGAACUACUUAAUUACUUACCUUUGGUCGAUGCCAAAACAACUUUUUUGGCCAUUUGCCUGGAGUCACCUUGAUGAACUUUGCUCAAGCCCUGCCCGUCGGCAAAGAAAAUUAAUAAAGGGGUUAUUAAAUAGUUCAUAUCAGGAAAUGACGAAAUAAUAAUAGGCUGAGAUAUAGUUAAUAAUGAUUGAAAUUACGUGUUGACUAUCCCCUUCAUGAUGGUGUAGUCUUUAUCUUCUUUAAGUAGUGAGUCCAGUACUUCAACUGUUGCUUUGUCAACUUUAAUGUCUAAUAAGAUCCAGUGGAAACUGCAUGCGCACACGUUUGCAUGUCUUAAUUAAGCGGGCAUGUGCAUAAAAUUAAUCAACUAUCGUAAACCGUAUACACUUAAUUAUUAACAUCUAGCUAGCUAGUAAGCAAAAACAGAAUUUGUAUUAACUCACACGAAGUUGUAAGGAAGUAGUAUAUCUGCAUUGGUAUUGAGGCGCUUCAAGAACUCUAGCAUGCUUUCCUCUACACUUGCUUGAGAAGUUGCAAGAGUCCAUGUGUACUCAUUAAUGGUAUUUGGGUCAAUGAACCCAAUGCCAUAGCGUCCAAUUUUUUUCAUUUCAUACAUCUUCAUCCUGCAUAUAAUACCACCGAAAAGAAUAUAUAGUGAGGAUAAUUACAUGUAAUGAUAGAUAAAAAAUUACAGAAAGAAAUCACUUCCAGACAAUAGCAACUGACAAUAGAUUUGUCGAGUGCAUCUUGAUUGUAUAACUGAAAUAGUUCUGAAUACUCAACGCACAGAACUUUCUCAUGGAAGUAAUGCUCCUUCUUGACAUUCACCAUGAGGGACUCUCAAUUGCAAAUCUUGGUAAUGUCCAUGUACCAUUGAUGCAAUUCAUACAUUCUCGUUGGGAGGUUCUUGACCUUGUCUGGCUCGACCAAAGGUUGGCCCCGUACAUAUUUCUGUUUUAUUUCCUCCUCUCUAAGCGGAGACAUGGGCUCAAUUUCGAGGAGUUGUCCAACAGAGAUCUUGAGCAUUUCAGCCUGCAUUAUAUGCUCCUCCGUUAUUACCACAUCGCCUAGUUGGGGAACUUUAACGGUUUGCCCACAAUAAUAUUGGGUGCGCGGCCUCCUCUCAUGUGUUGUUGGCACAACAAGCGGGGGGAUCGAUUGCGGCGCCUCUUCUCCCAGCUGGGGAAUGGUUUUCCCGCAUUUUUUGCCCGCUGCUUGUUGGCUCGAGCUCGAGCUCGCUUCCUUCUUUAGCCGUUCUCGAUGUAGUUUCCUGAUUUGGUGCUCAUAGUCCGAGUCAACAGGCUUGGGAGCUGGUUCUCUAGCCAUACGAAUGAAGUGGUCAAUCAUUUUCUCAGGCACUUUCUCUUUUGGUGGUGGUGCCGGUUUCGGUCCAAAAUGGGCGUCCACUUGGGCCUGCACUAUGGAUGCGUUUUGCUCCUCAGUCAUGUCGUAAGGCCUCUGAGGAAGAGGAGCGAGGCUUGGACAAUAUUUAUAUCGCUUGUCUCCGCCUGUACUUCCUGGACUACCUCGACUAGUACUGCUACGCACCAUAGCUGCGGCAUGUCUCUUCUGCAAGUGCUGAGACGGUGGAGACGGCUGACGUGGCUGAGUUGGAGCAGGAGAAGUGGCCUGAUGAUGUGCCGGACUUGAAACAGGAGGUGUGGCCUGACACGGUGCCGGACUUGAAACCGGAGAAGUGGAAUGAUGCUGUGCCGGACUUGAAAUCGGAGGAGUCAGCUCACGCGUUCGGGGACUUGGAGGAGGUGGCGGACUUCGAGGAGGAGUCGGCUCACGUGUUCGAGGACUUGGAGGAGCGGGAGUCUGCUGACUCGGUGGCGGACUUCGAGGAGGAGUCGGCAGGCGACGCGGUGUCGGUGGACUUUGAAAGAUGAUGCAAUCCUUUCUCCAUAGGAUGAUACGAUGUAUGGCCUCUCCCAGUGUGCGCUCGUCUUCACCUCCAGGAAUGUCAAGAUGUAGCCCCGAAUAUGGGUCCAGCACUUCAUCAACCAAGACACGAGCAUAGCCCUCUGGAAUCGGGAUGCAAUGGAAGGUUGCUUCGGGGGUAAUUGUAAAAGCAACGCCGUCUGCCACCUUCAUGGAUAUGUUCUUCAUUUUGGAGUGUAGCUCACAGUUAGUGUUCUCUAUGAUGUCAUCCACAGGGUAUGUAUCCAGCAGUGUGUCGCCCGGGGCAGAACCAAAGCUGCUUCUCGGCAUGGAUGGGAUGGUGCUAUCCAAUGCUGGACGAUCAUCCGCUUGCUGCUGUCGCUGCUGAGACCCCCUUUCCUGGCUAAGUGAGUCGAUCUACUGCUGCUGCUGCUGGAAUUUGAGUGCCAAGUCGGCGUGCCUUGCUUCUAGGCCUUGAAGGUGUUCUGCGUCCUGCUUCCUCUGCUCCUCCUCCAGCUUCCUUUUCUACUCGUCCUCCAUCUUCCUUCUUGCACGGGUCCUGUAGUCCUCCUUCCUUUCUGAAAUGCCCUCAUACCAGGGAAUAACGCCCUUGCCUCAUGUUCUUCCCGGGUGUUCAGGAUUUCCUGGGGCGCGCGUAAGCUCAUCGUUCUCUCUGUUGGGCGUGAACACCCCCCUUCAAGCUUCUUCUAUUGCGUCAAGUAUCUUUUAUUCAGCUCCUUUUAGAUUUUCCUUCUGCGAAACCAGGCCUGUCUUCGGGUCCAACGCCCCCCAUGCGCAUAGAACCAAGUUUCGCACCUGGGGGGCCAGCUCCUAGUAACCGGAGUGACCCCUGCAUCCUCCAUCUCUUGCUCAAACUUAUCCUACUUAGGCAUUCCCACCACGUAGCCACCUGGACCCAGCCUAUGGAACUGCGUCUUUUUGCGGCAUUUGCCUUGUUUUUUAUCGACCGUUCCAUAGAUAAUACUGAAUUCGUGAAGGUCACGAAAUCGUCCCAGUGUUCUAUUUGCUUCUCUAGUGUUCCCGUGAAUUCUGGAGUCUUCCUUUCUGCAGCGAGGUAGUGGGCCCAUACAGUUUUCUUGUGGGUGUUGAAUGCAAUUGCCAUCUUCUUAAGAGCAGCGCCCUUGACUUUCUCCACAUCUGCUUCAGUGAAAUGAUCUGGUAGGGUGAAAUGUUCCAUCAGAGAUUUCCAAAGGUCUUUUUUGGCUCUAUCGUCGACCCAAGUAACACCUGGACGUUUAGUCUUUGGCUCUUUCCAUUCUUGAAUGGAGAUCGGGAGUUUGUCCUUCACAAGAACUCCGCACUGACCAGUCCACUUGUUCGCAAUGUUCUUAGGCGUGAGGGGAUCGCCACUAGGUUUGAUGGAUUCGAUGUUGUACUUUACACCAUCCUUCAACAAUCUGCCCAGGCCUCGCUUUGUCCUGCUGUCUGUAGAAGCAGAUUUGCUCGAUCCGGAGGGCUGAAAGAAGAAAGAUCGAUUCGUUAAUAUAUCUUCAAUAAAAAAACAUGUGAUGAUCACCAUGAUGCAUGCUUAUAUAAAUAUACCUCGCUGGUAGUCUUUUUUAUUUGAAGAUCAGCAUUGUCUGUGUCAUCACAAACAUUGUCUGUAUCAUCAUAAUCAUAAUCAUCGUUCAUGACUUCAUUAGCUCGGUCGUCGAGAUUGAAUAUCUUUUCAUCACCCUCUCCGGUAUUGUUCAGAUAUUGGGAGCUGUCAUCUGCUUCAUUCAGAUCAUCUAGCCUGUGAGGACUGCAUAUGAUGUCGAACAAUUCCUCUUCUCUCUCUCUGCCGGUAUUGUCCACCAUAGCUUUUACUUAACUAAUACAGAAGAAAUAUAAAACAAUUUAGUAUUCAAAUUACAAUGCAUGGAUGCAAUCAAUAAGCAAAAACUGAAUCAUAUAUAUAGUACAUAAUAUAUGCAUCGUCUUGAUUAAUAUAUAAUCUUGAAUACAUCAUCGUCUUAAUAUAUAUAAUCUCGAAUACAUCAUCUCGAAUAUUAUAUAUCAAAUACAUCACUGGCUAGGUACCUACUAAAGAUCGAGUACUACAGAAGAAUCUAGGCCUCUCGUGGUUCCUAGGGCGUGGGCGGUGGACACCCAAAGAGAAGGAACCAUCACAGGAUCAUAUCUCCGGUCAUCUGCCCAAAGAACCUGCCAAGUAUUGGAGAACCUGACGUCCAUAGCAGCCAUGUAGCGAUGGACGUGCUCGUUCUCCUCCCUGACACGGCGACGCACCACCUCCGGCAGCGCCGGCUCCCUCUGCACCGAAUGUGGCCCACGCGAACGCCACCAAAGGAUAUCAGGGUCGACGACGGGACCCGAGGCCGGGUUCCUCACCAAGCGGCAUGCCCCUCCAGGUAACACCUCCCAGUGCCAUCCCGGUGGAGCCCAAUCCCGGACAUGGGUCCUCUGAAGCAGGACCUCGUCGCGAACGGGUCAACGACGAGGAUGCGGGCCGGGCAUAUCGUCGAGAACUAGUACUAUAUGCCCGCAAAAAGUAACAUUUUUUAAAUGAUUGGAUUGUGAUAACUAAAAUUCUAUAUAUAUGCAAAUUCUAACAAUUUGACAUUAAUCUAAUUCAUCUAACUAAAACUAAUUCUAAAAUUUCCUGAUUAUAUAACUAGCAUUUCUAAUAUUUAUAUAACUAAAAAACAGAAAAAUUGCUAACAUUUCUAUAACUAAAAAAUAGAAAAAUUUUAUAACAUUUCUAUAUAACUAACAUUUCUAAUAUUUCUAUAACUAAAAAACAGAAUAAUUUCUAAAAUUUCUAUAACUAAAAAACAGAAAAAUUUAUAACAAACAAACCAAUGUGUGUGUGUGUGUACUGUGUGUGUAGUGUGUGUGUGUAGUGUGUGUGUGUGUGUGUGUGUGGACAUGGCGGCCGGGGCGAGCUCACGGCGAGGCAACGACGAGGCGGCGACGACGGGACGACGGGACGGGGCGGCAACAACGGGGCGACGGGACGGGACAGCAACGACGGGGCGGGGCGGCGACGACGGGGCGGGGUGCGGCGACGGGGCGGCCGGGGCACGGCGACGGGGACGAUGUGGACGGGGACCGCUGGGGCGGUGACGUAGACGGGGGCGGCGAUGAAGGGUGGGGAUGGCCGGGGUGGCGACGUGGCAUCUAUCGGGGCAGGGCGGCGCGACGGACGGAAGAAACAGAGAGGGAAAGUGAAUUUUUUUCAACUGUUGUAUAUAUAGGAUGGACCUUUAGUACCGGUUGGAGCCACCAACCGGUACUACAGGUCUGUUUUGGCCAGGCCAAGUGGCAGGAAGCGCCCCCCCUUUAGUAUCGGGUUGUGGCACCAACCGGUACAAAAGACCCCCUCUUUAGUACCGGUUGCAGCCACCACCCGAUACUAAAGGGGUGCGCUGGCGCAGUGCGGUGUGGCAAGUUUAGUUCCACCUGCUAGUCGAGGGGCUACCGCGCUGGUUUAUAAGCCCCAGUGCGGUAGCUCUCUCGAGCUCCUCUCCUAAGCAGGCCUACUGGGCCUACCUGUUCUGUGCUGACCUGUGGGCCUACUGGACCUUUGCGGGCCUGCAUCCUGCUAUGUCUUGAGCUUGCGUUGGUUUUCCUCGAAGAGGAGAGGGUGAUGCAGCAAGUGUAGCAUAAGUAUUUCCCUUAGUUCUGAGAACCAAGGUAUCAAUCCAGUAGGAGGCUCCUCCAAAGUCCCACGCACCUACACAAACAAAUUGAGAAGUCGCAACCAACACAAUGAAGGGGUUGUCAAUCCCUUCACGGCCACUUGCGAAAGUGAGAUCUAAUAAAGAUAGUAUGAUAAGAUAAAUAUAGUUUUGGUAUUUUAUAAUAUAGAUGCAAAAAGUAAAGAUGCAAAUAAAAGUAGAUUGAAAGCAAAUAUGAUAAGAGAUAGACCCGGGGGCCAUAGGUUUCACUAGAGGCUUCUCUCAAGAUAGCAAAAUUAUUAUGAUGGGUGAACAAAUUACUGUCGAUCAAUUGAUAGAAAAGCGCAUAGUUAUAAGAUUAUCUAGGCAUGAUCAUGUAUAUAGGCAUCACGUCCAUAACAAGUAGACCGACUCCUUCCUGCAUCUACUACUAUUACUCCACACAUCGACCGACUCCUGCCUGCAUCUAGAGUAUUAAGUUCAUAAGAACAGAGUAACGCAUUAAGCAAGAUGACAUGAUGUAGAGGGAUAAACUCAUGCAAUAUGAUAUAAACCCCAUCUUGUUAUCCUCGAUGGAAACAAUACAAUAUGUGCCUUCCAACCCUUUCUGUCACUGGAUAAGGACACCGCAAGAUUGAACCCAAAGCUAAGCACUUCUCCGAUGGCAAGAAAGACCAAUCUAGUAGGCCAAACCAAACUGAUAAUUCGAAGAGACUUGAAAAGAUAACUCAAUCGCACAUAAAACAAUUCAGAGAAGAUUCAAAUAUUAUUCAUAGAUAAACUUGAUCAUAAAACCACAAUUCAUUGGAUCUCGACAAACACACCGCAAAAAGAGUUAACAUCGAAUAGAUCUCCACAAGAGAGGGGGAGAACAUUUAUUGAGAUCCAAAAAGAUAGAAGAAGCCAUCUAGCUAAUAACUAUGGACCCAUAGGUCUGUGGUAAACUACCCACAACACAUCGGAGGGGCAAGGAUGUUGAUGUAGAAGCCGUCCAUGGUCGAUUCCCCCUCCGGCAGAGUGCCGCCGAAGGCUCCAAGAUGGGAUCUCGCGGAUACAGAAGGUUACGACGGUGGAAAUUGUGUUUCGUGGUGCUCCUGGAUGUUUUCGGGGUACAUAGGUAUAUAUAGGAGGAAGAAGUACGUCGGUGGCCGCCCGAGGGGCCCACAAGAUAGGGGUCGCGCCCUACAGGGGGGCGUGGCUUCCUAUCUCAUGGGGUCCUCGGUUGCUUCUUGACUUGCACUCCAAGCUCUCUAGAUCACGUUCGUUCCAAAAAUCACGCUCCCGAAGGUUUCAUUCCGUUUGGACUCCGUUUGAUAUACCUUUUCUUCGAAAUACUGAAAUAGGAAAAAAAAAACAAUAUGGGCUGGGCCUCCGGUUAGUAGGUUAGUCCCAAAAAUGAUAUAAAUGUGUAAAAUAAAGCCCAUAAACAUCCAAAAGGGGUAAUAUAAUAGCAUGGAACAAUAAAAAAUUAUAGAUACGUUGGACACGUAUCAAGCAUCCCCAAGCUUAAUUCCUGCUUGUCCUCGAGUAGGUAAAUAAUAAAAAAGUAAUUUUUGAUGUGGAAUGCUACCUAGCAUAAUUCUCAAUGUAAUUUUCUUUAUUGUGGCAUGAAUGUUCAGAUCCAAAUGAUACAAAAUAAAAGUUCAUAUUAACAUGAAAAUGGUGAUACUUCAAGCAUACUAAUCAAAGUAAUCAUGUCUUCUCAAAAUAACAUGGCCAAAGAAAGUUAUACCUACAAAAUCAUAUAGUCUGGCUAUUGCUCUAUCUUCAUCACACAAAGUAUUUAAUCAUGCACAACCCCGAUGACAAGCCAAGCAAUUGUUUCAUACUUUAAUAAUCUCAAACUUUUUCAACUUUCACACAAUACAUGAGCGUGAGCCAUGGACAUAUUACUAUAUGUGGAAUAGAAUGGUGGUUGUGGAGAAGACAAAAAAGGAGAAGAUAGUCUCACAUCAGCUAGGCGUAUCAACGGGCUAUGGAGAUGCCCAUUAAUAGAUAUCAAUGUGAGUGAGUAGGGAUUGCCAUGCAACGCAUGCGCUAGAGCUAUAAAUUUAUGAAAGCUCAACAAAAGAAACUAAGUGGGUGUGCAUCCAACUCGCUUGCUCACGAAGACCUAGGGCACUUUGAGGAAGCCCAUCAUUGGAAUAUACAAGCCAAGUUCUAUAAUGAAAAAUUCCCACUAGUAUAUGAAAUUGUCAACAUAUGAGACUCUCUAUCAUAAAGAUCAUGGUGCUAUUUUGAAGCACAAGUGUGGAAAAAGAGAUAGUAGCAUUGUCCUUUCUCUCUUUUUCUCUCAUUUUGUUUAUUUUUUCUUUUUCUUCUCUUUUUUUCUUUGUUUUUUUAUUUGGCCUUCUUUUUUUUCUUUUUGGCCUNNNNNNNNNNNNNNNNNNNNNNNNNNNNNNNNNNNNNNNNNNNNNNNNNNNNNNNNNNNNNNNNNNNNNNNNNNNNNNNNNNNNNNNNNNNNNNNNNNNNNNNNNNNNNNNNNNNNNNNNNNNNNNNNNNNNNNNNNNNNNNNNNNNNNNNNNNNNNNNNNNNNNNNNNNNNNNNNNNNNNNNNNNNNNNNNNNNNNNNNNNNNNNNUUUUUUCUUUUUGUAAAGUCCGAAGUCUCAUCCCGAUCAACUUGUGGGGGAAUCAUAGUCUUCAUCAUCCUUUCCUCACUAGGACAAUGCUCUAAUAAUGAAGAUCAUCACACUUUUAUGGAUUUACAACUCAAAGCUAGAACAAGAUAUGACUCUAUAUCAAUGCCUCCGGCGGUGUACCGGGAUAUGCAAUGAAUCAAGAGUGACAUGUAUGAAAAUUAUGAAGGUGGCCUUGCCACAAAUACAAUGUCAACUACAUGAUCAUGCAAAGAGCAAUAUGACAAAAGUAAUGCCUAUCAUAUGAACGGAACGGUGGAAAGUUGCAUGGCAAUGUAUAUCGGAAUGGCUAUGGAAAUGCCAUAAUAGGUAGGUAUGGUGGCUGUUUUGAGGAAGGAGUAUAGUGGGUGUAUGGCACCGGCGAAAGUUGCACGGUACAAGAGAGGCUAGCAAUGGUGGAAAGGUGAAAGGGUGCGUAUAAUCCAUGGACUCAACAUUAAUCAAAAGAACUCAUAUACUGGUUGCAAAAAUCUAGAAGUCAUCAAAAACCAAAGCACUACGCGCAUGCUCCUAGGGGGAUAGAUAGGUAGGAAAAGACCAUCGCUCGUCCCCGACUGCCAGUCAUAAGGAAGACACUCAAUAAAUAAAAUUGCGCUCCAACUUCAUCACAAAGCGGUUCACCAUACGUGCAUGCUACGGGAAUCACAACCCUCAAUACAAGUACUUUUCAUAAUCACCUCAACUAGCAAUAUCACUACCUCCAUAUCUCCAAACAAUUAUCAAUCAUCAUAUUGAUCAUAGCAUCCAAUUCUUUUUCUAUGAUAGUUUUUAUUAUACCCAACUUGGAUGCUCAUCAUUUUAGGACCAACUUUAUGAUAAUAGCGAAUACCAUGCUGUUCUAAAAGACUUUCAAAAUAAUAUAAGUGAAGCAUGAGAGACUAGCAAUUUCUUCAAAAUUAAGACACCACCGUGCUCUAAAAAGAUAUAAGUGAAGCACUAGAGCAAAAACUAUCAAACUCAAAAGAUAUAAGUGAAGCACAUAGAGUAUUCUUGCAAAUUCUAAUGAAAUAGGCUUCUCCAAAAAGGUGUGUACAGCAAGGAAGAUUGUGGUAAACUAAAAAUCAAAGACUAAUAUAAUACACGACGCUCCAAGCAAAACACAUAUCAUGUAGCGAAUAAAAAUAUAGCUUCAAGUAAAAUUACCAAUGAACGAAGACGAAAGAGGGGAUGCCUACCCGGGGCAUCCCCAAGCUUAGGCUUUUGGCUAUUCUUGAAUAUCUUGGGGUGCCUUGGGAAUCCCCAAGCUUAGGCUCUUUCCACCCUUUAUUCCAUGGUCCAUAAAAGCUUUACCUAAAACUUGAAAACUUCACAACACAAAACUCAACAGGAAAUCUUAUAAGCUCCGUUAGUGAAAGAAAACAAAACCACCACAUACGGUACUGCAAUCAACUCAUUCUUUAUUUAUUUGGUGUUAAACCUACUGUAUUCCAGCUUCCUUCUAGUUUAUAAACUAAUUUACUAGCCAUAUAUGCAUUGAAAAAAGCAAACAACACACGAAAAACAGAAUGUGUCAAAAACAGAACAGUCUGUAGAAAUCUGUAACUAACGCAAACUUCUGGAACUCUAAAAAUCCUACCAAACAGGAAGUCCUGGACAAUUUGUCUAUUGAACAGCAUAAAAAAGAAUCAACGCAAAAUAACGUUCUUGUGAUUUAACAAAAUUAUAUUUGUGCGCACAAAGUUUCUAUUUUUCAGCAGAAUCAAAUCAACUAUCAUCGUAGGUUAUCCUAUAGGUUCUACUUGGCACUAACACUAAUUAAAAGAUAAAGACACAUCUAAGCAGGAGGUAGAUGAAAGAUUUAUUACUAAACAGGAGCAAAAAUAAAAAACAUAAAGAAAAUUGGGUUGCCUCCCAACUAGCGCUAUCGUUUAACGACCCUAGCUAGGCAUAAAAAGCAAAGAUAGAUUUAACGAGUGCCAUCUUUGGCACUAAAUUCAUAAGUAGUACGCAUGAUAGAUUCAUAAGGUAAUUUGACUUUCUUUCUUGGAAAGUGCUCCAUGCCUUUCUUUAAGGGAAAUUGGAAUCUAAUAUUCCCUUCCUUCAUCAAUAAUCGCACCGAUCGUUCUAAGGAAAGGUCUAACAAGAAUAAUAGGGCAAGAAAGAUUGCAAUCUAUAUCAAUAACAAUAAAAUCUACGGGCACCAAAUUUCUAUUUGCAAAAAUAAGAACAUCAUUGAUCCUUCCCAUUGGCUUUUUAAUGGUGGAAUCCGCAAGGUGCAAAUUUAAAGAGCAAUCAUCAAGAUAAUUGGAACCUAGAAUAUCACAUAAAGUUUUCUGAAUCGUGGAAACACUAGCACCAAAAUCACACAAAGCAAAACACUCAUAAUCUUUAAUUCUAAUCUUUAUGGUAGGUUCCCACUCAUCAUUAAGUUUUCUAGGUAUAGAAACUUCCAAAUUAAGUUUUUCAUCAUAAGAUUGCAUCAAGGCAUCAACAAUUUGUUUGGUAAAAGCUUUAUUUUGACUAUAAGCAUGAGGAGGAUUAACAACGGAUUGCAACAAGCAAAUACAACCUUUUAAAGAACAAUUAUCAUAAUCAAAUUCCUUGAAAUCCGAGAUAGUAGGUUCAAUGUUAUUAGAGGUUGAGGAUUCUCCAAUCUCACUUUUACCAAAUUUAGCAUCAAGAUCUAAAUACUCCGAAUUCUUGGGACACCUUCUAGGAAAAGUUGAUUCAUCAUCAGUACCAUAAUCAUCAAAAUUCAUAUUGCAAAACAUAGAUCUAAUAGGACACGCAUCAAUAACUUUAAGAUCCUCAUCAUAUUUUUCACGGUAACUAUAAGAACAUGCUUUUAUAAAGCUAUCUUUCUUAGCACGCAAUCUAGUGAUUCUUUCCUUACACUCAUCAAUGGAAAUUCUCAUUAAUUUGAGGGACUUAUUGAUAUCAUGCUUAGGAGGAGAAGGUCUAAGUUUAAGGGAAUCAACAUCAAACGAAAGUCUAUCAAAGUUCCUAGCCAAAUCAUCAACUUUGAGCAAUUUUUCUUCAAGCAAAGCAUUAAAAUUCUUUUGAGAAAUCAUAAAUUCUUUCACACUAUUCUCAAAAUCAGAGGGCAUCUUAUUAAAAUUACCAUAAGAAUUAUUGUAGGAAUUUCCGUAAUUAUUAGAAGAAUUACUAGGGAGCGGUCUAGCAUUAAAGUUUCCUCUAUAAGCAUUGUUUCCAAAACUAUUCCUGUUGGGGAAUGUUGCAUAAAAUAAAAAAAUUCCUACGUUCACCAAGAUCAAUCUAGGAGUUCAUCUAGCAACAAGAGAAAGGAGUGCAUCUACAUACCCUUGUAGAUCGCGAGCGGAAGCGUUCAAGAGAACGGGGUUGAGGGAGUCGUACUCGUCGUGAUCCAAAUCACCGAUGAUCCUAGUGCUGAACGGACAACACCUCCGCGUUCAACACACGUACGGUUGAGGAAGACGUCUCCUCCUUCUUGAUCCAGCAAGGGGGAAGGAGAGGUUGACGGAGAUCCAGCAGCACGACGGCGUGGUGGUGGAUGCAGCAGUGAUCUCGGCAGGGCUUCGCCGAGCUUCUACAAGAGGGAGAGGUGUAGCAAUGGGAGAGGGAGGCGCCAAGAACAUGGGUGCGGCUGCCCUCCCUCUCCUCCCCUUUAUAUAGGCCCCCUGGGGGAGGCACCGGCCCUAGGAGAUGGGAUCUCCAAGGGGGGCGGCGGCCAAGUGGGAGGCUUGCCCCCCAAGGCAAGUGGAGGCGCCCCCCACCCUAGGGUUUCGAACCCUAGGCGCAGGGGGGGCCAAGGGGGGGUGCACCAGCCCACCAGGGGCUGGUUCCCCUACCCACUUCAGCCCAUGGGUCCCUUCGGGAUAGGUGGCCCCACCCGGUGGACCCGCGGGACCCUUCUGGUGGUCCCGGUACAAUACCGGUGACCCCCGAAACUUUCCCGAUGGCCGAAACUGCACUUCCUAUAUACAAUUCUUCACAUCUGGACCAUUCCGGAACUCCUCGUGAUGUCCGGGAUCUCAUCCGGGACUUCGAACAACUUUCGGGUUACUAGAUACUCAUAUCUCUACAACCCUAGCAUCACCGAACCUUAAGUGUGUAGACCCUACGGGUUCGGGAGACAUGCAGACAUGACCGAGACGCCUCUCCGGUCAAUAACCAACAGCGGGAUCUGGAUACCCAUGUUGGCUCCCACAUACUCCUCGAUGAUUUCAUCGGAUGAACCAUGAUGUCGAGGAUUCAAUCAAUCUCGUAUACAAUUCCCUUUGUCAAUCGGUACGUUACUUGCCCGAGACUCGAUCAUCGGUAUCCCAAUACCUCGUUUAAUCUCGUUACCGGCAAGUCACUUUACUCGUACUGUAAUGCAUGAUCCAGUGACCAGACACUUGGUCACAUUGAGCUCAUUAUGAUGAUGCAUUACCGAGUGGGCCCAGAGAUACCUCUCCGUCAUACGGAGUGACAAAUCCCAGUCUCGAUUCGUGCCAACCCAACAGACACUUUCGGAGAUACCCGUAGUGCACCUUUAUAGUCAUCCAGUUACGUUGUGACGUUUGGCACACCCAUAGCACUCCUAUGGUAUCUGGGAGUUGCACAAUCUCAUGGUCUAAGGAAAUGAUACUUGUCAUUUGGAAAAGCUCUAGCUAAACGAACUACACGAUCUUUGAGCUAUGCUUAGGAUUGGGUCUUGUCCAUCACAUCAUUCUCCUAAUGAUGUGAUCCCGUUAUCAAUGACAUCCAAUGCCCAUAGUCAGGAAACCAUGACUAUCUGUUGAUCAACGAGCUAGUCAACUAGAGGCUUAGUAGGGACAUGUUGUGGUCUAUGUAUUCACACGUGUAUUACGAUUUCCGGAUAACACAUUUAUAGCAUGAAUAAUAGACAAUUAUCAUGAACAAACAAAUAUAAUAAUAACCAUUUUAUUAUUGCCUCUAGGGCAUAUUUCCAAUAGUCUCCCAUUUGCACUAGAGUCAAUAUUCUAGUUACAUUGUGAUGAAUCGAACACCCAUAGCGUUCUGGUGUUGAUCAUGUUUUGCUCUAGGGAGAGGUUUAGUCAACGGAUUUGCUACAUUCAGAUCCUUAUGUACUUUACAAAUAUCUAUGUCUCCAUCUUGAACAUUUUCACGUAUGGAGUUGAAGCGACGCUUGAUGUGCCUGGUCUUCUUGUGAAACCUGGGCUCCUUGGCAAGUGCAAUAGCUCCAGUGUUGUCACAGAAGAGUGCGAUCGGCCCCGACGCAUUGGGUAUGACUCCUAGGUCGGUGAUGAACUCCUUCACCCAGAUUGCUUCAUGCGCUGCCUCUGAGGCUGCCAUGUACUCUGCUUGACAUGUAGAUCCCGCCACGAUGCUUUGCUUGUAACUGCACCAGCUUACUGCCCCACCAUUCAAAAUAUACACGUAUCCGGUCUGUGACUUAGAGUCAUCGAGAUCUGUGUUGAAGCUAGCGUCGAUGUAACCCUUUACGAUGAGCUCUUCUUCACCUCUAUAAACGAGAAACAUAUCGUUAGUCCUUUUCAGGUACUUUAGGAUGUUCUUGACCGCUGCCCAGUGUUCCUUGCCGGGAUUACUUUGGUACCUUCCUACCAAACUUACGGCAAGGUUUACAUCAGGUCUAGUACACAUCAUGGCAUACAUAAUAGACCCUAUGGCUGAGGCAUAGGGGAUUACACUCAUCUCUUCUUUAUCUUCUGCCGUGGUCGGGCAUUGAGCCCAGCUCAAUCUCACACCUUGCAGUACAGGCAAGGACCCUUUCUUGGAAUGAUCCAUAAUGAACUUCUUCAAUAUCUUAUCAAGGUAUGUGCUUUGUGAAAGACCAACGAGGCGUCUCGAUCUAUCCCUAUAGAUCUUGAUGCCUAAUAUGUAAGCAGCUUCUCCAAGGUCCUUCAUUGAAAAACACUUAUUCAAGUAGGCCUUAAUGAUGUCCAAAAGUUCAAUAUCAUUUCCCAUCAAAAGUAUGUCAUCUACAUAUAAUAUGAGAAAUGCUACAGAGCUCCCACUCACUUUCUUGUAAACGCAGGCUUCUCCAUAAGUCUGCAUAAACCCAAACGCUUUGAUCAUCUCAUCAAAGCGAAUGUUCCAACUCCGAGAUGCUUCCACCAGCCCAUAAAUGGAUCACUGGAGCUUGCAUACCUUGUUAGCAUUCUCAGGGUCGACAAAACCUUCCGGCUGCAUCAUAUACAGCUCUUCCUUAAGAUGGCCGUUAAGGAAUGCCAUUUUGACGUCCAUUUGCCAUAUCUCAUAAUCAUAGUAUGCGGCAAUUGCUAACAUGAUUCGGACGGACUUCAGCUUCGCUACGUGAGAGAAUGUCUUAUCGUAGUCAAUCCCUUGAACUUGUCGAUAACCCUUAGCGACAAGUCGAGCUUUAUAUAUGAUAACAUUACCAUCCGCGUCCGUCUUCUUCCUAAAGAUCCAUUUGUUUUCUAUUGCUCGCCGAUCAUCGGGCAAGUCUGUCAAAGUCCAUACUUUGUUUUCAUACAUGGAUCCUAUCUCGGAUUGCAAGGCUUCAAGCCAUUUGUUGGAAUCUGGGCCCGCCAUCGCUUCUUCAUAGUUCAAAGGUUCACCGUUGUCUAACAACAUGAUUUCCAAGACAGGGUUGUCGUACCACUCUGGUGCGGAACGUGUCCUUGUGGACCUUCGAAGUUCAGUAGGAGCUUGAUCCGAAGUGUCUUGAUCAUCAUCAUUAACCUCCUCUCUUUUCGGUGCAGGCAUCACAGGAACAUCUUCCUGAGUUAUGCUACUUACCGUUUCAAGAGGUAGUACUUCAUCAAGCUCUACUUUCCUCCCACUUAAUUCUUUCGAGAGAAACUCUUUCUCCAGAAAGGACCCGUUCUUGGCAACAAAGAUCUUGCCCUUGGAUCUUAAGUAGAAAGUAUACCCAAUGGUUUCCUUAGGGUAUCCUAUGAAGACGUAUUUUUCCGACUUGGGUUCGAGCUUCUCAGGUUGAAGUUUCUUGACAUAAGCAUCGCAUUCCCAAACUUUUAGAAACGACAGCUUAGGUUUCUUCCCAAACCAUAAUUCAUAUGGUGUCAUCUCAAUGGAUUUAGACGGUGCCCUAUUUAAAGUGAAUGUAGCUGUCUCUAGAGCGUAUCCCCAAAAUGAUAGUGGUACAUCGGUAAGUGACAUCAUAGAUCGCACCAUAUCCAAUAGAGUGCGAUUACGAUGUUCGGAUACACCGUUACGCUGAGGUGUUCCAUGCGGUGUGAGUUGUGAAACGAUUCCACAUUUCCUUAAGUGUGUACCAAAUUCGUGACUUAAAUAUUCUCCCCCACGAUCUGAUCGUAAGAACUUUAUCUUUCGGUCAUGUCGAUUCUCUACCUCAUUCUGAAAUUCCUUGAACUUUUCAAAGGUCUCAGACUUGUAUUUCAUCAAGUAGACAUACCCAUAUCUACUCAAGUCAUCAGUGAGAGUGAGAACAUAACAAUAUCAUCCGCGAGGCUCAGUGCUCAUUGGACCGCACACAUCAGUAUGUAUGAUUUCCAAUAAGUUGGUUGCUCGCUCCAUUGUUCUGGAGAAUGGAGUCUUGGUCAUUUUGCCCAUGAGGCAUGGUUCGCAUGUGUCAAAUGAUUCAUGAACGAGAGACUCUAAAAGUCCAUCAGCAUGGAGCUUCUUCAUGCGCUUGACACCAAUGUGACCAAGGCGGCAGUGCCAGAAGUAUGUGGGACUAUCGUUAUCAACUUUACAUGUUUUGGUAUUCACACUAUGAAUAUGUGUAACAUUAUGCUCGAGAUUCAUUAAGAAUAAGCCAUUCACCAGCGGGGCAUGACCAUAAAACAUAUCUCUCAUAUAAAUAGAACAACCAUUAUUCUCAGAUUUAAAUGAGUAGCCAUCUCGAAUUAAAUGAGAUCCUGAUACAAUGUUCAUGCUCAAAGCUGGUACUAAAUAACAAUUAUUGAGGUUUAAAACUAAUCCUGUAGGUAAAUGUAGAGGUAGCGUGCCGACGGCGGUCACAUCGACCUUGGAACCAUUCCCGACGCGCAUCGUCACCUCAUCCUUCGCUAGUCUCUGCUUAUUCCGCAGCUCCUGCUUUGAGUUACAAAUAUAAUCAACCGCACCGGUAUCAAAUACCCAAGAGCUACUACGAGUACUGGUAAGGUACACAUCAAUUACAUGUAUAUCACAUAUACCUUUGGUUUUUCCGGCCUUCUUGUCCGCUAAGUACUUGGGGCAGUUCCGCUUCCAGUGACCACUUCCCUUGCAAUAAAAGCACUCAGUCUCAGGCUUGGGUCCAUUGCUUGACUUCUUCCCGGCAACUGGCUUACCGGGCGCGGCAACUCCCUUGUCGUCCUUCUUGAAGUUCUUCUUACCCUUGCCUUUCUUGAACUUAGUGGUUUUAUUCACCAUCAACACUUGAUGUUCCUUUUUGAUCUCCACCUCCGCUGAUUUCAGCAUUGAAUAUACCUCAGGAAUGGUCUAUUCCAUCCCCUGCAUAUUGAAGUUCAUCACAAAGCUCUUGUAGCUCGGUGGAAGCGAUUGAAGGAUUCUGUCAAUGACCGCGUCAUCUGGGAGAUUAACUCCCGGCUGAGUCAAGCCGUUGUGCAACCCAGACAUCUUGAGUAUGUGCUCACUUACAGAACUAUUUUCCUCCAUCUUAGAGAUGAAGAACUUGUCGGAGACUUCAUAUCUCUCGACCCGGGCAUGAGCUUGGAAAACCAUUUUCAGCUCUUCGAACAUCUCAUAUGCUCCGUGUUGCUCAAAAUGCUUUUGGAGCCCCGGUUCUAAGUUGUAAAUCAUGCCGCACUGAACGAGGGAGUAAUCAUCAGCACGAGACUGCCAAGCGUUCAUAACGUCUUGGUUCUCUGGGAUUGGAGAUUCACCUAGCGGCGCUUCUAGGACAUAAUCUUUCUUGGCAGCUAUGAGGAUGAUCCUCAGGUUUCGGACCCAGUCCAUAUAGUUGCUGCCAUCAUCUUUCAUCUUGGUUUUCUCUAGGAAUGCGUUGAAGUUGAGGGUAACGUGGGCCAUUUGAUCUACAAGACAUAUUGUAAAUAUUUUAGACUAAGUUCAUGAUAAUUAAGUUCAUCUAAUCAAAUUAUUCAAUGAACUCCCACUCAGAUUAGACAUCCCUCUAGUCAUCUAAGUGAUACAUGAUCCGACUCGACUAGCCCGUGUCCGAUCAUCACGUGAGACGGACUAGUCAUCAUCGGUGAACAUCUCCAUGUUGAUCGUAUCUUCUAUACGACUCAUGUUCGACCUUUCGGUCUUCCGUGUUCCGAGGCCAUGUCUGUACAUGCUAGGCUCGUCAAGUCAACCUAAGUGUAUUGCGUGUGUAAAUCUGGCUUACACCCGUUGUAUUCGAACGUUAGAAUCUAUCACACCCGAUCAUCACGUGGUGCUUCGAAACAACGAGCUUUUGCAACGCUGCACAGUUAGGGGAACACUUUCUUGAAAUUAUUAUGAGGGAUCAUCUUAUUUACUACCGUCGUUCUAAGUAAACAAGAUGAAAAACAUGAUAAACAUCACAUGCAAUCAAAUACUGACAUGAUAUGGCCAAUAUCAUAUAGCUCCUUUGAUAUCCAUCUUCAGGGCUCCAUGAUCGUCUUCAUCACCGGCAUGACACCAUGAUCUCCAUAAUCAUGAUCUCCAUCAUCAUGUCUCCAUGAAGUUGCUCGCCAAUUAUUACUUCUACUACUAUGGCUAACGCGUUUAGCAAUAAAGUAAAGUAAUUUACAUGGCGUUUCUCAAUGACACGCAGGUCAUACAAAAAAUAAAGACAACUCCUAUGGCUCCUGCCGGUUGUCAUAUUCAUGAUCUCAUACAUCACAUAUAUAUCAUUCAUCAUUCAUCACAACUUUUGGCCAUAUCACAUCACAAAUCAUAUGCUGCAAAAACAAGUUAGACGUCCUCUAAUUGUUGUUGCAUGUUUUACGUGGCUGCAAUAGGGUUCUAGCAAGAACGUUUUCUUACCUACAUAAAAGCCACAACGUGAUUUGCCAACUUCUAUUUACCCUUCAUAAGGACCCUUUUCAUCGAAUCCGCUCCAACUAAAGUGGGAGAGACAGAAACCCCCUAGCCACCUUAUGCAACUAGUGCAUGUCAGUCGGUGGAACCUGUCUCACAUAAGCGUACGUAUAAGGUCGGUCCAGGCUGCUUCAUCCCAAAAUACCGCUGAAACAAAAUAAUACUAGUAGUGGCAAGAAAGUUGACAACAUCUACGCCCACAACAAAUUUGUGUUCUACUCGUGCAAAGAGAACUAUGCAUAGAUCUGGCUCAUGAUGCCAUUGUUGGGGAACGUUGCAUAAAAUAAAAAUUUCCCUACGUUCACCAAGAUCAAUCUAGGAGUUCAUCUAGCAACGAGAGAAAGGAGUGCAUCUAAAUACCCUUGUAGAUCGCGAGCGGAAGCGUUCAAGAGAACGGGGUUGAGGGAGUCGUACUCGUCCUGAUCCAAAUCACCGAUGAUCCUCGUGCUGAACUGACAGCACCUCCGCGUUCAACACACGUACAGUUGAGGAAGACGUCUCCUCCUUGAUCCAGCAAGGGUGAAGGAGAGGUUGACGGAGAUCCAGUAUCACGACGGCGUGGUGGUGGAUGCAGCAGUGAUCUCGGCAGGGCUUCGCCGAGCUUCUACGAGAGGGAGAGGUGUAGCAAUGGGAGAGGGAGGCGCCAAUAACAUGGGUGCGGCUACCCUCCUUCUCCCCCCCUUUAUAUAGGCCCCCUGGGGGGGCGCCGGCCCUAGGAGAUGGGAUCUCCAAGGGGGGGCGGCGGCCAAGUGGGAGGCUUGCCCCCCAAGGCAGGUGGAGGCGCCCCCCACCCUAGGGUUUCUAACCCUAGGCACAGGGGGGUCCAAGGGGGGGCGCACCAGCCCACCACGGGCUGGUUCCCCACCCCACUUCAUCCCACGAGGCCCUCCGGGAUAGGUGGCCCCACCCGAUGGACCCCGGGACCCUUCCGGUGGUCCCGGUACAAUACCGGUGACCCCUGAAACUUUCCCGAUGGCCGAAACUGCACUUCCUAUAUAUAAUUCUUCACCUCCGGACCAUUCCGGAACUCUUCAUGAUGUCCGGGAUCUCAUCCGGGACUCCAAACAACUUUCGGGUUACUGCAUAUUCAUAUCUCUACAACCCUAUCAUCACCGAACCUUAAGUGUGUAGACCCUACGGGUUUGGGAGACAUGCAGACAUGACCGAGACGCCUCUCCGGUCAAUAACCAACACUGGGAUCUGGAUACCCAUGUUGGCUCCCACAUACUCCUCGAUGAUUUCAUCGGAUGAACCACGAUGUCGAGGAUUCAAUCGAUCCCGUAUACAAUUCCCUUUGUUAAUCAGUACGUUAGUUGCCCGAGACGCGAUCGUCGGUAUCCCAAUACCUCGUUUAAUAUCGUUACCGGCAAUUCACUUUACUUGUACUGUAAUGCGUGAUCCAGUGACCAGACACUUGGUCACAUUGAGCUCAUUAUGAUGAUGCAUUACCGAGUGGGCCCAGAGAUACCUCUCUGUCAUACGGAGUGACAAAUCCCAGUCUCGAUUCGUGCCAACCCAACAGACACUUUCAGAGAUACCCGUAGUGCACCUUUAUAGUCACCCAGUUACGUUGUGACGUUUGGCACACCCAAAGCACUCCUACGGUAUCCGGGAGUUGCACAAUCUCAUGGUCUAAGGAAAUGAUACUUGACAUUUGGAAAAGCUCUAGCUAAACGAACUACACGAUCUUUGAGCUAUGCUCAGGAUUGGGUCUUGUCCAUCACAUCAUUCUCCUAAUGAUGUGCCGUUAUCAAUGACAUCCAAUGCCCAUAGUCAGGAAACCUUGACUAUCUGUUGAUCAACGAGCUAGUCAACUAGAGGCUUACUAGGGACAUGUUGUGGUCUAUGUAUUCACACGUGUAUUACGAUUUCCGGAUAACACAGUUAUAGCAUGAAUAAUAGACAAUUAUCAUGAACAAAGAAAUAUAAUAAUAACCAUUCUAUUAUUGCCUCUAGGGAAAAUUUCCAACAAUUCCUACCAACAAAAUUCACAUCCAUAGAUUCAUUAUUAUUCUCAAUCAAAGAAGACAAAGGCAUAUCAUUGGGAUCAAGAGGAGUAUUUUUAGUAGCAAACAUCUUCAUAAGUUCAUCCAUCUUUCCACUCAAAACAUUGAUUUCUUCUAUAGCAUGCACUUUUUUACUAGAAGAUCUUUCGGUGUGCCUUUGAGAAUAACUAGCCAUAAUAUUAUCAAGUAGUUUUGUAGCAUCUCCUAACGUAAUUUCCAUAAACGUGCCUCCCGCGGCUGAAUCUAAGAGAUUUCUAGAAGCAAAGUUCAAACCGGCAUAAAAUUUUUGUAUGAUCAUCCAUAAAUUCAAACCAUGAGUAGGGCAAUUGCAAAGCAUCAAUUACAUUCUUUCCCAAGAUUGGGAAACAUGCUCAUGAUCAAGUUGUUUAAAAUUCAUAAUAUCGUUACUAAGAGUUAUGAUCUUAGCGGGAGGAAAAUACUUAGAGAUAAAAGCAUCUUUGCACUUGUUCCAAGAAUCAAUACUAUUUUUAGGCAAAGACGAAAACCAAACUUUAGCACGAUCUCGAAGUGAAACGAAAAUAACUUCAAUUUGACAAUAUUGUUAUCCGUAUCUUUCUUCUUUUGCGUAUCACAUAAAUCAACAAAAAAAUUUAGAUGAGUAGCGGCAUCUUCACUAGGAAGGCCGGUGAAUUGAUCUUUCAUAACAAGAUUCAGCAAAGCGGUAUUGAUUUCACAAGACUCAACAUCAUUAAGAGGAGCAAUCGGAGUACUGAGGAAAUCAUUAUUAUUGGUAUUCGAGAAAUCACACAAUUUGGUAUUAUCUUGUGCCAUGGCAACAAGUAAUCCAACACACAAGCAAGAAGAAAAACGGCAAGCGAAAAAGAGAGGAGGAGAUUGGGAAAGAGAGGGCGAAUUAAAUGGCAAGGGUGAAGUGGGGGAGAGGAAAACGAGAGGCAAAUGUAAAAUAAUGUAAAUGCAAGGGAGAUGGGUUUGUGAUGGGUACUUGGUAUGUCUUGACUUGAGCGAAGACCUUCCCGGCAACGGCGCCAAAAAUCCUUCUUGCUACGUCUUGAGCUUGCGUUGGUUUUCCUCGAAGAGGAGAGGGUGAUGCAGCAAGUGUAGCGUAAGUAUUUCCCUCAGUUUUGAGAACCAAGGUAUCAAUCCAGUAGGAGGCUCCUCAAAAGUCCCACGCACCUACACAAACAAACUAAGAACUGGCAACCAACGCAAUGAAGGGGUUGUCAAUCCCUUCACGGCCACUUGCGAAAGUGAGAUCUAAUAAAGAUAGUAUGAUAAGAUAAAUAUAUUUUUGGUAUUUUAUAAUAUAGAUGCAAAAAGUAAAGAUGCAAAUAAAAGUAGAUUGAAAGCAAAUAUGAUAAGAGAUAGACCCGGGGGCCAUGGGUUUCACUAGAGGCUUCUCUCAAGAUAGCAUAAGUAUUACGAUGGGUGAACAAAUUAUUGUGGAGCAAUUGAUAGAAAAGCGCAUAGUUAUGAGAUUAUCUAGGCAUGAUCAUGUAUAUAGGCAUCACGUCCAUAGCAAGUAGACCGACUCCUGCCUGCAUCUACUACUAUUACUCCACACAUCGACCGACUCCUACCUGCAUCUAGAGUAUUAAGUUCAUAAGAACAGAGUAACGCAUUAAGCAAGAUGACAUGAUGUAGAGGGAUAAACUCAUGCAAUAUUAUAUAAACCCCAUCUUGUUAUCCUCGAUGGCAACAAUACAAUAUGUGCCUUCCAACCCUUUCUGUCACUGGGUAAGGACUCCGCAAGAUUGAACCCAAAGCUAAGCACUUCUCCGAUGGCAAGAAAGACCAAUCUAGUAGGCCAUUAGUGGCCAUUCCAUCUAUAGCCCUUUUUGUAGUAGUUGAGUGCGGAAAACGCUUAUCUUGAUUUGGUCGCAAGUGCGGCGGACGCGACCGAACACUUCCGCAGCCGAGGUGACCAUGAGUUGGAAGAGCUUUUUUGGUCGUAGUACCACAAUCCAGAACGCCCACUGUCAGUGUCCGACCAUUUAGCCGCCUGGGUGGAGCUGAACAGAUUAUCCGGACUCGCCAUGAGGUAUGUUGUGAGUCGUCUGUAGCCGGAGAAGCCGGAGCCGAAGAGUUAUUUUGGCUUGGUGCAGCAGUUCCUUGGUUCGGUGCCGCAUGCUGAUGCGAUGAAGAGGUCGGCAUGCAUAGAGGGCGCACAGAUGGCUCUUCCCCGUGUCAAAACAUACUGGGCAGAUAUGAAGGCCAGUAUUGUUGCGUCCCAGGAUUCAGACGAAAGCCGAGUACCUGCCAAGCACUAUUUUGAGGAAGUUCUUCCUGGCGCUCGUAUAAUAGUGUCGCAGUGCUCGAAGGAUGUUGUGUUCGAAUAGCUGAUACUAUUUGUAAAACGAAUUUUUUUUAUGAAAAAAGCUUUUUAUACUUGUGCUUGCAAGAAUCAUAAUGCCUCCUGUGCGGUCGUUUAAUGUAUAUAUGUGUAUAUAACCUGAAAGAUGGCAGUCGUUGGCUUCAGCCCCCACGCAUAGAAUGCGGGGGUGUUCGCAAAAAGGCGCUUUUUCACACUUAGUCCAACGUCUUGGUCCUAGAAAGGAGGUGAUGGCGCGGCGAACUAGGCAACCGGACUAUAAUGCUUUAUCACUUUCACUUACCCAUAGGAGUUUGACAGUGGGGCUACUGAAUAGCCCCGAGGGGCACCGCGCUCGCCCGAAUUCGGGGUGCGAGUGUGCCUGACCGGGAAGCGGCCCUUCGUUAAUGCGGGGGAAUCCGAAAGAUUCCGAAAGUCAUCGAGUGGUUGACCAGUCUCUCGCUAUAUCAUGACAGUCAGUUUUCGGCUUUCUCUACUGAGGUGCUCACCUGGCCGAACCGGGCACAAUCGCAGUAGUUCUCCUGGUGCCGCGUUAGCCGAUAUAACGGAACGUAAGGCAGCAAAACACAGGAGCCGGGCAAACCCAACAUUUGACAAAAGACAUGAUUCGGAGCUGAUGCAUAUAGGGCCAAACUCGCGACGCUGAACACUCCCUAAGGUAUUCGGUCUUUAUGAAGAUGGGCCGAAAUAGAGCCCUUGGUAAAAAAGCCCCUAGUGUCCAGGUACGUGCAAAAAUUCUGGCAUGGCCACAUGCCAAGACGCCAGCCUCCUCCUCGGCUAUAGAGAAAACCGGGGGAUGCUAUCAACAAGAGACAGUAAAAAAGGUUUAUGCAGGGUCUUAAUCUAAAAAGAAUCCUCGAAACGGGUCCCUGCUGCACGUGUGCGCCUGUGUCUCCGUUGUGCCGUAUACUGGACGGGCGUAGCACGAUGUUCGUCUGCGAAAGACAGGAACUUAGUAAAAAAUAAGCGUGCGAGAAAUCUAUAUCGAAAUAAAUAAAAUAUAGUUAGAGCAAGAGUUGGGCCGUAUUGUCUCCGGGCGUGAGCACACGGAGCCCCACUACUACAAAAAGGGCUAUAGAUAGAAUGGCCACUAAUGGCGCACCUGUGAUGUGGUGCGCCAUUACUAUAUUCUAAUGGCGCACCAUGUCUCGGUGCGCCAUUAGUAAUAUAUUACUAAUGGCGCACCUGGUUUGUGGUGCGCCAUUAGUAGUUUUGAAAAAAAAACAUAAAAAAAUGUUACUAAUGGCGCAGCGUUGCAUAGUGCGCCAUUACUAAUUGACAUAGUAAUGGCGCACCGCAUCCGUUGUGCGCCAUUAGUAGUUUUGAAAAAAAAGUAAAAAAAAUAAAAAAAAUUGUUACUAAUGGCGCCCCAUGUCUCGGUGCGCCAUUACUAGUUUUAACUAGUAAUGGCGCACUUUCCACUGAUGCACCAUUACUUAGUUUUUUUCAAAAAAAAAUCAAAAAAAAUAUCAAUUUUUUAAUUUUUUUUUCAAAACUGGUAAUGGCGCACCGUGGGUGUGGUGCGCCAUNNNNNNNNNNNNNNNNNNNNNNNNNNNNNNNNNNNNNNNNNNNNNNNNNNNNNNNNNNNNNNNNNNNNNNNNNNNNNNNNNNNNNNNNNNNNNNNNNNNNNNNNNNNNNNNNNNNNNNNNNNNNNNNNNNNNNNNNNNNNNNNNNNNNNNNNNNNNNNNNNNNNNNNNNNNNNNNNNNNNNNNNNNNNNNNNNNNNNNNNNNNNNNNNNNNNNNNNNNNNNNNNNNNNNNNNNNNNNNNNNNNNNNNNNNNNNNNNNNNNNNNNNNNNNNNNNNNNNNNNNNNNNNNNNNNNNNNNNNNNNNNNNNNNNNNNNNNNNNNNNNNNNNNNNNNNNNNNNNNNNNNNNNNNNNNNNNNNNNNNNNNNNNNNNNNNNNNNNNNNNNNNNNNNCCUUUUCAGUUUUAAAAAAAAUAAAAGAAAAUGAUGGAAAUGUCAAAAAAAAUAAAAGAUAAUAUGUUUCCGAUGUGAUAUGCGCUCUAGUUUUUGGGAAAAUUUACAAAUAUGAAUUUCAACUUUAUUCGCAAAAUCUCUCUGGAAAUUUGUAAAAUGGGCAUAACUUUUGCAUACGAACUCGGAUGGAAAAGUUUUUUAUAUGAAAAAUCAUCUACUCGAAAAGUUACAUCCAAAUUUACGGGGCUUUCAAUAUCUAGCGGCAAAAAAAUUCAAAAAAUUUCAAACUUACUAGUGGCGCACCGUUGAUGUGGUGCACCACUAGUAACAGAAAAAAAUUUGUUUUGAAUUUUUUUUUUCAAAAAAUGAUACGUAAUAUGAUCGGGAAGUUUGAAAUAUUUUUCAAAAUUUCAUCAUAGUCAUGAACAUGAACAAAGUCCUAGACAUCAACAUGGUAUAACAGGAUUGAUAUGCUAGAUAUAUCAACAAGUGCCUGUGAAGUGAGCUGUUGCUGGGGUUGGAUAGAACUCUGAAGUUAAGCAUGCUUGGGCUGGAGUAGUGUGAGGAUGGGUGACCUUUUGGGAAGUUUGACCAUGGAGUGCGAUUUGACCUGAGAUUAAGCAUAUUGACCCGAGAUUAAGCCAUAGUGAACUGAGAUUAAGAACAAUUUGGAAAAAAAAAUUAAAAAAUUUGAAAAAAAAAUUUGAAAAAAAAUUUAAAUUUUUUUUUUAAAAAAAUGUUACUAAUGGCGCACUUCUAUGUGGUGCGCCAUUAGUAUACCAGAUACUAAUGGCGCACUUCUAUGUGGUGCGCCAUUAGUAUACCAGAUACUAAUGGCGCACCGUGGGCUAUACUAAUGGCGCACUGGUAGUGCACCAUUAGUAGGCAAAACCGGUGCGCCAUUAGUAGGCCUUUUUCUAGUAGUGACCAACUCUUGCCUGCAUCUAGAGUAUUAAGUUGAUAAGAACAGAGUAACGCAUUAAGCAAGAUGACAUGAUGUAGAGGGAUAUACUCAUGCAAUAUGAUAUAAACCCCAUCUUGUUAUCCUCGAUGGCAACAAUACAAUACGUGCCUUGCAACCCUUUCUGUCACUGGGUAAGGACACCGCAAGAUUGAACCCAAAGCUAAGCACUUCUCCCAUGGCAAGAAAGACCAAUCUAGUAGGCCAAACCAAACUGAUAAUUCGAAGAGACUUGCAAAGAUAACACAAUCACACAUAAAAGAAUUUAGAGAAGAUUCAAAUAUUAUUCAUAGAUAAACGUGAUCAUAAACCCACAAUUCAUCGGAUCUCCACAAACACACCGCAAAAAGAGUUUACAUCGAAUAGAUCUCCACAAGAGAGGGGGAGAACAUUGUAUUGAGAUCCAAAAAGAGAGAAGAAGCCAUCUAGCUAAUAACUAUGGACCCAUAGGUCUGUGGUAAACUACUCACAACUCAUCGGAGGGGCAAGGUUGUUGAUCUAGAAGCCCUCCGUGGUCGAUUCCCCCUCUGGCAGAGUGCCGGCGAAGGCUCCAAGAUGGGAUCUCACGGAUACAGAAGGUUACAGCGGUGGAAAUUCUAUUUCGUGGUGCUCCUGGAUGUUUUCGGGGUAGAUAGGUAUAUAUAGGAGGAAGAAUUCUGUCGGUGGCCGCCCAAGGGGCCCACGAGACAGGGGCACGCCCUACAGGGGGGGGCCCUCUCUUAUGGGGUCCUCAGGAGCUUCUUGACUGGCACUCUAAGCUCUUCGGAUCACGUUCGUUCCAAAAAUCACGCUCCCGAAGGUUUCAUUCCAUUUGGACUCCGUUUGAUAUUCCUUUUCUUCGAAAUACUGAAAUAGGCAAAAAAACAGCAAUAUGGGCUGGGCCUCCGGUUAGUAGGUUAGUCCCAAAAAUGAUAUAAAUGUGUAAAAUAAAGCCCAUAAACAUCCAAAAGGGGUAAUAUAAUAGCAUGGAACAAUAAAAAAUUAUAGAUAGGUUGGAGACGUAUCAAGCAUCCCCAAGCUCAAUUCCUGCUCGUCCUCGAGUAGGUAAAUGAUAAAACAGAAAUUUUUGAUGUGGAAUGCUACCGAGCAUAAUUAUCAAUGUAAUUCUCUUUAUUGUCGCAUGAAUGUUCAGAUCCAAAUGAUACAAAAUAAAAGUUCAUAUUAACAUGAAAAUGGUGAUACUUCAGGCAUACUAAUCAAAGUAAUCAUGUCUUCUCAAAAUAACAUGGCCAAAGAAAGUUAUCCCUACAGAAUCAUAUAGUCUGGCUGUUGCACUAUCUUCAUCACACAAAGUAUUUAAUCAUGCACAACCCCGAUGACAAGCCAAGCAAUUGUUUCGUACUUUAAUAAUCUCAAACUUUUUCAUUAUAUUCAAUUUGGUAAUGCUUCGAAAGAGAUGAGUUUUCGUCGGAAACCCUGAUACUUCGAAAGAGAUUGUCCAUUUUGUACACAAAGUGCAUCCAUUUUUUGCCGUAACCCUCUCUACUUUUAUGCACAUGCUAUGUGGGUGAAAUUAUGAUACCAUGCCAACUUUCAACCUUUUCUGAGUUCAUUUGAAAUGCUUUUCAAUUUCAGGGUCAUUUAGCUAGAAAAAAUCAGUAAAUGAAUGAAAGAGUUUGUUUGCACAUAAAAUUUCUUCGCGUUUCAAAUGCCAAAACACAUAACUACCCUAACUAUUACAAAGAUUCCCUCCUGGGUGUGAAACACAGAAGAAAGUGAUGAUAGUGAAGCCGAUCACAUCCCAGAUCUUUGGGUCUAAAACUUUUUCUUCGCGUGUGUCCCUUUGCACCGUAGCCAUGGAAAAUCUUCAUCAUUUAACUGGAUGCUCGGGUCAAUAUUCACUGUGAAUGGAGCAAUUUCAUCAAAAAUUUCGUAAUCUUCUGACAUGUCUGUCUUGUCAUCCACUCCCAUGAUGUUUCUUUUUCCUGAAAGAACUAUGUGGCGCUUUGGCUCGUCGUAUGAUCCAUUUGCUUCCUUAUCUUUUCUUUUUCUCGGCCUGGUAGACAUGUCUUUCACAUAAAAAACCUGGGCCACAUCAUUGGCUAGGACGAAUGGUUCGUCUGCAUACACAAGAUUGUUGAGAUCCACUAUUGUCAUUCUGUACUGCGGGUCUUUCGUUACCCCGCUGUCGUGGUUCUAAGUCUGACAGUAGAAAGAGGGGGUAGGUAUGGAGAGGCAAGAUCUUAGCUAUGGCGAAGAUGUACACACGAUGUUUACGAGUUCAGGCCCUUCUCGGAGGAAGUAAUAGCCCUACGUCUCGGUGCCCGGAGGCGGUCGAUUGGAUUAUGUGUGUGUUGAAUUACAGAGGGUGCGAACCCUUGUGCCAGAGGACGGGGUGGCUUAUAUAGGGUGUGCCAGGACCCCAGCCCCCCUCCAUUACAAGGGAACUAAUGUACAUAAAGUAAGGGUGUUACUGGUAACGCCAGCAUUUAGUACUCUUAAUGCUCAUGAAGACUAAGGAGUAAAUAUCUGGCCGUUGUGUGCUCUUCUGACUUCUGGUCUUUGAUAUGGUCGAGUGAUCUUCCUUGUGGUCGAGUGACGACAGGUAAUGAUCGUCGAGUAGUGUGAGCAUCGAGUGGAUUGCACUCAACAUAUGAGACUAGUGCUCUUCUGGUGACUCUUGGUCUUUCCAUCUUCCAGGGUAGUGACCUUGGGUAGGACGUAUAGGUCGAGCCUAUGACCCUACCCCGGGUCUGUAUCCUCGUCAGUAGCCCCCGAAUGGAUUAAGGUGUGAGAGGAAAGUAAGACAACGUUGGACCUGUCCUGUGCUUCGUGCCUCCGCGAGUGUUUCCUGUUAGACUAAACGCCUGCGUUGAUACUUCGAAGUCGACUCGGUUGCCUUGAUCCAUUCAGGAAGUUGUCGACUGAACUAGUGGCCUCAUGCAUCCAGUGUCGUGUGGGAGUGCGAGAUCUCGGUUGAGAUUGUCUGCGGGGAAUCCCGGAUUUUGCGGGAUAUGAAAUUUCGGAGGCGCGCGCAGGUAGGAUAGCGCCAAAAAAGGGGGACCCGGACGAGCCGAGAGGCCUUGAUUGUCACACCGCCUUUUUCGCCACGUUCGCUGUGCGCAACUGUAGCAGGAUUUUACGGGAUUGCCCGGCCCCACGCGUCAGUCACUCGGAAGUGAGCCUUUAUAAGGCGACGGGGCCGGGGUGCUUGCACUAUGCACGCCUGCUUCUUCUUCUCCCUUCUCUGCUCCUCCGCCGUACCAAGCGCCUCCGCCUCCAACGUCGCCGCUUUCCCACCAUGGUGAAGGACAAGACGGCGGCGCUAGAGCGCGCCAAGAAGGCGACGGGGGCAGCGAAGCGCAAAAAACCAAGCCCCGGAUCGUCAUCUCGCUCGGGGUUGCCGCCAGGCUGGAUCCAAGGCGAUUGGAUCCGGUCUUCGAUCCGGCAGGAGGAUCUGACCGAACUAGAGGAGACCGGGCUAAUUGUAGAGGGAGCGGCGAGGCUGCCGAAGGGAGAGAUGGAGCCGCAGCCUCGACCGGGUGAGUGUGUCUUGCUCGCCACCCAUGUCGACCGGGGCUUCUCGCUUCUUCCGCACCCUUUCUUCCGAGGGUUUUUGAACUUUUUUGGGGCACAGCUCCAUCACUUUUCCCCCAACACCAUCACGUAUCUAGCCGCGUUCGUGUCGAUGUGUGAGAACUUCUUAGGGUGUCGACCGCACUGGCGUCUCUUCAAACACAUCUUCACCAUUCGUUCCCAGUCGGUUAAGAAGGAAAAGUCGAGCGACUCGAAAACUCACAUUAUGCAAAUGUGCGGGGGUUUGGGUAUCCAAAAGAGGAAUAGGAGUGCUUUCCCCGCUAUGAUCCUCCCUGAAUCCGUCAGGGGCUGGCAAUCGACCUGGUUCUAUUGCCAGGACGUGGUGACUCCGGGCCAGUCGACCGGUCUUCCUCCUUUUUCAUUCGACCGUGUCCAGACUCCUGCUCCACUGAACGUAACUGCUGCUGAGACCAUGGAGACGAUGAUGUUAGUGGACCGAGUGGUCCAGCUCAUUAAUGAUGGUGUCACUGGCAUGGACUUGCUGGAGGUGUUCCUCGCUCGGCGUAUCCAGCCUCUCCAGUCCCGUGACCACCCGAUGUGGUUGUACUCUGGGCUGGGCGACACCACUCGGGUCCAUCCAGAAGAAGUGCCGCUUGGCACCGUGGCAUUGUGGUUGAAGGGUAUCACGGGAAAUCAAGAUAACCCUAGAGGAUCUAGGCGAGUCGCCCCUUUCGGAAGUGACAACCCACCCGACUAGGUACCUUCUCAGUUCAGACCGUAUUCUGCUUGCAUUCCGACUGUGUUUGGUGUUGGCUGACUCUUGUUUUGGCCAACUUGCAUUGCAGGUAUUCACAGAGAUGUACUCAAUGCCCAACGACGAAUAGGCUUUGGCGCAGGACCAGGAGGGGGAGGACAGCGCGGAGGAGAGCAGCGAAUGGGAGUCCCCAGGGGAGGAGGAGGAGGAGAGUGCGGAGUCGGACGAGGAAGAUGAGGUCGACUCGCCACCGCGCUCUGAGCAUCGAUCCAAGCAGCAACAGGGUCCCUCCAUCGGUCGAGUGAAGAGUGUGGCUCCCAGCACCACCACCCAGAAGCGCACUCGGACGUCGACUCCGGAGACGACAGAGAAGGUGGCUAAGCAGCCCAAAGUCGCCCCUUCCAAGACUCGGAAGACACUGCCGCGUAUCAAGAUGGACGUCACCGUUGCCUCAGGGUGGGUAUCUUGUUGGUGUUUCUGUAAGUCGACUGAUGGUUUUCCCGAACCGACUGACUAGUUCUUUUGUCCUUCCAGCCCCACCUCCGCUGCCACAGACAUGGAUGUUGACAAGGCACCAGAAGAUGAAGAAGCCACCUCACGGGCUGGUAAGUUCAUUCAACUCAGUCCUGUUCAACUGAGUGGGUGGUGGAUUGACUGAAAAUUUGGUGCUUCUCUUCUUAUGUAGCUCCGCAAGAUAUCGUUGUGCUUCCUGAUGAUGAGGAGGAAGAAGUGCCCCCACAAGAGAGGAAGAAGAAGAGUGGAGGUUUAAGCAGAAGGAGACUUGAAGUCCAAAUCCCUCAGUCGACGCCGGCACCUGAGGCGACAGCUCGGACUAAUGUCACAUUUGUUGACCCAUUGACGACUGAUCGUCCGUCGAGGUCGACUGCACAGACGCCUGCUGCACCGGUGCAACUCCAUUCGUCUGAUCCGGCCAAUACUUUGACCCCUCUGGAGCCAUCCCUCUUUGCUACAUAUCAAACUCCGGACGAUUCGCCAAGUGCCGCUAGGGAAGCACUUCGCCAGGCAAAUAUUGUCAUGGAGCAGGUGAAGGUGAUACAUGAGGCUAGUCAGAUAGCCUAUAAUGCCAGCACUGCCCUUCAGACCAAUGUACAGGUUAGUAAACUUCCGACUGAACUUUUGAACAUUGCUUUAUAUCUGAUCACCCACUGGGUGUGCCUUCAUUUAGGACCCAAGAAAUCUCUGAUUUUGCACUUUCCGAAUCAGUGGGGGCACGUCGAGUGCACCCACUGGGUGUAGUCCUCGAGACCACGGUCGGCUGCUGGCAGUCGACUGAGGUCUGAUGAGUUAUGAUCAUUCUGCCUCUGUGUUUUUUCUUUUUUUUACUGAGUAUUGAUCUGAUCCAGUGGGGGCACGCUGAGUGCACCCACUGGGUGUAGUCCCCGAGACUACUGUUGAAUAUUUUAUUCGGCAGUAGUCUUAGAGUAAACCUUCUCUUUCAUUGUUGUUUGUAUGUGUUGACUGAUAUGUCUGUCUUUCUGUCUGCAGAGGUCUUGUGAUCUUGGAGCUCGGCUCACUGAAUUAAAGAAGCAGCAUAUCAGUGUGGAACUUGAUCUUGAACUUGCGAAGAAGAAUCUGAAGAAAGCUCAAGAUGAAACAGCCAUCAUGGGAGGUAAUCACUCGGCAAUUUUGUCUGCUUUGUAGAUUUACAUUUGGCACUGGCUUUUCUUUCAGUCUCUUUGAAGCGAGUGAAUUCGCAUAAGCAGAUGUGCGUAGUGAAAAUCGUCAACUCUAGUCUCGUCUGAAGAGUGUUGUUUCUUUAGAGAGGAUGAAGGAAGCUCUGGAGCAGAAGGAUCUGGAACUUGCAGCUGCUCAGAAGGAAGCGCGCGAGAAGACGAAGCUUGCGGACGAGAAGCUGGCUUCGGUCGGCAAGUUGGAGGAUGAGAACACGACAUUGAAGACGGCUGUCUCGGAUGCUAACCGUGAAGCUGAGCAACUACGGAAGGACAAGGAGAACUUGACCGCUGAAGUUGAAGGCCUCAGGACCAAGACUGGCAAGCUAGAGUUUCAUUUAGAGCAACUCGUGCAAAGCUUGUCCUGAAGCUUGAGGGUACGUCUGUCCCAUUAAAUAACUGCCGUCAACUGAGAUUUGCAAUACUGUCGACUCAUUGUUUGUUGUGAUGAAACAGAACUCUGCCAGGACUUCGAGGCCGAGACUAGACGGGUUGAGACAGGUCUCAACCCUAUCAACUGCCCCCUGAAGGAUGAAGCCGCGAUGAACUUGCUCUGACUAGAAUCGCGCUUGGAUGGUGCAGUCGACUAUCUGGCUCGGCUGAAGGCGGCGAUGGUCCGAGUGGACGCCGAACUCUGGCCUCAGGAGGAAAUGUCUCAAGACCUCGAGUCCUUGAUAACUCGGCUAAAUCAGAUCGCAGACCGAGUGCAAGAGUGGAAGAAAUCUUCCGCACGCUGCGGUGCUGACGUUGCUUUGUCUUUGGUCAGAGUGCACUACAAGGAGGCAAAGGAAGACAAGCUGGCAGCCCUCAAAUUGGCGAACACCAAGAAGCACUCCUUCCAGGACUUCAUGGACACCUUCCUCGAAGAAGCCACUCGCAUUGCUGACAGCAUCGACCUCGACAACUUCUGCGACCCGGCCAGUCCUCCUCCCGCCGAGUGAUUAAAAAACAUUCUGCUACCGCUUUAUUUGCCUCGGAAUGCCGAGUGGAUUUGUAAUCGUUAAACUCCUUCGGGCCUGACGUCCGAUCACUUUAUUUUGCGGCUAAGAAACUUCGGAUUUACCACCUCGCACAUUGCGUCUGUCUUCGAAUGAAAUUCGCCUUUCUAUCAAAGUGUUGCCCGUUUUCUUGAUGCAGCUUUUGGAGAAGGAUGGCCAGUCGCCUGAUCGAGCAACCUUUGAGUAGCAUUGAUCAGCUCAUCAGCAAGGCACUCGGCACUGGUCUUGAUGUUCUAGUCGACUGGUUGGGUGAUCCUUCAGUAGCGUUGAUCAGCUCAUCAGCAAGGUACUCUACUUCUGUAGAAGUACGACCAGUCGCCUGAUCGAGCAACCUUUGAGUAGCAUUGAUCAGCUCAUCAGCAAGUCAUUCAGGAAUGGUCUUGACAUUCCCGUCGACCGGUUGGGUAAGGUUUCCAAAACUUAGGCGAGUACGAGACUACAGAUAAGCCCCCGAGUGGGAGGAUCGCUCUCCACUUGGUAGGAUUUUCCAUUACUUAGGCGAGCACUGGGCUGCAGCUAAGCCCCUAGGACUCAUCACUCGGUAGGAUUUUUAUCACUUUGGUGUGCACUGGGCUGCAGCUAAGCCCUCGAGUGAGAGGCAGACUCAUUACUCGGUAGGAUUUUUAUCACUUAGGCGAGCACUGGGCUGUAGCUAAGCCACUACUAGGAAAAGGGCUAUAGAUGGAAUGGGCACUAAUGGUGCACCAGUCAGGUGGUGCCCACUACUAUAUACUAAUGGCGCACCAUUUGGUGAUGCGCCAUUAGUGUGGAAGACACUAAUGGCGCACCAGACACAAGGUGCGCCACUAGUAAUAAUUUUUUUUCCAUUUUUCCAUACAUACUAAUGGCGCAUCCGAGCGAAGUGCGCCAUUACUAGUUCUAACUAGUAAUGGCGCACCAGCCACAGAGUGCGCCAGUACUGUAUUCUUUUUUUUAUUCUUUUUUUUGCAAAACUACUAAUGGCGCACCGUGUCACAGUGCGCCAUUACUAGUUAUACUAGUAAUGGCGCACUAUGACAUGGUGCGCCAUUAGUAUAUAUAUUUAUUUUUUUAUUUUUUUGCAAAACUACUAAUGGCGCACCACAUGCAGGUGCAUCAUUAGUAACCAGGGUUACUAAUGGCGCAUUUGCAGGUGGUGCGCCAUUAGUAACCUGGGACCCCAACAAGAUAUUUUGGAAGCCACACCUACCCACUCACUUUCCCCACUUCAUUCCCUCCACCUCCUUCUCCAAGAUUUCGGCUGCCUCCUCCUCCUCACCCCAGUUGCACCAUAGAUUCAUCAAAAUUAAGUGGCGAAAUUACCUUUUUUGAUAGGUAAGUAAGGGGAAAGCUAUCUUCAUGUUGUAGAUCUACUUUUUUUCUCCCUAGCUCGCUCCAACAACGUGCACAUGCACUUUUUGUGGCCUAGCUAGAUCUAUGUAUGUUUGUGGUGUGGCAUAUGUUUGUGGUAUUGCAUAUAUGUUUGUGUUUGCAGGUACCGGUAUUUGAAAUGUGAUAGUUGCCAAUAUUUUGCCAGAAUGUUGAUUCAUUUCUGUUGCGGCGAGAAUUUUGGCACUAUGUAUUCUUUUUGGUCCUGUUUUUAGGGAAGGUCAUGCCAAAAAUUUUCUUGGUUCUAAAAUAUCGUUUUGCUCUACCCCGCAGGCGACCAUGGUCUGCAUGAUGACCGAAGGCAUCGUGAAUAGGUUUUUGAGCUCCGCGUAGGCCGAGAUGCUUCAAAAGAACGAGACGGAGAUAAGAUGUCCGUGUCGCAAGCUGAAGAGCCUUAUUGCGGAACCGGAUUCCGGGCAUGUGCGGGACCACCUUCUCUUGCAUGGUUUCAUGGAUGGCUAUCGGUGGCAAGGUGAUGAAGAUGGCUAUGAAGUCGGCCAUGGGGGCUGGGCAAGAAAUGAGGAAGGGCAACAAGACAACUACCGUGGUGAGGGCGGGCGAGAAGACGAAGAAUCUCUAGGACAUGAUCACGAUGGUGAUGCUGUACACAGUCAUCACGUAGAAGAUGUCGUACAUGAUGAUGAGGAAGAUCAAGAUGAAGGGCAUGAUCAUGAAGAUGGAGAUGCCGGAGCAGACGACGAUGGAGGCUGGGUGCAGGACCCUCAUAUUCAAGAGAUGCUUCUCAAGCAGACAAAUAACGCAAGAGCUGCCGCCAGAGAGAAAGCCAAGCUGGAUCAACUGGAGAUAGACGCAGUUACUCCAUUGUAUGAAGGAUGCAGGCCCGAGGAUACCCGCCUGAAACGAACGUCUUCCCAAGGGGAACAAGUGCCCAACCAGUUUCGAGGAGGCGAAGAAAAUCGUGUGUCCUCUGGAUUUACCGCACGUGAAAUACCAUGUGUGCAUGAACAAUUGCAUCAUUUUUUGGGACGAGCACGCGGAGUCUACCAUAUGUCCGAUGUGCGGCGUCACUCGAUACAAGAAGAGGAAGAAAGCUCCUCGAAAAUUGGUGUGGUACUUUCCGAUCACUCCUUGUCUGCAACGGUAUUUCGCGGACCCUAAGGUAGCAAAGCUCCUGCAUUGGAAGGCGGAUAGGGAGGAGAAGAAGCGGGAAGAUGACGGAUAUGAUCUGGAGAUAAAUAAAAAAGACAAGAUGUUGAGUCACCCUAAGGAUGCGAGCCAGUGGCAAGCGUUGAACUUCGAAUACCCAGAAUUGGGAAGGAUGCAAGGAACAUCGUGCUGGGCGCGAGCACCGUUGUGGUCAAUCCGUUUGGCAGCCAGAGAAGCACACAUAGCACCUGGCCUACGUUUGUGUGGAUGUACAACCUCCCCCCCUGGUUGUGCAUGAAGAGGGAGUACAUUCACAUGAGUAUGCUAAUUGAAGGGCCGAAACAACCAGGGAAUGACAUCAAUCUGUAUCUGGGGCUGCUGAAGGAGGAGCUAGACACGCUGUGGAAAACGCCAGCCAAUACGUGGGACGCUGCAGAGAAAGAAUAUUUCCCUAUGAGAGCCGCACUGCUCACGACGGUGCACGACUAUCUCGGUUACGGAUAUCUCGUGGGGCAGGUAGUCCACGGAUUUUCUGGACGCGUAAGGUGCAUGGAUGACACAACGUAUCGCCAGCUAGAUAGAGAUCCCGGGUCUUUGAAAACCAUGUUCAUGGGACAUCGAAGGUGGCUUCGUGACGAUGACCCGUGGAGGAAACGCAAGGAUCUGUUCGAUGGUGAAACCGAACCCCGAAAACGCCAGCGUACAAGGAUCGGCGAGGAAAUAGACGAGCUGUUGAAAAAUUGGAAAGAUUGCCCACUGCAGGGAAAGAAGCAAAAGGCGCCAGAGCCGGGAAAGAAGCGAAAGGCGCCAGAGCCGCUGCUGAAGGUAUGGAAAACAAGGUCUGUUUUCUCGGACUUGCCGUACUGGAAGAUCCACCGUGUGCCUCACAGCCUUGAUGCCAUGCAUAUCACAAAGAACAUGUGGGAGAGUCUGCUUGGUACCCUGCUCAACGUUUCAGAGAGGACCAAAGAUCCGCCGAAAGCAAGGGCAGACUUGAAAUCAAUGGGCAUCAGGCAGGAGCUUCACGCUAAUGAUGAUGAUGAUGAUGAUGAUGAGGCGAAGCAGGACACAGAAAGUCGUCGCAAAGGCAAAAAGGCCAAGAAGACCGGAAAUGACUACCCUCCCACGUGCUUCACUCUAAGUUAGGAGGAUAUCGAGCAGUUUUCCACCUGCCUCGUAGGAGUAAAACUUCCUUACGGUUACACGGGGAAGAUAAGCAGAUACCUAGACCCAGCAAAGCAGAAGUUCAGCGGGAUGAAGUCUCACGACUGUCACGUGCUGAUGACGCAGAUACUUCUAGUUACAAUCCGUGGGAUCAUGGACGCGCACGUCAUAAAACGCUAUUUGGCCUAUGCAACGUUUUCGACGUCAUCUCUCGGAAGUUGAUUGGCGUGAGGCAACUCAGAAGGCUACAAGAAGAGAUCGUGGUGAUACUAUGCGAGCUUAAGAUGUACUUCCCGCCCGCAUUCUUCAAUGUUAUGGUGCAUCUGCUCGUCCAUAUCAUGGAGGAUAUCAUCCAACUCGGGCCGACGUUCCUGCAUAGCAUGAUGUCGUUCGAAAGGAUGAAUGGUGUCAUCAAAGGAUACGUUCGCAACAUGUCACGUCCAGAGGGAAGUAUAGCCAGGGGCUUUCUGACCGAAGAGUGCAUCUCCUACUGCACGAAUUAUCUAGGCAUCGAGAACCCCGUUGGUCUGCCCGUCAAUAGGCACCUCGGCAGGCUCGCUGGAUGGGGUCACCGUGAGGGUCACCGUGAAAUGCAUGUCGACUUAGAGGGUCGACUUGCCGACUUUGAAAGAGCAAACCUAGCCGCGCUACAACACAUAGACGUGGUCGAUCCUUGGGUGGUAGAGCACAAAACCUUUAUUGAGAAGACAUACAAUGACCGAGGCCAACAGAGAACAGACGGAGAUAUAAUCAAAGAGCACAACUCAUGUUUCAUGCGUUGGUUCAAGCAGAAGCUUCUGUCGUACCCUUUACAUGAGGAUUCUUCCGCGGAAGAACAACUCAUAUUCACCUUGUCACAGGGCGCCGAGCACAACCUGAUGACCUAUGAGGCGUACGAUAUCAACGGCGACACAUUCUACACCGAGAACAAGGACAUGAAGAGCGAUGGUUAUCAGAACUCCGGGGUAACGAUGGAAUCCUACACCAGUAACGACAAGGACAGAUACUACGGAAGGAUCGAGGAGAUCUGGGAGCUGAGCUACGCUGGAGAGAAGGUCCCGAUGUUCCGUGUCAGAUGGGCCAAGAGUGUCCUAAAAGAAGACCGGUAUUUCACCACCAUGGUUAUACCCGAAGCCAAAUCCAAGACCGCGGGCACAAACGUCACCGCGAAAAAUGAGCCAUGGGUACUGGCUUCCCAAGUGGACCAAUGCUUCUUCAUUACUGACCCGUCAAAGCCCAGUCGUGUUGUCAUGAGGAGAGGCAAAAGGAAGAUCAUCAGAAUGGAUGGAGUAGCCAAUGAGCAAGACUUCGACAAGUACGGUGACCCAAAGAUCGAACAUGACGAUGACGAUGAAGUAGCAGCACACACCACAAGAAGAAGCAGGACCACCCUACCUAAAGGACGUCCGUUCCACAGAAGAACUCCAUUUGCGAAAAAGAAGGGCAAGAAGAUUAUGAACAGAUAGCUAGCUAAGAUCGAUUGUAUUUCAAUCGUAGUCUUCAUUUCUCGAUUGUAUUUCAUGGGCACUUAUUGAUAUCAUGAAUAUUUUUAAAUUUCAUGUGCACUUUUUGAAUUCAUGAGGACACUCGAUCUCGACCCCCUCCAUCUUUAUCCCCCUCCAUCUCGAUCCCACCCGCACCCUCCCCCGCUAGCUCCAUCGCCGCCGACGAUCCACCGCAACCUUCCCCCGCUCCACCACCCCGACGAGCACCCGGCCCCCUGCACCUUCCCCCGCUCCACUGCCGCCAACGGGCACCCCCCGCACCCUCCCCCGCUCCACCGCCGCCGCCGAUGAUAUNNNNNNNNNNNNNNNNNNNNNNNNNNNNNNNNNNNNNNNNNNNNNNNNNNNNNNNNNNNNNNNNNNNNNNNNNNNNNNNNNNNNNNNNNNNNNNNNNNNNNNNNNNNNNNNNNNNNNNNNNNNNNNNNNNNNNNNNNNNNNNNNNNNNNNNNNNNNNNNNNNNNNNNNNNNNNNNNNNNNNNNNNNNNNNNNNNNNNNNNNNNNNNNNNNNNNNNNNNNNNNNNNNNNNNNNNNNNNNNNNNNNNNNNNNNNNNNNNNNNNNNNNNNNNNNNNNNNNNNNNNNNNNNNNNNNNNNNNNNNNNNNNNNNNNNNNNNNNNNNNNNNNNNNNNNNNNNNNNNNNNNNNNNNNNNNNNNNNNNNNNNNNNNNNNNNNNNNNNNNNNNNNNNNNNNNNNNNNNNNNNNNNNNNNNNNNNNNNNNNNNNNNNNNNNNNNNNNNNNNNNNNNNNNNNNNNNNNNNNNNNNNNNNNNNNNNNNNNNNNNNNNNNNNNNNNNNNNNNNNNNNNNNNNNNNNNNNNNNNNNNNNNNNNNNNNNNNNNNNNNNNNNNNNNNNNNNNNNNNNNNNNNNNNNNNNNNNNNNNNNNNNNNNNNNNNNNNNNNNNNNNNNNNNNNNNNNNNNNNNNNNNNNNNNNNNNNNNNNNNNNNNNNNNNNNNNNNNNNNNNNNNNNNNNNNNNCGCCCCGACCCUCGCCGUCUUCGUCUUCGUCUGCACCUUCUUCCACCUCCGGCCACCGCGGCCUCACCGUUGAACCGUCCCCGUCCACGCCGUCCCCGACGAUGCCAUCUACUCCUCUGCGACCGCUGUGAGAUGCCCUUCAGUUUCCCCUCCUCCCCUUGGUCGUUUGCUUCCCGUAGCGCCGCCCCUGUGAUUUUGCCGCACCACUAACCACCAUGGUCGGGCCUUGCUCCACGCGCGGCUGCACCUUGCUGCCCACUGCCUGACCUCGCCUCCGGCUGUCACCCGGUCGCACCAGACCGCGCUCAUCCCACCCCUGUCCAUUCCCUGGUCGCGGGGCCGUGUCCUGGCCUGCAGCCGUCCGCUCCUGAUGGCUGAUUAUCUAGUUUUGUUCUAGAUAAUGAUUAAACGUGGCUGAUUAUCCUCUCAAUUCGGUUACUUGCUCGUUUCAGUUUAAUGAUUGCAUUAUAGUCCACUUUUUUAGUAAAAUGUUCUGUUGCAAUUCAUUCCAUUAGUUUGGUGCUGAAAUGAUCUGCCGUAAUUCCUUCUUUCUAUUGCAUUGUUUAGAAUUGUAUCUCACUUUAGCUGCUAAACUCUCUGGAAUUAAUGCUUCAUAUGAUGUUCAAUUUUUGCAUAAGUUGAGGAAACAAUAGUUCUACUGACAAGCAGAAGAAAGGAUUGGGCUCUGGUCCAAAUGAUGUUUAACAUGAAUUUAACUAAACAGGAAUUUUAUGUUGUUGCUGCUGAAGAUGAGUAGUUGUAGGAAGAUGAUGCAUAGUAGUUUUAUGUUAUUGUAGUAGUUGUAGGAUGAUAUUGUAGUUGAAGUUGCAGGAGUAGAUAAUGGAGUACUGCCAAUUUAUUGUUAGUAAAGAUGUUGAACACACAACUGUUGUUUACUCUAGUGAUAGGAGUAGUAGUGGUGGCCAUCUAGUUGGACUACUACUGCUAGGACUUGCUCCAGAUUUUAGGAUUUCUUUUCUUUUAGGAUUUAUUUUCUUCUAGGACUAGGUUUUUAUUAUUUUUUCUGUUGUGAUUGUUUUUUGAGCUCUUUCUUUUUCAUUUCCUACUAUCCUUAUCCUAAUUAUCUUAAAUUGUUAUGAUGUGUGUAACAGGAUUAGAUCUUGGAUUUGCUAGUGGACUUUGGGAGUUUCUUAGCCAGCUUGGUGACUCCAUAUUUUUCACUAUUUCAGCAAGUCUUUUGUAAGCAUUAAACUUUCAGCACUACAUUUUUAUCUUAUGUGUACAUCUGUUUGCUUCCAAUUGCUAUAUAUGUAUUGUUGUUACUAAAAUGAUGAAGCUCCUGUCAAUUGCUAUACAUAUAUAUAUGUGUAUGAUGAUCCUCCUUUCCUGCAGUAGUAUAGCACUUGCAGUAGUAUGGCACUUGCAGUAGUGGUGCCUACGCAAGAUACAGUUAAGAUUUGAUUAGUUCCGUAAAUUUGUAUGACCACAGAUUUGUAUAGUUUCAGAGAUUUGUAUGACCAAAGAUACAGUUCAGAUUUGAUUAGUUCCAUAAAUUUGUAUGACCAAAUAUAUAUUUCAGAUUUGUAUAGUUUCAGAGAUUUGUAUGACCAAAGAUACAGUUCAGAUUUGAAUUAUUUCAGAAAUUUGUAUGACCAGAGAUACAGUUCAGAUUUGAAUUGUUUCAAAAAUUGGUAUGACCAAAGAUGCUAUUGUAUAUAAAUGGGCUGCUGUGGAACUGUUCUUUAUCUUUACAGUGUUGUUGUAUAGAAAUAUGCUGAAUUUUCUGCUCUGAUUGUUGCUCAAAGAAAUUUAGCAAAAAAAUGGGGUCCUGGGAGACGCCGCUGGUGCUUGAGGCCCUUGAGAGGCCCUUCGUGUCGUGAUGAUUUUGCAGGUACCCAGAGAGGCCCUUGAGUUUGCCAGAAUGUCGAUUAACUUCCAUUCCGGCAAAUUCGGGUACUCCAUAUGUCCUAUUUUCAGCAAAGGUCAUGCUGAAAUUUUCCGUGAAUUUUAGCAUGACUUUGCUAAAAAUCGGGCAUAUGGGGUACUUUCUACUAAUGCAUGGGCCGGGGUAUCUUAUUACUUAAUUAAGUAGGAUCAACUGCCCCUUUAUUCUUGCUGCAUUAAACCAUAGGUGGCAAUAGAGCCAAGUGAUUAGGCCCAACUUAGAAUUCUCCUCGGCAUCAAUAAACCCUAGAUGAUAAACCCAACAUAGGUGGCAAUAGAGCCAAGUGAUUAGUGCCAAGUGAUUAGACCCAACCUAGGGUGCCUCAGCAUCGAUAAACCCUAAAUGAUGAAAACUUAACUUAGCAUUUAGGUUUCCUCGGUGUCGACAAACCCUAAAUGAUGAAACCUUGGCUUUUAGGGUGCCUCGGUGUCGAUGAGAACCUAAAUGAUGUACGCUUAGGCUUUUAGGGUGCCUCGGCGUCGACAAACCCUAAAUGAUAAAAGCUUAGCUUUUAGGAUGCCUCGGUGUCGACAAACCCUAAAUGAUGAGACCAUGAUCUUGUUCCUUGACAAUAACCAACUUUUUCACCAAACUUUUUUCCUAUUUAGAGCGAAACAUGGCCCAAAACAAUGAGGCUGGCGGUUCGGGCGGCAAGCAAUUCUGGGAGCUAUCCCAGGAGUUGGAGAAAGAACAUCACCGCUAUGAGGACGUCGCAGAAGACACCGAUCCUGACUACACAACACCUAGUGGUGUCGGGGAUGACACCACUGAUGGCACCGCCGAGGAUGCCACCACUGAUGAUGGCGGCGCACACACAGAUGGUAGCCAACCGAAGAGGCAACGGAAGGACCGGCGCCCGAGCGUGCUCGGCACCGGCAGGGAGGAAUUUACUAAAGUGGACUCCGAUGGGCAACCUCCUCUUCACGAAGUUGCACGAACGAUACAAGUUCCCCGCUGACUUUGCAAACACACGCCUGUCAGGGAAUAAACUGAACAGUGCCGCCCUAACGAGGAUGAGCACGACCUUGUCUACUUGGAGAAGCACGGUGAAGGCAAUGAUUGACAAAGGUGGUAGUUAUGACAAGAUCAAGGUGAAAUAUCCUUUGAUGAGCGAAGAUGAGUACAAGGAGUUCAAGAUCAAGUCGAGAGCAGCGCAACCUCUGAAUCAAGUCAAUGGGGGAAAGAAAUGCGGAAGUUGAACUUAGGGGUCCACCAACUCGGUCCUGGCGGUUACAGAGUGGCGGAGCCUAUAUGGGACAAGGAGGAUGCGGAGCGUGCCGAGCAAGUCCUACCGCCCUGCUUUGAGAAAUACCGUGACAAGCAAACCAGGAACUUUCUCAGGGCUCGGUACAAGGAGGACCCGAUAACAAAGGAGCUUACCACGGAUCCAAAGAUCAGGGCGCUCGAGCUUGUUCUGGUAAGGAAUACACCCCCGCGUAAUUAGCUCCAUAUGGUUGCACUCUAAUUAAUCCCCAAUAUUUCUAAAUGGUGCACGUUCCUUCCGCAGGACACUGAAAGCAGUAGCGCGGGGUCGUCUCAGAGUUCCCCUUUCGACACCCCUUUAAAUAGGGCGUUGAACGUGAUGAAAAACAAUGAUAAGGUUAGUAAGCCGACGUCAGCUGGUCGUGUGGCUGGCAAAGGCUUGUCCACAAAAUGGUCGUCAUACUAUACCGCUGGUGGGAGAAAGGAGAAAAAACUCGGAAAGCCAGUCACGCGAGGUUGAAGCACUCAAGGCACAAGUGGCGCGGAUUCCGGAGCUUGUCCAAGAGCAAGUGGAACAACAACUGGGAACGAAGAUCAACGCCAUGGUGCCUACGUUGAUUCAUGUGCUGACGACGUGGAUUGCGGGCGGCCAACAGGGGCCUCCCCCAGUUCCCAGAUUCAUGGCCAGCAACUCGCAAAGUGCGCAGGCGGCACCAUUGGUGUCUCCGGCGGAGGCGGUAUUCGUGUCUCUGGCGCCGGCACGGGCAUUGGAGCUUAAUGCACCCGGGUGUAUGCCGGGCGGCACCUCGCCAGCAAGCGGCCCCUCCAUUAGUUGCAAACCCGCCGUUGGCGGUGCCUCGACAUUAGCCGACCUCGACGGCAUCACGGUAACUAAGCCUCUCGGCCGAUGACUUCAUCUCCUUGCCUUUGACUGGGCAUCCCUGAUGCCCUACAUGUUUUCGCAGGGCGGCGCCUGACCCUACAUGUUUGCACUCUUCUGCACUUCGUGGGCGGCGAGUUGGUCGAUGUCGCCAAGGGUAGAAUCGUUCAACCGGGCAACCCCAUGUUCCACGGUAAUCAGAUGCCACCCACAGUGUAUAAGGUUGAAGUGGUUUGGGUGCUGCCAGGCUGCGACGAGUUGUUACCUCCGAUUUGACCCACCUGGGGCCGACGAAGAAGAUGAGAUGACCCUCAGCGCCUGCGUAAACUGGCCCCUGCUUUGGCCGAAGAGCCAGAUUCGUUUGGGUGCAGGGGACACCACCCCACAGACAAGACCGCUAGUCGUGCCGGCGCCAAGCCAUGGCAAGAACGCCGCAACUCUACCGGACCUGUCGGACAUCCCUAUGCCGGACAUCCCUAUGGCAUAGGAUCCGGACAUCCCUAUGGCACAUGAUCCGGACGACGAUGACAAUGACGAUGGUACAUUUACCAAAGUCGAUAAGUACUUUGCCGAACAUGGGUACGUUGACGAGUUCUGCGGGCCUCUUUCUCAAGAACCCAACCAAGACGACCCGAUCUAGCUGGUACGGCGGAGAAAUCCAAUUGCAACAGGCGUCGUCUGGCGUUCAGUUCUCAGGAGACGCCUCCAGCUCCUGCCUUCAUCGAGCCUCAGAUAGCUGAGGUGCGAAAUAUUAUCAGCCCCAACACGCUCAAGAAGGCAGUCUGUCAGCAGAACUCGGUCCCAUUACAGGAGAUCAAGAAGAAGGGACGGAAAUGAAAGACUAACAAGGGCGCUGGUGCGAGCCAGCCGGCACCGAGUUCGAUCCGUGCUCAGGACGGGCCACCUUCACCUAAGGAUAUCUCGAGGAGGGUGCAUGUGGCGGGUAGGGCGAUGCUACCGCCAAAUAUGCUCAAUGUUGCAACCGGUGCUAUGCAGAGUCUGCACGACAGUGUUCUUUCUUUGGAGGAGCGGUGUCUCAGAGAGAAUGAUGUGGCAUACCCGGUUUUUGUGGCCAAGGUGCCAGAGGGCAAGGGCUUUGUGGACGGCGACAUAGGGGUACGAUCAUCCUGCGGUUUGAUGACAUCUUUGCUAUGUUUAACCUUCAUCCGCUGCAGUACACUUUCGUUCGGCUGUUUUCACUGAGUAUGGAGAAUCGGAUCAUUAGAGACAAGACACCGGACAUCGUGAUAGUUGACCCUUUCUACACGCAUGCCAAGCACUUGAGCAGUGCUGGGGACCGCCAAGUUGCGAGUUCACACCUCGAUGGCAUCAUUCUGGCAAACCCAUAUAAGUAUAACUUCCUUGUGGCUUACUUUCCCGAGUAAGUCAUCCCUUAACCGCCCCGUAACAUGUGAUUUCUGUGCAGUGACACACAUUGCACACUCAUCCUCGAAGAUAGACUACACAAAUGUCAAGAAAGUUCUUGAUGAUGUUCUCCCCGGCUACGCCAAAUCUGGAGGCACCUUCACCAGGGCAGUUCGUAAGUACGACAAGCACAUGUUCUCACGCAAUACGAAGUUCUGCUGCGUCAAGCAGCCGCCUGGAGGUUAGAAGGAUGCCUACUACGCCCUCCAUCACAUGCGGGCGAUCGUAAGGGACCAUCAUCACCUUCUGCUACCAGAUAAUCUCAAAGAUUGCGCCGCGAGCUUGUCGGCAAUCCAGGACGCGGACCUCAGACAAUAAUUCUUUCGCAUCCAGUCAGAGUUUGCGGACAUCAUCCAUCAAUAUGUCCUUCAUACCUCGGGGCAGUUCUUCCUCAGAUAUCAACCGUCCAACAGUGAGAUAGAUGGAACGCUACAAAUGCAGGGUGACAACGACCGCGAUUUCAUGACCAUCAUGACAGACGGCGACUUCAUCCACGCUCCUGCCCGAUGAGUCGAGUCGAAAGUAGUGAUGUGUAGUUCUGAAACAUUGAUUGGAUCAUGUUGUAAUUAAACUUUAAUGAAUUCAUAUGUCUCUUUGGUUUGGACAGUCGUUCAACUUAGAUGUAAUCGAUGCUAUUUAUUAGUAGGACCAUGAAUCGUGCUAUUAAUGUCUUGCUUUUCUCUUCCGAUCCUUUUGUUGCAUACUUACAUAUUGCUUAUGUAUUGUCUGUUGUUUGGCUUGUGCAUAGAGAUGCCGUCGUAUGUCGUGUACAAGGGUAAGGUUCCCGGAGUCUACGACGACUGGGAGGAGUGUCGGAGACAGGUUCACCGUUUCAGCGGUAACAGUUACAAAGGGUACACCACUAGGGAGGAGGCCGAAUCUAGAUACGCCCGCUAUCUAGCGGGAGAGAGGAGGGAGCGUUGGAGGAACCGUAUGAAGACCAGUUUGAUUGCGAUGAUGCUCAUCGUGAUGACCACAGCUCUCUUCUAUGUGAUGGUAGGUUAGAUGAUCGAUAUCGACUUGUAAUGUGAAGACAAACUCGAUACUCGCGGUCUUGAGACUUGUAUUGUUUUAUCUUUGUUCGGUCUUUUGAAUUCGGAGACUAAUAUGAUGAAUUGUAUUUGGAGACUAAUCUUCUAUUGUAUUCGAUGAAUCUGCUGUUGCUGUGCGCUGCUGUCUAUAUUCUGUCCAAUAAUAUAUUUUGUAACGUGUGCAAAAAUCAGAAAAGUAAAAAAACAAAUAUUCAUACUAAUGGCGCAUCACCUCAAGGUGCGCCAUUAGUAUGCCAAAGGAUACUAAUGGCGCAUCACGACAGAGUGCGCCAUUAGUAUGACAAAGCACAUGGUUACGUAUGGCCCCCGGGAGGCAUACUAAUGGCGCAUGGUGUUACAUACUAAUGGCGCACUGCAUGGUGCGCCAUUAGUAUACCAGAUACUAAUGGAGCACCAGUGGUGCGCCAUUAGUAAAAAAUACUAGUGGCGUGAUACUAAUGGCGCACGGGUAGUGCGCCAUUAGUAGGCAAAACCGGUGCGCCAUUAGUAGGCCUUUUCCUAGUAGUGAGCCCCCGAGUGAGAGGCAGACUCAUCACUCGGUAGGAUUUUUAUCACUUAAGCGAGCACUGAGCUGCAGCUAAGCCCCCGAGUGAGAGGCAGACUCAUCACUCGGUAGGAUUUUUAUCACUUAGGCGAGCACUUGGCUGCAGCUAAGCCCCCGAGUGAGGGGCAGACUCAUCAGUCGGUAGGAUUUUUAUCACUUAGGCGAGCACUGGGCUGCAGCUAAGCCCCCGAGUGAGAGGCAGACUCAUCACUCGGUAGGAUUUUUGUCACUUAGGCAAGCACUGGGCUGCAGCUAAGCCCCCGAGUGAGAGGCAGACUCAUCACUCGGUAGGAUUUUUGUCACUUAGGUUCAGGCGAAAUAGAUUUGCGACUAAAGUAGCAUACACAAAAGAAAUAAACAACAACCACUUGGAAGGAGUAAAUUAUGUCUUUUGAUAAUUAAGCUAACAUGUAUUCCUUAUUACAUCCGAUCGGUUUAACUAUUUAAGAAUAGAAACGGCGGAGCAGAUCCGCAUUCCAGGCGCGCGUCUCAUCUCUAUUGUGUUCGAAAUUGAAGAGACGGUAUGCUCCAUUAUGGAGCACCUUGGUGAUGACGAAAGGGCCUUCCCAAGCGGGGGCGAGCUUGUGUGGCCUUUGUUGAUCCACUCGGAGGAACAAGUCCCCUUCCUGGAACGCACGACCCCUUAUGUUCUUGGCGUGGAAUCGACGUAAGUCUUGCUGAUAAAUGGUCGACCGGAUGAAAGCCAUCUCUCUCUCUUCCUCCAAGAGGUCGACUGCAUCUUGUCGAGCUUGCUCUGCUUCUUCUUCUGAGAAGAGUUCGACUCGGGGAGCACUGUGGAGCAAAUUGCAUGGCAAAACGGCUUCGGCUCUGUAUACCAUAAAGAAUAGAAUCCGUCCAGUCGACCGAUUAGGGGUUGUCCUCAGCCCCCAAAGCACCGAUGGGAGCUCGUUGACCCAAGCCCCUGCCGCGUGCUUGAGAUCAUGCAUUAGCCGAGGCUUCAGCCCUUUGAGAAUCAAUCCAUUCGCUCACUCACCUUGUCCAUUCGACUGGGGAUGGGCGACUGAAGCGUAAUUGACCCUCGUGCCCAGGGAGGCGCAAAAAGCUUUGAACUCUUCAGAAUCGAAGUUCGAGCCGUUGUCCAUUAUGAUGUUGUGCAGGACACGGUAUCUGAAUAUAAGUUCUUUGAUGAAACUAACGGCUGUGCUCGCUUCAAGGCUCUUAAUGCGCUUGGCUUCGAUCCAUUUGGUGAACUUGUCGACUGCUACCAGCACAUGAGUAAAUCCACUCCUGCCUGUCCUCAGAGGUCCUACCAUGUCAAAUCCCCAAACGGCGAAGGGCUAGACGAGUGGAAUAGUCUUCAGAGCCGACGUAGGUUUGUGAGACAUGUUGGAAUAAAACUGACAACCUUCACACUUGUCCACUAUUUACUUUGCCAUCUCGUUAGCGUGCGGCCAGUAAAACCCGGCUCGGUAUGCUUUGGCUACGAUGGUCUGAGAGGACGCAUGGUGACCACAGGUCCCCGAGUGGAUAUCUUUAAGGAUCAUUCGGCCUUCUUCUGGCGUGAUGCACUUCUGGCAGGCUCCAGUUACACUCUCUCUAAACAACUGUCCUCUUAUCACAGUAAAGGCUUUAGACCGUCGGAUGAUCUGUCGAGCUUCUUCUUCAUCCUCUGGGAGUUCCUUCCUAAGAAUAUAUGCGAUCUAUGGUACUGUCCAGUCGGGAGUGAUGACCAAAACCUCCAUGAUUAAGUUGACCACGGCCCGGACUUUGACUUUAGUCGGAUCUGUGGCGCUCUUGGGCUGCGGUGACUCUUCGGUGAAAGGAUCUUCUUGAACCGAAGGUGAAUGGAUAUGUUCCAUAAACACGUUUCGGGGAAUAGCCUCUCUCUUUGAGCCUAUCUUGGCCAACUAUUCUGCAGCUUGAUUUUUCAGUCGGGGUAUAUGGUGGAGCUCCAAACCUUCAAACCUCUUCUCCAGCUUUCUCACUAUAUUGCAAUAACCGGUCAUGGUCGGGCUUCUGACACCCCAUUCCUUCAUGACUUGGUUAACCACCAAAUCGGAAUCGCCGUAGACCAUAAGGUGACGGACGCCGAGUGAAAUGUCCAUACGCAACCCGUAUAGAAGUGCUUCAUAUUCGGCUUCGUUAUUGGAGGAAUCAAAAUGAAUCUAGAGAACGUAACUAAGCCUGUCUCCUCGGGGGGAUACCAAAACUACUCCAGCACCUUAACCAUUCAGCAUCUUGGAGCCAUCAAAAAACAUAGUCCAAUGUUCCGAGUGAACUUGAGUCGGCAAUUGCUGUUCAAUCCACUCGUCUAGAAAAGCUGCAAUUGCUUGGGACUUGAUAGCCGUCUUUCCCUCGAACUUGAUAUCAAAAGGGAGGAGUUCAAUCGCCCAUUUGGGCACUCAACCGGUUGCAUCUCUGUUAGAAUUUCGGAUAGUAGCGCAUUGCUGACGACUGUAAUGGAGUGGUCAAAGAAGUAAUGCGCAACUUUCUUCAUGGUCAUGUAUAUUCCAUAGACAAGCUUCUGAUAAUGCGGGUAUCGUUGCUUGGAUGGAGUCAAAACUUCAGAGAGAUAAUAGACUGGGCGCUGAACCUUGUAGGCUUCUCCUUCUUCUUCCCGCUCGACCGUGAGUACUGUACUGACAACUUGUCCAGUGGCUGCAAUGUAGAGCAGUAAAGGCUCUUUGCUGAUUGGCGCAGCGAGCACCGGCUGGGUGGAAAGCGGGGUUUUGAGUUCACUCGAACUUAUCAGACUUCUUCAUCAAUCGGUAAAGAGGGAAGGCCUUUUCACCGGGACGAGAAAUUAAUCGACUCAGAGCGGCAAACAACCAGUCAGCUUCUGAAGGUCAUGCACUCUCACGGGACGUUUCAUUCGGAGGAUGGUAUCAACUUUCUCUGGAUUGGCGUCGAUCCCUCGUUCGAAAACAAGGAAACCGAGUAACUUUCCUCCUGGAACUCCGAACAUGCAUUUUGACGGAUUAAGCUUGAUAUCGUAUCUUCUGAGGUUCACAAAGGUUUCUGCAAGGUCAGUUAAUAGGUUGGAACCUUUGCGAGACUUGACCACAAUGUCAUCCAUGUAUGCUUCCACAUUCCGACUGAUUUGAGUGAGCAGGCACUUCCAAAUCAUUCUCAUGAAUGUGGCUCCAGCAUUUUUCAAACAAAAAGGCAUGGUGACCUAGCAAAAGCACCCGAAUGGCGUGAUGAAUGCUGUUUUAUUUCAUCGGGACCAUGUAGUCGGAUCUGAUGGUAUCCGGAAUAUGCAUCUAAGAAAGACAAGCGUUCACACCCUGCAGUCGAAUCAACAAUCUGAUCGAUGCGAGGGAGAGGGAAGUGAUCUUUCGAGCAGGCCCGAUUGAUAUGCUUGAAAUCAAUGCACAUACGAAGUGAAUUAUCCUUCUUAGGAACCAUGACUACAUUGGCUAGCCACUCGGAGUGGUAGAUUUCACGGAUGAACUCUGCUGCCAACAGUCGAGCCACUUCCUCGCCGAUUGCUUUCUUCUUCUGCAUGGCGGACAGCCGAAGAUGUUCUUUGAUGGGUUUUAUUUUGGGGUCGACACGCAAACGGUGCUCGGCCAGUCCCCUGGGUACACCCAGCAUGUCAGAAGGUUUCCACACAAAGAUGUCCCAGUUCUCACGGAGGAACUGGACGAGCGCUUCUUCCUAUUUGCUGUCGAGUGUCGUUGAUAUAUGGGUCGGUGCAGCACUAGGAUCCGUCGGGUGAAUAUGAACUAGCUUCGUCUCACCAGUCUAUUGGAAUGCAGAAUCUAUGGCAGGUUUCUUGGCUUUGAGCACAUCACUCGGAUCCGCGUUCUUCUGAUAUUCUUGGAGCUCAACUGCUGCCAUCUGCUUAUCGGCGAUCUUGGAGCCUUUCUGGAAACACUCCUCAGCCUUUUGUCGAUUGCCUAUAACUGUGAUCACGCCUUUGGGGCCAGGCAUCUUCAGUUUGAGGUACACAUAACAUGGUCAAGCCAUAAAGCGUGCAUAGGCUAGCCUACCCAAAAUGGCAUGAUAGGCACUCUGGAUAUCCAUGACUUCAAAUGUCAACUUUUCCUUACGGUAAUGCUUUGAAUCACCGAAAACCACGUCGAGGGCGAUCUGUCCGAGUGACUCGCUUUCUUCCCAGGAAUAACAUCAUGAAAACUCAUAUUGCUCUCGCUAAGCUUGGACAUCGAAAUGCCCAUCCCCUUCAGAGUCUCAGCGUAGAGGAUGUUCAGAUCGCUGCCACCGCCCAUCAGUACCUUAGUCAGACAAGUGCCUCCAGCCACGGGGUCGACUACCAAAGCUUGCCUCCUAGGGGUGGCCACACGAGCAGGGUGGUCAGACUGAUCGAACGUAAUGGCUUUCUGAGACCAUCUCAGGUAGGUGGUCGUCGCCGCGGGAGCGACCAUGUUCACCUCCCUGUUUAUGACCUUCAAUCGACUCUUGCUUUCAACGUCAGCGAAUAUCAUCAGUGUGGAAUUGACUUUGGGAUAACCAUCUUCUUCCUCUUCAUCUUCACCUUGGUAUGACUCCUUCUCCUUUUCAGUGGGUUGUUUCUCUCUGAACUGCUGGAUUAGGAGUCGACACUGCCGGGUGGUAUGCUUCGGGUAAAUCAGAUUACCUUCUUCAUCUUUCUUCGUGUCGAUGUGGCAUGACAAAUCCAUCAUGUCAUUUCCUUCCUUAUCCUUCACCUUCUUAGGGGUCCAGGGCCCUUUAGGUUUUCCCUUAAACUUUCCUUGAUUCACUGCCCAAUCUCUCCGGGCGCUGCCGGCUCGGACUUGCGCUUCUGCUUCUGACUGGAGUUACCUCCACUGGUAUCUUGCCCGACUGGUUUGCUCUUCCUUCUACGGAGUCGAUCCUCUUUUGAUCCGUUAGCAUACCGGGUGGCUUUUUCCAUCAUUCGAGUCAGAGUCAUAUCUCUAGUCCGACCGAAUUUCAAGAUCAACUCUCUGUAUUUGACGCCUUCCUUGAAGGCGCACACGGCUUGAUGCUCUGAAACAUUCUCGACGGUGUGGUGCAGGGUGGACCAUCUCUGGAUGAACUCUCUCAAAGUCUCAUUUGGCUUCUACACGCAGUGCUGCAACUCAGGCAAUCCUCCAGGUCACUUGCAUGUGCCUUCGAAAGUUCUCACGAACACUCGGGAUAGCUCUUCCCAACUGUGAAUGGUGCCCGGAGCCAACUGAGUCAGCCAUGCUCGGGCUGACCCUUCCAACAUGAGUGGAAGAUGCUUCAUUGUUAUCUCAUCGUUACCGCCCCCGAUCUGCAUAGCCACUCGGUAAGCCUCAAGACAAGUUUCAGGCUUGGAUUCACCAGUGAACUUACUGACCCCGGAUGCCAGCCUGAAGUUGGGAGGUAUCACUGUUGCCCUGAUGGCUCUGCUAAAACACUCGGGACCAGAAACUUGCACUCGACUGCCACUUGGACGGUCUCUGCUAGGGUCUUCUCUGUGUGCUCUGUUCCAGUUGACCAGGCCUUGUAUGAGGAUAGACCUCGUGUUGAAGCCCGGUUCCCUUGGGUCGACCGAAUACCUGCGCUCACCACCGUGACGACGCCUAUCAUCAUUCUACGGAGGUACGUAUGACGCACUCCUUGGAGGGGGCGUGGGUCCUCGACGAUGAUUGUCACGGUCGAGUGGAUGAUCAUACUGCCCACGGCGUUCACGCCGCGGAGGCAAUCUUGGGCUGUGAGCCGACUGAACCGUGUCCGCUGCAACAGAUCUGCUAUGAAUCCUAUUCCGCGACUGAGAUAUUGCUGUAUUUUGCUCUCCAGCAACCCUGAGCAAGGCCCGGAUCUGCAUCAGCCCUCUGCCAGCUUCCGACUGGGAAGGUUGGAUGGACUCUGCUAUUCGGGCUCCAGCUGUGAGAUUCUGAAUCGGUGUGCGGUAUACCUUAGGUGGAGGCGGGAAAAGCUAUCGUCAAGUGGAUUCAUGGAUCCUCUCCUGGGCGCGCUCAUCGAGAACGCGCUGAAGGUUAUCCAGUCUAGUGCGCUCAGCCAAGUUGGCUAAGCACGCUUCCUCCAAGGCUCGAGCCUCGGGGGUUUCUCCGGCGAUGGGCGUGUGAAGUGCGCUGUCGGUGUCAAAACCGACGGAUCUCGGGUAGGGGGUCCCGAACUGUGCGUCUAGGCGGAUGGUAACAGGAGACAAGGGACACGAUGUUUUACCCAGGUUCGGGCCCUCUUGAUGGAGGUAAAACCUUACGUCCUGCUUGAUUGAUAUUGAUAUUGUGGAUGUUUACAAGAGUGGAUCUACCACGAGAUCAAGGAGGCUAAACCCUAGAAGCUAGCCUAUGGUAUGAUUGUAAUGGUUGUUGUUGUUGUCCUACGGACUAGAGCCAUCCGGUUUAUAUAGACACCGAAGAGGGCUAGGGUUACAUAGAGUCGGUUACAAUGGUAGGAGAUCUACAUAUCCGUAUCGCCAAGCUUGCCUUCCACGCCAAGGAAAGUCCCAUCCGGACACGGGACGAAGUCUUCAAUCUUGUAUCUUCAUAGUCUUGGAGUCCGGUCGAUGAUGAUAGUCCGGCCGAUGAUAGUUCGGUUGAUGAUGGUAGUCCGGCUAUCCGGACACCCCCUAAUCCAGGACUCCCUCAGUAUCCCCUGAACCAGGCUUCAAUGACGAUAAGUCCGGCGCGUAUAUUGCUUGGCAUUGCAAGGCGGGUUCCUCCUCCGAAUGAUAGAAGAUGGUGAACACCAGGAUAGUGUCCGGCUCUGCAAAAUAAAUUCCACAUUCCAUCGUAGAGAGAAUAAUAUAUACACAAGUUCAAUCUGCUGACGUUUUUCACGGCAUCACGUCACACCACUACCAAGCCAUUACUUGAAUCGUUUUUUACUCUACCACCUCAGCGCAUUUAGCGAAGCGGUUUCCUUGGCACGUCUUGUUGAAGCAGAGAUCGUGUUCCCCCUUAAUCCGGGAUUCUCAUCAAUACGAACAUGGGUAACCCAACCGCGCCAUUGAUGGUGACGCUUGGGGGAUAAGCGAGUUUUACCAGGCCGGUGGGGGACGCGUAGACUUCGCCCGCCCAUAUAAGGGAUAAGGAUUCACCUUUUCACCUACGCCUUCUUCCUCCUUUGCUUAUCCAUCUCCGUGCACUCGAGCUCCAGUGUCCAAGCCCGCACAUCUCGUCUCAACCUUCCCCAGUCAUGUCUGGACCGGGAGGCAAGUGGAUGACCUCCUCCAUUACGGAGGAGCACAUCGAAAGAUUGCGCAGCGCCGGCUACCUGUCCGGCGACAUCGCGCACCGGCUGCCCAACGAGGGGCAGCUCAUCCCCACCCCUAUGCCCCAUGAGAGGGUCGUUUUUCUUCCCCACUUCCUCCGCGGACUGGGCUUUCCACUUCACCCCUUUGUCCGGGGGCUCAUGUUCUACUACGGCCUGGAUUUCCAUGAUCUGGCGCCAAACUUCAUCCUCAACAUCUCGGCGUUUAUCGUCGUGUGCGAGGCCUUCCUCUGCAUCCAGCCCCACUUCGGCUUGUGGCUCAAGACCUUCAAUGUCAAGCCGAAGGUAGUGAAGGGCACUCAAGCGGAGUGCGGAGGUGCCAUGUUGGGCAAGAUGCCCAACGUCCUUUGGUUCGAAGGGGCCUUCGUGGAAUCCGUCAAGGGGUGGCAAUCGAGGUGGUUCUAUAACACCGAGCCGCGCGACCCUACGUGGGCGGCGGCCCCCAAGUUCAGAUCUGGUAUCCCCACGCAGCUCACCUCCUGGAAAGAGAAGGGCUUGCUGUGGGGUAGUUCGGAGGAGCUGACGGGACUCCAAGCCUGUAUCCAGAAGCUGGUGAAGAAGCUCAGGCUGGUUAACGUGGUCCAAGUCAUGCUUGUCCGCCGGAUUCUCCCAUGCCAAGAGCGGGCAUUCAAUCUGUGGGAGUUCAAUCCGGAACAGCACCAGGCGCUGAGCAGGCUCUUCGAUACAACGUACGAAGGCGCCUGGAGGGUGCUGUUCAAGGGCGCUGAAGCCCCCGCAUCCGCGACUGAAGAUCGCGGAUUUCGCUCGCAGCGCCAAGCCGACGAGGUAAGUGAUUCUACCCCUUUACGGGACACUUGCUUUUCAUAGUUUGACUCCAUGCGGGUUUUAAUUUCCCCUUUUCCUUUGACAGGACUGGAUGAGGAAGGCGGAGCAGAUUAUCUGCCCGGCUCCUAUGCCAGAAAUCCCAGUAGACGCCCAUCUAGCGAGGCUGCUGGUUCCGGCACCGCACGUGGUGCCGGAGAAGAAGGCCAAGAAGGAGGCCACGGGUGCUCGAAAGAGUUCCCGUUUUCAGGUGUCCGACGACUCCGGGGUGGACUCCUCCCCCGAAAAUGAGGAGGAGAAAGAGGACUCUCUCCCAGAGGAGGGAGAGAGGAAGAGGAAGGCUUCCCCAAUAGGGGAGGCCGAAGGGUCCAAGAGGGGAAGGACUAUUCCCCCGGACAGCUCCGCCAACAUCAACGUUGGCGAGGAAGAAUGGCCUUCAAGGGCCAGGCCUCCAUCGAGAUCGUAAGUAUCCGGAUUCCUGAGUGAUUUAUAAUUUCUUUUUCUGUGUCACAUAGUGUCAUUCUGAUGCCGCAUGUUGCUUGUAGUCCGGCCAAUGAUGAUCUCCCCGCUUCAUCGAGCGGGUCGUUGGCUCCGUAGGAUGUAGACUCCAUCCCGACCGCCUCCACCCCUCGCGACACCAAGGUCGCCGAGGUGGGAUCCCAAGAAGGGACCCAUCAGGGGGAGGCUCCGGAGGCGCCACAAGGCGGCCUCCCGGACUUUGCGCCGGACUCCAUAUCAGAACCCGCAGUGGUUCCGGAGUCCGGCCGGCGGCCCCUUCGCAAGAAGGCAAGACCGUGAACCUGCGGCUUCCGUCUAACUGGAGGCGCCAGACAAUUUGUUGGAGGCGCUCCAGAGCGCUUCCAUCGAGGAAGAACACCGCACUAUUAUGAGUGCGGUGAUUCAGAAGGUACAGCUCGCCAAGAGCGGGCUGACCGAAGCCUGCAGUAGCCUACUAUCAGGCUUUGAGGUAAGAAGUUAAAAAUAUGCAAUGUAAUACCACAUAGACAGUAGCCCCUGAUGCCCGGUUCGGUGUUCGAAAAGAAAAGCCGGACUGAGGAUCUGCCAAAAAAAAGAUAUACGCAGGGUUGCUAAAAAAUUAUGUCAAUAUGGGUUGCAGGCUGCGCUGCUGACCUCUGCCGCACUGACUGCGGAGGUCGGUGCUUUGUAGUAGGAGCUCGAGCGGUCCGAGAAAGAGCUCGGCCGCGCCAAGAAGCAGCUCCAGGACAAAGAAGGUGAGUAACACCACUUUGAACUUGUACCUUACAGAAAAGGAUUUAGGUUGCAACAAAAAAUAACCAAGAUAACAUGGGUACUGCAGGGGCCACGAACGAGGUGCCGACCCUGAAGGAGGCCGUGUCCGCGGCCGAACGCAAUGCGGCCGCGGAACGGGCAGAGCGAGAAAAGCAGGAGGCGCGGGUGGCGGUGGUUCGGCAAGAGCUCCAGGCUCUCAUGGAAAAGCAUGAGAGUUUGGUGCGUGACUCAAAGACUCGAGAGUCCGAGCUUGCCUCGGCUCUCGAAAGUGCCAAAACUGCCAAGGCCGAUGCCCAUAAGUCCCUUCAGGAGAUUGAGUUGGUGAGGAAGAUAGCGGCGGGUAAGGCAUUUUUCAUGCAAAGCAAGCAUGUGAAUGUAAAUUACGUGUUACUUACCCGGAUUCGGAGCUCUCCAAGGGCGUUUGCAGAUCUGCCUCGCAACGUGUCUGAUGCCGCCGCGUUCUACCGAGACGAGGAGUGGAGCUCAACGGAGAAGGUCUUCUGGUCUCAGUAUGCUGAGGCCGGCCAUCCGGUGCCCCCUAGCGACCAGCUAAAGCAGCUGGUCGAGCUCCACAAGGUGGCCGAGCAGGCCAUGAGGGGCCUCAUAGUCCGGCUAUGGCCUGGAGAGGCCAUGCCUGGGAGCUACUUCGGCCUCAUGCGACGGUUGGUGGAUGCGUGCCCCUGGGUGGAGGUUAUCAAGCGCUCCGCCUGUAUUGAAGGUGCUCGUCGGGCCCUUGCCCGCGCAAAGGUGCAUUGGGGCAAGCUGGAUGCGGAGAAGCUAAUCACUGACGCGCCACCAGCGGGCAAGGAAUAUCGUACGCCCGAGAUGUACUAUAAGACUAUCUUGAAGGGUGCCCGCAAGAUUGCGGAUGAGUGCCCCAGGGAUGUAAUUAUUGAGUAAAUUCGCAAUGUGUUAUCCUGUGCGCUGAAAACUUUGUUCAUAUGCGCUAAGCAACGCUUGUUAAUUUAAAAUAUUACCUUCUGUGCGGCCGUUUAUUAAAUCUGAGAGAUGGCAAGUCGUCGGCUUCAGCCCCCAUGCCACGAGUGCUGGGGUGUUCGGGAAAAACUUGAGCACUCUUGUUCCCAUUUUUGGGUCCAUCUAGGGAGGCGCUCAACAUAACGAACAAGGCAACUGGACUUAUAGUGCUUGAACACUCUCACUUAGCCAUAGAAUUCUAUAAUUUUAAAUUUCGGCGAAGCCCCUAGUAUUCGGAAGACCGAAUUUGGGGCGCUAUCCACGCCUUCGUCGUACAUUAUCCGGAACUUCUCUCGAAGCGGCGUAGGUAUUUAAGGACCCGAAAAGACCUCUCGAACAGCGACCAGUCUCUCGCCUUAUCAUGACAGUCAGUUUUAGCUUUCUUCACUGAGGCGUUAACUCGGCUCAACCGUGGCGCAAUCGCAGUGGUUCUCCCAGUGCUACCUUAGCCGAUAGAACGGAACGUAAGGUGCCAAACUUGGGAGCCGGGAAAACCCAACUAUUGACCCAAGACAUGAUUCGGAGCUGAUUCAUAUAAUGCUAUAAGUUCGGGGUGCCGCACUUGUGAAAGUGUUCGGACUUUAUCACACCAUAAUGCGGGGAACAUAAGCCCCUGGUGUAUUUGGCCGUACCAAAAUGUAUGGAUGCAACAUGUCGUAAAUGAACAUAUAUAUAUAAGGUAAUGCAAUUAUGGGCAAAAAGUGUUGCAUUUUAUUCGAGAAGAUAUGCUAUGAGUGCGGAAUGAUACAAAUAGUGUGGAAAGCAAGGGAUUGGACGAAUUAAAGGUGUCUCCCUCCAGGGGUAGGCCGCGGAAUGGUGUAUUUAAGAAAUUUAAUGCUCGUAAUGGAGACCACCUGAGUGUUCUUCGUACCCGUUGUCCCUCCCUGGCUGUUGCAUCAUGAGUUCGGCAGGUUCGCUGCCGGACAGAGUUCUGUAUAAAAAAGAGAGAAAUAAAAGAUAAAAAGAGCGACACACUUGGGAGCCCCUGGUGUGGUCGAACCGCACUCUGGGUCUGUUGUGGUUGUGCCUCUCCCCCUAUGCCCAUGGUAUCUCUAGGGCGUAAUUAUGUACGCAGAGAGUUUGUCUCACAAUUGUGCGAGGGCUGGGGUUGAGGCCGCAUUGCUACGCGUUCUCGGAACGUGCCAGGUGGUCUUGGUUGAUGUUGCUCCGGGCGCGUUUGGCCGUGUCCGGUCGUUUAACGGCCGGACUCGAAAAUUGCCUUAAAAGGCUGCUCUGUACUUCUGCCGCGAGAGCCGCUGUAUGUUCCUCCGUUCGGAGGGAGCGUUCCGUGUUUCCAUUGACCGUGAUGACUCCACGAGGGCCUGGCAUCUUGAGCUUAAGGUAUGCAUAAUGCGGCACCGCGUUGAAUUUGGCGAACGCGGUUCGUCCGAGCAGAGCGUGAUAGCCACUGCGGAACGGUACUAUGUCGAAGAUUAACUCCUCGCUUCAAAAAUUAUCCGGGGAUCCGAAGACCACUUCUAGUGUAACUGAGCCUGUACAACUGGCCUCGACACCUGGUAUGACGCCUUUGAAGGUUGUCUUUGUAGGUUUAAUCCUUGAAGGGUCUAUGCCCAUCUUGCGCACUGUAUCCUGAUAAAGCAGGUUCAGGCUACUGCCGCCGUCCAUCAGGACUCUCGUGAGGUGAAAUCCAUCGAUGAUUGGGUCUAAAACAAAUGCGGCGAAUCCGCCAUGGCGGAUACUGGUCGGAUGGUCUCUUCGAUCGAAAGUGAUCGGGCAUGAGGACCAUGGGUUGAAUUUUGGGGCGAUUGGCUCCAUCGCGUAUACGUCCCUUAGUGCACGCUUCCGCUCCCUCUUGGGUAUAUGCGUUGCAUAUAUCAUGUUUACCGUCCGAACUUGAGGGGGGAAUCCCUUUUGUCCUCCGUUGUUCGGCGGCCGGGUCUCUUCCUCCUCAUCGCUGUGUAGCCCCUUGUCAUUGUUUUCGGCGAUUAAUUUGCCUGCCUGCUUGAAUACCCAACAAUCUCUGUUGGUGUGGUUAGCUGGCUUUUCAGGGGUUCCAUGUAUUUGACAGGAGCGGUCGAGUAUUCGGUCCAAAUUGGACGGGCCCGGAGUGGUUCUUUUGAAUGGCUUCUUCUGUUGACCGGGCUUGGAGCCUCAGAAUCCGGCGUUGACUGCCGUAUCCUCAUUGCUAUCGCCGUUAAUGCGGCAUUUGUUUUUGUUUUGACGCGACCUGCCAUUGUGGUCCUUGGUAUCCGGACUGCCAGCGUUUUUGCUGACGUUGUUGCUGCGAGCUAGCCAGCUAUCCUCUCCUGCACAGAAGCGGGUCAUGAGUGAUGUGAGGGCUGCCAUGGAUUUCGGCUUUUCCUGUCCUAGGUGCCGGGCCAGCCACUCAUUGUAGAUGUUAUGUUUGAAGGCAGCGAGGGCCUCUGCAUCCGGACAGUCGACGAUUUGAUUUUUCUUUGUUAAGAACCGUGUCCAUAAUUGCCUGGCCGAUUCAUCUGGCUGCUGGAUUAUGUGGCUUAGGUCAUCUGCGUUCGGUGGUCGCACAUACGUGCCCUGGAAGUUGUCGAGGAAUGCGGCUUCCAGGUCUUCCCAGCAUCCAAUUGACUCUGUGGGCAGGCUGUUAAGCCAAUCCCGAGCUGGUCCUUUAAGCUUGAGUGGGAGAUAUUUGAUGGCGUGAAGAUCGUCGCCGCGGGCCAUAUGUAUAUGGAGGAGAUAAUCCUCAAUCCAAACCGCGGGGUCUGUUGUGCCAUCGUAGGAUUCAAUAUUAACGGGUUUAAACCCUUCAGGGAUUUGAUGAUCCAUUACUUCGUCAGUGAAGCAUAGUGGGUGCACGGCGCCUUUGUAUUGAGAAAUAUCACGACGUAGCUCGAGAGAGCGUUGUCUGCUGUGUUCGGCCCGGCCGGAGUAGUUGUAUCCGGCGCGACGGUAUUUGUCGUGGGUCUUGGGGCGCCCACGUGAUCCAUAGAUAGAUCGGGAUUGUCUUGCCUUGUCCUCCAAUAUAUCCCGCAAGUCCGGCGCGUUCCCCCGUGGCUUCAUGCUUUUUGAGCAAUGCCGGGGUACGGUUUUGGUGGAGGGCUUGCAUGCCUCUCUGUCGCGGCCAUGAGGUGGUCGGUCUGCCGUAUUGUGCACUGGUGAUGCAGGUUUGUACGCUUCCUCCUCUAGUCGGGGGACCAACUUGCGUUUUGGGUAACUUUUGGAGGGGUGUUCAAGUUCAUACUCUUCGGCCGCGAGGACCUCGGUCCAUCUGUCGGCCAGUAGGUCUUGAUCAGCUUGAAGCUGUUGCUGCUUUUUCUUUAGGCUGUUUGCCGUGGCCAUUAGCCUGCGUCUGAAACGCUCUUGUUCGACGGGAUCCUCAGGCACGACGAAUUCGUCGUCGUUGAGGCUUGCCUCGUCUCCGGAGGGAGGUAAGUAAUUAUCAUCCUCGACCUCUUCGUCUGCCGCCCUCUCGUGAGGGCUUGCUUCUGCCUCCUCCUGCGCUGGAUCGUGCUGGAGGCGGUUGUCUUCGGCACUUUCUGGGGUGUUAUUAUCUCCUGUGCCGGAAUCUCCAUUCUUGCUGUGGCGGGAUUUAGAGCGGCGCCGCUGACGUCGGCGCUUGGGCUGUUUCUUUAAGGAAUCGGCCUCCGUUGCUUCUUCGCCGUCCCCAUCUUUUGGGGUGUCCACCAUGUAUAUGUCGUAUGACGAGGUGGUCUUCCAGUGUCAUGUAGGCACUGGUUCUUGAUAGUCUCCGGCAUCGUCGUCCAUACUGUCGAUGUCUUCGGAGUCGUAGUCGAGUACGUCGGUUAGAUCGUCGACAGUGGCUACGAAGUGGGUGGUGGGUGGGCUCUGAAUUUCUUCAUCGUCCGUGUCCCAACCAUACUGGCCGUAGUUCGGCCAGGGCUCUCCGGAUAGCGAGAGAUGCUUCAGCGAAUUUAAGAUAUUGCCGAAGGGUGAGUGCUGAAAGAUGUCCGCAGCGGUGUAUUCCAUGAUCGGCGCCCAAUCGGAUUCGACUGGCAGGGGCGCAGGAGGUUCGGAGUCCAGCAGAGAGUCCGGCACCUUGGAGUCAUGAGCUUUAUGCGGGACAAGGUAACUGUUCGGCUCCAUCGCCGUAGAAGUUGCAGCUCCCGAGGCGGUGUCCAGCCAUCCGUCCUCGAUCUGAGCGAUCGGCUCCGGACUAUGGGUCGGAGCGGAUUCAUGUGCGGCCUCCAAGGUGCUGUCUGGCGGUAGAGUUAGGUUGUGCCCAUCGUGACAGCGCGGCACGCUCGGCUGUGGCUCAGAUUCAUCGAAGAUCAAGUCCCCGCGGAUAUCGGCCGUGAAGUUUAGGCUUCCAAACCUGACCUGACGGCCAGGGCCGUAGCUUUCGAUCUGCUCCAGAUGGCCAAGUGAGUUGGCCCGCAGUGCGAAGCCGCCGAAUACGAAGAUCUGUCCGAGGAGAAAAGUCUCACCCAGGACUGCGUCGUUGUCGAUUGAAGAGGCCAUCAAGCCUAUCGGUGACGACAUAGAGGAACUCUCAAUGAAAGAACCAAUGUCGGUGUCAAAACCGGCGGAUCUCGGGUAGGGGGUCCCGAACUGUGCGUCUAGGCGGAUGGUAACAGGAGACAAGGGACACGAUGUUUUACCCAGGUUCGGGCCCUCUUGAUGGAGGUAAAACCCUACAUCCUGCUUGAUUGAUAUUGAUAUUGUGGAUGUUUACAAGAGUGGAUCUACCACGAGAUCAAGGAGGCUAAACCCUAGAAGCUAGCCUAUGGGAUGAUUGUAAUGGUUGUUGUUGUUGUCCUACGGACUAGAGCCAUCCGGUUUAUAUAGACACCGGAGAGGGCUAGGGUUACAUAGAGUCGGUUACAAUGGUAGGAGAUCCACAUAUCCGUAUCGCCAAGCUUGCCUUCCACGCCAAGGAAAGUCCCAUCCGGACACGGGACGAAGUCUUCAAUCUUGUAUCUUCAUAGUCUUGGAGUCCGGUCGAUGAUGAUAGUCCGGCCGAUGAUAGUUCGGCUGAUGAUGGUAGUCCGGCUAUCCGGACACCCCCUAAUCCAGGACUCCCUCAUGCGCCCAUGUUGCAGCGACGAAGAUCCUCUCUCUGCUGCGAGGAGAGAGGUUCGGGACGAUACUCCUCGUGGACCCGUGAUGGACCACCACCAGGCUCUUCGCCGUCCUCGCGGCGAAAACCAGGUGGGCUACGCGGACCAUCGACCAUCAGGACUUCAGCCACAGGAUCGUUGCUAUUGAACUCGGACGCCGUCUCCGCGGAGCCAGUCGACAGAUCGAACAGCCGUGGAGAGUUUUGUCGGGCUCGAUUGCCGCGACUUGAUGGGUGGCCGAACGUUGAGCCACUGCAUGCCUCACCCACCACUAAAGCCGCGACCGACCGGAUCGCUUGCGGUGAUGAAUAGCGGGAAGGGGGGAUGCCACGGGCGCCGACUGAUACUGGGCCGACGGCUGUCGAAGAAGAACGCCAUGGACGCAUGCGCGAAAGUGCGUCGCCCCUCGGACGGGGAGCGCCUCAACAUCGAGCGGAGCUUCCUGGAGCCACGCCGAGUCGUCAGCGACGAAAACAAGCGCGCUGAGACGGAUCUCGCGGCCCUCAACCAUCUCGCCGCCGGAAACCAUGAUGAUGAUCGGAAAAUAAACUUGCAACUUCACCCAAAAAGUCACUAACACACCUACCCCACGGUGUGCGCCAACUGUCGUGGUUCUAAGUCUGACAGUAGAAAGAGGGGGUAGGUAUGGAGAGGCAAGAUCUUAGCUAUGGCGAAGAUGUACACACGAUGUUUACGAGUUCAGGCCCUUCUCAGAGGAAGUAAUAGCCCUACGUCUCGGUGCCCGGAGGCGGUCGACUGGAUUAUGUGUGUGUCGAAUUACAGAGGGUGCCAUCCCUUGUGCCAGAGGAGGGGGGUGGCUUAUAUAGAGUGCGCCAGGACCCCAGCCCCCCUCCAUUACAAGGGAACUAAUGUACAUAAAGUAAGGGCGUUACUGGUAACGCCAGCAUUUAGUACUCUUAAUGCUCAUGAAGACUAAGGAGUAAAUAUCUGGCCGUUGUGUGCUCUUCUGACUUCUGGUCUUCCUUGUGGUCAACUGACGACAGGUAAUGAUAGUCGAGUGGUGUGAGCGUCGAGUGGAUUGCACUCGACGUACGAGACUGGUGCUCUUCUGUUGACUCUUGGUCUUUCCAUCUUCCAAGGUAGUAACCUUGUGUAGGACGUAUAGGUCGAGCCUAUGACCCUACCCCGGGUCUGUAUCCUUGUCACCCACCUUGUGUCAUAUUGACCCAUUUGCACCGAAACAAAGGUACCUUCAAAUCACCUCCAUAGUUAAGUUCCCAUAUGUCCUCUAUGUAACCAUAAUAUGUUUCCUUUCCCGUGUUGGUUGUUGCAUCAAAGCAGACACCACUGUUUUGGUUGGUGCUCUUCUUAUCUUUGGCGAUCGUGUAAAAUGUAUUCCCAUUUAUCUGGUACCCUUUGAAAGUCAUUAUAUUCGAAGAUGGUAACUGGGACAGCGAGUAUAGGUCAUUUUGAAUAUCGCCAUCAUUCAUGGCACGGUUCUGCAACCAACCGGCGGAAGUCCUCGUUUGUUCACGUGUAAUCCAGUCGUCAGACUUCUUCAGGUGUUUGGAGUGUAGAAAAUUCUUGUGUUCCUCGAUAUACGGAGCCACCAAGGUGGAAUGCUGGAGAACUGUGUAGUGUGCUUCAGUGAGAGAAUGCCCGUCCAUACAAAUUAUUUGAUGCCCUCCUAGAAUGCCUUUUCCAUCCAGUCUUCCCUUAUGUUGCAAUUCAAGAACACCAAUCAACUUAAGGUCAGGAAUAAAGUCAAUACAAAACUCAAUGACCUCGUCAUUUUCAUGGCCCUUCGAGAUGCUUCCUUCUGGCCUAGCACGGUUAUGAACAUAUUUCUUCAAGACUCCCAUGAACCUCUCAAAGGGGAACAUAUUGUGUAGAAAUACAGGACCCAACCCGUUAAUCUCUUCGCAAAGGUGAACUAGGACGUGCGUCAUGAUGUUGAAGAAGGAUGGUGGGAACACCAACUCAAAACUGACAAGACAUUGCAACAAAUAAUUCUGUAACCUUGGUAUGAUUUCUGGAUCGAUUACCUUAUGUGAGAUUGCAUUGAGGAAUGCACAUAGCUUCACAAUGGCUAAUCGAACAUUUUCCGGUAGAAGCCCCCUCAAUGCAACCGGAAGGAGUUGCAUCAUAAUCACGUGGCAGUCAUGAGACUUUAGGUUUUGGAACUUUUUCUCUGCCAUAUUUAUUAUUCCCUUUAUAUUCGACGAGAAGCCAGACGGUACCUUCAAGCUGAGCAGGCAUUCGAAGAAGAUUUCCUUCUCUUCUUUGGUAAGAGCGUAGCUGGCCUGACCCUGAUGUAUGCCGUAUUUUCUGUGCAUAUGUUGCUGGUCCUCCCAUGCCUCUGGUUUAUCUUUUGUCUUCCCAUACACGCCCAAAAAGCCAAGCAGGGUCACGCAAAGAUUCUUCGUCACGUGCAUCACGUCGAUUGCGGAGCGGACUUCUAGGUCUUUCCAAUAUGGCAGGUCUCAAAAUAUAGAUUUCUUCUUCCACAUGGGUGCGAGUCCGUCAGCGUCCUUCGGAACAGGUUGUCCGCCAGGACACUUUCCAAAGAAUACCUUCAAAUCCUUGCCAUAUCAUGUACAUCACCACCAGUACGGUGGCGAGGCUUCGUCCGGUGAUCCGCCUCACCUUUGAAAUGCUUGCCUUUCUUUCUUACGGUAUGCCUUGUCGGAAGAUAUCGACAAUGUCCUAGGUACACAUUCUUCCUACAACUAUCCAAAUAUAUACUAUCGGUAUCAUCCAAACAGUUCGUGCAUCCGCGGUAUCCCUUGUUUGUCUGUCCUGAAAGGUUACUGAGAGCAGGGCAAUAAUUGAUGGUCAUGAACAGCAAUGCCUUUAGGUCAAAUUCUUCCUGUCCGUGCUCAUCCCACGCUCGUACACCUGUUCCAUUCCACAACUCUAAUAGUUCUUCAACUAAUGGCCUUAGGUACACAUCAAUGUCAUUGUCGGGUUUCUUAGGGCCUUGGAUGAGCACUGGCAUCAUAAUGAACUUCCGCUUCAUGCACAAGGAAGGAGGAAGGUUAUACAAACAUAGUCACAUGCCAGGUGCUAUGGUUGCUGCUCUGCUCCCCAAAAGGAUAAAUGCCAUCUGCGCUUAGACCAAACCAUAGGUUCCUUGGGUCACCUGCAAACUCCUCCCAGUACUUUCUCUCGAUAUUUCUCCACUGCGAACCGUCAGUGGGCACUCUCAACUUUCCAUCUUUCUUGUGGUCUUCUCCGUGCCACUGCAUCGCCAUCGCAUGCUGUUUGUUUUGGAACAAACGUUUCAACCGUGGUAUUAUAGGAGCAUACCACAUCACCAUGGCAGGAAUCUUCUUCCUGGGGCACUCGCCCUCGACAUCACCAGGGUCAUCGCGACUGAUCUUAUAACGCAAUGCACCGCAUACUGGGCAAGCGUUCAAAUCCGCGUACUCACCGCGGUAGAGGAUGCAAUCAUUAGGGCAUGCAUGUAUCUUGUGCACCUCUAACCCUAGAGGGCAGACAACCUUCUUUGCUUCAUACGUACUCUCGGGAAAUUCGUUGUCCUUUGGAAGCAUAUUCUUUAUCAUUACCAGCAACUUUCCAAAUCCCUUGUCAGAUACACCAUUCUCUGCCUUCCAUUGCAGCAAUUCCAGUGUGGUGCCCAACUUUUUUUUGUCAGCUUCGCAAGUCGGGUACAACAAUUUCUUGUGAUCCUCAAACAUGCGAUGCAACUUCUUCUUCUCCAAAUCACUUGCGCAGUUUCUCUUUGUAUCGGCAAUGGCUCGACCUAGAUGAUCAGCGGGCUCAUUUGAUGCCUCUUCUUCAGCUUCUUCCCGCAUUGCCGGCUCAACUUCUUCCUCCAUUGUUGUAUCAUCGUAUUCAGGGAACCCAUGGCCAGGAUAGCCGUCGUCGUCCUCUUCUUCUUCAUUGUCUUCCAUCAUAACCCCUAUUUCUCCAUGCUUGGUCCAAACAUUAUAGUGGGGCAUGAAACCGGACUCAAAUAGGUGGACGUGAAUGGUUCUUGACGUAGAGUAAUUCUGACCAUUCUUACAGCCAGCACAUGGACAAGGCAUAAAACCAUCCGCCUGCUUGUUUGCCUCAGCGGCAAGCAAAAACGUAUGCACGCCAUUAAUGAACUCGGGAGAGCAGCGGUCAUCAUACAUCCAUUGUCAGCUCAUCUUCAUUACACAACACCGAAUAGACCAAAUUAAUACAAGUUCAUACAUAAAGUUCAUAUACAACACUUAAUUAAAUGCAACAUACAAAUAACUCUCUAGCUAAAGAAUUUAAAUUCAACAACAAAUGCGAUCAAGAUCGCAACUAAGGUAACAAUUGAUCCAACAGCAUAAUGAUACCAAGCCACACUAUCAAUGGCAUAUUUUGUAAUCUUUCUAAUCUUCAACCUCAUUUUCUCCAUUUUGAUCUUGUGAUCAUCGACGACAUCGACAACAAGCAACUCCAAUUCCAUCUUCUCCCCCUCAAUUCUUUUCAAAUUUUCUUUCAAAUACUCGUUUUCUCUUUCAACUAAAUUUAACCUCUUGACAAUAGGGCCGGUUGGAAUUUCCGGUUCACAUACCUCCUAGAUAAAAAUAUCUAUGUCAACUUGAUGGGCAUAAUUUGUCAUAAACACGAAAUGCAACAACUAGUUUUAAAAGAGAAUAUACCACAUCCGAAUCAUAACAAGGACGAGGGCCGACGGGGACGGAUAUCAAAACCAUGGCACAAUCUUUACCUAAUAAUAAAGCAAAUUGGGUUUCUUUCGUCCGUCAUGGAAUUUUUCAGAAAAGUCCCUCUAUUUGAGAGAAUUCAACCCGCAGUCCUGUUUUAUGUUAAAACGAAUCAUUAUUUUUGUAUUUUACACAAAAGUCCCUGUCUUUGCUUGAAAUCAACCCGCCGUCCGGAUUAUAGGUCACACCUGAACCGUUAGUUUACAUUUUUCGAAACCCCCCUGAUGUUUUAGGUAAUUAAUCCGCGGAUCAUAUUUAAGUCAAACAAAUGCUUUUAAAAAUCAUCCAUAUCUUUUAAACCGUAACUCUGAUUUGAACAUGUUAUAUAUAAAACUUGAUUAGAAAAAUAUGUACAAUAUGAAUAUGAGAUUAUUUUUACCUAUUAAGUAUUUUUAAAUAUUAUUUUGGAAUAUAAUUUGAGUCAAACCAAAUGAUUUUCUAAAUUAUCUGUAUCUUUUAAACCGUAACUUCGAUUUUAACAUAUUAUAUAUGAAAUUAAAUGUGUGGAAUCUAAAUAUGAUGAUAAUCUUACCUGUUAAAUACUUUUAAAAUAUUGUUACGGAAGCAAACUUAUAAUUUAUAGCACAAGAUCCGGGUUUUUUUGAUACCGGCGGCGAUCCGGAUUGCAAAUAAACACCUCACUAUAACCAUAUACGGAAAAUAAAACAUCGAUAACUACACAUGCAUACCUCUGAAAAAUGUCGCAGGGGAAAACAACAGAUUUCUCAUUGCGAGAGUGAGAGAAAGCGAGCAAGAAAGAGAGAGAGAGAGAGAGAGAGAGAGAGAGAGAGAGAGAGAGAGAGAGAGAGGGGAGAGGAAUGAGAGAGGGAGAGAGAGACGCCUUAGGAUUAACCAUAUUCAACACACAUUUUUUGUUAUUUUGUGUGAACACCGAGGCCAUCGCCGGCGAGGGUGGGAAGGAGGAUAAGCGGCAACACAAAUAUGAUGCCUCACAAAAAUAAAUGAGAUGGACCUAUUGUGGUCUUGAGUAAUGGUUGUUGAUUUAAAAGCGCGUGUUAUGUUUUCUCUCCCGUUGCAACGCACGGACUCUUUUGCUAGUGUGUAACAAACAACGUAUGAGUAAGAUAAUUAUACGAGUAACUAUAUAUCCAAAUCACACAAACAUCAAUUUGGUAAUGUAAAACAUUCCUGAACAAGAGCCUCAGCACAAGGUGGUGCCAGCGACGGGACGGUGCGGGCGAUCGACGGUGGUUACGACGGAGAUUUUGAAGGCACUAAGUAAACCACACCUACAUAUGCAAACUAAGUGUUAUUUUUGACCUCAAAUUGCAUAUAAAUCAAAUACUAGCACAUAUAAUUCCUCCCAAAUUAAUCACUAUAAAAAGCAUUGCAAGAGCUAAUCUAGCAAUGAGAGUUGAAAGGACAAAGUUGCUAACCUUUGUGAUCAUUUGAAUUGAUGGGGGCCUUCAAAUCAUGAGAAAUUUUGGGCAAAAUUUGUGAGGAGCUCGAGGAAGAGAGGGGAAGAACAGAGGAAGUGAGGGGAAAGGGGAAGAACAGAGCGAGCUCAGGUGGACGAAGGGUUUAUGUACGUCGACCUUUAGUACGGUUCGUGCCACGAACCAGUACUAAAGGUGCUGGAGGGGCCCCAGACUGACAACAUCCUACCACCACUCUCUUUAGUACCGGUUCGUGGCACGAACCGGUGCUAAAGGUUCACCACGAACCGGUACUAAUGAGAGCGGCCGGCUAGCCAUUGGAACCGGCACUAAUGGACAUAUUAGUGCCGGCUCAAAAUCAAACCAGCACUAAUGUGUCUCAGAUUUGCCCCUUUUUCAACUAGUGUAAGUUCACGACCUACUACGACAUGUUCAAAGACAAACUUCAAAGCCAUCAAACUACCUUAGCUCCAAAGUGAGCCAUCAAGUGGGUUAACUUCUCUUCCUGCUCUUGAGACUUCUUGCACAACAGCUCAAGUUCCUUGUCGCGUGCAGCUUCAGAUUCUUUCGCCUUCAUCUUGAUUGCCUCCAAUUCUUCUUGCAUCACUUCAGCUUGAAGCUCGGACCUCUCCAGCUUCUCCUCAAGAUCUUGAACAUGAGCAGCCACUUCAGCAGUUGCUUUGCCGGAGUUGUUCCUAGAUGACUGGAGCCCAACAUUCCCGAGGAAUGUUCUUUGCUUGACUUCGGUCUUGAGCACUUCUUCAACAAUUUCAACAGCAGACUUUGGCUCUUCACCUUCUGGUACCGGCACGUCCUUCAUUUUUUCCAUCUCAAGGUAGCAUAUGGAGAAAAAUGAUAGGCAUUAGUGGGAGAUCUAUUUCACAUUUUGCAAACCAAACCAAGCAAGAGAAACCAAACCAACACACAAAUGGAUUAUUUGAAGUAACCAAACCAGCACACAAAUGGAUUAUUUGAAGUAACCAAACAAGCACACAAAAUCUAUACAAGAAGAUGAUGAAUAGUGACGUGGAGACAUGCAAUUGGAACAAUGUGAUCGCUUCAUUAAGCCUAGAAUGGUGGUUCUACAUAAGAUGGCUUCCCGAGUGAGCCGAUCAUCAAACUAACAUUCAGAUCAAAUUUCAUCAUAUCAUAAAAAAUGCAACAAAUAGCUACAACAAGUUCUGAUAUUUUUGUUGAACUAUCAAACAACAUCAAAUCAUCAAAGCAUGGAACAUAGCGUGUGUUCUUGACUGGCUCCGAAUCAAACAACAUCAAAUCAUCAAAGCGUCAAACAACAUCAAAGCUGGUUGUGAAUCAAAUAGGGCUGAGGUUUCUAUGUUGGGGAACGUAGUAGAAAUUCAAAAUUUUCCUACGAGUCACCAAGAUCUAUCUAUGGAGAGACUAGCAACGAGGGGAAGGGGAGUGCAUCUACAUACCCUUGUAGAUUGCUAAGCGGAAGCGUUCAAGAGAACAGGGUUGAAGGAGUCGUACUCGUCGUGAUCCAAAUCACCGGAGAUCCUAGUGCCGAACGGAUGGCACCUCCGCGUUCAACACACGUACAGCACGGUGACGUCUCCCAUGCCUUGAUCCAGCAAGGAGAGAGGGAGAGGUUGAGGAAGACUCCAUCCAGCAGCAGCACGACGGCGUGGUGGUGGUGGUGGUGGAGGAGCGUGGCAAUCCUGCAGGGCUUCGCCAAGCACCGCGGGAGAGGAGGAGGACUUGGGAGAGGGGGAGGGCUGCGCCAGAACUUCAUGUCAAGCUCCCAUGCGCCUCCCCACUAUAUAUAGGGGUGGAGGGGCUGGUUUCUUGCCCUCCAAGUCCAUUGGGGCGUUGGCAAAGGUGGGAGGAAAGAAAUCCCAUCAUUUCCUUCCCCACCGAUUGUUAUCCCCCGUUUUUAGGGAUCUUGAUCUUAUCCCUUCGGGAUAUGAUCUCAUUCCUUCUAAGGGGGGAACUUGGUGCGCCUUGACCAGGGGUGUGGGGCCUUGACCCCACUACCCACGUUCAUGUGGAUCCCCCCAUGCAGGUGGGCCCCACUCUGUAACCUUCUAGAACCUUCCCGGUACAAUACCGAAAAAUCCCGAACAUUUUUCGGUGGCCAAAAUUGGACUUCCCAUAUAUAAAUCUUUACCUCCGGACCAUUCCGGAACUCCUCAUGAUGUCCGGGAUCUCAUCCGGGACUCCGAACAACAUUCGGUAACCACAUACAAACUUCCUUUAUAACCCUAGCGUCAUCGAACCUUAAGUGUGUAGACCCUACGGGUUCGGGAGACACGUAGACAUGACCGAGACAACUUUCCGGCCAAUAACCAACAGCGGGAUCUGGAUACCUAUGUUGGCUCCCACAUGUUCCACGAUGAUCUCAUCGGAUGAACCACGAUGUCGAGGAUUCAAUCAAUCCCGUAUUCAAUUCCCUUUGUCCAGCGGUAUUAUGCUUGCCCGAGAUUCGAUCGUCGGUAUGCCGAUACCUUGUUCAAUCUCGUUACCGGCAAGUCUCUUUACUCGUUCCAUAACACAUCAUCCCGUGAUCAACCCCUUGGUCACAUUGUGCACAUUAUGAUGAUGUCCUACCGAGUGGGCCCAGAGAUACCUCUCCGUUUACACGGAGUGACAAAUCCCAGUCUCGAUUCGUGCCAACCCAACAGACACUUUCAGAGAUACCUGUAGUGCACCUUUAUAGCCAGCCAGUUGCGUUGUGACGUUUGGUACACCCAAAGCAUUCCUAUGGUAUCCGGGAGUUGCACAAUCUCAUGGUCUAAGGAAAAGAUACUUGACAUUAGAAAAGCUUUAGCAUACGAACUACGCGAUCUUUGUGCUAGGCUUAGGAUUGGGUCUUGUCCAUCACAUCAUUCUGCUAAUGAUGUGAUCCCGUUAUCAACGACAUCCAAUGUCCAUGGUCAGGAAACUGUAACCAUCUAUUGAUCAACGAGCUAGUCAACUAGAGGCUUACUAGGGACAUGGUGUUGUCUAUGUACCCACACAUGUAUCUGAGUUUCCUAUCAAUACAAAUAUAGCAUGGAUAAUAAACGAUUAUCAUGAACAAGGAAAUAUAAUAAUAACUAAUUUAUUAUUGCCUCUAUGGCAUAUUUCCAACAGUCUCCCACUUGCACUAGAGUCAGUAAUCUAGUUCACAUCACCAUGUGAUUAACACUCAUAGGUCACAUCACCAUGUGAUUAAGACUCAAUGAGUUCUGGGGUUUGAUCAUGUUUAGCUUGUGAGAGAGGUUUUAGUCAACGGGUCUGCAACAUUCAGAUCCGUAUGUACCUUGCAAAUCUCUAGGUCAUAUUGUAAAUACUGCUUCCACGCUCCACUUGGAGCUAUUCCAAAUGGUCGCUCCACUAUACGUAUCCGGUUUGCUACUCAGAGCCAUUCGGAUAGGUGUUAAAGCUUGCAUCGACGUAACCCUUUACGCCGAACUCUUUAUCACCUCCAUAAUCGAGAAACAUGUCCUUAUUACUCCAAGGACAAUUUUGACUGCUAUCUGGUGAUCCACUCCUUGAUCACCUUUGUACCCUCUUGCCAGAUAUGUAGCAAGGCACUCAUCAGGUGUGGUACUUAGCAUAGCAUACUGCAGAGCCUACGUCUAAAGCAUAGGGGACGACCUUCGUCCUUUCUCUCUUUUCUGCCGUGGUCGAGCUUUAAGUCUUAACUUCAUACCUUACAGUUCAGGCAAGAACACCUUCUUUGACUGAUCCAUCUUGAACACCUUCAAGAUCAUGUCAAGGUAUGUGCUCAUUUGAAAGUACUAUUAAGCAUUUUGAUAUACCUUAUAGAUCUUUAUGCUUAUUGUUCAAGUAGCCUAAUCCAUGUUUUCCAUUGAAAAACACCUUUCAAAUAACCCUAUAUGCUUUCCAGAAAUUCUACAUCAUUUCUGAUCAACAAUAUGUCAACAACAUAUACUCAUCAGAAAUUCUAUAGUGCUCCCACUCACUUCUUUGGAAAUACAAGUUUCUCAUGAACUUUGUAUAAACCCAAAAUCUUUGAUCAUCUCAUCAAAGCGCACAUUCCAACUCCGAGAUGCUUACUCCAGUCCUUAGAAGGAUCGCUAGAGCCAGCAUACCUUUUAGCAUCCUUAGGAUCGACAAAAACUUUCUGAUUGUAUCACAUGCAACCUUUCCAUACGAAGACUGGUAAGGAAACUUGUUUUGACAUCCAUCUGCCAGAUUUCAUAAAUGCAGCUAAUGCUAACAUGAUUCCGACGGACUUAAGCAUCGCUACGGAUGAGAAAAUCUCAUCGUAGUCAACUCCUUGAACUUGUGAAAAACUCUUCACCACAAGUCGAGCUUCAUAGACGGUGACAUUGCCGUCCACGUCCGUCUUCUUCUUAAAGAUCCAUUUAUCUCAAUGGCUUGCCGAUCAUCGGGCAAGUCCACCAAAGUCCAUGCUUUGUUCUGAUACAUGGAUCCUAUCUCGGAUUUCAUGGCUUCUAACCAUUUGUUGGAAUAUGGGCCCACCAUUGCUUCUCCAUAGCUCGUAGGUUCAUGGUUGUCUAGCAACAUGACCUUCAAGACAGGAUCACCGUACCAUUCCAAAUUAGUACGCGUCCUUGUCGUCCUACGAGGUUCGGUAGUGACUUGAUCCGAAGCUUCAUGAUCACUAUCAUAAGCUUCCACUUCAAUUCAUGUAGGUGCCACAUGAACAACUUCCUGUGCCUUGCUACACACUGGUUGAAGUGAUGGUUCAAUAACCUCAUCAAGUCUCCACCAUCCUCCCACUCAAUUAUUUCGAGAGAAACUUUUCCUCGAGAAAGGACCCGUUUCUAGAAACAAUCACUUUUGCUUCCGGAUCUGAAUUAGGAGGUAUACCCAACCAUUUUGGGUAUCCUAUGAAGAUGCAUUUAUCCGUUUUGGGUUCGAGCUUAUCACGAUGAAACUUUUUCACAUAAGCGUCGCAGCCCCAAACUUUCAAGAAACGACAGCUUAGGUUUCUCUAAACCAUAGUUCUCACGGUGUCAUCUCAACGGAAUUACGUGGUGCCCUAUUAAAGUGAGUGUGGUUGUCUCCAAUGCCUAACCCAUGAACGAUAGUGGUAAUUUGAUAAGAGACACCAUGGUAUGCACCAUAUCCAAUAGGGUGCAACUAUGAUGUUCGGACACACCAUCACACUAUGGUGUUCCAGGCGGUAUUAAUCGUGAAACAAUUUCCACAAUGUCUUAAUUGCGUGCCAAAGCUCGUAACUCAGAUACUCAUCUCUAUGAUCAUAUCAUAGACAUUUUAUCCUCUUAUCACGAUGAUCUUCAACUUCACUCUGAAAUUACUUGAACCAUUCAAUAAUUCAGACUUGUGUUUCAUCAAGUAAAUAUACUCAGUAUCUACUCAAAUCAUCCGUGAAGUAAGAACAUAAUGAUAUCCACUGCGUGACUCGGCACUCAUUGGACUGCACACAUCAAAAUGUAUUACUUCCAACAAGUUCCUUUCUUGUUCCAUUUUACUGAAAACGAGGCUUUCAGUCAUCUUGCCCAUGUGGUAAGAUUUGCAUAUCUCAAGUGAUUCAAAAUCAAAUGAGUCCAAAAGAUCCAUCUGCAUGGAGUUUCUUCAUGAGUAUACACCAGUAGACAUGGUUCGCAUGUCUCAAACUUCUCAAAAACGAGUGAGUCCAAAGAUCCAUCAACAUGGAGCUUCUUCAUGCGUUUUAUACCAAUAUGACUUACAUGGCAGUGCCACAAGUAAGUGGUACUAUCAUUACUAUCUUAUAUCUUUUGGCAUGAAAAUGUGUAUCACUACGAUCGAGAUUCAAUAAACCAUUCCUUUAGGUGCAAGACCAUUAAAGGUAUUGUUCAAAUAAAUAGAGUAACCAUUAUUCUCCUUAAAUGAAUAACCGUAUUGCGAUGGACAUAAUCCAAUCAUGUCUAUGCUCAAUGCAAACACCAAAAGGCAAUUAUUCAGGUUUAAUACUAAUCUUGAUGGUAGAGGGAGCGUGCGAUGUUUGAUCACAUCAAACUUGGAAACACUUCCAACACAUAUCGUCAGCUCACCUUUAGCUAGUCUCCGUUUAUUCCGUAGCUCUUUUAUUUCGAGUUACUAACACUUAGCAACUGAACCGGUAUCUUAAUACCCUGGUGCUACUAGGAGUACUAGUAAAGUACACAUUAACAUAAUGUGUAUCGAAUAUACUUCUAUCGACCUUGCCAACCUUCUUAUCUACCAAGUAUCUAGGGUAAUUCUGCUCCACUGGCUGUUCCCCUUAUUACAUAAGCACUUAGUCUCGGGUUUGGGUUCAACCUUGGGUUUCUUCAUUAGAGCAGCAGCUGAUUUGUUGUUUCAUGAAGUAUCCCUUCUUGCCCUUGCCCUUCUUGAAACUAGUGGUUUCACCAACCAUCAACAAUUGAUGCUCCUUCUUGAUUCCUACUUUCGCGGUGUCAAACAUCACGAAUAUCUCAAGGAUCAUCAUAUCUAUCCCUGAUUUGUUAUAGUUCAUCACGAAGCUCUAGUAGCUUGGUGGCAAUGACUUUGGAGAAACAUCACUAUCUCAUCUGGAAGAUCAACUCCCACUCGAUUAAAGUCAUUGUUGUACUCAGACAAUCUGAGCACAAGCUCAACGAUUGAGCUUUUCUCCCUUAGAUUGCAGGCUAAGAAAAUCGUCGGAGGUCUCAUACCUCUUGAUGUGGGCACGAGCCUGAAAUCCCAAUUUCAGCCCUCGAAACAUCUCAUAUGUUCCACGACGUUUCGAAAACGUCUUUGGUGCCUCUACUCUAAACCAUUUAACUGAACUAUCACAUAGUUAUCAAAACGUGUAUGUCAGAUGUUCGCAACAUCCACAGACUAUGUUCGAGGUCCAGCACACCGAGCGAUGCAUUAAGGACAUAAGCCUUCUACGAAGCAACGAGGACAAUCCUCAGUUCACGGACCCGUCCGCAUAAUUGCUACUAUCAACUUUCAACUAAAUUUUCUCUAGGAACAUAUCUAAAAUAGUAGAACUAUAGUGCGAGCUACGACAUAAUUUGCAAGAAUCUUUUGACUAUGUUCAGGAUAAUUAAGUUCAUCUCAUGAACUCCCACUUAGAUAGACAUACCUCCAGUCAUCUAAGUGAUUACAUGAUCCGAGUCAACUAGGCCGUGUCCGAUCAUCACGUGAGACGGACUAGUCAUCAUCGGUGAACAUCUUCAUGUUGAUCGUAUCUACUAUACGACUCAUGCUCGACCUUUCGGUCUCUUGUAUUCCGAGGCCAUGUCUGUACAUGCUAGGCUCAUCAAGUUAACCUAAGUGUUUCGCGUGUGUAAAUCUGGCUUACACCCGUUGUAUGUGAACGUAAGAAUCUAUCACACCCGAUCAUCACGUGGUGCUUCGAAACGACGAACUUUCGCAACGGUGCACAGUUAGGGGGAACACUUUCUUGAAAUUUUAAUGAGGAAUCAUCUUAUUUACUACCAUCGUUCUAAGCAAAUUAAGAUGUAUAAAUAUGAUAAACAUCACAUGCAAUCAAAUAGUGACAUGAUAUGGCCAAUAUCAUAUUGCUCCUUUUGAUCUCCAUCUUCGGGGCUCCAUGAUCAUCAUCGUCACCGGCAUGACACCAUGAGCUCCAUCAUCAUGAUCUCCAUCAUCGUGUCUCCAUGAAGUUGUCUCGCCAACUUAUUACUUCUACUACUAUGGCUACCAGUUAGCAAUAAAGUAAAGUAAUUACAUGGCGUUGUUCAAUGACAUGCAGGUCAUACAAUAAAUAAAGACAACUCCUAUGGCUCCUGCCGAUUGUCAUACUCAUCGACAUGCAAGUUGUGAUUCCUAUUACAAGAACAUGAUCAAUCUCAUACAUCACAUAUCAUUCAUCACAUUCUUCUUGGCCAUAUCACAUCACAUAGCAUACCCUGCAAAAACAAGUUAGACGUCCUCUAAUUGUUGUUUGCAUGUUUUACGUGGCUGCUAUGGGUUACUAGCAAGAAAGUUUCUUACCUACGCAAAACCACAACGUGAUAUGUCAAUUGCUAUUUACCCUUCAUAAAGACCCUUUACAUCGAAUCCGAUCCGACUAAAGUGGGAGAGACUGGCACCCGCUAGCCACCUUAUGCAACAAGUGUACGUGUACGUGUAAGGUUGGUCCGGGCCGCUUCAUCCCACAAUACCGUCGAUACAAGAUUGGACUAGUAAUGGUAAGCAUAUUGAACAAAAUCAACGCCCACAACUACUUUGUGUUCUACUCGAGCAAAGAAUCUACGCAAUAGACCUAGCUCAUGAUGCCACUAUGGGGGAACGUAGCAGAAAUUCAAAAUUUUCCUACGAGUCACCAAGAUCUAUCUAUGGAGAGACUAGCAACGAGGGGAAGGAGAGUGCAUCUACAUACCCUUGUAGAUCGCUAAGCGGAAGCAUUCAAGAGAACGGGGUUGAAGGAGUUGUACUCGUCGUGAUCCAAAUCACCGGAGAUCCUAGUGCCGAACGGACGGCACCUCCGUCGUCUCCCAUGCCUUGAUCCAGCAAGGAGAAAGGGAGAGGUUGAGGAAGACUCCAUCCAGCAGCAGCACGACGGUGUGGUGGUGGUGGAGGAGCGUGGCAAUCCUGCAGGGCUUCGCCAAGCACUGCGGGAGAGGAGGAGGACUUGGGAGAGGGGGAGGGCCGCGCCAGAACUUUGUGUCAAGCUCCCAUGCGCCUCCCCACUAUAUAUAGGGGUGGAGGGGCUGGUUUCUUGCCCUCCAAGUCCAUUGGGGCGUUGGCAAAGGUGGGAGGAAAGAAAUCCCAUCAUUUCCUUCCCCACCGAUUGUUAUCCCCCCUUUUUAGGGAUCUUUAUCUUAUCCCUUCAGGAUAUGAUCUCAUUCCUUCUAAGGGGGGAUCUUGGUGCGCCUUGACCCGGGGUGUGGGGCCUUGCCCACACUACCCACGUUCAUGUGUAUCCCCCCAUGCAGGUGGGCCCCACUCCGGAACCUUCUAGAACCUUCCCGGUACAAUACCGAAAAAUCCCGAACAUUUUUCGGUGGCCAAAAUUGGACUUCCCAUAUAUAAAUCUUUACCUCCGGACCACUCCGGAACUCCUCGUGAUGUCCGGGAUCUCAUCCGGGACUCCGAACAACAUUCGGUAACCACAUACAAACUUCCUUUAUAACCCUAGCGUUAUCGAACCUUAAGUGUGUAGACCCUACGGGUUCAGGAGACACGUAGACAUGACCGAGACAACUCUCCGGCCAAUAACCAACAGCGGGAUCGGGAUACCCAUGUUGGCUCCCACAUGUUCCACGAUGAUCUCAUCAGAUGAACCACGAUGUCGAGGAUUCAAUCAAUCCCGUAUUCAAUUCCCUUUGUCCAGCGGUAUUAUACUUGCCCGAGAUUCGAUCAUCGGUAUGGUGAUACCUUGUUCAAUCUCGUUACCGGCAAGUCUCUUUACUCGUUCCAUAACACAUCAUCCCGUGAUCAACCCCUUGGUCACAUUGUGCACAUUAUGAUGAUGUCCUACCGAGUGGGCCCAGAGAUACCUCUCCGUUUACACGAAGUGACAAAUCCCAGUCUCGAUUCAUGCCAACCCAACAGACACUUUCGGAGAUACCUGUAGUGCACCUUUAUAGCCACCAAGUUACGUUGUGACGUUUGGUACACCCAAAGCAUUCCUAAGGUAUCUGGGAGUUGCACAAUCUCAUGGUCUAAGGAAAAGAUACUUGACAUUAGAAAUGCUUUAGCAUACAAACAACAUGAUCUUUGUGCUAGGCUUAGGAUUGGGUCUUGUCCAUCACAUCAUUCUGCUAAUGAUGUGAUCCCGUUAUCAACGACAUCCAAUGUCCAUGGUCAGGAAACUGUAACCAUCUAUUGAUCAACGAGCUAGUCAACUAGAGGCUUACUAGGGACAUGGUGUUGUCUAUGUACCCACACAUGUAUCUGAGUUUCCUAUCAAUACAAUUAUAGCAUGGAUAAUAAACGAUUAUCAUGAACAAGGAAAUAUAAUAAUAACUAAUUUAUUAUUGCCUCUAGGGCAUAUUUCCAACAUUCUAGACAAAAGUUUGAACUGGCUGGACAAAGCAUGGAGUGACUUACUAUAGCAGUCUUGACUGGCUCCGAAAACCCAUGCUUCUUGCUGUUGUGGGUGGCCUUAAACAAGUCAAUCGCAGACAGCUCCUCACCCUUACGCUCUUCUUUUUGAAAUGUUUUUCAACAAAAAUCAAAAUGUUAUUCAACAAGAAUCAGAAAUGUUAUUGAACGAGUAUCAAACGGUAAGGUCUCUAGAGAAAAGUUCUCACAGUGGCAAAAAUGUGUGCUGUGUAGUGCCUGGAACCAGUUCUCUGAUUGUACACGACUUUUUCUCGAUUCAUCUUGUUCGACACAUAGGUUUCCUACAAAAAAGCAUACUGUCAGCAUGAUCUAGCACUAGCAUAUCAUGUGCAGAACAUAAAGCAGCAAACAAAGCAGAGGCAAACCUUGUGUCUUGGGAUAGACCACAUCUCCACCAGAGCUUGCCAUUCACCGUCCGUCAGAUCUGGCACCGGAGACUUGAUACUGACUUUGUUUGCGGCUACGGUAUCAAAAUACUUCUUCUUGAUCUGAUAGCCUCUGUUCUUUGAAUUUUUCUGCAGAAUAUCUUUGCACAUGGUCUUGAUGGUCUCUGAGUCCGUGUUCAUCUCAAAAUUUGCCUACCAAGAUAGCAAACAAGGUAGGAACAAUAUUAGUGAUCAUGCAUAGGUGUAACAGAAAAUAGAUAGCACAUUAACUACGAAACAAGUAGCUUACAUCAACUUUCCCAAUGUAGUUCUCCAAUAGACUAGCAUUUUUUUAUAGCUUGAAGUGAGGAAGAACCGUCAGAUGGCUUCUUGCAACAUGUCCACACUCAGAAGCAAGCUUUGCUGCCUGCAGAGGCUUCUCUGGACGCUUCAUCCCUUCGGCAAUUUGGAUAGGCACCUUGCUACAAAGCGACUUGGUGAUUCUCUCCAGCCCUUUGCCCUUUCUAAGUCUAGUCUUGGUAGUCAUUGCAUCUGAAAAUGAAAUUGAACUCAUAAAUUAGAAUAGAAAUCGACAGAUGCAGGAAUUGACAAAAGCAUACAUGAUCAUUCCAUUUGGAAAAUGCACCAGUAAAAGAGAGCAUUGCAAAGGUCAACUUGCCUGGUUGAAGCACAAGUUGUUGUUCUUCUUCAUUGAUGACAACAUUCCUAUCAAUAGAAGGUGCAACAGGGAUGAGGUCUGUGUGUACAGUGCCUGCUUCAUCUAUGAAGAUAGUUCCUCCUUCAUCUAGGCAGACAGUGCCACUUCCAUCCAUGCAGAGAGUGGUUCCUUUAUCCAUGGGCGGCAACUCAUCACCCAUUUGCACCGAAGUCUUAGAGUCCAUGCGCAUCAGACUUUCCUGAUGGUCCGUCGCAGUCGCCAUCUUUGUUUUCUACCUUGUGACUCUAUCAGGGGCAGGUUCAUCAGGCUCCAGGAUCCUCUUUUUUGUCCUGGAGUUAGGGCCAUCACCCUUCCUGGAGGGAUUGUAGCAGAUGUUUCUGAGCUCUUCUUAUUCUUGCUGACUGUCUUCUUAACAUUAGGCCUCUUCGUCCUAGAUUCUUUCAUUGCCUCGUAUAAACAGCGCGGAAAAAGCAUUAGAUGAUAAGAGAGCACAAGGUAACACAUAGCAUAAAAGAACCCCAACCCUCCAAGCAAGACAGAGUUUGCACCUUAACAAUCUUCUUCACUACGACAUCAUCCACUUCCUCUCCAUCAAUAACUUGAUCCUCCUUAGGAUUGUACUCUGGGUCAUCAUUGAUAACUCCACUACCUUCUUGAACCUCAUCACUUCUACCUUCUUGCACAUCAUUUUUUUUCCUAAUCAUCGACGCUAUUGCGCUGAUGCCAAGGGACUGCAACAUCCGAUUGUUCCUCAUGAUAUUUCUAGCCCUAACAUUCUCGUAUUCGAUGAGAGGCUCUUCUUUGCAUGAUAAAGGAAACGUAACUAUUAGGUGAAUGUUUGGAAUGCAUGGACAGACAGCCAAACAUUUCUUAUGAGAUUUUAUUAUCAUUUAAUCCUAGUUAUUCAGGUAAGGAAGACUAACAGCACACAGGCACAAUUAAGCCAGCAUAUUCAGAUUGUAGCAAUACAUUUCACUUAGCAUAUUAAGACACAAAUUUUAUAAAACUGACAGUAUAAUCCCAAGGGGCAAGUUGCAUACCAACGGUUGGCCUCAUGUUUGACCUUGUCAUCCUUGCCAUGGAUGAUCUUGAGGUGGUGCUUGCAAAAUAGAAUAAACAACAACCAGAUACAACAGGGAUAAAGUAAAAUGAUGCACUUGUAUCAAUAAAUGAAAGCAUUUGGACCAUCAUGCACAUAAAGGUGUAGCAAUGCAUCAGUAAUAAUACAUGUCAAGCAAACUUGCUGGAUCAACAAUAUAAUGAUGUAGUUCAAUUAAUUAAGCAUACAUGUAAGUGCACUAAACAAGCAUGCAUGUACACAGGAAAGAUAUGAAGCAUCCCUAAAAAUCUUGACUACAUCAAGCAGGGGGUAGCAAUGUACAUAACUCAACUAAGUUAAUUGGUGUCAUUACAGAAAAGUAGCACAAAGUAAUAACUAACAUAUCUAGCUGAUCUAUAGUAUAAUGCUCGCAGAAAUGGAAGAUGGACUUAAUCAUUUAGUAAUGAACACCAUGAAUUAACUAGACCAACCCAGAGAGCAUAUAUCACACCUACAUGAGCUACUCUAGUAGUGUAGUGAGCAGGAAGCUUUCUAUAUGAACGACAGAGUCCCAUAGGAAGCAAUGAGAGAUCAGCACUGCCACUGAUAAAUUUAGCAAACCCAGGAACAUAGCUAUGGAACAAGAUCAUCCAUAUGUAAACCAAAGCAUGGCAGGAGCUCACAUGAUUGAAACCAAACAUCAAUGGGAACGUACAAACCCUAGAUAGCAUGGGAACAACAACUACAGAGCAUUAGAUUUAGUGGUGACCAUAAUCAAGAACACAUAACAGGAUUGGCAGUAGAAGGAGAGGGAGAUGGAGAUGGAUGUGCUACUUGCUUUUGUGGUGGUGCGUCGUAGUAGCCGUGCUUGAGCUCCUCCUCCUGAUGCUGCUCAAUAACCUGCAAGACAAACAAGGCCAUAGGUGAGCUGCCACAGGGCAUCCACAUGACAAUGCAAAACAUCAAGCAACAUGUCCGAGUCAUAGACAGGGAUGCACAAUCAAAAUAGAGCAUACAAAAUCUAGAAUAAAGAACCACCUCCCCACAAAACCCUAACCCUAUCAAUGUCCGAGUCAUUGACACGGAUGUUUCUUAUCCAAGUGCUACUGAUAGAAACAAGCAUAGUGCCACUGAUAGAAACAAGCAAGCAAAGAAUGAAAUAUAAGAGCAACAAGAAAGCAAGUAUUGUUGAUACAAACCCUUGCUUUUUCUCCAGGUGCUACUGAUACAAGCAAGUACUGCUGAUGGAAACCCUAAUUAACCAUGUAAUCUAGCAAGAAACAUGAACUAGAGGGAGGUCAUCCCCUAACAUCAUCCACAUCCUCAUCUAUCCCCAUCCCCUAACAGCAUGCAUUUCCUCUCCAUCAACCUGAACCAUAACCCCAUGAAGCAGCCUACCAGAGGGGGAUCGAACGAACCACCAGGAGGUCCUAACCCUAGAUCGACCAGGAGAGGGGUCGAUAGAACCACCAAGAGCUCCUAACCCCAGAAUCCAUCCCAUGAACAAGAACCACCAGGAGCUCCCAGAUCUACCGAAUCCUUAACCUAGAUCGACCAGGAGGGGGAUCGAGGGGAGAAGUACCUGUCGUCCAUGAUGGGAUCGAGGGGAUCGUCGAUGAUGUCGAUGUAGCCGCCGUCGUCGAUGUAGUCGUAGCCGGGGCCAUCGAUGUCGUUGAAUUAGCCGCCGUUGUCGAUGUAGCCGUCAUCGUCGAGGGUGGGAUGGAGCGGAGCAGGGCAGGGCGAAGCAGAGGAGGAGGAGCUAGGGUUGCGGGUGGGGAAUGGGGAAUUUGGGGGAGGGGGAGAGGGGAGGGGGAUUNNNNNNNNNNNNNNNNNNNNNNNNNNNNNNNNNNNNNNNNNNNNNNNNNNNNNNNNNNNNNNNNNNNNNNNNNNNNNNNNNNNNNNNNNNNNNNNNNNNNNNNNNNNNNNNNNNNNNNNNNNNNNNNNNNNNNNNNNNNNNNNNNNNNNNNNNNNNNNNNNNNNNNNNNNNNNNNNNNNNNNNNNNNNNNNNNNNNNNNNNNNNNNNNNNNNNNNNNNNNNNNNNNNNNNNNNNNNNNNNNNNNNNNNNNNNNNNNNNNNNNNNNNNNNNNNNNNNNNNNNNNNNNNNNNNNNNNNNNNNNNNNNNNNNNNNNNNNNNNNNNNNNNNNNNNNNNNNNNNNNNNNNNNNNNNNNNNNNNNNNNNNNNNNNNNNNNNNNNNNNNNNNNNNNNNNNNNNNNNNNNNNNNNNNNNNNNNNNNNNNNNNNNNNNNNNNNNNNNNNNNNNNNNNNNNNNNNNNNNNNNNNNNNNNNNGAGGGGGAUUUGUCGUCGGAGAGAGGGGUGGCGGGGUGGUGUGGAGCAGGGGAAGGAGUCGGCGGUGGCGGGGCAGGGGAGGGAGUCAUCGUCGACGGGGCGGUGGGGCGGGGUGGGGAGAAGCUAGGGUUCGUCGCGGAGGCGAAUGGGGAAAUUUUGGGGAGAUGGGAGGGGAUCCCGUGUGUUAGUGGAGAGGAGAGGAGAGGGAAUGUUAGGUCACGCAUGGUAGUGGGAGAGAAGUGGUGCAAAAUUUUGGUGGGAUGGGAGGGAAAAUUUUGUGCUAGGAGGGAAAAUUUGGUGGGGUGGGAGGGAAAUUUUUACCAUUUUUUAGAGGUUUGGAGGAAGAAAAAUUCAGGGUCUUUUUCGUAAAUUUUGUAGAAAUAAUGGUUAAAAUCAUACCGAAUAACUCAAGAAAACAUCGGUAUUCCAAGUUUAGUAUUUUUGCUAGUUGGUAAGCCACAUUUGAUGAUGUGACGCCAAGGUCCCCCAUUAUUUUAAUUUUUUUGAAUUUUUUACCGUGUUUUCAAAAACUGGCCGAUUUUGUCAUGGCGGCCGCCCGUGGCUAGGGUUUGAGUCAUGCACAUCUGUUGUCGAUUCUUUGAUGAAAUGCCUACCUGUGAAGCUCAAAAUUAUUUUUGGCAAAAAUAGCGGGCAAGCUAUGGAGGACCCGCAGUUUAAAUUCCAGCCGGUUCCAGCUGAAUCGGCCAAAGGUGGUCUGAAUGGCCGGGAGUAGCUACGAGGGUCGGAAAUGCAUGAUUUUUGGCGACCGUCCGUAAAAUAGAGUCUACUUUCAGAUAGACAUGGAAUGGCGCCGUUUGGGGUGACCCUCCUUGUAGCCGCUUCACGAAAAACGCAUGUCUUUAUCAUUCAAAAAAUGAAAACCGGUUUUUUUUUGUUAAACAAGUUGGAACCUCGCUUUGGCAACAUUGUUUGCCAUCACAAGACGGAGGCAUGCGCCAAAUUUGGGCAUAUUAUCAAAAACUAUUUAAUGGAUGUGGGCAUAUCAUUGCUAGUUUGGCUUGAAAGCCAUGAAUCUUCGUUCAUGGUAGGUCGUUUUUGAGAACACCUUUUCAAGAAAACCUUGGCAUUCCAAGUUUAGUAUUUUUGCUAGUUGGUAUGCCACAUUUGAUGAUGUGACAUGGAGGUCUCCUAUUUUUUUGAAUUUUUUAUGGUGUUUCCAAAAACCGGCCGAUUUCGUCGCGGCGGCCGUCCGUGGCUAGGGCUUGAGUCAUGCAAAUCUGUUGUCGAUUGUUUACAAAAAAACAUGUUUAGAUGACACUGUCAUACUUGAGCAUUAAACUUAUAUUGUUUCAUAAUGUUGUUGAUUCUUAAUGAACAAUCUUAACGAAAAAACAUGUUUUUGACAAUCACAAAAUGAAACUUAUAUUGUUUCAUACAUGAGCAUGCACAAAAACCCAUAAUUUCAUCUUUCAUACAUGAGCAUGCACAAAAUAUCAAUUCCCAUCAAUUACCAAACUGAAUAUUAAUAAUUAAGAAACUGAAUAUUCAUAAUUAAGAAACUGAAUAUUCAUACUUAAGCAUCCAUAAGCUUGCACAAAAUUCAAACUAAGCUUGGCAUUGCCACUUAACAUUCCCACUUGAUUUCUUAACAUCUUCAUUCGUUCUUCUCCUUAUUCUUCUUCAUCCUCCUGAUGCGCUCAGAGUGGCGAAUGCCGACGUGGAUGUACUCCUCUACCACAAUUGGCAUGGUCCUGACGCCCAACUAUGGAAUCGCCGGCGCCACUACCAUCGCGAGGUCAUUGUUAGGCACCACCAUCGUGAGGUCAACGUCAGGCACCACAAUCGCGAGGUCGUCGUCAGCCACCAUAGCAGGGUCAAUGUCAGGCACCGCAAUCACAAGGUCAUCGUCAGCCACCACCAUAGCAGGGUCGUCAUCAGCCACCACCAUAGCAAGGUCGUCGUCAGCUAGAAUAGGCUGCACCACCCUGCUCUGCUCCUCGUCAUCCCCGCUCUGCUCCUCAUCAUCCCAGCUCUGCUCCUCGUCAUCCCUUCUCUGCUUCUCUUCUUGCCCACUCUGCUCCUCGUCAUCCCCGCUGCUGCUCCCAUUGCCUAGCCAAAUGCAACAACUUGUGAACAUGGUGUUGUCGUCGUGCUAGUAGAGGAAGCCAAAAGGACAGGAAGAAGAGAGGCAAAGAGCUUACUGGCAUCGUCGUCGUGCUAGUAGUACACGUGGCACAUGGUGUUGUCGAACAUCUUCAUGGUGAACAUGGCGUCGUCGUCGUAGCGGAAGAUAAGGAAGUGCCCGAGCUGCAGCUCAUGGGCGCGGGCGAAAUGCUCCCAUCCGGGCCCUAGGUACAUGUGUCCUUCCUCUGUCGAACACCACCACCACAUCCCACAGCCUGCGAAGCCCGCUGCUGGCCUCCCGCAACUUCACUUUGUGGGGCUCACGGCCGGCGAGCAUCUUCGCAAACUUGUCAGUCAGCCUCUGCAGCGAGGGUCAAGUAGUGGUUAAUUGUGCCAAUCAAGCACUACACAGCAGAGUGAUGAUUAAGAAAUGAGUGAUGAUAAAUAUACCUGCCGACUGCAAGAUUUCUCAAUUAUGACCUCGAAGAACUUGAAACCUUCCAUGCCAGCCAUCUCACUUCUCUGAAAAGAAGGAUUGUAAUUACACAACAAGUUACCAUAAACAGGACUGGACAUAGUUGGAACAGAACCAAGUUUAUGAUGGCCAAAGUGAGAAAAAAAGCAAUGCACUUGUGGAUAUUUAUGAUAGCAAAAGUGAGAAAAAAGCAAUGCACUUGAGAAAACAAGCCAUUUCUACUAUAAAUGGCAAACACAGCAUCAGGAUAAUAUCCACUAUAAAUGGACCAUAUCUACAAUGAACCGUAUCUACUAUAAAUGGACCAUAUCUUCCCAUAUGCUACAUUUUGUUAGAACCCAGCACUUAAGAACUGAAACCUAGAUUCUCAAUUUAAACACACCUACCCAAUACAGUCAUGUACAAAACUGAACAACUUUUGACCACAUAAAUUGGAGAUGUAUAAGAUUAACAAGGCUAUUUUUGCAUUAUGUGGACAUACAAACCGGGGAAUGUAAAUGAGAACAAACAACUGACCAAGUGGGUAGGUGUUAACUGAUCUAUGCAGUACAAGGAACAGGUAACUGGUGGUAGCCAGCGCAGCAGUGAUGUGUGCAAGAUAAUGCAAAAUAAAAACAAUAGUUUGCAUCACUAUGAUUAUCAUUAAAGAUUUACUGGUCGCAGGUGAUUUGCUGUGCGUAAUUAGUCAUAACACUUAAUCAAAGAACAUGGGGGGGACGGAACGGACCUGGGGGGGACGAUGACUGCUUGAGCUUGUUGGCCUUGUGGGUGUCGUGGACGCAGAGAGUGUAGGCCUCCUCUUGAUCUCGUGGAUCUGCUUCGGCUACAACGGAACCCUAAUUAGCAUGAGCCACGGAACCCUAAUCUAAUCUGAUCCCAUGGAUCUCGUGGGAAGAGGAACAAGAAGGAGUCGGCGGAUUCAUACCUUAGGAGGCCGUCGCUGUCGCCGUCGAUGGAGGAGUAGGUUGCCAAGGAGGUCGUCACCGUCGAUGGAGGAGAAGGGGAUGCGGGCGGCGGAGAGGAGGAGUGGGUCGAGUGGAUAAUGGAGAGGAGGAGUGGGUCAAGUGGAGAGGAGGAUUAGGUCCACUUGUCAGCGAGUUCUGUAUUUGAUAUAUUGAAAAGGGUUGGCAUAGAGUACAAAACCAACAGCCUCUAACUAGCGCAGUGGUAGAAAACAGUGGAAUAAGCGGCAGGUCGUGGUUCGAGCCCCUUCUCGCGCAUAUUUUUUUGGCAUAUUUUUUGGUUGCUUAGGGGGGGUAGAGUAGCAAAAUGGCCCACUUGUCAGCGAGUGGGUCUAGUGGCCCACUUGUCAGCAAGGUCUGUGUUUGCUACUUGACUGGUUUGAUGAUUUGAAAAGAGAUGGCAUAGAGUGGAAGACCAGUAGUCUCUUCCUAGCCUAGUGGUAGAAACACAGUGAAACGAGCGCACGGUCGUGGGUUCAAGUCCCCGCUCACGCAUAUUUUUUUGCUCACAAUGAAAUGGAGCCACACAUGGGAUCAAACGGGCUGUCUGAUGGAGCAUGCAACAUCUUCAGUUAAAGCAUUUUGCAAUCAUUUCUGAAACAACAUAUUCAGUUAAAAAAAACUUAAGGAUCACAUCAUUUUGCAAUCUUUUGCAUUAUAAGGCAACAUUUUGAAUCACAUCACAACCAUAAGUCUCAUUCAUUGAAGACAUUUUUGUCAUUUCUGCCCAAAUAUCAUAACAAUAAGCAUCGAAAAUGCCCCAGCAUCAUAACAAUCACAACAAUUGUUUUGCAACCAAAAUGUUGAUGCUUACAAAAUACUACAACGAACAUUUUGUCACAGGAUCACACCACUACAUCCAUCAGGAUCUUCAAGCAUUUUGCUACCUGGAGAUAAUUGUAGUACAUUAGGAUCACCAUGCAUAUGCACAAGAAGGAAAACUACAGAGAAUUACAAGGAAAACUACAGAGAGUUAGAAGGAUCACCAAGGAGACAAAAUUUACCUUCAUGUCCAUUCACUACUCAUCAUUGUCGAUACGAAAACAAGGAACUCUAUUCCCACUCCUGUUUUCCUCAUCGUCACUACAAUAUUGCAGCACGGUCGUGGGUUCAAGUCCCCGCUCGCGCAUAUUUUUUUGCUCACAAUGAAAUGGAGCCACGCAUGGGAUCAGACGGGCUGUCUGAUGGAGCGUGCAACAUCUUCAGUUAAAGCAUUUUGCAAUCAUUUCUGAAACAACAUAUUCAGUUCAAAAAAAACUUAAGGAUCACAUCAUUUUGCAAUCUUUUGCAUUACAAGGCAACAUUUUGAGUCACAUCACAACCAUAAGUCUCAUUCAUUGAAGAAUUUUUUGUCAUUUCUGCCCAGAUAUCAUAACAAUAAGAAUCCAAAAUGCACCAGCAUCAUAACAAUCACAACAAGUGUUUUGCAACCAAAAUGUUGAUGCUUACAAAAUACUACAACCAACAUUUUGUCACAGGAUCACACCACUACAUCCAUCAGGAUCUUCAAGCAUUUUGCUACCUGGAGAUAAUUGUAGUACAUUAGGAUCACCAUGCAUAUGCACAAGAAGGAAAACUACAGAGAAUUACACGGAAAACUAUAGAGAGUUAGAAGUAUCACCAAGGAGAUAAAAUUUACCUUCAUGUCCAUUCACUACUCAUCGUUGUCGAUACGAAAACAAGGAACUCUAUGCCCACUCCUAUUUUCCUUAUCAUCACUACAAUAUUGCAGCACAGUAUGAUCAGUCAUGUUUUCCUCAUCCUCGCUCUCAUGUCCAUCUGCUACCACCUGUCUUCUUUUCUUGAUGCCUUCAACUAUUGCAGCAUCAAAGAGCAUACGUUCCUGCUCCCUUUGCACUCUGUGUUGCACUGAAACUUCCAUAUAUUCAUCAUCAGCUUGCAACAGAACUUUCGUAGAGUCAUCAUCCUGGUAUGUUAGUACACCACCAACGGGGACCUUUUCCACUUCAGUUUCAGUCACACUCCACAAGUGUCUAUGCUCAAAGUUUUGCACAACUCGCCACUUUCCAUGCAAAAGAGUGUCUGGCAGAUAAAACACCAUUGUUGCUUGUGUUGUUAGAAUAAAGGGAUCACUCUUGUACCAGCACCUUGCAGUGUUGAUGAUUUUGAAGUGGCCAUCAUAUUUGACAAAAGAGUCUCUCUUCUUCUUGCUACCAAGCUCAAACCAGUCACAGCAAAAUAAGACAGCCGAGUGAUGGAUGCCUCCACUAGAGUUGUACUACAACUCUACGAUGCUUCUCAACUGACCGUAGAAGUCAAUGAUCUCACGAUCAUGUGAACCCUCAGUGAGGAUUCCACUAUUCUGUGCCUUCCUUUUUUCCUCGCGGUCAACGGUGUGGUACCGGACACCGUUAGCAAUGCAUGCUGAAUACACUGUCACUCGCUUAUUUUGUAAGCAUGCCAAAGCAAAUAGAUCAUCACUAACCUUCUUCUCCUCAUGCAAUUUUCCAAUCUGCACAAAUAAACCAUUUAGCAAACAAUGGUAUUCAACAGUUGGUGAAUAACAUAGAAAACAUCAAACAUGUGGCUAAAGAUCUCACAUGAUUCUUAAACCACUUAGCAAACCCCUUGGCAACCCUUUUCUCAACAUGGAUCUUGCUUUCUUCCUGAUUUAACUCUUCCUUGCAUUUCCUGCAAUGCAAACAAAACAUGUGAAUUAGAACAUUAGGUUGCUGCCAACCCAAGCAAAAAAAACAUAAUGAGUGCACAAGAUAUAACGUACUCGAUACAUGGUAGAACCUCGGCGCAAUUGCUGAGCACAUACCAAACCAUUUUGUCAUACUCAUCACCAGCCUCCAAGUAUUGUGAGGCUCCAAGAAAGUUCACACCACGUGUCGGUGUCAAAACCGGCGGAUCUCGGGUAGGGGGUCCCGAACUGUGUGUCUAGGCGGAUGGUAACAGGAGACAAGGGACACGAUGUUUUACCCAGGUUCGGGCCCUCUUGAUGGAGGUAAAAUCCUACGUCCUGCUUGAUUAAUAUUGAUGAUGUGUGUUACAAGAGUGGAUCUACCACGAGAUGAAGGAGGCUAAACCCUAGAAGCUAGCCUAUGGUAUGAUUGUUGUUCGUCCUAUGGACUAAAGCCAUCCGGUUUAUAUAGACACCGGAGAGGGCUAGGGUUAGAUAGAGUCGGUUACAAUGGUAGGAGAUCUACAUAUCCGUAUCGCCAAGCUUGCCUUCCACGCCAAGGAAAGUCCCAUCCGGACACGGGACGAAGUCUUCAAUCUUGUAUCUUCAUAGUCUUGGAGUCCGGCCGAUGAUGAUAGUUCGGCUAUCCGGACACCCCCUAGUCCGGAACUCCCUCAGUAGCAAAAAUAAAUUUAUCCGGACCAGGAUUCAAUGACGACGAGUCCGGCGCGCAUGUUGUCUUCGGCAUUGCAAGGCGGGUUCUUCCUCCGAAUAAUUUAUAGAAGAUUGUGAACACCAGGAUAGUGUCCAGCUCUGCAAAAAUAAAUUCCACGCACCACCGUAGAGAGAAUAAUAUUAGACAAGUUCAAUCUGCUGACGUAUUUUGCGGCGUGACGUCACACCACUACCAAGCCUUUACUAGAAUCGUUUUUAUUGUACCACCUCAGCGUGUUUAGCAAAGCGGUUUCCUUGGCACGUCUUGUCGAAGCAGAGAUCGUGUUCCCCUUAUUUCGGUAUUCCCAUCAAUACGGACGUGGGUAACCCAACCGUGCCCGUCUCCACGCCCCCUCCAUCGAAGGCGGGUUCCAAACGGUCACGGGGACGGCUCUUGGUAUUCUUCCUCUUUAUAAUGAGAUCGAGGCCCGUUCUUUUUCUUCAAUCCUCUAUCGAAUACGUCCCUCGCCCCGAGUUCCAACACCUAGGGCUCCAGAUUAGGCUACCUUCGAUCUUCGACAAUGUCCGGCCCCGACCUACGAGGCCGGUGGAUGCCCUCCUCCGUCACGGAAGAAGACGUGCUAAAGCUGAGUGACGCCAGGUAUUUGACCUACCAGAUUUCGCAUAGGUUGCCUGCUCGAGGGCAAAUUGUUCCUACUCCCGAACCCGGCGAGAGCGUCGUGUUCGUGUCUCACCUCCGUCGGGGUUUAGGCUUCCCGAUGGAUCCCUUUGUGAGGGGGCUCAUGUUUUACUAUGGGCUGGAAUUCCAUGACUUGGCUCCGGAGUCCAUCCUCCACAUCUCAUCAUUCAUUGUCGUCUACAAAGCUUUCCUCCGCACUACCCCUCACUUCGGCUUGUGGCUCAAAACCUUCGACGUGGAGCCGAAGAUGAUUGAGGGGCCUCAGACAGAGUGCGGCGGGGCGGUUAUAAGCAAGAGGGCCGAUGCUCCAUGGCCCGAGGGCUCUUUUCAGGAGGAGCUUGGCUUGUGGCAACAGGAGUGGUUCUAUAUCACCGCUCCCAGGGGCAGCAGGCAGAGGCCGCUGCCCGUCUUCCGCUCGGGCCCUCCACAACAGUUGACAUCAUGGGUCAACAAGGGGCGUGACUGGGGGCCGUCCAAAGACGUACCCCUGUUACAGGAUCAGAUUCAAGGCCUCCAAGAAAGGGAUAUCAAUCUAGUCAUAGUGGUACAGGUUAUGCUGAUCCGGCGCCUACUGCCCUGCAAACGUCGCCCCCUCCGCCUGUGGGAAUUUAAUCCGGAGGGGCCAUGAGCUCUUCAACACUUCAUGGGUUUGACACCCGCGGAGAUGUACCAACUGUUCUUCGGAUCGCAAGAGAUGCGUCCGGACUUGACCGAGGACGCUGGCCUAAGCUGCAAUCGACCGGAUAAUCAAGUAAGUAGCCCUGGGUCCGGACACAUUGUCCGUUUAUUUAUUGUGGGUUUGCCUUUUAACCAGCUAUCGCUUGGACAGGAGUGGAUAGCGCAAGCAAAACUGAUACGGUGUCCGGCCCCCUGAAGGAAAUAUGCCCGAGAGGCAAUAAUAAAGUUAUUAUUUAUUUCCUUAUUUCAUGAUAAAUGUUUAUUAUUCAUGCUAGAAUUGUAUUAACCGGAAACAUAAUACAUGUGUGAAUACAUAGACAAACAUAGUGUCACUAGUAUGCCUCUACUUGACUAGCUCAUUAAUCAAAGAUGGUUGUGUUUCCUAACCAUAGACAUGUGUUGUCAUUUGAUUAAUGGGAUCACAUCAUUAGGAGAAUAAUGUGAUUGACUUGACCCAUUCCGUUAGCUUAGCACUUGAUUGUUUAGUAUGUUGCUAUUGCUUUCUUCAUAACUUAUACAUGUUCCUGUAACUAUGAGAUUAUGCAACUCCCGUUUACCGGAGGAACACUUUGGGUGCUACCAAACGUCACAACGUAACUGGGUGAUUAUAAAGGAGUACUACAGGUGUGUCCAAAGGUACAUGUUGGGUUGGCGUAUUUCGAGAUUAGGUUUUGUCACUCCGAUUGUCGGAGAGGUAUCUCUGGGCCCUCUCGGUAAUGCACAUCACUAUAAGCCUUGCAAGCAAUGUGACUAAUGGUUUAGUUGCGGGAUGAUGCAUUACGUAACGAGUAAAGAGACUUGCCGGUAACGAGAUUGAACUAGGUAUUGGAUACCGACGAUCGAAUCUCGGGCAAGUAACUUACCGAUGACAAAGGGAACAAAGUAUGUUGUUAUGCGGUUUGACCGAUAAAGAUCUUCGUAGAAUAUGUAGGAGCCAAUAUGGGCAUCCAGGUUCCGCUAUUGGUUAUUGACCAAGAAUAGUUCUAGGUCAUGUCUACAUAGUUCUUGAACCCGUAGGGUCCGCACGCUUAAGGUUUCGAUGACAGUUAUAUUAUGAGUUUAUGAGUUUUGAUGUACCGAAGGGUUCGGAGUCCCGGAUGAGCGGGGACAUGACGAGGAGCCUCGAAAUGGUCGAGACGUAAAGAUCGAUAUAUUGGACGACUAUAUUCGGAGUUCGGAAAGGUUCCGAGUGAUUCGGGUAUUUUUCGGAGUACCGAAGAGUUACGGGAAUUCGCCGGGGAGUAUAUGGGCCUUAUUGGGCCAUAUGGGAAUAGUGGAGAGAGGCCAAAAGGAAGGAGGCCUGCGCCCCACCUCUGGUCCGAAUUGGACAAGGGGCGCAGCCCCCCCUUUCCUUCUUCCUCUCCCCCUCUUCCCCCCUCUCCUACUCCAACAAGGGAGGUGGAAUCCUACUAGGACUAGGGAGUCCUAGUAUGACUCCACACUUGGUGCUCCCCCUCCUAGGUCCGGCCACCUCCCCCCUUGCUCCUUUAUAUACGGGGGCAGGGGGCACCCCAUGACACACAAGUUGAUCUACGGACCAUUCCUUAGCCGUGUGCGGUGCCUCCCUCCACCAUAUUCCACCUCAGUCAUAUCGUCGCGGAGUUUAGGCGAAGCCCUGUGCCGGUAGAGCAUCAUCAUUGUCACCACGCCGUCGUGCUGACGGAACUCAUCCCCGAAGCUUUGCUGGAUCGGAGCCCGGGGAUCGUCAUCGAGCUGAACAUGUGCUGAACUCGGAGGUGCCGUACGUUCGGUACUUGGAUCGGUCGGAUCGUGAAGACGUACGACUACAUCAACCGCGUUGUCAUAACGCUUCCGCUUACAGUCUACGAGGGUAUGUGGACAACACUCUCCCCUCUCGUUGCUAUGCCAUCACCAUGAUCUUGCGUGUACGUAGGAAUUUUUUUGAAAUUACUACGUUCCCCAACAGUGGCAUCCGAGCCAGGUUUUAUGCGUUGAUGUUAUAUGCACGAGUAGAACACAAGUGAGUUGUGGGUGAUACAAGUCAUACUGCUUACCAGCAUGUCAUACUUUGGUUCGGCGGUAUUGUUGGAUGAAGCGGCCCGGACCCACAUUACGCGUACGCUUACGCGAGACUGGUUUUACUAUCGUGCUUUGCACACAGGUGACUAGAGGGUGUCAGUUUCUUCAACUUUAGUUGAACCGAGUGUGGCUACGCCCAGUCCUUGAGAAGGUUAAAACAGCACCAACUUGACGAACUAUCGUUGUGGUUUUGAUGAGUAGGUAAGAACGGUUCUUGCUCAGCCCGUAGCAGCCACGUAAAACUUGCAACAACAGAGUAGAGGACGUCUAACUUGUUUUUGCAGGGCAUGUUGUGAUGUGAUAUGGUCAAGACGUGAUGAGAUAUAAGUUGUUGUAUGAGAUGAUCAUGUUUUGUUGAAGUUAUUGGCAACUGGUAGAAGCUCUAUGGUUGUCUCUUUGUUGCAUAAGAUGCAAGUGCCAAAUAAUUGCUUUACUUUAUCGCUAUGCGAUAGCAAUAGUUGCAAGAGCAAUAGUUGGCAAGAUGACCAUGUGACGACACAUUGAUAUAGAUCAAGAUGAUGAAGAUCAUGGUGUCGUGCCGGUGACGAUAGAGAUCAUGACAGUACUUUGGAGAUGGAGAUCAAAGAUGCAAGAUGAUCAUGGCCAUAUCAUGUCACAUAUUUUGAUUGCAUACGAUGUUUAUCUGUUAUACAUCUUAUUCUGUUUUGUUUGAUGGUAGCAUUAUAAGAUGAUCUCUCACUAAUUAUCAAGAAGUGUUCUCCCUGAGUAUGCACCGUUGCCAAAGUUCGUCGUGCCCAGACACCACGUGAUGAUCGGGUGUGAUAAGCUCUACGUCCAUCUACAACGGGUGCAAGCCAGUUUUGCACACGCGGAAUACUCAGGUUAUACUUGACGAGCCUAGCAUAUGUAGAUAUGGCCUCCGAACACAGAGACCGAAAGGUCGAGCGUGAAUCAUAUAGUAGAUAUGAUCAACAUAGUGAUGUUCACCAUUGAAAACUACUCCAUCUCACGUGAUGAUCGGUUAUGGUUUAGUUGAUUUGGAUCACGUGAUCACUUAGAGGAUUAGAGGGAUGUCUUUCUAAAGUGGGAGUUCUUAAGUAAUAUGAUUAAUUGAACUUAAAUUUAUCAUGAACUUAGUCCUGGUAGUAUUUUGCAAAUUAUGUUGUAGAUCAAUAGCUUGCGUUGUUGCUUUCAUAUGUUUAUUUUGAUAUGUUCCUAGAGAAAAUUGUGUUGAAAAAUGUUAGUAGCAAUGAUGCGGAUUGGAUCCGUGAUCUGAGGUUUAUCCUCAUUGCUGCACAGAAGAAUUAUGUCCUUGAUGCACCACUAGGUGACAAACCUAUUGCAGGAGCAGAUGCAGACGUUAUGAAUGUUUGGCUAGCUCAAUAUGAUGACUACUUGAUAGUUUAGUGCACCAUGCUUAAUGGCUUAGAAUCGGGACUUCAAAGACGUUUUGAACGUCAUGGACCAUAUGAGAUGUUCCAGGAGUUGAAGUUAAUAUUUCAAGCAAAUACCCGAGUUGAGAGAUAUAAAAUAUCCAACAAGUUCUAUAGCUAAAAGAUGGAGGAGAAUCGCUCAACUAGUGAGCAUGUGCUCAGAUUGUAUGGGUACUACAAUCGCUUGAAUCAAGUGGGAGUUAAUCUUCCAGAUAAAAUAGUGAUUGACAGAAUUCUCUAGUCACCAUCACCAAGUUAGUAGAACUUCGUGAUGAACUAUAAUAUGCAAGGGAUAACGGAAACGAUUCCCAAGCUCUUCGUGAUGCUAAAAUCAAUGAAGGUAGAAAUCAAGAAAAACAUCAAGUAUUGAUGGUAGACAAGAUCACUAGUUUCAAGAAAAGGGCAAAGGGAAAGAAAGGGAAACUUCAAGUAGAAUGGAAAACAAGUUGUCACUCCCGUGAAAAAGCCCAAAGCUGGACCUAAGCCUGAAACAGAGUGCUUCUACUGCAAAAAAAUGGUCACUGGAAGCGGAAAUGCCCUGAAUAUUUGGUGGAUAAGAAGGAUGGCAAAGUGAACAAGGGUAUAUUUGAUAUACAGGUUAUUGAUGUGUGCCUUACUAGUGUUUAUAGUAGCCCCUGAGUAUUUGAUACUUGUUCGGUUGCUAAGAUUAGUAACUCGAAACAGGAGUUACAGAAUAAACAGAGACUAAUUGAAGGGGAAGUGACGAUGAGUGUUGGAAAUAGUUCCAAGAUUGAUAUGAUCAUCAUCACACACUCCCUAUAUUUUUGAGAUUAGUGUUAAACCUAAAUAAAUGUUAUUUAGCGUUUGCAUUGAGCAUGAAUAUGAUUUGAUCAUGUUUAUUGCGAUACAGUUAUUCAUUUGAAGUUAAAGAAUAAUUGUUAUUCUGUUUACAUGAAUAAGACCUUCGAUGGUUAUACACCCAAUGAAAAUAGUUUGUUGGAUCUCGAUCGUAGUGAUACACAUAUUCAUAAUAUUGAUGCCAAAAGAUGCAAAGUUAAUAAUGAUAGUGUAACUUAUUUGUGACACUGCCGUUUGGGUCAUAUCGAUGUAAAGCGCAUGAAGAAACUCCAUAAAGAUGGAUUUUUGGAAUCACUUGGUUAUGAAUCAUUUGAUGCUUGCGAACCGUGCCUUUUGGGCAAGAUGACAAAAACUCCAUUCUCCGGAACAAUGGAACGAGCUACUGAAUUAUUGGAAAUAAUACAUACCGAUGUAUGCGAUCCGAUGAGUGUUAAGGCUCGUGACAAGUAUCAUUAUUUUCUAACCUUCACAAAUGAUUUGAGCAGAUAUGGGUAUAUCUACUUAAUGAAGCACAAGUCUGAAACAUUUGAAAAGUUCAAAGAAGUUCAGAGUGAAGUGGAGAAUCAUCGUAACAAGAAAAUAAAGUUUCUAUGAUCUGAUCAUGGAGACGAAUAUUUGAGUUAUGAGUUUGGUCUUCAAUUAAAACAAUGUGGAAUAGUUUCACAAACUCAUGCCACCUGGAACGCUACAGCAUUAUGGUGUGUCCAAACGUCGUAACUGCACUUUAUUGGAUAUGGUGCGAUCUAUGAUGUCUCUUAUCGGUUUACCACUAUCGUUUUGGGGUUAUGCAUUAGAGACAGCUGCAUUCACGUUAAAAAGGGCACCAUCAAAAUCCGUUGAGACGAUGCCUUAUGAACUGUGGUUUAGCAAGAAACUAAAGUUGUCGUUUCUUAAAGUUUGGGGCUACGAUGCUUAUGUGAAAAAGUUUUAGCAUGAUAAGCUCAAACCCAAAUCGGAGAAGUGCGUCUUCAUAGAUUACCCAAAGGUAACUAUUGGGUACACCUUCUAUCACAGAUCCGAAAGCAAGUUUCGUUGCUAAGAUGGAUCCUUUCUAGAGAAGGAGUUUCUCUCGAAAGAAGUGAGUGGGAGGAAAGUAGAGCUUGAUAAGGUAAUUUGUACCUUCUCCCGAAGUGGGAAGUUGUUCAUCAUAGAAAUCAGUUCCAGUAAUUCCUACACCAAUUAGUGAGGAAGCUAAUGAUGAUGAUCAUGAAUCUUCAGAUCAAGUUACUACAGAACCUCGUAGGUCUUCCAGAAUACGGUCCGCGCCAGAGUGGUACGGUAAUCCUGUUCUGAAAGUCAUGUUACUAGAUCAUGAUAAACCUACGAACUAUGAGGAAGCGAUGAUGAGCCCAGAUUCCGCAAAAUGGCUGGAGGCCAUAAAAUCUGAGAUAUGAUCCAUGUAUGAGAACAAAGUAUGGACUUUGGUGGAGUUUCCCGAUGAUCGGCAAUCCAUAUUGUAUAAAUGGAUCUUCAAGAGGAAGAUGGACGUUGAUAGUAGUAUUACUAUCUACAAAGCUCGACUUGUCGCAAAAGGGUUUUUGACAAGUUCAAGGAGUUGACUACAAUGUGAUUUUCUCAACUGUAGCGAUGCUUAAGUCUGUCCGAAUCAUGUUAGAAAUUGCCACAAUUUAUGAAAUCUGGCAAAUGGAUGUCAAAACUGCAUUCCUUAAUGGUUUUCUCAAAGAAGAGUUGUAUAUGAUGCAACCAGAAGGUUUUGUCAAUCCUAAAGGUACUAACAAAAUGUGCAUGCUCCAGCGAUCCAUCUAUGGACUGGUGCAAGCAUCUCGGAGUUGGAAUAUAUUCUUUGAUGAGUUGAUCAAAGCAUAUAGUUUUGUACAGACUUACGGUGAAGCCUGUGUUUACAAGAAAGUGAGUGGGAGCACUACAGCAUUUCUGAUAAGUAUAUGUGAAUGACAUAUUGUUGAUCGGAAAUAAUGUAGAAUUAUUCUACAAAGCAUAAAGGAGUGUUUGAAAGGAGUUCUUUAAAAUAAAGACCUCACUAAAGCUACUUACAAUUGAGCAUCAAGAUCUAUUGAGAUAGAUCAAGACACUUGAUAAGAUUUUCAAUGAGUACAUACCUUGACAAGAUUUUGAAACAGUUCAAAAUGGAACAGUCAAAGAAGGAGUUCUUGCCUGUGUUGCAAGGUGUGAAGUUGAGUAAGACUCAAGACCCGACCAUGGCAGAAAAUAGAAAGAGAAUGAAAAGUCAUUCCAUAUGUCUCAGUCAUAGGUUCUAUAAAGUAUGCUAUGUUGUGAACCAGACCUAUUGUAUACUCUUCCCUGGUUUGGCAAAGGAGUACAAUAGUGAUCUAGGAGUAGAUCACUGGACAUUGGUCAAAAUUAUCCUUAGAGGAAUAAGGAUAUCUUUCUCAAUUAUGGAGGUGACAAAAGGUUCGUCGUAAAAGGUUAUGUCAAUACAAGUUUUGGCACUGAUCCAGAUGACUCUAAGUCUUAAUCUGGAUACAUAUUGAAAGUGGGAGCAAUUAGCUAGAGUAGCUCCGUGCAAAGCAUUGUAGACAUAGAAUAUUUGCAAAAUACAUACGGCUCUAAAUGUGACAGACCCGUUGACUAAGCUUCUCUCACGAGCAAAACAUGAUCACACCUUAGUACUCUUUGGGUGUUAAUCACAUAAGCGAUGUGAACUAGAUUGUUGACUCUAGUAACCCUUUGGGUGUUGGUCACAUAACGAUGUGAACUAUGGGUGUUAAUCAUAUACAGAUAUGAAUAUUGAUGUUAAAUCACAUGGCGAUGUGAACUAGAUUAUUGACUCUAGUGCAAGUGGGAGACUGAAGGAAAUAUGCCCUAGAGGCAAUAAUAAAGUUAUUAUUUAUUUCCUUAUUUCAUGAUAAAUGUUUAUUAUUCAUGCUAGAAUUGUAUUAACCGGAAACAUAAUACAUGUGUGAAUACAUAGACAAACAUAGUGUCACUAGUAUGCCUCUACUUGACUAGCUCAUUAAUCAAAGAUGGUUGUGUUUCCUAACCAUAGACAUGUGUUGUCAUUUGAUUAAUGGGAUCACAUCAUUAGGAGAAUAAUGUGAUUGACUUGACCCAUUCUGUUAGCUUAGCACUUGAUCGUUUAGUAUGUUGCUAUUGCUUUCUUCAUAACUUAUACAUGUUCCUGUAACUAUGAGAUUAUGCAACUCCCGUUUACCGGAGGAACACUUUGGGUGCUACCAAACGUCACAACGUAACUGGGUGAUUAUAAAGGAGUACUACAGGUGUCUCCAAAGGUACAUGUUGGGUUGGCGUAUUUCGAGAUUAGGUUUUGUCACUCCGAUUGUCGGAGAGGUAUCUCUGGGCCCCCUCGGUAAUGCACAUCACUAUAAGCCUUGCAAGCAAUGUGACUAAUGGGUUAGUUGCGGGAUGAUGCAUUACGUAACGAGUAAAGAGACUUGCCGGUAACGAGAUUGAACUAGGUAUUGGAUACCAACGAUCGAAUCUCGGGCAAGUAACAUACCGAUGACAAAGGGAACAAAGUAUGUUGUUAUGCGGUUUGACCGAUAAAGAUCUUCGUAGAAUAUGUAGGAGCCAAUAUGGGCAUCCAGGUUCCGCUAUUGGUUAUUGACCAAGAAUAGUUCUAGGUCAUGUCUACAUAGUUCUCGAACCCGUAGGGUCCGCACACUUAAGGUUUCGAUGACAGUUAUAUUAUGAGUUUAUGAGUUUUGAUGUACCAAAGGAGUUCGGAGUCCCGGAUGAGACCGGGGACAUGACGAGGAGUCUUGAAAUGGUCGAGACGUAAAGAUCGAUAUAUUGGACGACUAUAUUUGGAGUUCGGAAAGGUUCCGAGUGAUUCGGGUAUUUUUCGGAGUACCGGAGAGUUAGGGAAUUCGCCGGGGAGUAAUGGGCCUUAUUGGGCCAUACGGGAAUAGUGGAGAGAGGCCAAAAGGAAGGAGGCCUGCGCCCCCCCUCUGGUCCGAAUUGGACAAGGGGCGCAGCCCCCCCUUUCCUUCUUCCUCUCCCCCUCUUCCCCCCUCUCCUACUCCAACAAGGGAGGUGGAAUCCUACUAGGACUAGGGAGUCCUAGUAGGACUCCACACUUGGCGCGCCCCCUCCUAGGGCCGGCCACGUCCCCCCUUGCUCCUUUAUAUACGGGGGCAGGGGGCACCCCAUGACACACAAGUUGAUCUACGGAUAAUUCCUUAGCCGUGUGUGGUGCCCCCCUCCACCAUAUUCCACCUCGGUCAUAUCGUUGCGGAGUUUAGGCGCCUGCGCCGGUAGAGCAUCAUCAUCGUCACCACGCCGUCGUGCUGACGGAACUCAUCCCCAAAGCUUUGCUGGAACGGAGCCCGGGGAUCGUCAUCGAGCUGAACAUGUGCUGAACUCGGAGGUGCCGUACGUUCGGUACUUGGAUCGGUCGGAUCGUGAAGACGUACGACUACAUCAACCGCGUUGUCAUAACGCUUCCGCUUACGGUCUACGAGGGUACGUGGACAACACUCUCCCCUCUCGUUGCUAUGCCAUCACCAUGAUCUUGCGUGUACGUAGGAAAUUUUUUGAAAUUACUACGUUCCCCAACACCCCCUCCCUGAGACCACGCAGGAUCCCGUGUUAAUCAAAAUGUUGGAGGUUGCACCUUCGGAGGAGGGCGGAGGGGGGCACAGGGGAACUACUACCUCUGCCAAGGAGGCUUUCAGUAAGGGAGGAAUCGAGAGUCCCUCCUUCCAAGGGGAGAAGAGGACAGCUUCCGAAGACCCGGAGGCCAAGGCCUCAAAGCGGGGAAAGAAAUCUUUACCGGAAGGUCCUGUGCUGGGAAGAGCCCCGGCCGUACUGUCUCCUCGGAGGAAUCAGCCCUCCAGCGAGCCGUAAGUAAAAAGGGGGAAUUUUGUAAUAGUGGACACCCCUGCUUAAUUUCUAAGGGUAACCGAAGUUUUCAUCUUGUAGUUCGGAUCUCAGCCCGUCUCAACAAAGCUCAUCUUCGGGAGACCUUCGUCCGGAGAUGAUGGAGAGCGAAACACCUCCAUCUGCCAUCCCAUCGUGCGGGGCGGACGACCUUGAGGUGUCGUCGCGGAGGGUCUCCCCGAGUCCGGCGGGGCCAGAGAGUUCGGCACCCAUUGGAGUACGGCCGGUGGAGCUACAGGAUUUGCUUAAGAGGGCGUCUAUCUCAGAAGAUCACCGCACAUUAAUGCGUAUGGUGAUUGAGAGGAUCUCGUCUGCCAAAAGAGGGUUGUGUGAGGCCGUCGGAAGUUUGCUGACGGGAUUUGAGGUACGCAAAAAAUGACAUACCUUUUGACAGUUUUUGCACAUGAUGUGCGCCCUAUAUAGAUAGUAGCCCCUGAGACUUGGUAUGCUGUCGAAAACGGCAGCGUGCCGAGGAUCAUAAUCUCAGUUAUAGAUUGUCACCUUUCCUACGUAGGUGGCGGAACGUUCGGUGGCCAGCCAGACUGAUGGAGUUGCCGAGCUUAAGAGGCAACUCGACGUUGUGGAUGCGGACAUCUCACUCAUCAAUAAAUGACUUGAUGAGUCACAAGGUAUGUGGUUGCUCCGCGGUCGCCUAGUAUGGGAGCUGACGCCCAUUCCUUACAAUUUGCAUGCUUGAUGCAGAUGGUGCUACUGCUGUGGAAGACCUUCGAGCAGAGCUUGCUCGGGCCAAGGAGUAAGCCAGGAUAAGUGAUGGGGCUGCCUUGAGGGCAGCAGAAGAGCUAAAAGCCAAAAAGGCUGCUCACUGCCGAAGCAGGGAAGAGUUGGCUGGAAUGGCCAUGAAAUUAAAAGAUGCUACCGACCGUUGUAAGGUUCUUGAAGGAGAACGCCGAGUGGAGCAAGAGGGCCUGAAGAAGGCCGGCGCCAAAGUCAAGGAUGCCCGGAGUGAGAUGCGGGCUAUGAGGGAGGAACUACGUCAGGCCGGAGACACUGCGGCUGGAAAGCCCUUUCUUCUGCGUAGGAAGUUCACGGAUCCAAAGUACGCUCAGCUGGGCCAGUUGUUUGGUGCGGAGGAUCCUUAUCUGGAUUUGGCGGCGAGUGCGGCGCACGCAGUCGUGCACUUCCGAAGCCAGAAGGAUCACGAAAUGGAAGAACUUUACUGGUCUCAAUUCCAUAGUCCGGAGCGUCCACUUCCGUUGACUGAUCGGCUGGCUGAGUGGGCUGAGCUGAAUAGAUUGUCCGGACUUGCCAUGACGGAUGUGGUCACUCAUUUGUGGCCGGAAAGGCCCAAGCCGAAGAGUUAUUUUGGCUUGUUGCAGCAAUUCCUUGGGGCGGUGCCGCAUAUCAAGGCGAUGAAGCGGUCGGCAUGCAUAGAAGGUGCACGGAUGGAUCUCGCCCGUGUGAAGACAUACUGGGCAGACAUGGAUGCCACCACUAUUGCAUCCCGGGGUUCGGACAAGAGACGAUUACCCGCCAAGCACUAUUUUGAGGAAGUCCUGCAGGGCGCUCAUUUAAUAGAGUCACAGUGCUCGAAAGAUGUCAUGUUCAAAUGACGUAUAUAAUUUGUGAGGUCAUGUUUAUAAUGCAAUAGCUUUUUAUACUUGUGUGUUCAAGUACUGAACUAUCUCCUGUGCGGCCGUAUGUGUAUGUAUAAUCUGAAAGAUGGCAAUCUUUGGCUUCAGCCCCCACACACAUGGUGCGGGGGUGUUUGCAAAAAGAAAAGCGCUUUUUCACACUUAAUCCAACAUCUUGGUCCUUUUAAGGAGGUGAUAGCGUAGCAAACUAGGCAACCGGACUAUAACGCUUUAUCACUUUCACUUAGCCAUAGGAGCUCGAAUGUGGGGCUACUAUGUAGCCCAUAGCGGCACCGCUCUUCUCCGAACUCGGGGCACGUAUGUGCCUGACCGGGAAGGGGUCCUUCGUCAAAGCGGAGGAAUUCUAAACAUUCCAAUGGUUGAUCGAGUGGUUGACCAGUCUCUCACUAUAUCAUGACAGUCAGUUUUCGGCUUUCUCUACUGAGGUGCUCGCCCGGCCGAACCGGGGCACAAUCGCAGUAGUUCUCCUGGUGCCGCGUUAGCAGAUGAUACGAAACGUAAGGCAGCAAAACACAGGAGCCGGGAAAACCCAACAUUUGACCAAAGACAUGAUUCGGAGCUGAUGCAUAUAAGGCCUAACUCGAGACAUCGAACACUCCCUGAGGUGUUUGGUCUUUAUGAUACCGGGCAGAACGAUGCCCUAAGCCCCUAGUGUCCAGGUACAGGCGGGAACUUCUGACGCGGCCGAUGCCAAAACGCCAUCCCCCUCCUCGGCUAUGGUAGGAAACCGGGGGAUGUGUAUCAACAAGAGACAGUAAGAAAGGUUUACGCAGGGUCUUAAUCUGAAAAGAAUCCUUGCAAUGGGUCCCUGCUGCACGUCUGCGCUUGUGUCUCCGUUGUGCUGUAUCCUGGACGGGUGUAGCACGUGCUUCAUAUGUAAAAGAGAAGGACUUAGUUUCUAAGAAAUAUCGUGCAAAAGUUGUAUUAAAAUAAAGUAUAAUUUGGAAGAUGAAGAAAUUUGAGCUUUAUUGGCUCUCAUCAUUUAUACGCGCGGCCCCUUAUAAAGGGGGUAUGCGGCUGGGAAGCCCCUUGUUUAUUUACGCUGGACUCGCCUAACCAUGUCCGGGGUCUGAAUGACCUGUGUUUAGGGGCCUUGACCUGCAAGGUCGGCGUGGCUGUCAAGGCAGCCCCACGCUCUCCAUGGUCGAGGAACACUCGGAGUUACUCUUUAAUGAGAUUAUGCCGUGUGGACCGGGCAUUGUAAGUAUAAGAGACGUGUAAUGUGGUAUUGCGUUAAAGCGGGCGAAAGCUUUGCGUCCCAGAAGUGCUCGAUGGCCACUGUAAAAUGGGGCGCUAUGGAGAGUGAGCUUUUCGCGACGGAGGUUGUCGGAUGAACCGAACACAACGUCUAGUGGUACAGAGCCCGUAUAGUUGGCUUAAAGGCCUGGCGUCACUCCUUUGAAGGAAAUGCUGUUAUGGCGAAUUUUGGUAGGGUCUAUCUCUGCGGACGGUGUCCUGGUAUGGCAGGCGCAGUGUUAUGUUUUCAUGUUAUCACAUGAAGUGAGUUCACUGUUUUGACUUCUAGUGGGAAAGUCUUCUGUUUUCUGGAGUGCUGCUUUUGGGGUUCGUCACUUUUGCUUGGUGUGUCGAGCCCCUUGUGUUCGGCGUUAAGUCGGCCGGACUUCUUGAAGACCCAACAAUCUCUGUGGGUAUGGUUUGCAGGCUUCCCGGAGGUACCAUGUAUUUGACAUAGCCUAUCCGGAAUCUUGUUCGGGUUGGAUAGCUCGUCACUGUUGUCCAUCCCUGACUUCGGAUGUAGUCGGGUCGCUGGUGCUGCAUCUAGCCAGCCAGCUGUAUUCCCCCGCGCAAAAGCGGGUCAUGAGGCUUGUUAGUGCGGCAAUUGUUCUUGGUUUUUCUUGGCCGAGGUGUAUGGCGAGCCAUUUGUCUCGGACGUGGUGUUUAAAGGCUGCUAAGGCUUCAGCGUCCGGACAGUCCACUAUUUGGUUCUUUUUAGUUAGGAACCUGUUCCAAAAUUUGCGUGCUGACUCUCCGGGCUAUUGAGUUAUGUGACUUAAAUCGUCUGCAUCCGGAGGGCGGACAUAAGUCCCCUGAAAAUUUGCUCGAAACGCAUCCUCAAGCUCUUCUCAACUUCCAAUGGUAUUUUCUGGGAGGCUUUUGAGCCAAUGCCGAGCUGGCCCUUUGAGCUUGAGGGGUAGGUAUUUUAUGGCAUGGAGAUCGUCUCCUCUUGCCAUAUGUAUGUGUAGGAUAUAAUCCUCAAUCCAGACUCCGGGGUCUGUUGUUCCGUCAUAUGUCUCUAUGUUUACGGGUUUGAAUCCCGCUGGAAAUCCAUGAUCCAGUACCUCGUCGGUGAAACAUAGUGGGUGUGCGGCGCCCCUGUAUUUGGGUGUGCCGUUGUCUUCAAAUGCUCGGCGGGUUAUGUUGCUUCCUGGAGUCUUCUUUUUUGUCCCAUAGAUAGAACUGGUCGGGUCAUCCUUUUUCUGAGGAUCUUUGUGCUGAUCGUGUGCCGGCUUGUGUGCGGCGCCCCUUGCUGUUCUUGGCCUGUCAUCUGGUCGUCUAUCCGGCCAGGCAGCUUCUUUCUCUUUUGACUGCGGGGGCUCUAAGGCCUCCUCGUCAAAUUGGGGCAACAGCUUGCGCUUCGGGUAGCUCUUUGUCUGGUGACUAGCGCUGUAUUUAUCUGCGGUGCUGAGUACUUUGAUCCAUUUCAUUCUGAGUGUGUCCUCCACUGUUUUGAGCUUCCACUUUUGCUUCUUCAAACUUCUUGCAGUGGCGACGAGCCUUUUAUGGAGGUUCAUAUGCUCUGGUGAUGUGAGAUCGUCUUCGCCGGAGAUGGGUUGCUUUCUAGCAUGUUCGUCGUCCACUGCUUCGCCCUGCUCUAGGGCCGGGUCCGUAUGGGUGCCGUUUUUAUCUAGGCCGGUCUUUAGGCGGCGCUUGCGUUGCCGUUUUGGUUGUUUAUUGGGGGAGUUGUCCUUCGCCACGUCCCGUUUUUCCUCGUUGUCGCUUCCUUUUGGUGUAUCCACCAUGUAUACGUCGUGCGUUGGGGCGGCUUUCCGGUGCCCGAUGGGUGCUGGUUCUUGGUCGUCUCCGGCAUCGUCGUCCAUACCGUCGAUGUCUUCGGAGUCGUAGUCUAGCAUGUCGGUUAGAUCGUCGACAGUGGCUACCAAGUGGGUGGUGGGUGGGUUUUGAAUUUCUUCGUCGUCCGCAUCCCAACCGUCCUAGCCGCAGUCCGGCCAGGACUCUCCUGAUAACGAGAGAUACUUUAGCGAACUCAAGAUGUCGCCGAAAGGUGAGUGUUGAAAGAUGUCCGCUCCGGUGAACUCCAUGAUCAACGCCCGAUCAGAUUCGAUCCGAGGGGGCACGGGAGGUUUGGAGUCCGGCACCUCGGAGUCACGAGCUUCAUGAGGGACAAGGUCAGUGUUCGGCUCUAUCGCCGUAGAGGUUGCAGCCCCCGAGGCGGUGUCUAGCCAUCCGUCCUCGACCUGCGCAGCCGGCUCCAAAUUGAAGAUCGGAGCGGGUUCGAGUGCGGCCUCCAGGGUACUGUCCGGCUGCAGAGCUAAAUCAUGCUCGCCGUGACAGUGCGGCACGCUCAGCUGUGGCUCGAAUCCAUCGAGGAUCAAGUCCCCGCGGAUGUCAGCCGUGAAGUUUAAACUUCCAAAUCUGACCUGAUGGCCAGGGGCGUAGCUUUCGAUCUGCUCCAGUUGGCCAAGCGAAUUAGCCCGUAGUGCGAAGCCGCCGAAUAUGAAGAUUUGUCCGGGGAGGAAGGUCUCACCCUGGACUACGUCGUUGAUGAUGAUCGAAGAAGCCAUCGAGCCUAUUGGUGACGACACAGAGGAACUCUCAAUGAAAGCACCAAUGUCGGUGUCAAAACCGGCGGAUCUCAGGUAGGGGGUCCCGAACUGUGCGUCUAGGCGGAUGGUAACAGGAGACAAGGGACACGAUGUUUUACCCAGGUUUGGGCCCUCUUGAUGGAGGUAAAACCCUACGUUCUGCUUGAUUAAUAUUGAUGAUGUGUGUUACAAGAGUGGAUCUACCACGAGAUCAAGGAGGCUAAACCCUAGAAGCUAGCCUAUGGUAUGAUUGUUGUUCGUCCUAUGGACUAAAGCCAUCCGGUUUAUAUAGACACCAGAGAGGGAUAGGGUUACACAGAGUCGGUUACAAUGGUAGGAGAUCUACAUAUCCGUAUCGCCAAGCUUGCCUUCCACGCCAAGGAAAGUCCCAUCCGGACACGGGACGAAGUCUUCAAUCUUGUAUCUUCAUAGUCUUGGAGUCCGGCCGAUGAUGAUAGUUCGGCUAUCCGGACACCCCCUAGUCCGGAACUCCCUCACCAUGGUUGAAAACAGAGACAUCACCACUUUGCGAAUCAGACCGCUCUCUAUUUAUGCCCUCCCGGUUCCAUCUUGUUUCCACAUCGCCAAAGUAUCUAGAGCAAAAAGUCAAGCACUCAUCUACGACAUAUGCUUCAGCAAUAGAACCUUCAUGUCUUGCCAUGUUUCGCACAUAACGCUUACAAGUAAGCAGCCUUCUUUCGAUUGGGUACAUCCAACCGUAUUGCACAGGGCCUCUAAGCAUUGCCUCUUUUGGUAAGUGCACCUCCAAAUGGACCAUCACAGUGAAGAAAGUUGGAGGGAAAAUCUUCUCGAGAUUGCAAAGAAUAAUUGGGAUUUCUUUUUCAAGUCUUUCCAGGACAGUUAACUUGAGUGUUUUGUAGCACAGUUCUCUAAAGAAAUUUCCUAUCUCAGCAACCGCUUAAUAUAUAUCCUUGUCCAUGAUUCCUCGGAGGCCCAUGGGUAAAAUACUUUGGAGGAGGAUGUGAAAAUCAUGGGUUUUCAGUACUGAAAACUUGAAUCCAUCAGAAGUAACACACUUUUCUAGGUUAGCAGCAUAACCAUUUGGAAAUUUCACCGCUCUUAGGAAUUCACAGAAUGCAAGCUUUUGUUCAUUACUCAUUGUAUACCAUGCUCAUGGCAUUUCAAAUGAAUCUUCAUCUUCAUUGUGCUGUAGAUGCAAAUCUUCUCUUAUGCCCAUGUCCUCCAAAUCAAGCCUAGAACUAACUGUGUCCUUUGUCUUCCCUUCAAUGUUCAGAAACGUCCCUAGCAGAUUCUCGCAUAUGUUUUUCUCAAUGUGCAUUACAUCGAGAUUAUGCCUCAGUUUCAGAUCAUCCUAGUAUGGCAGGUCCCACAAACAAGACCUCCGGUCCCAACAUUGACCUUCCUCACGCUUUCUUAUCUACGCAAGCUUUCCUGGUCUCACAUCUUCCACCUUUUUAAGUUGCUGCUCCAGCUCUUCUUUAGAGAAUUCAGCUGGCUUGUCACGGGUUUCAUUCUCACCAUUAAAAUCUUUGCUUCUUUGCCAGCGAUGGUUUCGGGGAAGAAAGCGGCAGUGCCCAAUAUAGCAGAUCUUGCUCCUUAUUCUCUUUGAGCAAGGGUCUUUGUCACAAUGGACAUGGGCCUUAUAACCCACUGUGAUCCUCCCAGACAGACUGUGUAGUGCCGGGAAAUCAUGGAUGGACCAUAUGAUUGCAGCACGUAGAUUGAACUAUUCUUCCGGACUCAAGGCAUCGUAUGUAGGUACACUAGUCCCGAGCUGGAGCAGUUCUUCUAUGAGGGGAUCCAUAAAGACAUCAAAAUCCUUUCCUGGAGACUCUGGCCCCGGGAUAAGCAAUGAAAUCAUGAAGUUGGACUGAUCCAUGCAUGCCCAGGUGGCAGGUUGUAUGGCACCACAAAAACUGGCCACAUGCUAUAAGACGUGCUCAUGUUCCCAAACGGAUUAAACCCAUCUGUGGCAAUGCUUAGUCUUAUGUUCCUUGGAUCUGCAGCAAAAUCUACAUGUAUAUGGUCAAACUCUUUCCAUGCCUCUCCGUCAGCUAGAUGGCUCAGCUCAUUGUCCAUAGGUUGCCGCUUUAGCUUGUACCACUGUACCUCCAAAGAUGAACAUCCGUUGCAGCCUUGGUAUCAACGGAAAGUGCCUCAGUACCUUCUCCGGUAUUGACUUCUUCCCAUCAGCAUCUUUCCACCUAGAGGCUUGCAUUUUGGAUUGUUGUCAUGCUUUGCUAAAUCCCUCCAAAACAAGACACGGUUAUUUGGGCACACAUGUAUUGACACAUAACCUAACCCCAGCCUGCGGAUUAUGCUCAAUGCUUCAUCAUAAGAUCUGGGAACACAACUAUCAAGGAAUUGCAAGCUCAAAAGCCGGAGUAUUGCGUUGAAUGCAGCAUUGCUAAUCCGGUAGAAAGACUUGAUGUGGAGUAACUUCAUGAUGAAGGUAAAUCUUGAAAAUUUACCCCCUUCAUGAGCUGCGCGCUCCACCUACUCUAACACCUUAGCAAACAGCGACUUCUGUCUAUCAACACGAUCUUCAGCAUUGUACAAAUCUUUCAAUAGGUCGGGAAUCCUAUGAUCUUCAUGCACAUCCUCUUCCUCGAAACCAGCAUUAUCUAGCAAAACCUUUUCCAUGAAAUCAAUGCCAGCAUCACCACCACCCAUCAUAUGAGGGGCUUCUGUAUCAUCUUCAAAUGUUGAGGUUGUCUGUCUAAAGGUUCUCCAUGAUAUAUCCAUCUAUCAUAUGUGUUGGACAUCCCAUUAAGAAGAAGAUGAUCUUCCACUCUUCCUUGAGCCAUUCUUGAACGGUUGAGGCAUUCGCAGCAUGGGCAAAGAAUGUGAGCAUCGUUGGCAAAAUUUGAACGAACAAAUGCCAUGAAAUCAUCAACUCCUUUAAUAUGUUCUUUCGAAAACUUUCUAACUCCUUUUCUAAUCCAGCUUCUGUCCAUCUGCCAAAGACAACAAAUUAUUGCAACUUAGCAAAUCAAUCUAAGUGCAUCAAUAUUAAUUAAUGAAAAUGGAUGGAAGUAAUGGCAGCUAAAAAUCUAGAAAAUAAGGUAGCACCCAACUUUAUAUGCUAACUGCCUAAGCACAACAUUCAGCUAUUUCCAAUUUCUCACUACUUUUGUCCAGUUCCCAUGGUUUACUGAUUUCACAUGGGAGCAAUAAAAAGUAGUUCAAAUGGAAAUACAGAUUUGACAUGGGAUAAAAGAAAAGCUAACCAAAACAUGUUGGUUCACAAAAAAACAUAGGUGGUUAAACAACCAACAAUAACAAUAUAUGCUGCCACUAAGAACUAUUUUGGUUAAACCACCAACAAUAACAGCACUGUAAAUUUACAUGAAUGCCAUUUCCAAGAUUGCAUCAAAUCUACAUCAAUAUUCAGGUUCUUUAACAGAUUUGAGGCUGAAAUUUCAGAGGUGUGACAUCAAAUCUACAUCAACCCCAGGAUCCUGUUUCAGGGAAAGACCAACUUGAGCUCUAUUCUAUUCAUUGCUGACAACAUAAUUUACCAGUAACAAUUGACUGAAUUCCAACACAAUUCUUAACAAUUUCAUCAACAACAAUUCUCCUAAUAAUUUCAUCAACAGAAAUUCUCUUCACAAUUUCUACCAAAUUCAUCAAUGACAUUUCCAAGAGAUUUUUCCAAGCUUACAACAAACCUACAUUAAAUCACUGUAUGUGUGUGUGGAGAUUCUCCUAACAAAUAUACAUCAAAUAAUCGACAUCAACAGAGAGGAGAGGGGGGAAGGAGAGGGGUGCAUAUGUGGGCGAGGUCUGCUUGCUGGGGUGGUGACUCCCCCAUGCUCGGCGGCAGUGAGUCCCCCAUGCGUGGGCGAGGCAAGUGGCGAGGUCGUCGUUCAUGUCAUGGGCGAGGCGAGCGGCGAGGUCACCGUUCCUGUCGUGGUCGAGGCGAGCGGCCUCGGCAACACCACCGUUGGUAGCUGCACCCGCCCCUGCCGGUUGCUUCCGCUGCCGGCCCCCGCGCCCGACGUUGCCUCCGCAGUCGCCCGUCGCCACCUUGUCGGAAGACCUAGAAAAAUGCUAAGUGUUGCUCUGUUCGAUGCAACCUGGUCGGAAGGUCCCACUUGUCAAUGAUACGAGAGAUCUGUAGUUUUAUAUAAUGUAUAGAUAAAUUCCCAUGCAUGUGCAACUGUCCCUCUCUAGCCCAGUGGUAGCGAGCGAGCGAACCAAGCGCGAGGUUGUGGGUUUGAGUCCCGCCUCGCGUAAUAUUUUUGGGCGAAUUAAGCCCUCAGCCCAGCUGCUGUCAAAUGGGUCCCGCCUAUUAGUGUGUGCCCACUUGAUGUCAAAUGGGCCCCGCCUGUCUGCUGAAUAUAAACAUUUAAGCAAAAAAUGACAACUAGACCAUGACACAUAAGCGAGGUUGCUGAGGUGGCUGCCUAAUCAUCCUAAUGCAUUCGAACUCAAGUGUAGUGACCUUUUUUAUUGGUCGUUAUCAGCUAGACAUGAGGAAGUGGACAGUGCUACAAGCUUUACGACCAUUUCCUCUAAUGAAAUGACAACCUUUCUGACCAAAAUGGUCGUUAUGGUUUAGUGUUUGCCGCCCUCCGAACAGCUUUUGACCAAGUGGUCUAGAAUGGUCAUAAAUCUAUUACCAAUUCUUUUAGGGUCACGGAUAGAAGGUCAAUAGUUGACAUAUUUCUUGUAGUGCCCAGUUCGUGAGGGCCAUUUGUCCCGGUUGCCGAACCGGGACUAAAGGGUCGGUACUAAAGCCCUAUACCUUUAGUCCCGGUUCGCCCAGAAACCGGAACAGAUGGGGCUCCACGUGGCCGCUGCAAUAUAAGAUCUAUUACAAAAUCCCCUAACAUCUGAACUCAACUUCCACAUGGUAUUCUCCGUGUUUGUCGAUGGUGUGGUCAAGAAAGAAUCCCGCCAAUUCCUCUUAAAUUGCCCGUAUGCGAUCUUGUGGUAGGAGUUCAUCCCGCAUCUGCCAAUUUCAAGAAGGGGGUCAAUACAUAUAUAUGAAUGAAACUGAACACAAAUGAUGGUGAUAAAAUAAAAUUAUGAAUAUUAUUGCUUACGCACUUCAUAUUGUUGUUUAGAGUACCCCCGCUCACAGGUGGUGUGGUGGAUGAAUUCACAAAUGUAGUAUCCACAGAGAUCAUUCCCGGGUUCCUGCCACAACCACUUUACAUGAAAUAGAGGUCAAUCAAACUGAUAAGCAAGCAUGCUAAAUGGUAUUGAUGAAACUAGCUAGAAUCAAUGGGAUAUGCGCGGAACUAGCUAGUAGCUAGUACUUACUUUUGGGUGGUCAAAUCACAGUUGUGCGGUGAACUUUUUCCAAACCCUGCCAGACAAAGAAACAAAUUACUUGAUAUCAAGAAAUGAACAAAGUUGCCGAUAUGGUGUGAUAAUGAUCGAUUGAACUUACUUCUAGAGAAUUUUAGUCAUGGUCGCAUACUCCUCCGGAUUAUUUCGUUUGGAGUCUAUGACGGUUACUAGUCCCUGCUCAAGCUUAAUCUCUAGCAGAAUAAAUUCGAAGUUGUGCACGCAUGCAUAACUCAUCAGUUACAUUACUAUAACCUCGAGUAAUAAGGGAAACUAAAUAUGCACAAGACAGUAACACUCACUUGUAUUCGUAAGGAAAGAGUAUUGUAGCUUUGUUUUGAUUUCGAAGUAACGAUGCGAGCAAGUUGGCCUCAGUUGGUCUAGCAUCAUGUUAACACUCAAUUCAUCCAUGAGAUUUAUGUUAAUGAACCGAAUAUCACCUAUUUGUGUUUUUUUCAAUUUGGCGAUCUUCAAUCUGCAUAAUAUAGUGAGGCUAAUUAUAUAUACAUGCAAUGAAAGAGCUAAGCUAUAUAUAGAGACUUAAUUAAUUACAGAGAAGUAGUACUUACAGAAAGUAGCAAGUGAUGAUUGUUUUAUCGAGGGCCUUUCGAUUGAAAAACUGGAAGAACUCCUCAUAUUGAACUAACAACAAAUCAAUUCCAACGAGGUCGUGCUCCUCUUUAACUCUCAGCGAGAAAGUAUUUUUCCCAGACUUCCUGCAGAUGUCCAUGUACCAAUCAUGGAAUCUUUGCAUCAUCGUUGUUAGGAAAGUUACAGAUCUGGCGAGAGGCUUCCCGUGCUCGAAUCUUAAUGUGUCCACCUCCAUUGUUUCAAAAAUUAUUGCAUCGUCGUCGUUCAUGUAAUCUCCAGGAUUGGUAUCGGGAAGCAUCCCCGAAAGAUUAGCAAGGAUAUCGCUAGACACAUUGGGGGGGCACGAUUGCUUCGCUUGUUCUCCGAGCUGGGGAAUUUUUCCCCUUUUCUUUGUUCUUCUAGCCUUUGAUCAGUGCAAGUACUUCCCGACUGCUCCGCUUCCUUAUAUGUCCUUUCAAUGAUGCGGUCAUAGUUGGAUUGCGGUGGAGGCGGUGAUGGUGCUGUAGGGCAUCCAAAGUGUGCUUCGCUUUCAUCGGAUCUAUCUCCGCCGGAGGUGGAUGUUUCUUAGCUUUUACCGAUUGAAAGAAGUAUCUGAUCGUGCUUCUUCAGUCUCUGAUCUUCCUGCUCCAGUCACCCAAACCAACAUCGACGGAACCGCCUGCUCCCGCCUCCCGUUGCCGGCUGUGCUGCCGGGCAGGCCCCACGGCCCCACCAUACUCGCAUCCCUGGCCUGUCUAUCCCUCUACUCACCCACACCUUCGUACACCCCACCACGUGGGCAUCCAUUGUUGUGUCUUCUCUGGCUCCGUGUCAUUCCCUUCGUAUGCCUCGCCGUCGUCCACCGCCCUGGUGCUCUCGGCGUGGAGUUGACAACAUGGUCAAUGAACGACAUCCAUCGGAAGUGGACUGUAUGUGGAGAGGCUGGCAGCUGGGUCCACGGCCACACACAAGGAAAUGCCUCCUUAUUAUGCGCAAAAUAAUGAUUCCUCCCCCUGACAUCUGGGACCCACCGUUAGGGCCUCUGUAUUUUUCGCGAAAAAAAGUUCCCCCCACUGACAGGUCGGACCCACCAGCUAUAUCUUCACACGCAAGGAAGUGCCUCCUUAUUGUGCACAAAAAAAUGAAUACCCCCCUACCACACUACAACAAAAUUGACAUAGUGUGACGAAAAUCCGCAUGACGAUGGUGGACAACGUCACAAAAAUUCCUAAUGUGUGAUGUUGUCGUAGGUGACGUCACCAAUUACCGCAAAUCGGUGACGAUGAACGUCACAGAAUUGCCUCGACCUUUCAGCACACCCGACUACCAAUUUUGGUGACGUUUUGGUAAUUUCCAUGAUGAGCCCGCUAGAGUCACCGAGUACUAUGAAUUUGUGUAUAUCAUGUCUGUCAUGUUAUGAUAUAGUAGUUAGACCCGCCAUAGCUAGGUCUUCGGUUAUUGAGCGAUUGGACCCAUGCGUCCGUGUUGGCAAUGGGACCUGCCAUAGUUUUUUCGAAGGCUACUGAGUGUUGUCAUUAUUAUUUUCAAUAUAAUAUAAUAGGCAGUGGGCAUGGAAAUACUUAUAGUAAUUAUUUUUUAUAAAGGUAAAACUUAUUUUUUUCUUUCUAAUAUGAAUAGGUAGUGGUUGGGCAAGAAACCUGAAUCGAGCGUCAGUGAGUUGAUGUUGUUUAUCUAAAAAAUAAAAAAUAAAAUAAGGGAUCCAAGCGGAAAUGAGUGAAUAUUAUUUUCAUAUCUAUAACAUAAUAAAUAGUUAGUGGCUAUGCAAAAAAACUUCAAUGGUGUACCCGUGACCUAAUGUUGUUACAUUUCUAUCUCAAAAGUUAAAAUGGAAAUAUAAGAGUCGAUGGGAUUUUUUUUAAUUCUUAUCACCCACCUUUUAACAUGAUGCCACACCAAGAAUUGAGAACCACAGAGCAAAAAAAGGAAAAGAAUUCAGCUCCAAGCGUAGGUCUCUCUCAUGCCAUGCUUUGUGCCUCCAAAUAAAACCCUAGCCCAAAAAAUCCCCAAAUACACCUGUACCCACUUGCACCUGACUAAGAUCUCAUCUUACCGGCAGCGCCUCCAAAUUACUCGCCGCCAGCAGCGCGACCCGAACUCCCUCCCCGCCUGGCCGCCUCCGCCCUCUAGUCCGCCGCCCACCCUCUCUGUUCGCUUCCCCGUCCCCAGCCACCACUACACCGACGCCAACCUGCCCCGUUUGCUGCCUAGUCUGACCUCCAUGCUGCCUCCACUGCCACUUCCUGGAUGGCUUGUCGACCAUCGCCCACUCCAUCUCUGGCGCCUUCCCAAGCUUCGUUUCUCACCUCGUACCUCACCAAGAUCUGGGCGCUGCCUCACCACCCCUCCAUGACUCACUACUUGAGAUGUAGAUGGUGAUUUAGAAGAUUGGUUUUGUCUAGCGUCCAAGAAGACGGCGGCGGCGGGAGACACCAGGUUUGGGAGAGGUAACCCGAUGAUGCAGAUAGGCUAGGGGAUGGGUCGGAAACUCUGCAAGGAACCCGGCUACAUCACCAUUAGAUCUGCUCCCCUUCAACUACUCGAAGGUAAUAGUUCGCUGCUUCCUUUUUCCUCCACAAUUUCCUGAUGUAAGAUUUGUGAUCUGCAAUUUGAUUCUUCUAACCACCUAUUUGAGAUCUCCUUUCCUAGUUGCAGUUCAUCUAGAUCAGGAGUAAGAUCAAUGUCCUUUGCUCUUAUCAAAGCUAUGGUUUAUACUUCUAUGUUCCUGACUAUCUCUAAAUUUCUACAAUGAAUAAUUUCAACUCAAGUUUCCACUUUAAGCUGCAAGAUUAUGCAAUCUCCAGCAUGCUCAAGAACAUCUAAUAUGUGACUAGACUCUACGUUCAGAGUAUUAAUAGUGAAACUGUACUAGGAAUAGCCUUUUAUUAGUAACUAUGAACAAGAAGUCAAUAUUCUGUGAUAACAGUUAACAAGGAUAUGUCGACGGCUCGUAUCAUGGGCCAUACCAUAGUUGCUAGCUGCUAAAAAAUCUGUAUACUAAAAGGUUCAUUCAGAUGCUCAUACUGUUUGGUAAAAGAGAAAAUGAUUAUGUUAUUCUGUAAUAUUUUUUCUCCAUGUGAACACUUGUCAGUAUAUUGUUUCUCUACUGUUUUAUUCCCCUAUAAUGCAGGUGCAUUAAUCGGCUGCUCACAGUAGGUACCAGGACUGGGUUUGCAAUAUCAAGAUAAUCUAUCGACCUUGCUAUGUUGGUAAAGUCUGAACCUUAAACUUUUUACUACUUUCUUGUUGCUUCUCCACUUUCUGUUUUCUUACAGUCCAGUAAUUGACAAUUCCUUACCUGGUUGUGUAUGCCUAACAUUUAAGCUCAUCGUGUCCUUCCUUUGUGCAUAACUUGUAUUUUUAUUUGUUGUAUUUACAUCGAGGAAGCAUUGUACAACUGCAGUGCAAGUACACAAUUAGUUGUAGCUGUCGGGGAAGGUGAGUAAGCACACAACUGUACUAGUGCUAGUUGCUUAUGGCACUUGGUUGUACGUAAGGUGAUGAACGGCCAAAUUCAUAGCAUGUCUGAAUCAAUUCAGAGAUGAGAAAAGACAAAGUUAAUAGGUAUAAUUUGGCCUGUAGUGGUUGGGUGAUGACCUCUAGAUAUUGCAUUAUUCUGAGAUCGUUCAAUAUAUUGAAUGGAUGAAUGGAUGUCACUCCUUACUAAAGAAACAUUUUUGUGUUUUGGUCUGCAAAUUUUUGGUACAUUACUGAUCUGUUUUUUUAGUGAUGUGCGGAUCUAAAGUUUUGUAGUAACCAAAGCGUCAAACAACUACACUUAUGCAACUAAUUAUGAAAUAUGUCCAGUAGAUUAUUAUAGUUCAUUGUCGUACGCUGCCCUACUGGACUCACUAGUCAUUCACAUGCUACUUAAGACAUUAAGCAACACACUAGUUAAAAGUGCAACAGGGAUCCAUGUAAAUUAUUUUGACUAGCAAUUUUUAUAAAAGUUUGUGUCUUCUUGUUUUGCCAAACUAAUAUGCCGUUUUAUUGGCCCAUGCGCAUACUCGUAAAUCUAGUUAAUAAUUUACUCAGAUUCACAAUUUGGUAAAUUGUAUGCUUCUUAGUGGUACUGUUAUAUGUUUUAUCUUGUAUGUUUUCAUCUCAUUAAGAUGCAACACGCUGUUGUGUUUCCUCAAUUUAUAGGCAUUGGGGGGGAGUUAGUUGUGAGACUUGAAGCACAGGAUAGAGCAUUUGAAGAGAUACAAAGGAAGCAUCAAGAAGAAUUGGAAGCUGUGAAGAAGAGACAAGAGAAGAAUGAAGCCUGGGAAAAGAAGCAGCGUGAUACAAAUAACCUGAUUGUUUUUUCUUAAGGGCUCAAGCAACUCAGCAAGAAUCCAUUGUCUUGUGUAUUGUCGUGUCAAACUUGAGUCAGUGUUAUUUUUUAUUGUCAUUUCUAUUUAGAGGAUGAUUUGGCUAAGAGAUAGAAUAUAUAAUAUGAUUUCUCUUUUGUUUCAAUUUAUAAUGUUAUUUGUCUCAUAACUUAUGUAUAUAUAUAUAUAUAUAUAUAUAUAUAAUGUGAUGUGAUGCUUGCUGUGAUAUGCAUUUGCAAUGGUGGAUCUGAUAAUUCAUUCCAAAUUAUCCAAAAUAUAGUAAAUAUAUUUUGAUGAUGUCAUCUUCAUCAAUAAUGAAAGUAGUGAUGCUAGUAGCGGGGUAUCUAUGUGGUUGUUGACGUGGCAUAAAGUCAAUGACGUUGCUCCAUCAUUGAAUAUUGUACAAUAUGGCAUCUUUGCUCCUAGCUUGUGACAUUAAUCCACCGUCAUAGAAAUAGGAAGUUGUUGACGUUCUAGAAAACGUCACCGAAGGUCUCAUUUUCAGUGACAUUGUUUUGCGCGCGCCGUCACCAAGAGUAAUUUGUGACGGGGAUUCCGUGACAAUGCUUGUGACGCCCAUAAAACGUCACCCAGGUGUAAUUUGUGACGUUAUAAGAUGUUCGAUGACAUUUUUUGGCUCGUCAUAGUAGGCCUAAUCUCUUGUAGUGCCAGUUGGGACCCACCAUAGUGGGAGGCUGGCUUGUGGGCCUACUAAGUUGACGAGGAUGGAGGGCUUUGUCAACUUAGUCAAUAUGAACGAUUUUUGCUCCAGUGACCGUACGAUGUCCUUCUAACGGCCGUAGUGCAUCUUCAACCUCUGGUCUUCUUGCUCCAGCCGCCCAAACCAGCACCGGUCGUGCCGCGUGCUCCUGCGUCCCGUGGCCGGCUAUGAUGCCGUGGAGGCCUCACUCACACCCCUUGUUAUUCUGUGGCGACGACGGCCUCACACCGCAGUCGAACCAGUGAACCCUCGUACUCCUCUCCGCGUGGGCUUCCACUGCCCCGUCUUCCCCGGCUCCGCGUCGUCCCCUUCCUAGGCCUCGCUGUCGUCCACCGCUCUGGUGCUGUCGGCGCUGCGUGGUCGACGUGGUCAAUGAAUGACUUCCAUCGAAAGAGUACUGUACAUGGAGAGGCUGACAGCUGGGUCCACGGCAGCCGCAAGGAAGUGCCUCCUUAUUACGUGCAAACUAAUUAUUCCUCCACCUGAUAGCAGGGAGCCACCGGACGAGCCACCGUAUUUCACGAAAAAAAUGUUCCCCCCUGACUGCUGGGACCCACCAGCUACAUCUUCGCACGCAAGGAAGUGCCUGGCAGUCAGGACCCACCUGGUCGAAGCGUACAUAACGUUGUCAUUCUGGUCGCGAACGUGUAUGUACAUACUGGUCGAUUGGUCUGUCUGCAGGCUGCAGUGAUGAACCGUGGCCGUGCAAGGAAGGAAGGGCACGUGUCAUAGUAGAGGCGCUCACGUAUCAUGUACACGUACGUACAGCGGCUAGGGUGCAAGAAAGUAAAUACGGCCACGUACGUACAUACGGGUGGGGUCUCGAACGCCUACUCACGCAUACGUACGACCAGGGCUCGUGUACAUGGCUGGGUCGGAACGGAGAAACUGCAUCAUCGUCGUGAUCAUGGGGAGGCAACAUGCCGGGUCAGAACGGAAUGCGUCAUCAUGUUCAUCGGGAGGGCUUGGAUGGAAUAGCCGAUGAAAACGAGGCAUGGCGUACAGCAGAACAGAAAAAACAGCCUUGGGUCCGACAGGCCACAGUCGAAACGGGAUCCAGUUCAUCGAGAGGGGUCUGGCAUACCGCAAAACGGAGGAAACGGACUUAUGUUGGACCUCCUACAGUCGAAACGGGGUCCUGUUGAUCGGGAGGGGUGUGGCAUACCGCAAAACGGAGGAAACAAACUUGUGUUGGAGCGCUACGGUCGAAACGGGGGUCCUGUUAAUUGGGAGGGGUGUGGCGUGCCACAAAAUGGGACUCCACGGGAUACUGUUCAUCUCCACCGUCGACCUCCUCCAGCCUCCACGGGCUACUGUUCAUCCACCGUCGACCUCCUCCAGCCUCCACCUACGACUGUUCAUCCACGGGCUCCUGUUCAUCCGGCCUCCACCGCGCUCCUCCACUGGCUACUGUUCAACCAGCCCUCUCCACGGGGUCCUGUUCAACCACCCCUCCACGGGCUACUGUUGAGGCGUGAAGAUACAACACUCAAGACUCCGUCCCGUGUCCGGAUGGGACUCUCCUUUGCGUGGAAGACAAGCUGGGCGAUACGGAUAUUAUAUUUCCUUCCUUGUAACCGACUCCAUGUAAACCCUAGCCCUCUCCGGUGUCUAUAUAAACCGGAGAGGUUGGUCCUUAGAGGGACGAUCACGAUCAUAAUCAUCAUAGGCUAGCUUCUAGGGUUUAGCCUCUAUGAUCUCGUGGUAAAUCAACUCUUGUACUACUCAUAUCCUCAAUAUCAAUCAAGAAGGAAGUAGGGUUUUACCUCCAUCGAGAGGGCCCGAACCUAGGUAAACAUUGUGUUCCUUGCCUCCUGUUACCAUUAGCCUAAGACGCACAGAUCGGGACCCCCUACCCGAGAUCCGCCGAUUUUGACACCGACAUUGGUGCUUUCAUUGAGAGUUCCUCUGUGUCAUCGCUGCAAGGCUUGAUGGCUCCUUCAAUCGUCAACAACACGGUCCAGGGUGAGACUUUUCUCCCUGGACAGAUCUUCAUGUUCGGCGGCUUCGCACUACGGGCCAAUUCGCUUGGCCAACUGGAGCAGAUCGACAGCUAUGCCCCUGGCCACCAGGUCAGGUCCGGAAACCUGAACUACACAGCCGAUAUCCGCGGAGACUUGAUCUUCAACGGAUUCGGGCCUGUGCUAGGAGCGUCGGACAGUCACGAUGAGCACGACUUCGACCUGCUGUCGGACGAUGCUCGGGAUGUCGCCCCUACGGUAGCCCCAGACAUAAAUCCGGAGCAGACCGCGUCGCCCAAGGAUGGGUGGAUGGACCCCGCCCCGCAGGCCGCGCACUCAUCGGCGGUAGAGCCAAACACAGGCCUCGCCCCCAAAGAAGCCUGUGACACCAAACCCUCGGACUCAUAUCCGGCUAUGGGUUCCACUCCACGCGCUCCUGAGCCCGCCGAACCUGGUUGGGCUCCUGUAAUGGAGUUCACCACAGCGGACAUCUUCCAGCACUCGCCCUUUGGCAAUGUGCUGAACUCGUUAAAAUCUCUCUCCUUGUCAGGAGACUCUUGGCCAAACUAUGUCCGGCUUGAGUGGGAAGUGGGCGACGAAGGAAUUUCUUGCCCACCCACCACCCACUUCAUUGCCAUAGUCGAUGAUUUAACCGAUGUGCUUGACUUCGACUCCGAAGACAUCGACUGUAUGGACGACAUUGCAGGAGAAGAACAGGAACCACCACUCACAGGGCGGUGGACAGCCACCUCAUAUGAUAUAUAUAUAUAUGGUGGACACUCCGAAAGAAACCAAUGGCGAUGAGGCAACGGAGGAUAACCCCUCAAGGAAGAAAGCAAAGCAUGGGCGGCGUCGGCGCCGCUCCAAGCCCCGCCAUAGAAAUACCGGCACAGGAGACGAAAACAAUCUAGAUGCUGCCAAAGAUGAAUACAACCCUGACCAGCCCGCCUUCGAGCAGGCCGAGCAGGAAGAUGGGCAUGACAGCCUAGACGACCCGGCGACAGACGGAUAUUCGGAGGAGGACAAUCACAUGUCCCCCUCCAAAGACGAGAUUAGCCUCGGCGACGACGAGUUCGGCGUACCUGAGGACCCCGUGGAGCAGGAGCGCUUCAAGCGCCGGCUCAUGGCCACCGCGAGGAGCCUGGAAAAAAAGCAAUCGCAGCUCCAAGCUGAUCAAGACCUGCUCACAGACAGAUGGACCGAAAUCCUGGCAGCUAAGGAAUAUGGACUCGAGCGCCACAUGGCUGACUGGUCACCCCGUGGCCGGGAUGAAAUGACAUAUGAGCCCGAAUACCAGCCUGUGCCCCCAUGCCAAUAAACUACGGCUUGGGGCAAUAGGCAAGACCUGCAAGAUAUACUGGAAAACAAAGCAGGACAGCCAAGAUCGAUCUACGGAUCGAGGGGGCGCGCCCCAACACGCGACGAUGACCAUCACGCCGGAUACACUACAAACAAGUCCGACCGGGCCGAAUACAGCCACCCAGAAUCAUUUGAACUGCGUAGCCACAUAGCCCGGCAUAGAGGCGCCGCACACCCCCUCUGCUUCACUGACGAAGUGAUGGAUCAUAAAUUCCCAGAAGGGUUCAAACCCAUAAACAUCGAAUCAUACGAUGUCACAACAGAUCCCACAAUAUGGAUCGAAGAUUUCCUUCUCCAUGUUCACAUGGCCCACGGAGACAAUCUACACGCCAUCAAGUAUCUUCCCCUUAAGCUCAAAGGACCUGCUCGACAUUGGCUAAACAGCCUGCCGGCAAAUUCCAUUAGAAGUUGGGAAAACCUAGAAGACACGUUCCUCGACAACUUCCAGGGCACAUACGUGCGACCACCGGACGCCGAUGACUUGAGCCACAUUACUCAACAGCCCGGAGAGUCAGCCAGGAAAUUCUGGACUCGGUUCCUAACUAAAAAGAACCAAAUAGUCGAUUGUCUGGAUGUUAAAGCCCUGGCGGCCUUUAAGCAUAAUAUCCGUGAAAAGUGGCUCGCCCGACACCUCGGCCAGGAAAAACCCAAGUCCAUGGAAGCACUCACGACACUAAUGACCCGCUUUUGCGCGGGCGAGGACAGCUGGUUGGCUCGUAGUAGCACCAGGCCACAUUCCGGCACCUCGGAUGUCCGGGACAAUAACAGCAAGCCACGGUGCAACAGACAUAAGCGACAGAACAACGGCGACAACGCUGAAGACACGGCAGUCAACGCUGGAUUAAGUGGAUCCAAAUCCGGUCAGUGGAAAAAGCCGUUCAAAAGAAACAAUCAGGGACCGUCCAGUCUGGACCGCAUGCUGGAACGCUCGUGCCAAAUUCAUGGCACUCCGGACAAACCAGCAAACUAGAUUAAUAGAGACUGCUGGGUGUUCAAACAGGCCGGUAAAAUAAACGCCGAAAACAAGGACAUGGGGCUGCACAGUGACGAUGAAGAGGAGCCCCAGCGUCCGAACAUGGCUGGACAGAAGAAAUUUCCUCCCCAGGUGAAAACAGUCAACAUGAUCUACGCCACCCACAUUCCCAAAUGGGAACGGAAGUGAGCAGUACGAGACGUCUAUGCGAUGGAGCCAGUUGCCCCAAAGUUCAACCCAUGGUCAGCCUGUCUGAUCACCUUUGAUCGUAGGGAUCACCCUACCAGCAUCCGUCAUGGCGGUUCAGCCGCAUUGGUCCUAGACCCAAUUAUUGACAGAUUCCACCUCACGCGAGUCCUCAUGGACGGCGGCAGCAGCCUAAACCUGCUUUAUCAGGACACAGUGCGCAAAAUGGGCAUCGCCCUUCAAGGAUCAAGCCCACCAAAACCACCUUUAAAGGUGUAAUUCCUAGAGUAGAGGCCUGUUGCACGGGCUCUAUAACAUUGGAAGUGGUCUUCGGAUAUCUGGAUAACUUCUGAAGCAAACAGUUAAUCUUCGAUAUCGUCCCUUUCCAUAGUGGUUAUCACGCACUGCUUGGACGAACCGCAUUCGCUAGAUUCAAUGCGGUACCACACUAUGCAUACCUCAAGCUCAAGAUGCCAGGACCGUGCGGGGUCAUAACAGUAAACGGAAACAUGCACCGCUCUAUCCGUACAUAAGAGCAUACUACAUCCCUCGCGGUAGAAGUACAAUGCGGCCUCCUCCGACAAACCACCAAUCCGGCGACGACAACCUUGAGCACCGUCAAGCAAGUCCGGAGCACCCCGCAACAGGAUCACCAGGCACGCCAAGAGCGCGACUAGCAGUCCGGCCUCCGCUCGAGCCCCAUCAAAGAAGCAUUCAUGCCACGCGUACACAAUUACGCACUUAAAAUACUAUGGGCAUAGGUGGAGGCGCAGCAGUGACUCAGUCAACAGUGCGGUAUCACCGCAACAUACUUUCAUAACCCUCCCUUUUUAUCUUUCAGUACACUGCCUUAGGGCAGCCUCUUCAGAAGAGCCGGAUUGCCGGACUUACACAGGAAAGAAAACCAAGGAGGCAACAGGCUUUGAGCACAAAAGGAAAUACCCAGGUGGAAUCUGUUCACAAUCGUUAUACCUGUUUUAUAUACCUACAUGCAGCCUGCCCUUGGAUAGGAAAUGUUAAAUAGUCCUAUUUACUACUGCUUAAACGCACCCAUUGUAAACAUACGCUUAAACGUAUUAUUCAUCAAUGGGAGAUCAUAUAUAGCGUCAGCUUAUUAUUCCUAUUUACACAUUUUUUCUGUAAAUGUUUAUUUAAUACUGCAUCCGUACACCUUGGUACGUUCAGUUUGCCAGGGGCUUCUUAUAGCGCCCCAUAGUACGGCAAGACAAGUCCGAACGCGUUCAACAAUGCGGCACCCCGAACUUAUAGCACUAUAUGCAUCAGCUCCGAAUCACGUCUUGGGUCAAUAGUUGGGUUUGCCCGGCUCCUUUGUUUUGGUACCUUACGUUCCGUUAUAUCGGCUAAGGUAGCGCAGAGAGAACUACUGCAUUGUGUCCCGGUUCUUCCGAACGAGCACCUCAGUAGAGAAAGCCAAAAACCGACCGGCAUGAUGCGGCGAGAGCUGGUCGCUGUUCGAGAGGUCAUAAAAUCCUUAAAGAUUUUUUCCGCUUUAGGAAAGGAAUCGGCUUCGUCCGAUUUAGACGUAUAUAGCGCCCCAAUUCGGCUUUCCGAAUUCUAGGGGCUUCGCCGAAAUUUAAAAUUGUAGACUUCUAUGGCUAAGUUAAAGUUAUAAAGAUGCACAGUCCGAUUGCCUUGUUCGCUGCGCCAGAUACCUCCUUAAGGGACCAAAAAUUUGGAUAAAGAGUGUCCGAGUUUUUCCAGGAACACCCCAGUACUAGUUAUGUGGGGGCGGAAGCCGACAACUGGCCUACUUUUAGAAUUCUAAAAUAGCCGCACAGAAGGUAAUAUUUUAAAUCAGAAGCGCUACAUAGCACAAGUAACUUCGUCUUUAUAUUACAAAAACGACAGAAGUGCAUUUAUUCAAAGGUCAUGUUCUUGGUACAUUAUUCGGCCACGAGACGAGCGCCCUUCAUAACACCAUCAUAAUAUUUCUCGGGACAGCAAUGCGCCUUGCCCUCCGACGGCCCAUCCUUCACCAGCUUCUCCGCAUCCAACUUGCCCCAAUGCACCUUCGCACGGGCAAAGGCCCGGCGGACACCCUCUAUGCAAAUGGAUCGCUUGAUCACUUCAAGCCGCGGAGAGGCAUUCACCAUUCACUUGAUUAGGCCGAAGUAGCUAGUGGGAAGGGGCCCACCAGGCCACAUCCGGACUAUGAAAUCUUUCAUAGCCACUUCGGCCGCCCUGCGGAGUUCAACCAACUGCUUCAGUUGGUCACUCAGAGGCAUUGGGUGUUCGGCCCCAGCAUACUAGGACCAGAACAGCCUCUCCAUUGAGCUCCGCUCCUCGGCACAGUAGAACUCCGCGGCAUCUGAUACGCUGCGUGGCAGAUCUGCGAAUACCCCUGGUGUUGGGUAACGUAGUAAUUUAAAAAAAAAUCCUACGCACACGCAAGAUCAUGGAGAUGCAUAGCAACGAGAGGGGGAGUGUAUCUUCAUACCCUUGAAGAUCGCUAAGCGGAAGCGUUUAUCAACGCGGUUGAUGUAGUCGUACGUCUUCACGAUCUGAUCGAUCCAAGUACCGAACGCACGGCACCUCCGAGUUCUGCACACGUUCAGCUCGAUGACGUCCUCGCCUUCUCGAUCCAGCAAGACGAGCGAAGUAGCAGAUGAGUUCCGGUAGCACGACGCCGUGGUGACAGUGUUGGUGAAGAACAAUCUCCGCAGGGCUUCGCCUAAGCACUACGGAAACUAUGACGGAGGAUAAACUAGAGGGGACGGGGUUGCCAGCACACGGCUUGGUGUUUCUUGAUGUGUCUUUGGUGCUAGCCCUGCCCCUCUAUUUAUAUGUUGAGCCUUGGGGUCGAAACUUGGAGUAAAAGCCUCCACAAAGUCGGUUUCACCCAAAAGGCAAGAGUCCUUCUCGGACUCCAGGGCCAGACGCCAGGGUUCCUGGCUUCUGGACCCAGACGCCAGGGACCCUGGCGUCUGGCCCCUGGACUCCGCAAAACUUCCUUUUGCGCUUUCCAAAAACCUUGUGGGCUUUCCCCUUUGGCCCAAAUAAUGUGUUCUCAUACCCAAACAUUUCGAGAAACAUCCAAAACCCCUUCCGGUGAAUUCCGGAACCCUUUCGGAGAUCAAACACUAUUACCCCAUAUAUCAAACUUUAUCUCCGGACCAUUCCGGAGUUCGUCGUCAUGUCCAUGAUCUCAUCCGGGACUCCGAACAACAUUCGGUUACCAACAUACAUAACUCAUAUAAUACUAUAUCGUCAACGAAACGUUAAGCGUGCGGACCCUACGGGUUCGAGAACUAUGUAGACAUGACCUAGAACUGUUUCCGGUCAAUAACCAAUAGCGGAACCUGGAUGCUCAUAUUGGCUCCUACAUAUUCUACGAAGAUCUUUAUCGGUCAAACCGCAUAACAACAUACGUUGUUACCUUUGUCAUCGGUAUGUUACUUGCCCGGGAUUUGAUCGUCGUUAUCUCAAUACCUAGUUCAAUCUCAAUGCCCCGGUUGGCGUCGCGCGGCUCGGUGAUGUAGAACCACCCCGAUUGCCACCCCUUCAUGGUCUUCGUGAAGGAGCCAUCGAGCCAGGUGACUUGGGGCAUCUUGCCCACCAUGGUGCCUCCGUACUCCGCUUGCUGGCUGCUCAUGAUCUUCGGCUUCACGCAGAAGAUUCAUAGCCACAGGCCGAAGUGAGGCCUGAUGCGGAGGAAGGCCUCGCACACGAUGAUAAACGCCGAGAUGUUGAGGAUGAAAUUUGGGGUUAGAUCAUGGAAAUCUAGCCCGUAGUAGAACAUGAGCCCGAGGACGAAGGGAUGAAGUGGAAAUCCCAGUCCACGAAUAAAAUGGGCGAGAAAUACGACCCUCUCAUGGGGUUCCAGAGUUGGAGUGACCUGCCCCUUGUUCGGCAGCCGGUGCGCAAUGUCUGCGGCCAAGUACCCGGCCACCCGGAGCUUUGCGAUAUGCUCCUCCUUCACGGUGGAGGCCACCCACUUGGCUCCUGCUCGAGACAUGUUUGGCUGUGCGGAGAAGGCGUGAACCAGGGCGCUGGAGCACGAGGGUGUGGGAAUGGAUAAGCAGAGGAGGAAGAAGCGUGGGAGAAAAUGGGUAAUCCUUAUCCCUUUAUAAAGGCGACGGACAAUGCGCCUCCCCACUUUCCCAUUGAGAAUCGCUUAUUUCCCAAAUGCCACAAUUGAUUGCGCGGUUGGGUUACCCACACCCGUAUUGAUGGAAAUCCCGUAAUUAGGGGACAUGAUCUCUGCUGUGACAAGACGUGCCGAGGAAACCGCUUCGCAAUAUGCGCUACGGCUGGUUAUGGAAAAACGGUUCGAAUAAUGACCCGACUGUGGUGUCAUGUCACUUUGUCUAAAGUUGUCAGCAGGUUAUAUUUUGUUAAAUACCAUCCUCUCUACAGUGGUACGUGAAGAUCAUCUUGCAGAUCCGGACGCGGUCUAAGUGUUCAAUAAAUACUUUGGAGUAUUCGGAGAUGGAACCCGCCUUGCAAUACCCAAAAAAACUAUGCGCCGGACUCGUUGUCAUUGAAGCCUGGUUCAGGGGCUACUGAGGGAGUCCUGGAUUAGGGGGUAUCCGGACAGCCGGACUAUAUACUUUAUCCGGACUGUUGAGGCGUGAAGAUACAAGACCCAAGACUCCGUUCCGUGUCCGGAUGGGACUCUCCUUUGCAUGGAAGACAAGUUGGGCGAUUCGGAUAUUAUAUUUCCUUCCUUGUAACCGACUCCAUGUAAACCCUAGCCCUCUCCGGUGUCUAUAUAAACCGGAGAGGUUGGUCCUUAGAGGGACGAUCACGAUCAUAAUCAUCAUAGGCUAGCUUCUAGGGUUUAGCCUCUAUGAUCUCGUGGUAGAUCAACUCUUGUACUACUCAUAUCAUCAAUAUCAAUCAAGCAGGAAGUAGGGUUUUACCUGCAUUGAGAGGGCCCGAACCUGGGUAAACAUUGUGUUACUUGCCUCCUAUUAGCAUUAGCCUAAGAUGCACAGAUCGGGACGCCCUACCCGAGAUCCGCCGGUUUUGACACCGACACCCCCCCCCAACAACGCUCAUUGUUCAUCACGGCAAGGAGGCAGCAGGGUUCGAUCGGCUUCUGUUAGUAGCUGUAGCGAAUGAAUCACUCGGGUUCCGUUAACUGUAAGGGAUCGAUCGCUCGGGUUCAGUAUCGUAGCUAGUGCGAUUGCUCGAGUUCAGUUAGAGCCCAACGCCUUGCUAGGGUUCAGUUAGAGCCCAGUGCCUCGCACACACGCGCGUACGUGUACGAGAGAAACGCGCAUUGCUCGGCCCCCGACCAUCCACCAUAACCGGGAACUCCCCGGAAUUUUCCUCGCCCUCGCUUCUACCACAGUUUUUUCCGUCAUGGACGGCCCAAAGAAUGUCAUGCAGCUGCGUCUCCGGCUCGCCCAGGACGAAAAGCCCAUUUUCUGUCAAGAUUUUUUGUCAUAGAAGUAGGAGCCCACCACAUCUAUGAUGAUACUGUGUUUUGUCACAAUUAUCGUCAUAGAAGUGCCAUAAGCAUGAAAAAAAUUGUUCGGCCCAAAAUGUCAUGGAUGUGUCUUUUUUUGUAGUGAAAGUCUGGUACAUUCUCAGUUUGAUCUGCUUAUCAUAGGGAAUGGGAGCAUAAAUUUGGACAAUGUAUGCAUGCGGAGGAUGGCCAAGGUCGAGCCAAUCCUAUGCCCAUUUGGGAUGACAUCUAGAAACUUAAGGUGUUGGCUAGUAUAACAUGGGAUCCUUCCCUGUAAAGGUGUACUGGCAAACAGACAUGUUUUAACACAAGCACAAUGUCCGAUCUGCUUGAGGGGACCUGAUGAUAUCCAGCACUGUCUUUUCAGCUGUAAGAGGGUUAAAUUUAUUUGGUAACAGUUGGAUCUAACAGGGACGAUCAGGAAGGCCAUAUGUCGAGACCGAUCAUGUUUUUUAAACUUAAAUCAAAUUACAGAUGAGAACUUAGGGAAGAGUAUUGGAGGUCUACAUAUACCCGAGCUUGUGAUCGCGACAUCUUGAUACCUUUGGUGGCAAUGUAGACAGCUAAUAAAGAGUGCAUCAGUACUGCCAGCAGAUAGAACAACAACAUCCAUCAGAGCAAUUGGCACAAAUUUCUGGAGAGCAAUUGAAAAGGACGAAAGGAAGAAGGAACCGAAAAAGUGGUGCAAACCAUUGCAUGGCUUUAUGAAAAUUAAUGUAGAUGCUUUAUUCCACGUAAAAGACCGAUUAGGAGCAAGUGAGGCAGUCAUCAAACAUGAAUUGGGUUAUUUUGCAGUUGCUGCAGCAUGUUCGUUCCACAUGUUUCUGAUGCGGCCUCUCGGGAACGGUAUUAAUUUGGCAGCUCAUGAGGGAUGCUUGAGGAUAGAAGCUGAGUCAGAUUGUGAACUUGUGAUUGAUGCAGUAAAAGAUACUUAUAGAUUCAAUGGUUCCCAAGCAGCUACAAUUAUUGAAUGCAUUCAAUUCUCUUGUGACUUCGGACAGGUGAAAUUUUCAUUACGCAACCGAGAAGCAAACAGUGUAGCAGAUGCUUUGGCUAAAUAAAUAUGCUGAGGAAUUCUUCUGUUUGGCAAGAUGACCCGCCUGAUUUCAAUUCUUCUUGAUUGUAAAUGCCAUUGCUAUUGUCCGAGAAACAAAAUCUUUACCCUGUCAAAAAAAAUAUUAUUUUUCCCCAAUUAUUUGCUCAUCAUUGGAAUUGUUCUCAAAGUUGAUAAAUCUACCCCAUGCAAAAAACAAAAAUAUUGAUCCGUGUGCACCUUCAAUUAGUAAUUUGGACCAAAGUGUCUAGUGUGAACUAAAGUGCCUCUUUCUAGGGACUUAAGAAAUGACACUUCAGAAUAUGACCGACCGUUUCGUGAAGAAAACAUGAUCGACCAUGAUCUAGAAGCCUCUAAACCAAACCAAGUUCACCAAUUGGGACUGGAAAAAUGAUGCAAAAGAAUGAACGCACCAGAAAGGGAACGCAGAUCCAAGCUGUAUUUUGCGGCCAUAGAAUAAAUCAAACAAUGACCCAACUCAUGUUCUUCAAGGUACCCAUUUAGAAAUUUCUUAACACUAUCAAAUAGCUGCUAAUCUGAAUACUAAGAAUUAAUGUGAUUUGUAUCCCUACUCUAAUGUGUAUUUGAUCCUUUGAAUCUACUUAACUAUAGCGGUUGCGGUAGAGGAAUGGUAUUAGGAAGACAUCUAGGAAAAAAAGUGAUUGAUUAAAUUAUUAAAUGACUACAUGGCAUUACGUUUUUCUUCCCACUCUUUUGUUUGUUUUUCUUAUCUUUCAAACUAACUAGAUACUUGCUUCCCUUCGAUCUUCACUGGUGAGCCCGUGGAUUCGCCUCCUCUCCGCCUGCUGCUCCGGCGGCUGCUGGCGGGGGCGGGUAUUCCUGGUGCCUCGUCUUAGUUAGGUAGGGUUUUAGUUCUCACAUGGGCGGCACUUGGACGGAUGGCGGCGCUCCUUCUUCAAGUCAGUCUUCUGGGCUCCGAUCCUCCUCAAGUUCAUCCUUCAGAACAGAUUUCACAGAGCUCAGAUGUAGAUUCCUGCCAGCUCCUCGGAACGGCAAGGUUAGGGUUUCUCAACAUGCGUACACAACAGCGAGAUUUGGUGUGAGGUUCUUUAGAUCGAUUCACGGAUUCAAUGGCGACGACUGCGGCUCCAGAAUGCUGGUCCUUAGGGGCACGCGCAUGAAGACCUCCCGGCUGUCAUCGACAAGGUCAUGUCGGAUGCGGUAUGAGAGCGGCGACAGCGAUGCGAGGCGGCUUGUUCAACCAGCGGCAAUGGUCGUACGGUUGUCCAUGGACCUCGAUGUAAUUUUUAUUAUGUUUGGGUGCUUUGUAUUUCUGAUGAAUCUUUAUAAUAAAUCUGUUUUUUUCGCAAAAAUAAAAACCUAACUAGAUACUUAAUUUCUGUUUAUGUAUUUGGAUUGCUAAAUUUCAGUCGACUAAGACUUAGCAAAAUCUCAGUCGAUGCUCUAUUCACGAGAUCUUAUGUGGUGAUUCAUGCAAAAUUUCCUUUUUCAUGUUUUUUUCUUUUUAUAUGUUAUACAUCAUUUGACUGAGACUUGGUUAAGUCUCAAUCGACUGAGAUCUAGCCACACCCUUUAUAUAUUUUUAGGCUAAGGACAUUUUUUUUCAUUGCAGCGCACAAGCAUUUUUACUGGUUGGUAAAAGAGGAAUUAUAGAAACCGUGGGACAUCUUGACGUAUGAAGUUCUUAGCCACGGCUAGCUCCUCAAGGCACACGCACGGCUUGAGCUUGACUGAGCUAUGGACCGAACAGGCGGGCCUGGCUUGCCAAUGGACGAGCGGGCUGGCGUUUUUAUAGCCGGCGCGAGAGUGCGGGAAGCGGUCAUAUAGAGAAAAAUUCACUAUAGGUCAUUAAACUUAAGCCGGUUGACAGUUUGGUAUCACUAUUUUAAAAUACUAAACUACGGUUCAAGUACUUGCGUAAGGGGUUUAUUUUGGUCCAUUUGUACGUUAUCGUGUACGUAUUUGCUGACUUGGCCGUGUCAGCGGCCGCCAGCCCGCUUUGACCGCGACGUAGUCGAUUCAAGGGUGAAUACUACUCGAUACGGUUUUUUUUUUACUAAAACGCCAUGACCAGCUCCCUGUCCGUCUUCUUCCGCAUGGUAGGAUUCCUCAGGAACAGCUUGACCUUCCUGUCGAGCCAGCCCACGGUGGUGGUGCUGUCCAUCCACCACGGAGAUUCGCUCCUCCUCUCCGCCGUGGAUUCGCUCCUCCUCCUAUCCCGCGGCACUGUCCUCCACCACGGAUCACUCGCCUCCCUCGACGCUGCCCUCCUCUCACACGGCUUCGCCGUCCCCGCGCAGCUCAACCCGCUAGAGUACGCCCUCGAGGUCAUCCACCAGAUACCCCAUCCCUCGCCCUCCUCCCCUGAACCCAAGUCAGCGCAAGAUCUCACAACCAAGGCAUCGGAUUCGGACCAAAGUUUUAAAUAGCGCGCUAAGACUUUUAGCGAUGGACCUCUUCUAAAUGCUAUAGCGUGCGAUAGCGGUGCUAUAGCGCGCUAUUUAAAAUGUUUGCUCUUGAGUUUGGACAAAAGAACCUUAGCGCAGGACCUUUUCUAAAUGCUAUAGCGUGCUAUAGCGAAGCUAUAGCGUGCUAUUUAAAACAGGGAUUCCGACCGCCGCAGGCCGGCCUUGUCGUGUACUUCGCCGUGCUCACGGAUACAUGAGUUCGUGGUUCUGUACAAGAGGGCGUGGAAGGUGGUGUAUCGCAGCAAGCAGCUGCUAUUGACCAACUUCCUCGAGGCUGUGAUCGUCGGGACGCUGCUGGGCACCAUCUACAUCAACGCCGGCUAUGGCAAGGCCGGCGCACACAAGCGACUGGGGCUCUUCGCCUUCACGCUGAUGUUCCUGCUCACCUCCACCACCGAGACGCUGCCAACGUUCGUCACGGAGCGAGUAAAUUGCUCAAAGCCACCAUGUUUGUGCUAGGAUACUUCAAAACUACCACUUUUGCCAAAAAUCACAAAAACCACCACUUCUGUGGUAAAUGAGUCACAAAACGCACUGAUUCGAAACUCAGCAACGCUUAAUAACAAAACUGACAGGGUUGACCCAUCUGUCAGGCUGACUUGGCAUGCACAUCUGUACAAUAAAGUGAGGUGGAAGGGGGGCCCACCUGUCAUACUCCCAUCUCUCCUCCGUUGACUCCGGCCCUGCCCCGACUCUUGGUGCCCGGCGAGGUAGGCAUGCGAUGGCGAGCAGCGCCGCUUCAGCUCCGGCAAGUGCCCCUCCCAUCGAGGCGAACGGCACCCACGUGCGCACGAAGCUGGCGGUCUCGGCGAGCGCGUCGAAGGUGAGGAGCGCGCCGCCGUCGUCACAGAGGUAGCAGGCGAGCUUCUCGACCGGGUAGUCGGCGGCUAGGAUGGAGAUGAUGGUGUUCGCGGUGACAAGCGGCGGCUCCUUCUCCGGGUUAGCGCUGGAGACGAAAACGUCAAUGCCGGGGAGGUCGGAGCGGCCCUUGGGGUUGCGUGCAGUGGGCAACUCGAAGCGGUCGGCGGCGGCUCCUUCUUCUCCAUGCAUGCGAUCACACACACUCGUAUACGCACUACGUAGUGUAGUAAAGGAAGGAGAAGAAAUUCGUGGAUUGAUCAAUGGUCACCUCUUGGCUCUGGACGCUCUCCGGCUGAGCACGACCCAGUAGAGCACCCGGUAGAGGAGGAAAAAUCCAAACAGCACCUGCACUCCCGUCCACCGCUCCUCCGCCGUGAGGCCCCUCGCCGCUGUUAGGUUUAAUCUUAAUUCAUGUAUCUGCAUAUUUACUUUGCUUUCGUUAUGCAUGUUGCAUAGGUUAGAGAGUAGCUAGUCUGGUGAAGUUUCAGUGGAGACAUGCGAAGACGGCGAGAUGCCGGGCUGUCGUGCGAUACGGCGAGCACAACGAGAUGCCGAUGGCAGCGUGAAGGGCAGUGCAGUGUGAUACGACGCAAGGCUUGAGGCCGAGAGGGCUGGUGAGGAAAAGAUGUAGCAUAUGUGUGUCUCACCGGGAGAACAAAGCAAAGCUGGUUCCUCCACGGUGAGGUGUGUGUGUUCCCUCCAUGUGUGCGUUCUUGUUCUCUUGAGAAAAAAGAGAGUUGUGAGAGACAACGAGAGGUAGAAGAAGAAGUGGCGCUGCGAGGAGGCGGCGCCAACAAUUGGUAUCAGAGCCUUGUUGAUCCGAGGUGGCGACGACGGUGCCGGCAGCUUUGAUGGCUGGCGUGGCGGUGGCGGAGGCAAUGGCGACGCGGCGGACUCCAUGUGACGUGGAGGACGUCGGCGCGAGGUGGAGGCCAUUGGCGGCGCGAUGCCGCUGGUGGCCGGUUGCGGUGCGAUGCUGCAAGUUGACGAUGGUGGUGUGAUGCCAUCAUCUCAAGGAAAGUCGGUGUGAUGCCGACGGCGGUGGUGCGAUGCCAUCGCCAUCAUGAAGAGUUGGUGUGAAGCCAAUAAAAGUUGCAGCGUGAUGUUGUGGCAAGACGGCAUGGUGAUCGGCGUUGCGACAGCGUCGUCCACGUCAAGAGGUGGCCGCUGCGUGAGGCAAGAGUACAGGGUGUUGGACACCCGCGCUGCGAUGGAGUCGGUCCACGGCAAGGUGUGCAACGCCGUGAUGGCAUCGUCAAGUGGCAGCGGGUGAAGCCGCGUGGAGACUGGAGAAUCAAGAUUAGGUGGAAAAUGUUAGGUUUAAUCUUAAUUCAUGUAUCUGCAUAUUUACUUUGCUUUCGUUAUGCAUGUUGCAUAGCUUAGAGAGUAGCUAGUCUGGUGAAGUUUCAGUGGAGACAUGCGAAGACGGCGAGAUGCCGGGCUGUCGUGCGAUACGGCGAGCACAACGAGAUGCCGAUGGCAGCGUGAAGGCGCGGUGCAGUGUGAUACGACGCAAGGCUUGAGGCCGAGAGGGCUGGUGAGGAAAAGAUGUAGCAUAUGUGUGUCUCACCGGGAGAACAAAGUAAAGCUGGUUCCUCCACGGUGAGGUGUGUGUGUUCCCUCCAUGUGUGCGUUCUUCUUCUCUUGAGAAAAGAGAGAGUUGUGAGAGACAACGAGAGGUAGAAGAAGAAGUGGCGCUGCCAGGAGGCGGCGCCAACAGCCGCCAGCACGUCGCGCCCCAUCUCCGAGCACUCCUCUCCGGCGCCGGCCACCCCGCAGCACCGGUUCGCCGCGCACAAGUACUCGUUGGCGAGCAUGGCGUCUAGAGCGUACUUGUAGGGAGAGGCGUAGUGCAUGAACACCCAGUACACCGGCGCCCCUCCUCCUCAGCUGCGGGGCGCGUCCGUGGACGCGGAUGCCCGUGGUUCUGUUCGGCGUGGGCGGGUUGUGCACGGUGUAGUGCACGAACUCGGCGCUCGCGUCGGCACCGUCCCUCGACGUGUACCGGCUCUCCCCGCUCCGGCGCACCGGCGAGACCUGCAGCGUCGCGGUGGAGGAGCCGAUAGAGUGCCUGGGCACGGGGCUGGUGAGCCCGGGCCCCCUCCUCACGACCCCAUCCCCGGGGCUCCCGCAGCCAGCACCCUUCCCUCUCGUCGGCGACAUGGUCACCGUCACCGGCGAGCCCGCCGGCAACGACAGCCGCCGCGACAUCCCUCCACCGGUUCACCCCCGCCUCCUCCAAAUCAGCUCAAAACUCCAGACGAUCAAAGAACCAGCAGCAAGCAGGGCGAUCAGCAGCUCUAACUGAUUCCUCGCGCUCAAAGAAGAGAAAAGAAGUGUAGUCAUGGCGUUUUUGCCAAAAAAAAAUCCGAUCGAGUAGUAUUCACCCUAGGAUCGGCUAAGUGGUGAUCAAAGCAGGCUGGCGGCCACUGACUCGGCCAAGUCAGCAAAUACGUAUACGAAAUCGUAUAAAUGGACCAAAAUGAAUCCUUGCGCAAGUAUUUGGAUCGUAGUUUGGGUAUUUUGAAGUAGUUGUAAAAAUCUGUCACCCGGCUCAAGUUUGGUGAUCUACGGUGAAUUUUUCUCGGUCACAUAAACCUGACUGUGUAGGUACUGCACCGUCGAAUCAGAUGCCGAUCGUCGUGCACGAGAGCGUGUGGCGCUGUUGAGGUCGUGGGCGAUCAGGGCACAGCUCUACUGUUUACGCCCGUACCUUAGUGCAACCAUGGUCAUUGAAUGCUAUUGCUGUCUGAUGGUAGCACCACGUUACCGUGCUGUACCUGGAUGGUUACAAGUCUCGCUGGACUUCUCGACGUGGAUGCACAUAUGAACGGCGUACGUUCAGUCGUGCAUCCUUGGAUUUAAAAUAUUUUUUCGGAGUGUGACACACACUUACGGCGCAGAAAAUCAAAUAGCAUUUCAGCUUAUAAUUUGAGAGGGGGAGGCAGAUAGGCACCGGGGAACAACAAGGUCGCUGUCCAGAACGAAAAGACGAUGCAUGUCUUGUUGUGCGCGCGUGCCCUGUCGCUCAUGGCAUCGCCAGGUGGUCGCGGUCGACGUACCAUUUCCGGAUAGACGAGGCCACGUGCACGCAGAUGGUCGUCCGGCCACCAAGAAUUUCUGUGCACCCGGGUUAACGGCGUCACGGGCCAAGCCGCCCAGAGUAGCAUGGCAGGCACAUGUAUGACCGGUCGUGUUAAUCAAUCCGCUGCCGCGCGCCUUUUCGUGGAGGCAUGCAUACGAACGUAGAUGCCCUCGCCAAUGUAUAUCGUUUCGGUGAUAGACAUGUUCCUAUUCUGGAAUUGUGCCAUCCACCUCUGAUCUUCGUUAUAAGAAAAGGGCAAUGCCAGCAAGCCUUUUUUUUCACUGCUAUCCUACCCUGUCACUCAUUUCCUGGACGCGCACGGUUCUCUUCCGUUCGCUACUCAUUCCAUGGACGAGCACCGUUCGCUUCCGUUCGCUUAAUGAUGACGUGGCCGUAACAUCCGUGUCCCGCUACAUGAUCACCGAGUCCGUCCUCACCUCCGAGCCCGUCCAGAUGCAACCAGUUCUAAGCCAGCUUUGGUGUAGCUCCAUUUACACAAUCCUCUCCACACGUUGAUCCACUUUCGUGCACACCGCCACAGCAAGGUAGAUCGUAGUGCCGGAGUUCUAGCGAGAUUUGUGUGCUUAAACAUGUGUGCAUAUUGUUUUGAGUAGCAGUAAAAUGUGAUGUUGCUUGUAUGUAAUCUUAAUGUCUCGCGUGUUUUUGUUUAAGUCAUUUUUUUGCUUCAUUCUUUGGGUGUUCGGUUUCACCUUAUUUCCCCUUAUGUGCUCCCAUAGCCGUGAAUAUCUAUAAAUGUUCCUAGACAGUAAUAGUGAUUAACCUCUUUAUGUAAUGUCUAUACGUAUGUUCAUUUCUGUAGAGUCGAGAUCUGGUGUACCCAUUUUUUGUCCUGAUUUCUAUGUUUUCUAGAUGGAUUUCUUUGUUUCUUGAUCAUGUAAGAUCAAUGAGGACAUUCCUUCGCAUAUUGGAAGCCUAUUUUUUUUCUAUUUCUAUGUCUGUUAAAAUCCUAUGAAUCAAUGAGAACCAGUUAUCAUAUCAAUGCAAACAACAAGUGACGAGGCUAUGCCCAAUUUUUUUCAAUACACACAGAAAAGGUCAAGUACACAGCAAAUACCAUUCAUCUGACAUCAUUCUUUGCUUUAUUUAAUUAUUUCUCCAUUAUGAAAAUGGUCUUACACUUAAGGCCUAGGUACUUGACGCGGGUGGAGGUGGUAGCUUUAUUUCCGGAACACGAUAACCUGCAAAAUUUCAUUCUUCACAUCAUAAUGAUGAACAUGAGAAAUUAUAUAAAGUGUAUAUAUAUAUAUUUGUGUGUGUUUGUGUGUUUGUGUGUGCACGCGCAAAUAUGACAAUAUACCAACCUGCACAGUGAGUGUCUGUGUGCAACCCAUUGCCGCAUACAUGUGUAGCCAUGGCAAACUUGGCUAGACUGAGCAAAGUCAGUUCGUGAGCGGUGAACCGAUCACAGACGCAGUGGAUGUCUUUUGCAUCCCUUAUUGUAUUGCAACAUGCGCUAUGGAGUGGCGGGUACUGGUCACCAAGUUUCUUUUCGAUGUGAUGCCAACAGUCUCGCAUCACCUUUUUUUUAUCAAGGAGGCAGUGAUCUAUAUUGUUGGCUUCUUGUGCAUGGAGCGAACAAGAAGAAAGAGCCACAAUGACUAGGAAGCAUAACACUCCAGCUACUUUUGCGUUGUUCAUGUUCUAUGUUGUGUAGCACUAUUGGUAUGUGUUUAUGCAGGACUUCUGUGCCACUCAAUCUCUAUAUAUAGUGGUCAUAGUGAAGUUUUUAGACUCCAUUCGCUCAUCAAUCGCUUAAUUGGACUCUUUUAACUAGGUGAGAGAUAUAUGACUUAGAUAUGUUAUAAUUUAAUGUUUGCACAUCUAGAUCUUGUAUAAAGUUGUUGGCAAUGGAUGUGGAUGCAAGCCAUUAAUUAUUGGCAAUGGAGUAGUUGAUUUGGAACUCUUAACAGAUAUAUGUACAUAACUUGGGUAUGUUGAUAAUUAAUGUAGGGACAUGUGUGGUCCUUGUAGUAUCACAUCGAUGGUAAAGGAUACUUCUAAUUAAAUAUAGCUAGGUGCAUCCAUUUCUUGUAUCAAAUUGAUGGUAGCGGAUAUGUAGAUAAGCCUAUUUAUUUGUCUGUCUAUCUAUAUCUCUAUCUCUAUCACUAUCUCUAUCUCCAUCUCUCUCUCUCUCUCUCUCUCUCUCUCUAUCUCUAUCUCUAUCUCUAUCUCCAUCUAUCCAUCUAUCUAUCUAUAUAUCUAUCUAUGUAUGUAUGUAUGUAUGUAUGUAUGUAUGUAUGUAUGUAUGUAUCUAUAUCUAUAUCUAUAUCUAUAUCUAUAUCUAUAUCCAUCUCUAUCUCUAUCUAUCUAUCUACCUAUCUCUAUCUCUAUCUCUAUCUCCAUCUAUCUAUCUAUCUAUCUAUCUACCUAUCCAUAUCUAUAUCUAUCUCUAUCUCUAUCUCUAUCUCUAUCUAUCUAUCUACCUAUCUAUCUAUCUAUGUCUAUAUCUAUCUGAUACUAAUAACGGACUCCCAACAUAUUAAAACUUCAAUCAGUGAAAACAAGAAAUAGAAACCACUGAUUUUAGCGGGCCUGAAUUACUAUGAUUACGAUCUAUUAAUAAAUCCCUUGGAUAUUUCAAAUGAAAAAUGGAACUUGGAUCUCUCAACCAGGGAAAAAAAGUAAAAGAUAUGAUGCAAUGUAAACAACCGUUCAGAUUUGACACGGUAGCUGAGACGUCAUGCAAUUGUCAAAAUCAUGACUAUGUUUCUUUGUGACUAACCUAGAUACGACCUGAUUCGUAUAUCUCCAGCCAAUUUGAAGUCCAUCGAUAAUUCCAUUGCCAUCUCAUGGCCUUGGCUUGGAGGAACUAUGCCACAUGGUAAAGCAGUCCCGAUAUAAUCUCUCUGACCUUCUCAACAUUCGUCAUGCCUGUUCCUAGCCAUGGAUAUCUGCCGGCACCAACCAGCACACAAACUAUAAGUAGAAAAAGACGAUCGGGGGUUAUGAUUAUAGGGAUUUAGACAUAGUUUUCUUAUCUUUUAGAUCCGCUGAGGAUGUUGUUACAGUGAUGGAACAUACAUCUGGUUACCUAUAUGCUCAACAUAGGGUGGUGCAUAUUUGAUUCCAUCAAUAAUUUAACGCACUAACCGACAUGGAAUCUUUCUUUGUCUUUUUGUUAUUUUUUACAUCCUCCGCUAGUUCUUGCAAUCUUCUAAAUAAGUCACGUUCAGUUGGUCACUGUUGGUUCAUAGAGUUCUUUCAUGACCAGUAGAAAGUUUAUGUGUGUUGACAUUGGGAUUGGCGGCCCAAAAUAAGGAUAUGAAUAUGUUGCAUUAGACUUCUCUCCUUGCCAUCGAUCCUCAUAUUUGCGCCUUGGGGGUGAUCUUGAUUUCUUUGCAUGAUUUGGCCGAUAAGUAUUCUUGUCUUCACUCUUUUGAUAUUUACCCAAUAGUUCAGCGAAGAUUAUUUUAAAUCUCUUACACUUGCGCUUAUUUCGGCCUUUGUUUUCUUUUUGUUUGCUUUCAUCAAUCAUUGGAGUUUCUUGUUGCCCCACAGUCCUUAGCGUCUUCAUUGUAGCUUCGAUAGAAUUUUCACCCUCAAGAAUAUUAUCAUUGUGAUCUUAAAAGAUUUUCUUACCUGAAAGCUUAAUCCCAUUUUCUGCAGUUUUUCUUUCUCAUGUUUAAAUAGACCAGCAUGAAGCAGCCGAUGCAAAAACUGUUUACCAUCAGAACCAAUCGGAAUAGACUGGUCAUCUCUUGGUGUCUCAACAAAUUUGAACCGUCCUUACACUAGUAGAAAAAGGACCUAAUAUGGGACACAUUGUGCUCUUGGUGUUUGCACUUUAGCGCCGGUUCGUGAUGAACCNNNNNNNNNNNNNNNNNNNNNNNNNNNNNNNNNNNNNNNNNNNNNNNNNNNNNNNNNNNNNNNNNNNNNNNNNNNNNNNNNNNNNNNNNNNNNNNNNNNNNNNNNNNNNNNNNNNNNNNNNNNNNNNNNNNNNNNNNNNNNNNCAACCGGCACUAAAGGCCAUCACGAACCGGCACUAAAGCCCGGUUCUGCACUAGUGUUAUCAAUGUCCGAUUUAACUAUUUGACGAAACAUAUUGCAAUCCUCGAAAUUAUGUUUCAACGAAUGAUGCAUUCUAAAUCACAUUCAUCCUUGGUUUGAUGACUUGACAUGGUGAUCAAGAAUUCCAAUGUAAUUAUUUUUCAGCGACAAGUCAAAUAUUUGAUCACACAUACCUGAAUUGAAGGUAAACCUUUUAUUUUCUAGACGAGCUUGUUGUGAGAAUGGCUUUAGAGGUAAGCACACGAAUGGUUCAGAUUUGGAAUCUCCCCAUUCGGCUAUGAAUUUUCUUUUGCAUUAUUUUUCUGGUGUCAUUGGAUAACAUAUUAUACUAGCAUCAAUUUUUCUCAAAAGAAUCUAAACUUGACAUUAUGUUUCUGAAACAAAAAUAGUUAGAACACACAUGUCUCAAUUGAGACGAAAAGCAUGCCAAGUAAGAAAUAAGGAAAGCUACCCAACUAGAUAUGAACUUUACAUAAAGCAAUGGGGAAAGCCUUGGCUGUAACAAUAAGUCACUCUCGGUCUCUAUAAAUGGCGCAAUGGGUUGACCGAUAUGCUCUAUAACAAUUUUAUCGCUUACAAGUAAAUUACCCUUCUUCACUGGUCUUUAAAAAUUACUUAUUAGGAUUUUUUCUAACAGAUGCAUCAACAGUAAAGUUGUCACCAAAUAUGAGAGCAAGUAAAUUACUUGAUAGACAUACCUCUUCAAAUUUGUUGGGAGAGCAUGAUGGUGGUGUGACUUGAACAAUAUCUUGCUAUGUCUUUGGAUGGCUCCCCAACGCCUUUUCAUCAUAUUCUUUAUUCUUGAUUUUGUGCAUUAUUAUAUCGAAGAUCUUUGUCAACCGAGCUUUUUCGGCUACUUGUUCUUGUCCUCGAGGCUUGUCAAUUUCUACGGCACAGAACUCAUAGGGCACGAAGUAGGUUCCAUUAACUUUUAAAAAAAUCAGGCACGACUGUUUUCCUAUGCUUGCCAUGACCUUUCUCAAUAAUGCUUGCCUAUUUGGAUUUGAUGGAUUCAGAAUAUACACUACUUGAUUCGGGGUUUUCAACCGAAGCAUUUUCAUGUUAUGAAUCAUCCUUCUUUUCAUUGACUCUACCAAUUGGCGAUGCUUCUUUUAUCUGAGUCAAUUCUUUUUCUGUUUGUUUCUGGCGGUGUGCGGAAAAAUUGGCUUUAAGAUGUUUCUCAAUUUCAGCCCACUCCGGAUAUGAUUGCUUCCCAAUGCUUUUAGAUUCCUUUGGCAAUCACACAUGAGUGUUGCCAAAACUUCGCAAUUGCAUAGGGGGUGUUUAAUAUUUGGGCAGUAUAACUGCACCUAAUCCCUGCUCUCUCACGCCAUUAGGCUUUGUGGCUGUUCGUUUUGCUGAUUUAACCAUUCUUGGCUGUCAAAUCUACGUGAUGUAGCGUCAUUGCCCAAUUCCUACAGCAUCCAGGCCCAACUGUCCUAAGGGGAUGCUACUCUGGAAGAAAAAACCGAGGCCUCUUGUUAAUUGGGCCACUUGAGGCAGCCCAUUUAACAAUCCCGACUCCAAUCUGUCGAUGGCUCGCUGCAGCUGUCCCUUGUACCGAAAAAACAAAUGUGCCGUCAAUAGGAUGUGUUGGACUCGAAUAGAGGAGGCGCUCAAGGGAGCCAGUCGCGCGAGGGGCUCGAGCGGUGGCGAAACAAGAUGAGUUGAGCGACAGGAGCCGAGGCGCGCUAGUGGAUCCACCCUCACGCGGUUCAGCCGAUGCGUGUGAGGGGAACCGAUCCAACCUAAGAGGGGAUCCAGCGGAUGCGCGGGAUGCGGAUGAAUCAGGAGCAAGUGAGGCAGUCAUCAGAGAUGAAUUGGGUUAUUUCAUAGCUGCUGCAACAUGUUCUGCCACAUGUUUCUAAUGCGGCUACUGCUGAAGCAAUUGCUCUCAGGAAUGGUAUUAAUUUGGCAGCUCAUUUGGGAUGCUUGAGGAUAGAUGCUGAGUCAGAUUAUGAACUUGUGAUUGAUGCAGUAAAAGAUACUUAUAGAUUCAAUGGUUCCCAAGCAACAACAAUUAUUGAAUCCGUUCAACUCUCUUGUGACUUCGGACAGGUGAAAUGUUCUUUACGCAACCGAGAAGCAAACAGUGUAGCAGAUGGUUUGGCUAAGCAAGCAUAUAUGCUGAAGAAUUCUUCUGUUUGGAAAGAUGACCCACCUAAUUUUAUUUCUUCUUUGAUUGUAAAUGACAUUGCUAUUGUCUGAGAAACGAAAUCUUCACCCUGUCAAAAAAAUUAUUUCUCCCCAAUUAUUUGCUCAUCAUUGGAAUUGUUCUCAAAAUUGAUAAAAUUUACCCCAUGCAAAAAAUAUUGAUCUGCUUGCACUUUCAGUCAGUAAUUUGGACCAGAGUGUCUGGUCUGAACCAAAGUGCCUCUUUCUAGAUGCUUAAGAAAUGACACUUCAAAAUAUGACUCACCGUUUCAUAAAGAAAAUAUGAUCGAUCAUGAUCUAGAAGCCUCUAAACAAAACCAAGUUUGCCAAUUGAAACUGGAAAAAUGAUGCAAAAGAAUGAACGCACCAGAAGGGGAACUCAAAUCCAAGUUGUAUUUUGCGCCCAUCUUAUACUAUUUACUAAUUGGAGGCACCAUGCGAGGUUCCAUGUUAAUCCCGGUAGUUAGAAAAUUUGGACCAUUAGAUUUACUAAUGAUACGUCGAUGACCGUCAGAUAAUGUCUUGAUGCGCCUCUUCACGUGCGGGAGACAAACUCUUCUAUUUGCACCUCCUUACGUGAUAAAAAAAUUGAAAUAAAAAUCAGCGGGGAAGCACCUCUUCACGUGGAGGAGACAGACUCCUCUCUUUCCACGUCCUUACGCAUCAUAAAAAAACUGAAAUAGAAACCAGCACAAAAACACGAUUAUGUAAUCCUCGCCUCCUACCCUCCUGCCUCCCAUCGCCGCUUCUUCUCCGCAAGCAGGACUGAUCCCUCGAUCUGCUGACCACCAAUCUCCCUCAUCUGGUCUUCAAGGCAGCUCCCGCACCAUCUAUCUCCUUCCUCGGGCUACCUUAGAGAUUGCCUCCCCAAUUUAUUGAGGUAUUAGCCCCCCUCCAUGCUCGCCACGUACUUAAGUAGGUCAAAAAAAUUGGCCACAUGUACAGUAGAAUUCAGCAGCAUGUGUUGCAUUGGAGAUGCAUGAGGAGAAUCAAGCUCCCUGCCCCUUUUUGCUGCAGGUAGGUAUAUGGUUUCUAUCUAAUCAACUAUUUGGUAUCUAUAUAACAUGGGACACUAGCAACCAAGUAGAGGUAAAUCAUAUAGUUUUUACAAAUUCAACUAUUAUCCAUACAAUUGUCCAUCCUUAGAUUUGAGUGGAACCCAAAAUUAAUACCAACCUGGCUGCUAGAGUAUGCAAUUUACUAAGGUUAGAUGGCAGUGGAAUUAAUUAGGUUUUUAUUCAAUCUGAUUUCUACUAUGUAUAGCCAGUUUGGUUUCAAUGUCAAUGGAAUAAAAUACUGGACAAAUGAAUGUCAGAAUAAUUUUAUACGAAGACUAAAAAUUAUUCUCUCCUUGAUUUUAUUAUUUUGUUUCCAUAUCACACUGCACUGAAGAAAAAGAGCGGUGUGGGGACAUUUUAAUAACUCGGGGGGUUCUGGCUGAGGGCGAGAGAUCUUGAUGGAGAAUGUGUGCUAGAGCUCAAAAAUAGAGGGGUCUGCAUCAAUGAACACUUGCAACAUACAAUAUACAGCCGUGUGGAGUUUGUUCCAGACGAAGUAGCAUUUACACACGUAAAUGUUGCUCUGUUGUAUAAGCAGUAGAAAAAGUGCUGCGACCGCCAUGUAUGGCUGUUUAAGGUAGACUGCUAGAUUAUGCAAUGAUUGGAAAUUGUUAAGCCUGAAUGACUGGAAGAGGGAUUCUAAUCCUACGGGAAACCAUUAGGAAUAAUAACAAAUAUCCAGUAACAGAUGUUGAUUUUCAUUAUAACAUACCUAAAAUUCAUUAAAAAAGGAUGUGUAAUUUCUACCUAAUCACUAAGUGCAUAGUUUUAUCACCAAGUUAUCCUAGACAUACAUCCUCGCGAACAACAUCACCAAGUUGCUUGCAUACUGCACUGCAAGUUUAGAACAUUUGAAUGCUUAUGAUACAAACCAAUGCUCAAAUUUGAAGAAUUAUACUUUUUGGAUUAUGGUUCAAUUUAUUAUUUGACAAUCGAGGACACGUUGCUUCACUUCAAUUUCACAUGUGUAGGAUACGAGAAUGCCUUGGCCCAGGAUUCCUGGGCGGGGAGGUUGAGGUACAAAACCUUUCACUGAGUGGAGAUAUCAAACGUUGCCAUGGAAGGAGCACGAUCCAAGAUCUCAUAGGCAGGUAGCAGAAUCGCAUGGAGUGAAGCUCGCUUCCCCAAUGUCCUCUUGGCUGACUUAAAAACAAAUCGGAAAUCUCGUACGUGAGCACGUCCUCAAGAACGCAUCCGUCACCUGUAGCGUUCAACUGGGCUUCGUCAACACAUCAGCAGUCUCGGAGUUCAAACUUGCUCAUGCAUGCAGCCUUGUAGCAAGAAGCAAAGUAUAUACGAUCGUAUUGAAGACUUGGCUCAUAGUAGCAAUGUCUAAUCCACGGAACCCAGAGCUAUGCACUACUUCACUAGCACAUGAUAGCUAGGUAUAUACAUUUUUCACUACUCCAUCUGUAUAAUACAACACACCCUCUACAUUUUAUCAGUAUCGACUGCAACUUAUGGACUAUGGGUGAAAAUUGUACUACAACAUAGUUUUGGAGUGUACAUUUGUGAAUUUAGGAUAUUUUUUUGUAACAAAACAGAUCCAAAUGGUAUACAUAUUUUAGAUGACCAAUUUAUUUGCUCGAUGUUCACACAGAGGGAUGCCUAUGUGGAUAAAUUAGUUUUAUUUGUCACCCAAACAUUGCUACACAAUUUGACAUUUGCUUGCAGUUACGGGUUCGAUCCUUCAAGCCAUUUCUUCAUGGGAUGUGGCAUUAAUUGUGCGAGUGACUAGAAAUAAGUUCUUCGCGAAUUAGGCACUGAAUAUGCAUCUGUACAGGCUACGUUGCUACAUAAAUAAAAGAGGCGGCCAUGCACAAUACGAUAGUUCAAACAACAGAUAGUUGAAAAGAUAAAAUAAUUGAUAGGGUGUGCUAAUGGAGGGGUAGAUAUUAAUAGUAUAUGUGGACUAUCCAGUUACCCAUGACACUCAGAAUUACAAAUUGACAUGUGGGUUGUUACUCAACUUACUGCACAUAUGUAUUAUUAAAUUUCAUAUAACCUUGGGAAUAUAAAAAAGUUCUUUUGCAACUAGCCAUCAAAUUGGAUAUUUGUAUCAAGAUUAUGUUUUCCAUCUAUGGGAACUUGCAGCUUUUAUUCUAUUUCUUUAUUGAAACCAAAAUAUACAAUUGAAAAACAUGAACAAGUAUAUUAUAGCAUGUGCCCUUUAAACAUGCUACCAUUAUUUACACAAAACAAAACAAUAUGAUGUCAUUACUAAAUUGUCUAAAGAUCUAGCCAGCGCAUCGAGCGGGCCACUUUGCUAGUUCAAGAAAAGGUCAUGUCUUUACAGAAAUGUUCAAUUCCCCCUCAGUUUGAACUUGUAAGGUGUACUGAUUUUGAACAAGUUUAUAGAAUAAAACAUAAAUAUCUACUAUAGAAAAUCAGUAUCAUUAGAUUCAUGAUGAAGUAUAUUUCCAUAUUUGAUUUAUUUAGGGGCUGUUCGGAAAGCCUCCACGCCCUCGCCACGGAGCAGAGCGGACGGAGCGACCUUCUGGCCACUCCGUAGAUUAUAGUUGCAUGCCACUCCGCUCCGGAGCGGAGCCGCGGAGUGGGAGUGAGUCCGAGCAGGCCUUUAGUAUCGUAGGUGUUAGAUGUAUUUUGCUACAGAUUUGAUCAAACAUAGGAAACUUUGACUUUUGGAAAUUUAAUUCACCUUAUAUUUUGACAGACAUGGAGUAGUAUGAUGGGACCAGAUCCAUGAACCAUCAUCUCAAACCCAUGUAUUCAUGAGGUGUGAUGUUAAUUUUAACAAAUCUGCCCAUGGACAGAACCUCGAUACCAUGAUUCACAGACCAACCCACACAUAAUUUCUGUAGACUGACAUAUACGCCGAUUUCAUCUUGUGGUAUAUCCCUGAACUUUUCUGAUGAAAAUGCUCUUAGUUGGGAUGCCAUCAGGCUCCAAACCAAACCCAAGAAAACCUGGGAGCACUUUACUUACCAAUAAAUUAAGAUUACUUUUGCAUAAGGUUUUGUCGUAAUUCGUUACCAAGAUGGGUUGCACUGUAUAGUUUCCUAGCAGCAACAUUUGGCCAGCUUCUUAGAUUUUAUCUAUAUGAAUAGUAGAUUUGUUCAUUUCGAUUUAUAACAUUGUAAAUGUUUACCUCAGCUGCCAGAUUAACAUAAUGGAACGUUGUCAGGUGUGUUUGAAGGUUGCCAGUUUAGGUGGGCCAAACAACUAGUGCGCUGAGGUCAAAAUAAGCAUAACACCAGUUUGAUUCUUUUAGGGGUCACCUACAUGAUGAAAGAUGCUCAGGCACACAUCAUUGUUCUGUUUUCCCAUGUCAGGUCAUACUUGGUCUGUAACUGAAUCUUGAGAAUUCAUUUGUAUGACUUGAUGUACAAACGUGUUAUUCAUAAUGAAAAUAAUAUCAUUGUAUGUGCUUAAAAUAGUAUGUCAUAAUUCUGUAAAAAAAUGGCAUCUUCUACUAGGUAAAGAAGUAAUAACGGUAACAAAAAUCUUUGGGCAGUCUCCAUGUGUAGAAGGUUGGAACGUUUAGAUAUUAGGAAGUGUGCAUUAAUUCUCCCGAUGGAAAAUCGCCCAGCUAGGGAAUGAGAAUAGCGACACGAAAUAAAGAUUUUUGAUGUGUUUGUAUUUAAAACAAGAUAAUAAAAAUUGAUGUAUGUUUUGAUAAAUCUUUAAAGAACUACAGAUAACAAUGCCUGCACACCAUCGAUACACACUUGCACUCACAUACAUGGAUGGGUAUCAUCACUAUCCUAACCAUUCAACUAUUGGCUGGUUUCAAUAACAUUUGGUUUAUCAGCCAAUAACAUAUUAUUGCGUUCAAUAGUAUGAUUUAUGUUAGUUGAUUGUAAAAAAAGAGACGCGUGUUUUUUUAGACGACAUUGUUCUCGGCUAUUUUAGCUUUAUGAAUUGCAUCUUAAAUUUUUGUAAAAGCACGUGGCAACGCACGGGCGUUAUACUAGUCAAUGCAAUGACAUACAAAUUUACUAUUUAUCUCUGUUACUCAAGUGAAGUCCUCUUGGUGUUAAUAAUUUUACGUAAUGCAUGAUGUGCUUCUAUGUUAUUGGUUUCCACAAUAUAUCGGUGUCAGUUUUCUUUCUCUAAUAUGUUGAAAAGUAUAUAAUUAUUUAUAAUAUUACGUUGUACUAUAGUCACUAGUAUAAAAAGCCUCAUUCUUCCCGGUUCGUCAGGGCCAUUUGUCCCGGUUGCCAAACCGGGACCAAAGGGUCGGUACUAAAGCCCUAUACCUUUAGUCCCGGUUCGCCCAGAAACCGGAAUAGAUGUGGCUCCACAUGGCCGUUGUCGCUUGCCAGGAAGGAGGACCGUACCUUUUGUCCCGGUUCGUUCCACUAACCAGGACCAAAAGGCUUCCACGCAUCAGCAAUUUUUGAUUUUUUUNNNNNNNNNNNNNNNNNNNNNNNNNNNNNNNNNNNNNNNNNNNNNNNNNNNNNNNNNNNNNNNNNNNNNNNNNNNNNNNNNNNNNNNNNNNNNNNNNNNNNNNNNNNNNNNNNNNNNNNNNNNNNNNNNNNNNNNNNNNNNNNNNNNNNNNNNNNNNNNNNNNNNNNNNNNNNNNNNNNNNNNNNNNNNNNNNNNNNNNNNNNNNNNNNNNNNNNNNNNNNNNNNNNNNNNNNNNNNNNNNNNNNNNNNNNNNNGUAGGGUUAAUUUAGGGAUUUCAUAUAUUGUGUUAGCUAGCUAAUAGAGAGAAUUGUCCUCUCUUAUCUCCACGCUUGGUCGACGCUACGUAUAGAGAGGACUCGACACGCUAGCUAGCUAGUAAGCAAAUGAAGGAAACCAUUAAGUACAAAAGACCGUCAUGAACAUAUAUACACAGAGAGAAGUGAUUAACCUCUCCUUCUCCGAUAAAUUUGUUGAACAACAAGUUUUCGUAUAUCUAUCCGAUGCUACUGGCUACAUAUACAUAUAUAUAUAUAUAUACAAUGGUCUCAACUUCCACAUGGUAUUCUCCGUGUUUGUCGAUGACGUGGUCAAGAAAGAAUCCCGCCAAUUCCUCUAUGCGAUCUUGUGGUAGGAGUUCAUCCCGCAUCUGCCAAUUUCAAGAAGAGGGUCAAUACAUAUAUAUGAAUGAAACUGAAGACAAAUGAUGGUAAUAGAAUAAAAUUGUGAAUAUUAUUGCUUACACACUUCAUAUUGUUGUUUAGAGUAGCCCCGCUCACAGGUGGUGUGGUGGAUGAACUCGCAAAUGUAGUAUCCACAGAAAUCCUUCCCGGGUUCUUGCCACAACCACUUUCCAAGAAAUAGAGGUCAAUCAAACUGAUAAGAAAGCAUUCUAAAUGGUAUUGAUGAAACUAGCUAGAAUCAAUGGGAGAUGCGCGGAACUAGCUAGUAGCUAGUUACUUUUGGGUGGUCAAAUCAUAGUUGCGCCGGCAGUCCCGGAGCUUGUGCAGUGAAAUUUUUCCAAACCCUGCCAGACAAAGAAAACAAUUACUUGAUAUCAAGAAAUGAACAAAGUUGUCGAUAUGGUGCGAUAAUGAUCGAUUGAACUUACUUCUCGAGCAUUUUAGUCAUGGUCGCAUACUCCUCUGGAUUUUUUCAUUUGGAGUCUAUGACGGUUACUAGUCCCUGCUCAAGCUUAAUCUCUAGCAGAAUAAAGUGGAAGCUGUGCGCGCAUGCAUAACUCAUCAAUUACAUUACUAUAACCACGAGUAAUAAGGGAAACCGAAUAUGCACAAGACAGUAACACUCACUUGUAUUCGUAAGGAAAGAGUAUUGUAGCUUUGUUUUGAUUUCGAAGUAACGAUGCGAGCAAGUUGGCCUCGGUUUGUCUGGCAUCAUGUUUAACACUCAAUUCAUCCAUGGGAUUUAUGUUAAUGAACCCAAUAUCACCUACAUGUCUUUUCUUCAAUUCGGCGAUCUUCAAUCUGCAUAAUAUAGUGAGGAUAACUAUAUAUACAUGCAAUGAAAGAGCUGAGCUAUAUAUAGACACUUAAUUAAUUACAGAGAAGUAGUACUUAUAGACAGUAGCUGUUGGGGAACAUAGUAAUUUCAAAAAAAAUCCUACGCACAUGCAAGAUCAUGGUGAUGCAUAGCAACAAGAUGGGAGAGUGUUGUCCACGUACCCUCGUAGACCGAAAGUGGAAGCGUUAGCACAACGCGGUUGAUGUAGUCGUACGUCUUCACGAUCCGACCGAUCAAGUACCGAAAGCACGACACCUCCGAGUUCAGCACACAUUCAGCUCGACGACGUUCCUCGAACUCCGAUCCAACCGAGCUUUGAGGGAGAGUUCCGUCAGCAUGACGGCGUGGUGACGAUGAUGAUGUUCUACCGUCACAGGGCUUCGCCUAAGCACUGCUGCGAUAUUAUCGAGGUGGAUUAUGGUGGAGGAGGGCACCGCACAUGGCUAUAGAUCUCAAGCAUCAAUUGUUGUGUCUAGAGGUGCCCCCCUGCCCCCGUAUAUAAAGGAGCAAGGGGGAGGGGGCGGCCGGCAAGGAGGGGCGCGCCAGGAGGAGUUACUCCCACCGGGAAUAGGACUCCCUCCUUUCCUUGUCCAAGUAGGAGAGAGGGAAGGAAGGGGAGAGAGGAGAGGAAGGAAAGGGGGGCGCCGCCCCCCUCCUUGUCCUAUUCGAACUACAGGGAAAUGGGGCGCGCGGCCUGCCCGGGCCGCCCCUCCUCUGCUCCACUUUGGGCCCAUGAGGCCCAUUAACCCCCCGGGGGGUUCCGGUAACCCCCGGUACUCCGGUAUACAUCCGAUAACCUCUGGAACCAUUCUGGUGUCCGAAUAUAGUCGUCCAAUAUAUCAAUCUUCAUGUCUCGACCAUUUCGAGACGCCUCGUCAUCUCCGUGAUCACAUCUGGGACUCCGAACUAUCUUCGGUACAUCAAAACAUAUAAAGUCAUAAUAUAACCAUCAUCUAACUUUAAGCAUGCGGAAGCUACGGGUUCGAGAACUAUGUAGACAUGACCGAGACACGUCUCCGGUCAAAAACCAAUAGCGGAACCUGGAUGCUCAUAUUGCCUCCCACAUAUUCUAUGAAGAUAUUUAUCGGUCAAACCGCAUAACAACAUACAUUGUUCCCUUUGUCAUCGGUAUGUUACUUGCCCGAGAUUCGAUCGUCGGUAUCUCAAUACCUAGUUCAAUCUCGUUACCGGCAAGUCUCUUUACUCGUUACAUAAUGCAUCAUCUCGUAAUUAACUCAUUAGCUACAUUUCUUGCAAGGCUUAUAUGAUGUGCAUUACCGAGAGGGCCAAGAGAUACCUCUCCGAUUAUCGGAGUGACAAAUCCUAAUCUCAAAAUACGCCAACUCAACAUGUACCAUCGGAGACACCUGUAGAGCUCCUUUAUGAUCACCCAGUUACGUUGUGACAUUUGGUAGCACACAAAGUGUUCCUCUGGUAAACGGGAGUUGCAUAAUCUCAUUGUUGUAGGAACAUGUAUAAGUCAUGAAGAAAGCAAUAGCAACAUACUAAACAAUCAAGUGCUAAGCUAACGGAAUGGGUCAAGUCAAUCACAUCAUUUUUCUAAUGAUGUGAUCCCGUUAAUCAAAUGACAACUCAUGUCUAUGGUGAGGAAACAUAACCAUCUUUGAUUAACGAGCUUGUCAAGUAGAGGCAUACUAGUGAUAUUGUGUUUGUCUAUGUAUUCACACAUGUAUUAUGUUUCCGGUCAAUACAAUUCUAGCAUGAAUAAUAAACAUUUAUCAUGAUAUAAGGAAAUAAAUAAUAACUUUAUUAUUGCCUGUAGGGCAUAUUUCCUUCAUUUUCCCACUUGCACUAGAGUCAAUAAUCAAGAUUACAUAGUAAUGAUUCUAACAUCCAUGGAUCCUUGGUGCUGAUCAUGUUUUUGCUCGUGGAAGAGGCUUAGUCAAUGGGUCUGCAACAUUCAGAUCCGUAUGUAUGUCGCUAAUCUCUAUGUCUCCCACCUGGACUUGGUCCUGGAUGGAAUUGAAGCGUCUCUUGAUGUGCUUGGUCCUCUUGUGAAAUCUGGAUUCCUUUGCCAAGGCAAUUGCACCAGUAUUGUCACAGAAGAAUUUCAUCGGUCCCGAAGCAUUAUGUAUGCCACCUAGAUUGGAUAUGAACUCCUUCAUCCAGACUCCUUCAUUUGCUGCUUCUGAAGCAGCUAUGUACUCCGCUUCGCAUGUAGAUCCCGCCAUGACGCUUUGUUUAGAACUGCACCAUUUGACAACUACACCGUUUAAUAUAAACACGUAUCCGGUUUGCGAUUUAGAAUCGUCUGGAUCAGUGUUAAAGCUUGCAUCAACGUAACCAUUUACGACUAGCUCUUUGCACCUCCAUAAAAGAGAAACAUAUCCUUAGUCCUUUUCAGGUAUUUCAGGAUAUUCUUAACCGCUAUCCAGUGAUCCACUCCUGGAUUACUUUGGUACCUCCCUGCUAAACUUAUUGCUAAGCAUGCAUCAGGUCUGGCACACAGCAUUGCAUACAUGAUAGAGCCUAUGGCUGAAGCAUAGGGAACAUCUUUCAUUUUCUCUCUAUCUUCUGCUGUGGUCCGGCAUUGAGUCUGACUCAACUUCACAGGCAAGAACCCUUUAUUUGCUUGAUCCAUUUUGAACUUUUUCAAAACUUUAUCAAGGUAUGUGCUUUGUGAAAGUCCAAUUAAGCGUCUUGAUCUAUCUCUAUAGAUCUUGAUGCCUAAUAUAUAAGCAGCUUCACCAAGGUCUUUCAUUGAAAAACUUUUAUUCAAGUAUCCUUUUAUGCUAUCCAGAAAUUUUAUAUCAUUUCCAAUUAACAAUAUGUCGUCUACAUAUAAUAUCAGAAUUGCUAUAGAGCUUCCACUCACUUUCUUGUAAAUACAGACUUCUCCAGAAGUAUGUAUAAAACCAUAUGCUUUGAUCACACUAUCAAAGCAUUUAUUCCAACUCCGAGAGGCUUGCACCAGUCCAUAAAUGGAUCGCUCGAGCUUUCACACUUUGUUAGCACCUUUUGGAUCGACAAAACCUUCUGGUUGCAUCAUAUAAAACUCUUCUUCUAGAGAUCCAUUCAGGAAUGCAGUUUUGACAUCCAGUUGCCAUAUUUCAUAAUCAUAAAAUGCGGCAAUUGCUAACAUGAUUCGGACAGACUUAAGCAUCACUACGGGUGAGAAAGUCUCAUCGUAGUCAACCCCUUGAACUUGUCAAAAACCUUUCGCAACAAGUAGACAGUAACAUUACCAUUAGUGUGAGUCUUCUUCUUGAAGAUCUAUUUAUUCUUGAUGGCUUGCCGAUCAUCGGGCAAGUCAACCAAACUCCAUACUUUGUUCUCAUACAUGGAUCCCAUCUCAGAUUUCAUGGCCUCAAGCUAUUUUGCAAAAUCUGGGCUCAUCAUCGCUUCCUCAUAGUUCAUAGGUUCGCCAUGGUCAAGUAACAUGACUUCCAGAAUAGGAUUACCGUACCACUUUGGUGCGGAUCUUACUCUCACUACUAGGAAAAGGUCUAUAGAUAGGAUUGAUACUAAUGGCGCACCAGGUAAGUAGUGCGCCACUACUAUAUACUAAUGGCGCACCGGUUGGAGGUGCGCCAUUAGUGUGGAAGACACUAAUGGCGCACCAGACACAUGGUGCGCCACUAGUAUUGAAUUUUUUUUCCGUUUUUCCAUACAUACUAAUGGCGCAUGAUGUCAAAGUGCGCCAUUACUAGUUCUAACUAGUAAUGGCGCACCGUGCAGACAGUGCGCCAUUAGUAUUUUUUUUUACUUUUUUGCAAAACUACUAAUGGCGCACCGUGUCAAAGUGCGCCAUUACUAGUUUAAACUACUAAUGGUGCACUUUUCCACAGUGCGCCAUUAGUAUAUAUUUUUUUACUUUUCUGCAAAAACUACUAAUGGAGCACCACCUGCAGGUGCGCCAUUAGUAACCAGGGUUACUAAUGGCGCAUUUGCUGGUGGUGUGCCAUUAGUAACCCGGGACCAACAAGAUAUUUUGGACAGCCCACCUACCCACUCACUUUCCCCACUUCAUUCUCUCCACCUCCUCCUCCAAGCUUGUCUCGGAUGCCUCCUCGUCCUCACCUCAUUUCCACCAUAGAUUCAUCAAAAUUAAGUGGUGAAAUUACCUUUUUUUGAUAGGUAAGUAAGGGGAAAGCUAUCUUCAUGAUGUAGAUCUACUUUUUUCUCCCUAGCUCGCUCCAACAACGUGCACAUGCACUUUUUGUGGCCUAGCUAGAUCUAUGUAUGUUUGUGGUGUUGCUUGUGUUUUUGGUGUUGCAUAUAUGUUUGUGUUUGCAGGUACCGGUAUUUGGAAUGCGAUAGUUGCCAAUAUUUUGCCGGAAUGUUGAUUCAUUUCCGUUUCGGCGAGAAUUUUGGCACUAUGCAUUCUUUUUGGUCCUAUUUUUAGGGAAGGUCAUGCCAAAAAUUUUCUUGGUUCUAAAAUAUGGUUUUGCUCUACCCCGCAGGCGACCAUGGUCCGCACGACGACCGAAGGCAUCGUUAAUAGGUUUUUGUGCUCCGCGAAGGCCGAGAUACUUCAAAAGAACGAGAAGGAGAUAAGAUGUCCGUGUCAAAGAUGCAAGCUGAAGAGCCUUAUUGUGGACGCGGAUUCCGGGCAGGUGCGGGACCACUUGCUCUUGCGUGGUUUCAUGGAUGUCUAUCGGUGGCAAGGUGAUGAAGAUGACUAUGAAGUCGUCCAUGGGGGCCGGGCAAGAAAUGAGGAAGGGCAACAAGACAAGUACCACCGCGGUGAGGGCGGACGAGAAGACGAAGAAUCUCCAGGACAUGAUCACGGCGGUGAUGUUGUACACAGUCAUCAUGUAGAAGAUGUCGUACAUGAUGAUGAGGAAGAUCAAGACGAAGGGCAUGAUCAUGAAGAUGAAGAUGCCGGAGUAGACAAUGAUGGAGGCUGGGUGCAGGACCCUCAUAUUCAAGAGCCGCUACUCAAGCAGAUGGAUAAUGCAAGAGCUGCCGCCCGAGAGAAAGCCAAGCUGGAUCAACUGGAGAUAGACGCGGUUACUCCAUUGUAUGAAGGAUGCAUGCCCGAGGAUACCCGCCUGAAAGUAACGCUCAUGGCUCUGGAGAUGAAGGUAAAACACAAAAUGACCGACGCAUGCUUCGAUGAGAACAUGUCAUUCUGGCACGAACGUCUUCCCAAGGGGAACAAGUGCCCAGCCAGUUUCGAGGAGGCGAAGAAAAUCGUGUGUCCUCUGGAUUUACCGCACGUGAAAUACCAUGUGUCCAUGAACAAUUGCAUCAUUUAUCGGGACGAGCACGCGGAGUCUACCAUAUGUCCGGUGUGCGGCGUCACUCGAUACAAGAAGAGGAAGAAAGCUCCUCGAAAAUCGGUGUGGUACUUUCCGAUCACUCCUCGUCUGCAGCGGUAUUUUGCGGACCCUAAGGUAGCCAAGCUCCUGCGUUGGCACACAGAUAGGGAGGAGAAGAAGCAGGAAAAUGAUGGAAAUGAUCCGGAGAUAAAUAAAAAAGACAAGAUGCUGAGUCACCCUAAGGAUGCGAGCCAGUGGCAAGCAUUGAACUUCGAAUACCCAGAAUUUAGAAAGGAUCCAAGGAACAUCGUGCUGGGUGCGAGCACCGAUGGAGUCAAUCCGUUUGGCAGCCAGAGAAGCACACAUAGCACCUGGCCUGUGUUUGUGUGGAUGUACAACCUUCCCCCCUGGUUGUGCAUAAAGAGGAAGUACAUUCACAUGAGUAUGCUAAUUGAAGGGCCGAAACAACCAGGGAACAACAUCAAUCUAUAUCUGGGGCUGCUGAAGGAGGAGCUAGACACGCUGUGGAAAACGCCAGCCAAUACGUGGGACGCCGCAGAGAAAGAAUAUUUCCCUAUGAGAGCCGCACUGCUCACGACAGUGCACGACUAUCUCGGUUACGGAUAUCUCGCGGGGCAGGUAGUCCACGGAUUUCCUGGAUGCGUAAGGUGCAUGGAUGACACAACGUAUCGCCAGCUAGAUAGAGAUCCCGGGUCUUCGAAAACUGUGUUCAUGGGACAUCGAAGUUGGCUUCGCGAUGAUGACCCGUGGAGGAAACGCAAGGAUCUGUUCGAUGGUGAAACCGAACCCCGAAAACGCCCCUGUACGAGGAGCGGCGAGGAAAUAGACGAGCUGUUGAAAAAUUGGAAAGACUGCCCACUACCGGGAAAGAAGAAAAAGGCGCCAGAGCCGGGAAAGAAGCUAAAGGCGCCAGAGCUGCUGCUGAAGGUAUGGAAAACGAGGUCUGUUUUCUGGGACUUGCCGUACUGGAAGAUCCACCGUGUGCCUCACAGCCUUGAUGUCAUGCAUAUCACGAAGAACGUGUGCGAGAGUCUGCUUGGUACCCUGCUCAACAUGUCAGAGAGGACCAAAGAUGGGCCGAAAGCAAGGGCAGACUUUACAUCAAUGGGCAUCAGGCAGGAGCUUCACGCUAAUGAUGAUGAUGAGGCAAAGCAGGACACAAAAAGUCGUCGCAAAGGCAAAAAGGCCAAGAAGACCGGAAAUGACUACCCUCCCGCGUGCUUCACUCUAAGUCAGGAGGAGAUCAAGCAGUUUUUCACCUGCCUCCUAGGAGGAAAACUUCCUUACGGUUACGCGGGGGAGAUAAGCAAAUACCUAGACCUAGCGAGGCAGAAGUUCAGCGGGAUGAAGUCUCACGACUGUCACAUAAUGAUUACGCAGAUACUUCCAGUUGCAAUCCGUGGGAUCAUGGACGCGCACGUCCGUGAAACGCUAUUUGGCAUAUGCAACUUUUUCGACGUCAUCUCUCAGAAGUCGAUUGGCGUGAGGCAACUCAGAAGGCUACAGGAAGAUAUCUGGUGAUACUAUGCGAGCUUGAGAUGUACUUCCUGCCCGCAUUCUUCGACGUUAUGGUGCAUCUACUGGUCCAUAUCAUGGAGGAUAUCAUCCAACUCGGGCCGACGUUCCUGCACAGCAUGAUGUUGUUCGAAAGGAUGAAUGGUGUCAUCAAAGGAUACGUUUGCAACUUGUCACGUCCAGAGGGAAGUAUAGCCAGGGGCUUUCUGACCGAAGAGUGCAUCUCCUACUGCACGAAUUAUCUAGGCAUCGAGAACCCCGUUGGUCUGCCCGUCAACAGGCACCUCGGCAGGCUCGCUGGAUGGGGUCACCGUGAGGGUCGCCGAAAUGCAUGUCAACAUCGAGGGUCGACUCGCCGACUUUGAAAGAGCAAACCUAGUCACGCUACAACGCAUAGACGUGGUCGAUCCUUGGGUGGUAGAGAACAAAACCUUUAUUGAGAAGACGUACAAUGACCGAGGCCAACAGAGGACGGACGGAGAUAUAAUCAAAGAGCACAACUCAUGUUUCACGCGUUGGUUCAAGCAGAAGCUUCUGUCGUACCCUUUACAUGAGGAUUCUAUCGCGGAAGAACAACUCAUAUUCGCCUUGUCACAGGGUGCCGAGCACAACUUGAUGACCUAUGAGGCGUACGAUAUCAACGGAUACACAUUCUACAUCGAGAACAAGGACAUGAAGAGCGAUGGUUAUCAGAACUCCGGGGUAACGAUGGAAUCCUACACCGGCAACGACAAGGACAGAUACUACGGAAGGAUCGAGGAGAUCUGGGAGCUGAGCUACGCUGGAGAGAAGGUCCCGAUGUUCCGUGUCAGAUGGGCCAAGAGCGUCCUAAAAGAAGACCGGUAUUUCACCACCAUGGUUAUACCCGAAGCCAAAUCCAAGACCACGGGCACAAACGUCACCGCGAAAAAUGAGCCAUGGGUACUAGCUUCCCAAGUGGACCAAUGCUUCUUCAUUACCGACCCGUCAAAGCCCAGUCGUGUUGUCGUGAGGGGAGGCAAAAGGAAGAUCAUCGGAAUGGAUGGAGUAGCCAAUGAGCAAGACUUCGACAAGUACGGCGACCCGAAGAUCGAACAUGACGACGACGAUGAAGUAGCAGCACACACCACAAGAAGAAGCAGGACCACACUACCUAAAGGACGUCCAUUCCACAGAAGAACUCCAUUUGUGAAAAAGAAGGGAAAGAAGAUUGUGAACAGAUAGCUAGCUAAGAUCGAUUGUAUUUAAAUUGUAGUCUUCAUUUCUCGAUUGUAUUUCAUGGGCACUUUUUGAUAUCAUGAAUAUUUUUAAAUUUCAUGGACUCUUUUUGAAUUCAUGAGGACACUUGAUCUCGAUCCCCCUCCAUCUCGAUCUCGAUUCCCCCUCCAUCUCGAUCUCGAUUCCCCCUCCAUCUCGAUCUCGAUCCCACCCGCACCCUCCCCCGCUAGCUCCACCGNNNNNNNNNNNNNNNNNNNNNNNNNNNNNNNNNNNNNNNNNNNNNNNNNNNNNNNNNNNNNNNNNNNNNNNNNNNNNNNNNNNNNNNNNNNNNNNNNNNNNNNNNNNNNNNNNNNNNNNNNNNNNNNNNNNNNNNNNNNNNNNNNNNNNNNNNNNNNNNNNNNNNNNNNNNNNNNNNNNNNNNNNNNNNNNNNNNNNNNNNNNNNNNNNNNNNNNNNNNNNNNNNNNNNNNNNNNNNNNNNNNNNNNNNNNNNNNNNNNNNNNNNNNNNNNNNNNNNNNNNNNNNNNNNNNNNNNNNNNNNNNNNNNNNNNNNNNNNNNNNNNNNNNNNNNNNNNNNNNNNNNNNNNNNNNNCUCCACCGCCGCCAACGGGCAGCCCCCGCACCCUCCCCCGCUCCACCGCCGCCGCGAUGAUAUUUUCAAGUAACAAAUUGGAACAUAUUUUUUAAAAAAUUAUUAUUGUUUUUCUAAAAAAAUAUUACUGUUAUGAUUUAAACAAGUUUGAACAUAUUUAAACACAAAUAAAUAUCAAACAUGAUUUAAAAUGCAUAAAAAACAAUAUUGGGGAGCCUGGGAAUCAAACCCAGGACCUCCUGGUGUGUGUGCUGCGUACUGACCAGUCGGGCUAGUGGGCGGGUUCUGUUGUAGAUAGGGUUAGGUGGUAUAUAACCUGACAAGUCGGGCUAGAUUAAAUUACUUAUGGUGCACCCCUCGGUGGUGCGCCAUUGCUAUGGAUGUACUUAUGGCGCAUCCCUGGGUGGUGCGCAAUUGCUAAGCCUCCCCCAAACUAAAAUCCUUAAUCUCUCAAAUUUCUCUCUAAUCCCUCCCCUGCCUCAUCUCACCCGCCGACCACCACUUCCCCCGUGCUCGCCGUCCCCGGCCGUGCACCCGACCACCCUCCGCCGCCGACCACCUCCCUCACCGUCCCCCCUCCGCCCGCGCCCACGCCCUCGCCGUCGCCUGCGUCAACCUCCCUCCCGAGCACGAUAGCUAGGGUUCCUAGCCGCCGCCACCGCUGCCAGCCCGCCGCCGCCGCGUGCCCAGCCGGCCGAACCCUCCGCUGCCCCGCCUCCGAUACAGGACCCUAGCAGCGCCUCCCCCCAUCAAGCAUGUAGCCACCACUCCUUCGUCCUUCCUCCCUCUUUCCUCAUCCCCCUCCCUCCUUCCUCUUGCUUGCGGCGUGAUUUUUCCAGAGCAUGCUCAUGUUUACAUGUGAAAGGAUUGUGCUUGAUAGGUGUUUGUGAUAAUGCCUCUAAGGGCAAAUGUUUACAAAUUGUAGGUUGAAUAUUUUUCAUGAGCAAUUUUUUUGGUUUAAACAUGUUAGCUGUGGUAAUUGUAGGUUUCAUGAUCAGUGCUGAAGUUGGCACUCUUUAAAUUCAGAAAGAAAAAGCACCACAUAAUAUUGAUGGACAGGGGAAAGCUUUGCAAUUGCACUCACAAGUGUCAAGCACCAACUAAAUAGCCACUCCUAAUAAAUCCCUUCCAUGACAGUACGAUGCUCACCUUCGUUCGACACAUGAUAUCCCCCCGCAUUAGCUAAAAUGACGAAAACCGAAUGCGAUAAUCCUAGUGUUCUCUUGUGGUAGUGGUGGUGAGAUGCCCAUAUCAUGCAUAUGGUGGGCAAUGAUGAUGAUUAGAUCCCUGUUUUAGGAUCUGAGCUCUCUCUUCUCUGAAUUCAACUAAGGCAUGAGGAACAAUGGGGGAGAUAGCUAUUAGAUCCAUGUCUUAGUAGUGGUAAACAAUCGUGUAGGUCAAUUGUUGCUUACUUGUUUGGUUUGUGCUAACAAUCUCUAAGUGAAAUCAACUAGUGAAAGCAACUAGUUAUGUUUGUUAGCAGCAAGAUAUGUAAAUGAAGCUUGUUCUUUUUCAACUGUUCAACUGAUGCGAUGAAACUAAAUAUAGUAGUUGAAAACCCUGUUUUUCUUCCUGAUCGUGAAAAUUUGAAGUCCUGUUUGUGUUUUGGUUUUGUUGGUUGACAAUUAUGUUUAGUUUUUCAUUUCAUGGGUGCUGUAAAAUGUGCUGGUGGUGAGUUGAGUCUCAGCAUACAGCUUGUUUGGACUAACCAAGAGGACAAGGUAUGUUGCUUGCCCAAGCUAAGUGACACGUAUGCGCCAAGUUUUCUGUUAUAUAAUUACCUGUUAGUGCUUAGUUAAACUGCAUGAUACGGCCAUAGCAGAUGGAUGGUACUAGGUGUUGUUUUGUUUCUUGCUAAUGUAUUCAGAGAGCAGAUGUGCCACUGCAGAUUUCUUUUCUUGAAGGCAGCUCACAUAAAUUGAGCUACAAGUGAACAACUUGCUACUAUUAGAUCUGGAAUGGAAGCUCACAUAAGUUGAGCUGAUUUUUGUCCAUAUGAAAGCAGAGGACCAUAUGGUCUGUGGCCUUUUCUUCCAUAUGAAAGUAGAGGCACAUUGUGGUGCUAGUUUGCUGGGUUUUGUCUCCGACCAUCGUGUCGUGAUGAAUUUGCAGGUACCCCGAGAGGCCCUUGAGUUUGCCGAAAUGUUGAUUAACUUCCGUUCUGGCAAAUUCGGGUACUCCAUAUGUCCUAUUUUCAGUAAAGGUCAUGCUGAAAUUUUCUGUGAAUUUUAGCAUGACUUUGCUAAAAAUAGGACAUAUGGGGUACUUGCGACUAAUGCAUGGGCCGGGGUAUCUUAGUACUUAAUUAAGUAGGAUCAACUACCCCUUUAUUCUUGCUGCAUUAAACCAUAGGUGGCAAUAGAACCAAGUGAUUAGGCCCAACUUAGAAUUCUCGUUAGCAUCGAUAAACCCUAGAUGAUAACCCAACAUAGGUGGCAAUAGAGCCAAGUGAUUAGUGCCAAGUGAUUAGGCCCAACCUAGGGUGCCUUGGCAUCGAUAAACCCUAAAUGAUGAUAACUUAACUUGGCUGCCCCGGAUGCCUCGGUGUCGAUGAGAACCUAAAUGAUGUACGCUUAGGCUUUUAGGGUGCCUCGGCGUCGACAAACCAUAAAUGAUGAAAGCUUAGGCUUUUAGGGUGCCUCAGCAUCGACAAACCCUAAAUGAUGAGACCAUGAUCCUGUUCCUUGACAAUAACCAACUUUUCGACCAAACUUUUUUCCUAUUUAGAGUGAAACAUGGCCCACAACGAUGAGGCCGGUGGUUCGGGCGGCAAGCAAUUCUGGGAGCUGUCCCAGGAGAUGGAGGAACAACAUCAUCGCUAUGAGGACGCCGCGGAAGACACGGAUCCUGACUACACAACCCCUAGUGGCAUCGGGGAUGACACCACUGAUGGUGCCUCCGAGGAUGCCACCACUGAUGAUGGCGGCGCACACACAGAUGGCAGCCAACCUAAGAAGCAAAGGAAGCACUGGCGCCCGAAUGCGCUCCGCACCCUCAAGGAGGAAUUCGCUCAAUUGGACUCCGAUGGGAAUCCAACGGAGCCCAAACAUAUAGUCAAGGGGUACUCACUUCAGCUCGGGUGCAUUCUCCGGAGCAACGUCUCGAUCAACACCGAUAACCUUAGGAAUAAGGACCACGGGAAUUUGCGCAACCUCCUCUUCACGAAGCUGCACGAACGAUACAAGUUCCCCGCCGAAUUUGAAAACACACGCCUCUCAGGGAAUAAAGUGAACAGUGCCGCUCUCACGAAGAUGAGCAUGGCCCUGUCUACUUGGAGAAGCGCGGUGAAGAGAAUGAUUGAUAAAGGUGAUAGUUAUGAGAAGAUAAAGGCGAAAUAUCCUUUGAUGAGCGAAGAUGAGUACAAGGAGUUCAAGAUCAAGUGCGAGAGCAGCGCAACCUCCGAAUCAAGUCAGUGGGGGAAAGAAAUGCGGGAGUUGAACUUAGGGGAACACAAACUCGGUCCCGACGGUUACAGAGUGGCGGAGACUAUAUGGGACAAGGAGGACGCGGAGCAUGCCGAGCAAGGCCUACCACCCCGCUUCGAGAAAUACAGCGGUGACAAGCAGACCAGGAACUAUGUCAGGGCCCGGUACAAGGAGGACCCGAUAACAAAGGAGCUUAGCACGGAUCCGAAGACCAGGGCGCUUGAGCUUGUUCUGGUAAGGAAUACACCCCCGCGUAAUUAGCUCCAUAUGGUUGCACUCUAAUUAAUCCCCAAUAUAUCUAAAUGGUUCACAUUCCUUUCGCAGGACACUGCGGGGUCAUCUCAGAGCUCCCCUUUUGACACCCCUUUAAAUAGGGCGUUGAACAUAAUGAAAAGCAAGGAUAAUCUCACUAAGCCGACGUCAGCUGGUUGUGUGGCCGGCAAAGGCUUGUCCACAAAAUGGGGGUCAUACUAUACCACUGGUGUGCGGAAGGAGAAGAAGGCCAGCUCGGAAAGCCAGACGCGCGAGGUUGAAGCACUCAAGGCACAAGUGGCGCGGAUUCCGGAGCUUGUCCAAGAGCAAGUGGAACUACAACUGGGAAUGAAGCUCAACGCCAUGGUGUCUACGUUGAUUCAUGGGCUGACGACGUGGAUUGCAGGCGGCCAAUAGGGGCCUCCCUCGGUUCCCAGCUUCAUAGCCAGCAACUCGCACAGCGCGCAGGCGGCGCCAUUGGUGUCUCCGGUGGCGCCAUUGAUGUCUCCGGCGGCGGCGCCAUUGGUGUCUCCGGCGGUGGCGCCAUUAGUGUCUCCGGCGGAGGCGGUAUUCGUGUCUCCGGCGCCGGCACGGGCAUUGGAGCUUAAUGCACCCGGGUGUACGCCGUCCGGCACCUCGCAAGCAAGCGCCCCCUCCGUCAGUUUCACGCCUGCCGUUGGCGGUGCCUCGACAUUAGCCGAGCUCGACGGCAUAACGGUAACUAAGCCUCUCAGCCGAUGACUUCAUCUCCUUGCCUUUGACUGGGCAUCCCUGACGCCCUGUACAUGUUUUUGCAGGGCACCGCCGACAUUCCUUGCACUCUUCUACACUUCGUGGGCGCCGAGUUGGUCGAUGUCGCCAAGGGCAGAAUCGUUCAACUGUGCAACCCCAUGUUCCACGGUAAUCCGAUGCCACCCAUAGUGUAUAGGGUUGAAGUGGUUCGGGUGCUGCCAGGCUGCGACGAGCUGUUACCUCCGGUUCGACCCGUUGGGGCCGACGAAGAAGAUGAGAUGACCCUCAGCGCUUGCGUAAACUGGCCCCUGCUUUGGCCGAACAUCCAGAUUCGUUUGGGGGAGGGGGACACCACCCCACAGACAAGACCGCCAGUCGUGUCGGCGCCAAGCCAUGGCAGGAACGCCGCAACGCUACCAGACCUACCGGACAUCCCUAUGGCACAAGAUCCGGAACGCCCUAUGGCACAGGAUCCGGAUGACGACAACAACGACGAUGGUACAUUUACCAAAGUCGAUAAGUACUUUGCCGAACAUGGGUAUGCUGACGAGUUCUGCGAGCCUCGUUCUCAAGAACCCAACCAAGACGACCGCAAUCUAGCUGGUACGGCGGAGAAAUCCAAUUGCAAAAGGAGUCGUCUGGCGUUCAGUUCUCAGGAGACGCCUCCAGCUCCCGCCUUCACCAAGCCUCAGAUAGCUGAGGUGCAAAAUAUUAUCAGCCCCAACACGCUCAAGAAGGCGGUCUGUGAGCAGAACUCGGUCCCAUUACAGGAGAUCAAGAAGAAGGGACGGAAACGGAAGACUAACAAGGGCGCCGGUGCGAGCCAGCCGGCACCAAGUUCGAUCCGUGCUCAGGACGGGCCACCUUCACCUAAGGAUAUCUCGAGGAGGGUGCAUGUGGCGGGUAGGGCGAUGCUACCGCCAAAUAUGCUGAAUGCUACAACCAGUGCUAUACGGAGUCUGCACGACAGUGUUCUUUCUUUGGAGAAGUGGCGUCUCAGAGAGAAUGAUGUGGCAUACCCGGUUUUCGUGGCCAAAGUGCCAGAGGGAAAGGGCUUUGUGGAUGGCGACAUCGGGGGUACGAUCGUCCUGCGGUUUGAUGACAUCUUUGCUAUGUUUAACCUUCAUCCGUUGCACUACACCUUCGUUCGGCUGUUUUCGCUGAGUAUGGAGAUGCGGAUCAUUAGAGACAAGGCCCCGGACAUCAUGAUAGUCGACCCCUUCUACAUGCGUGCCAAGCACUUGAGCAGCGCUGGGGACCGCCAAGUUGCGAGUUCACACCUCGAAGGCGUCAUUCUGGCAAACCCAGAUAAGGAUAACUUCCUUGUGGCUUACUUUCCCGAGUAAGUCAUCCCUUAACCGCCCCGUAACAUAUGGUUUCUUAGAUUUCGAUCAUUUUUUUUCUAACAUUCCGUGUUCUGUGCAGUGACACACAUUGUACACUCAUCCUCUUAAGCCCGAAAUAUUCCAUGGCCACGUAUUUCGACCCGAACCGUAACUCCAAGAUAGACUACACAAAUGUCAAGAAAGUUCUUGAUGAUGUUCUCCCCGACUACGCCAAAUCUGGAGGCACCUUCACCAGGGCGUCUCGUAAUUACGGCAAGCACAUGUUCUCACACAAUACGAAUUUCUUCUGCGUCAAGCAGCCGCCUGGCGGUCAGAAGGAUGCCUACUACGCCCUCCAUCACAUGCGGGCGAUCGUAAGGGACCAUCAUCAACUUCUGCUACUAGAUAAUCUCAAAGGUUGGGCCGCGAACUUGUCGGCAAUCCAGGACGCGGACCUCAGACAAGAAUUCUUUCGCAUCCAGUCAGAGUUUGCGGACAUCAUCCAUCAAGAUGACCUUCAUACCUCGGGGCAGUUCUACCUCAGAUAUCAACCAUCCAACAAUGAGAUAGAUGGAACGCUACAAAUGCAGGGUGACAACGACUGCGAUUUCAUGACCAUCACGACAGACGGCGGCUUCAUCCACGCUCAUGUCCGAUGAGUCGAGUCGAAAGUAGUGAUGUGUAGUUCUGAAACAUUGAUUGGCUCAUGUUGUAAUUAAACUUUAAUGAAUUCGUAUGUCUCUUUGGUUUGUACAGUCGUUCAACUUAGAUGUAAUCAAUGCUAUUUAUUAGUAGGACCAUGAAUCGUGCGAUUAAUGUCUUGCUUUUCUCUUCCGAUCCUUUUGUUGCAUACUUACAUAUUGCUUAUGUAUUGUCUGUUGUUUGGCUUGUGCAUAGAGAUGCCGUCGUAUGUCGUAUACAAGGGUAAGGUUCCCGGAGUCUACGACUACUGGGAGGAGUGUCGGAGACAGGUUCACCGUUUGAGCGGUAACAGUUACAAAGGGUACACCACUAGGGCGGAGGCCGAAUCUAGAUACGCCCGCUAUCUAGCGGGAGAGAGGAGGGAGCGUUGGAGGAACCGGAUGAAGACCAGUUUGAUCGCGAUGAUGCUCAUCGUGAUGACCACAACUCUCUUUUAUGUGAUGGUAGUUUAGAUGAUCGAUAUCGACUUGUAAUGUGAAGACAAACUCGAUACUCGCGGUCUUGAGACUUGUAAUGUUUUAUCUUUGUUCGGUCUUUUGAAUUCGGAGACUAAUAUGAUGAAUUGUAUUCGGAGACUAAUCUUCUAUUGUAUUCGAUGAAUCUGAUGUUGCUGUGUGCUGUUGUGUAUAUUCUGUCCAAUAAUAUAUUUUGUAACCUGUGCAAAAAUCAGAAAAGCAAAAAAAAACCAAAUAUUCAUACUAAUGGCACAUCACCACAAGGUGCACCAUUAGUAUGCCAAAAGGAUACUAAUGGCGCAUCAAGGCAGGGUGCGCCAUUAGUAUGACAAAGCACAUGGUUACAUAUGGGCCCCCGUGAGGCAUACUAAUGGCGCACGGUGUUACAUACUAAUGGCGCACUGCCUGGUGCGCCAUUUGUACACCAGAUACUAAUGGCGCUCCAGAGGUGCGCCAUUAGUAAAAAAUACUAGUGGCGUGCUACUAAUGGCGCACCGGUAGUGCGCCAUUAGUAGGCAAAACCGGUGCGCCAUUAGUAGGCCUUUUCCUAAUAGUGUCCUCUUGACCUACGAGGUUUGGUAGUAACUUGAUCUAAAGUUUCAUGAUCAAUAUCAUUAGCUUCCUCACUAAUUGGUGUAGUCGUCACAGGAACCGGUUUCUGUGAUGAACUAUUUUUCUAUAACAGAGCAGGUACAGUUACCUCAUCAAGUUCUACUUCCCUCCCACUCACUUCGAGAGAAACUCCUUCUCUAGAAAGGAUCCAAAUUUAGCAACAAAAGUCUUGCCUUUAGAUCUGUGAUAGAAGGUGUACCCAAUAGUCUCUUUUGGGUAUCCUAUGAAGACACAUUUCUUCGAUUUGGGUUCAAGCUUAUCUAGUUGAAGUUUCUUCACAUAAGCAUCGCCGCCCCAAACUUUAAGAAACGACAACUUUGGUUUCUUGCCAAACCACAGUUCAUAAGGCGUCGUCUCAAUGGAUUUUAAUAGUGCCCUAUUUAACGUGAAUGCGACCGUCUCUAAAGCAUAACCCCAAAACGAUAGCGGUAAAUCAAUAAGAGACAUCAUAGAUCACACCAUAUCUAGUAAAGUACGAUUACGACGUUCGGACACACCAUUACGUUGUGGUGUUCCAGGUGGCGUGAGUUGCGAAACUAUUCUGCAUUGUUUCAAAUGUAAACCAAACUCGUAACUCAAAUAUUCUCCUCCACGAUCAGAUCGUAGGAAUUUUAUUUUCUUGUUACGAUGAUUUUCCACUUAACUCUAAAAUUCUUUGAACUUUUCAAAUGUUUCAGACUUAUGUUUCAUUAAACAGAUAUACCCAUAUCUUCUUAAAUCAUCUGUGAAGGUGAGAAAAUAAUGAUACCCGCCGCGAGCCUCAAUGUUCACUGGACCACAUACAUCAGUAUGGAUGAUUUCCAACAAAUCUGUUGCUCGCUCCAUAGUUCCGGAGAACUGCAUUUUAGUCAUCUUGCCCAUGAGGCAUGGUUCGCAAGUACCAAGUGAUUCAUAACCAAGUGAUUCCAGAAGUCCAUCAGUAUGGAGUUUCUUCAUGCGUUUUACACCAAUAUGACCCAAAAGGCAGUGCCACAAAUAAGUAGCACUAUCAUUAUCAACUCUACAUCUUUUAACUUCAACAUUAUGAAUAUGUGUAUCACUACUAUCGAGAUUCAAUAAAAAUAGACCAUUCUUCAAGGGUGCAUGACCAUAAAAGAUAUUACUCAUAUAAAUAGUACAACCAUUAUUCUCUAAUUUAAAUGAAUAACCGUCUCGCAUCAAACAAGAUCCAGAUAUAGUGUUCAUGCUUAACGCUGGCACCAAAUAACAAUUAUUCAGGUCUAAAACUAAUCCCGAAGGUAGAUGUAGAGGUAGCGUGCCGACCGUGAUCACAUCACUUUGGAACCAUUUCCCACGCACAUGGUCACCUCGUACUUAGCCAAUCUUCGCUUAAUUUGUAGUCCCUGUUUCGAGUUGCAAAUAUUAGCAACAGAACCAGUAUCAAAUACCCAGGUGCUACUGCGAGCAUUAGUAAGGUAAACAUCAAUAACAUGUAUAUCACAUAUACCUUUGUUCACCUUGCCAUCCUUCUUAUCCGCCAAAUACUUGGGGCAGUUCCGCUUCCAGUGACGAGUUUGCUUGCAGUAGAAGCACUCAGUCUCAGGCUUAGGUCCAGAUUUGGGUUUCUUCUCUUGAGCAGCAACUUUUUUGCCAUUCUUCUUGAAGUUCCCCUUCUUCUUCCCUUUACCCUUUUUCUUGAAACUUGGUGGUCUUAUUGACCAUCAACACUUGAUGCUCCUUUUUGAUUUCUACCUCCACAACUUUUAGCAUUGCGAAGAGCUCGGGAAUAGUCUUAUUCAUCCCUUGCAUAUUAUAGUUCGUCACGAAGCUCUUCUAGCUUGGUGGCAGUGAUUGAAGAAUUUUGUCAAUGAAACUAUCAUCAGGAAGAUUAACUCCCAGUUGAAUCAAGUGAUUAUUAUACCCAGACAUUUUGAGUAUAUGUUCACUGCCAAAACUAUUCUCUUCCAUCUUGUAGCUAUAGAACUUAUUGGAGACUUCAUAUCUCUCAAUCUGGGCAUUUGCUUGAAAUAUUAACUUCAACUCCUGGAACAUCUCAUAUGCUCCAUGACGUUCAAAACAUCGUUGAAGUCCUGGUUCUAAGCCGUAAAGCAUGGCACACUAAACUAUCGAGUACUCAUCAGCUUUGCUCUGCCAGACGUUCUUAACGUCGCCAGUUGCAUCUGCAGUAGGCCUGGCACCCAGUGGUGCUUCCAGGACGUAAUUCUUCUGUGUAGCAAUGAGGAUGAUCCUCAAGUUAUGGACCCAGUCCGUGUAAUUGCUACCAUCAUCUUUCAACUUAGCUUUCUCAAGGAACGCAUUAAAAUUCAACGGAACAACAGCAUGAGCCAUCUAUCUACAACAAACAUAGACAAGCAAAAUACUAUCAGGUACUAAGUUCAUGAUAAAUUUAAGUUCAAUUUAAUCAUAUUACUAAGAACUCCCACUUAGAUAGACACCCGUCUAAUUAUCUAAGCGAUCACGUGAUCCAAAUCAACUAAACCAUGUCCGAUCAUCACGUGAGAUGGAGUAGUUUUCAAUGGUGAACAUCACUAUGUUGAUCAUAUCUACUAUAUGAUUCACACUCGAACUUUCAGUCUCAGUGUUCUGAGGCCAUAUCUGUAUAUGCUAGGCUCGUCAAGUUUAACCUGAGUAUUCCGCGUGUGCAACUAUUUUGCACCCGUUGUAUUUGAACGUAGAUCCUAUCACACCCGAUCAUCACGUGGUGUCUCAGCACGAAGAACUUUCGCAACGGUGCAUACUCAGGGAGAACACUUAUACCUUGAAAUUUAGUGAGAGAUCAUCUUAUAAUGCUACCGUCAAUCAAAGCAAAAUAAAAUGCAUAAAGGAUAAACAUCACAUGCAAUCAAUAUAAGUGAUAUGAUAUGGCCAUCAUCAUCUUGUGCUUGUGAUCUCCAUCUUCGAAGCACCGUCAUGAUCACCAUCGUCACCGGCGCGACACCUUGAUCUCCAUCAUAGCAUCGUUGUCGUUUCGCCACCUAUUUCUUCUACGACUAUCGCUACCACUUAGUGAUAAAGUAAAGCAAUUACAGGGUGAUUGCAUUGCAUACAAUAAAGCGACAACCAUAUGGCUCCUGCCAGUUGCCGACAACUCGGUUACAAAACAUGAUCAUCUUAUACAAUAAAAUAUAGCAUCACGUCUAGACCAUAUCACAUCACAACAUACCCUGCAAAAACAACUUAGGCAUCCUCUACUUUGUUGUUGUAAGUUUUACGUGGCUGCUACGGGCUGAGCAAGAAUCGUUCUUACCUACGCAUCAAAACCACAACGAUAGUUCAUCAAGUUAGUGUUGUUUUAACCUUCUCAAGGACCGGGCGUAGCCACACUCGUUUCAACUAAAGUUGGAGAAACUAACACCCGCCAGCAACCUAUGUGCAAAGCCCCUCGGUAGAACCAGUCUCGCGUAAGCGUACGUAUAAUGUCGGUCCGGGCCGCUUCAUCCAACAAUACCGCCAAACCAAAGUAUGACAUGCUGGUAAGCAGUAUGACUUGUAUCGCCCACAACUCACUUGUGUUCUACUCGUUCAUAUAACAUCCAUAAAACCAGGCUCUGGUACCACUGUUGGGGAACAUAGUAAUUUCAAAAAAAUUCCUACGCACACGCAAGAUCAUGGUGAUGCAUAGCAACGAGAGGGAAGAGUGUUGUCCACGUACCCUCGUAGACCGAAAGCGGAAGCGUUAGCACAACACGGUUGAUGUAGUCGUACGUCUUCACGAUCUGACUGAUCAAGUACCAAACGCACGGCACCUCUGAGUUCAGCACAUGUUCAGCUCGAUGACGUCCCUUGAACUCCGAUCCAACCAAGCUUUGAGGGAGAGUUCCGUCAGCACGACGGCGUGGUGACGAUGAUGAAGUUCUACCGUUGCAGGGCUUCGCAUAAGCACCGUUAUGAUAUUAUCGAGGUGGAUUAUGGUGGAGGGGGCACCUUACACGGCUAAUAGAUCUCAAGGAUCAAUUGUUGUGUCUAGAGGUGCCCCCUGAUAUGUCUCCAAUGUAUCUAUAGUUUUUGAUUGUUCCAUGCUAUUAUAUUACCCCUUUUGGAUGUUUAUGGGCUUUAUUUUACACAUUUAUAUCAUUUUUGGGACUAACCUACUAACCGGAGGCCCAGCCCGUAUUGCUGUUUUUUUGCCUAUUUCAGUAUUUCGAAGAAAAGGAAUAUCAAACGGAGUCCAAACGGAAUGAAACCUUCGGGAGCGUAAUUUUUGGAAUGAAUGUGAUCCAGAGGACUUGGAGUGCAUGUCAAGAAGCAAUCGAGGCGGCCAGGAGAUAGGAGGGCGUGCCCACCCCUCCUGGGCGCGCCCCUAUCUCCUGGGCCCCUCGGGCGGCCACCCACCUACUUCUUCCUCCUAUAUAUACCCACGUACCCCGAAAACAUCCAGGGAGCCAACGAAAAACAAUUUCCACCACCGUAACCUUCUGUAUACGCGAGAUCCCAUCUUGGAGCCUUCGUUGACGCUCCGCUGGAGGGGCGAAUCGACCAUGGAGGGCUUCUACAUCAACACCAAAGCCCUUCUGAUGAGUUGUGAGUAGUUUACCAUAGACCUUCGGGUCCAUAGUUAUUUGCUAGAUGGCUUCUUCUCUCUUUUUGGAUCUCAAUACAAUGUUCUCCCCCUCUCUUCUGGAAUUCUAUUCGAUGUAACUCUUUGCGGUGUGUUUGUCGAGAUCCGAUGAAUUGUGGGUUUAUGAUCAAGUUUAUCUAUGAGAUAUAUUUGAAUCUCCUCUGAAUUCUUUUAUGUAUGAUUGAGUUAUCUUUGCAAGUCUCUUCGAAUUACCAGUUUGGUUUGGCCUACUAGAUUGUUCUUUCUUGCCAUGGGAGAAGUGCUUAGCUUUGGGUUCAAUCUUGCGGUGUCCUUACCCAGUGACAAAAAGAGUUGCAAGGCACGUAUUUUAUUGUUGCCAUCGAGGAUAAAAAGAUGGGGGUUAUAUCAUAUUUCUUGAGUUUAUCCCUCUACAUCAUGUCAUCUUUCUUAAUGCGUUACUCUGUUCUUAUGAACUUAAUACUCUAGAUGCAUGCUGGAUAGCGGUCGAUGUGUGGAGUAAGAGUAGUAGAUGCAGGCAGGAGUCGGUCUACUUGUCAUGGACGUGAUGCCUAUAUACAUGAUCAUGCCUAGAUAAUCUCAUAAUUAUUCGCCUUUCUAUCAAUUGCUCGACAGUAAUUUGUUCACCCACCGUAAUACUUAUGCUAUCUUGAGAGAAGCCACCAGUUAAACCUAUGGCCCCCGGGUCUAUCUUUUAUCAUAUAAGCUUUCAAUCUACUUUUAUUUGCAUCUUUACUUUUUGCAUCUAUAUUAUAAAAUACCAAAAAUAUAUUUAUCUUAUCAUACUAUCUCUAUCAUAUCUCACUUUCGCAAGUGGUCGUAAAGGUUUUGACAACCCCUUUAUUGCGUUGGUUGCGAGUUCUUUGUUUGUUUGUGUAGGUGCGUGGGACUUUUGAGGAGCCUCCUACUGGAUUGAUAACUUGGUUCUCAAAAACUGAGGGAAAUAAUUACGCUACUAUUGCUGCAUCACCCUUUCCUCUUCAAGGAAAACCAACGCAAGCUCAAGACGUAGCAAGAAGGAUUUCUGGCGCCGUUGUCAGGGAGGUCUUCGCUCAAGUCAAGACAUACCAAGUACCCAUCAAAAACUCAUCUCCCUCACAUUUACAUUAUUUGCCAUUUGCCUCUCGUUUUCCUCUCCCCCACUUUACCCUUGCCGUUUUAUUCGCCCUCUCUUUCCCAAGCUUCUCCUCUCUUUUUCGCUUGCCUUUUUCUGUUUGCUUGUGUGCCUGUUUGACCUUGUGGCUUUGCCUAAGAGUACAUACCACCUUCUUAGAAGGUUGGAAGAGAUUGAAUCAAAUAUUAGAAGCUUUAUGACUUUGAAAUUUGAGCAUAAUAGUUUCUUCAGAAAAGAGCUUAAAGAACAAAAAGGUUUUUUUGGUUUAUGAAUAAGGAGCUUGAUGAUAUGAAUAAAGAAUUUUAUGGUGUGAACUCUCAAAUUAACCAGCUUGAGAAUGCUAUAGCCCAAAUUUUUGAUAAGCAAGCUACCUUAGUCAAUAAGAUGGCUUCCAAACCAGAAAAGUUAGAUGAAAAUAAUGAUGAAGAUCUUAAAGUUAUUGAUGUGUCUCCUAUUAGAUCUUUGUUUUGCAAUAUGAAUCUUGAUAAUAAUGGGACUGGAGAUGAGUAACCUUUAGUUAGAAGGCGUCCCAAUAAUUCGGAGUUUUUAGAUCUUGAUACUAAAUUUGGUAAAAGUGGGAUUGGAGAGGUCAUGACUUUAAAUAGCAUUGAACCCACUAUCUCGGAUUUCAAGGAAUUUGAUUAUGAUAAUUGUUCUUUAGAAGGUUGUAUUUCCUUGUUACAAUCCAUUGUUAAUUCUCCUCAUGCUUAUAGUCAAAAUAAAGCUUUUACCAAACAUAUCGUUGAUGCCUUGAUGCAAUCUUAUGAUGAAAAAAUUAAUUUGGAAGUUUCUAUACCUAGAAAACUUAAUAAUGAGUGGGAACCCACUAUAAAGAUUAAAAUUAAAGAUCAUGAGUGUUUUGCUUUGUGUGAUUUGGGUGCUAGUGUUUCCACGAUUUCGAAAACUUUAUGUGAUAUUCUAGGUUUACAUGAUCUUGAUGAUUGCUCUUUAAAUUUGCACCUUGCGGAUUCCACCAUUAAAAAGCCAAUGGGAAGGAUCAAUGAUGUUCUCAUUGUUGAAAAUAGAAAUUUGGUGCCCGUAGAUUUUAUCGUUCUUGAUAUUGAUUGCAAUCUUUCUUGCCCUAUUAUUCUUGGUAGACCUUUCCUUAGAACGAUUGGCGCGAUUAUUGAUAUGAAGGGAAUAUUAGAUUACAAUUUCCAUUAAGGAAAGGCAUGGAGCACUUUCCAAGAAAGAAAGUCAAAUUACCUUAUGAAUCUAUUAUGCGGGCUACUUAUGUAUUGAGUGCCAAAGAUGGCACUACUUAGAUCUAUCUUCGCUUUUAUGCCUAGCUAGGGGCGUUAAACGACAGUGCUAGUUGGGAGGCAACCCAAUUUUAUUUGUGUUUUUUGUUUUUGUUUCUGUUGAGUAAUAAAUUUUGCAUCUACCUUCUGUUUAGAUGUGUUUUUAUGUUUUAGUUAGUGUUUGUGCCAAGUAGAACCUAUAGGAUAACCUAUGAUGAUAGUUAAUUUGAUUCUACUGAAAAACAGAAACUUUGCACGCAUGAAACUAGUUUUGUUAAAUCACAGAAACGUGAUUUUGCGUUGAUUCUUUUUGCUGAUGAUCAAUAUACAAAUUGUCCAGGACUUCCUAUUUUUGUAGGAUGUUUAGAGUUCCAGAAGUUUGCGUUAGUUACAUAUUUCUACAGACUGUUCUGUUUUUGACAGAUUGUGUUUUUUGUGUGUUGUUUGCUUAUUUUGAUGGAACUACAGCUAGUAAAAUAGUUUAUAAACCAUAGAGAAGUUGGAAUACAGUAUGUUUAACACCAAAAUAAAUAAAGAAUGAGUUCAUUACAGUACCUUAUGUGGUGGUUUUGUUUUCUUUCACUAACGGAGCUUAUAAAAUUUCCUGUUGAGUUUUGUGUGUGAAGUUUUCAAGUUUUGGGUAAAGAUUUGAUGGACUAUGGAAUAAGGAGUGGCAAAAGCCUAAGCUUGGGGAUGCCCAUGGCACACCAAGAUAUUAAAGAGUAGCCAAAAGCCUAAGCUUGGGGAUGCCCCCGGAAGGCAUCCCCUGUUUCGUCUUUGUUCAUUGGUAACUUUACUUGGAGCUAUAUUUAAAUAAAUAAAGAAUGAGUUCAUUACAGUACCUUAUGUGGUGGUUUUGUUUUCUUUCAUUAACGGAGCUUAUAAAAUUUCCUGUUGAGUUUUGUGUUGUGAAGUUUUCAAGUUUUGGGUAAAGAUUUGAUGGACUAUGGUAUAAGGAGUGGCAAAAGCCUAAGCUUGGGGAUGCCCAUAGCACCCCAAGAUAUUGAAGAGUAGCCAAAAGCCUAAGCUUGGGGAUGCCCCCGGAAGGCAUCCCCUCUUUCGUCUUCGUUCAUUGGUAACUUUACUUGAAGCUAUAUUUUUAUUCUCCACAUGAUAUGUGUUUUGCUUGGAGCGUCGUGUAUGAUAUUAGUAUUUGCUUUUUAGUUUAACACAAUCAUCCUUGCAGUACACACCUUUUGGGAGAAGCCUACCUUAUUAGAAUUUGCUAGAAUUCUCUAUGUGCUUCACUUAUAUCUUUUCAGCUAGAUAGUUUUUGCUCUAGUGCUUCACUUAUAUCUUUUAGAGCACGACGGUGGCUUAAUUUUGUAGAAAUUGCUAGUCUCUCAUGCCUCACUUAUUUUAUUUUGAGAGUCUUUUAGAGCAGCAUGGUAUUUGCUAUGGUUAUAAAAUUGGUCCUAGAAUGGUAGGCAUCCAAGUUGGGUAUAAUAAAAACUAUCAUAGGAAGUGAAUUGGAUGCUAUUAUUAAUUUGAUACUUGAUAAUUGUUUUGAGAUAUGGAGGUAGUGAUAUUAAAGUCAUGCUAGUUGGGUUAUUAUGAAUUUAAAAAUGCUUGUGUUGAAGUUAGCAAGUCCCGUUGCAUGCACGUACGGUUAAAGUUGUGUAACAAAUUUGAAACAUGAAGUGUACUUGGAUUGUGCAUCCUUAUGAGUGGCGGUCGGGGACGAGCGAUGGUCUUUUCCUACCAAUCUAUCCCUCUAGGAGUAUGCACGUAGUGCUUCAUUUUUGAUGACUUCUAAAUUUUUGCAAUAAGUAUAUGAGUUCUUUUGACUAAUGUUGAGUCCAUGGAUUAUGCGCACUUUUACCUUUCCACCAUUGCUAGCCUCUUUGGUACCGUGCAUUGCCCUUUCUCACCUUGAGAGUUGGUGCAAACUUUGCCGAUGCAUCCAAACCCCGUGAUACGAUACGCUCUAUCACACAUAAACCUCCUUAUAUCUUCCUAAAAACAACCACCAUACCUACCAAUUAUGGCAUUUCCAUAGCCAUUCCGAGAUAUAUUGCCAUGCAACUUUCCACCGUUCCGUUCAUCAUCAUGACAUACAUUACUUUUGUCAUAUUGCCAUUGCAUGAUCAUGUACUUGACAUCGUAUUUGUGGCAAAGCCACCAUGCAUAAUUUUUCAUACAUGUCACUCUUGAUUCAUUGAACCAUCCCGGUACACCGCCGGAGGCAUUCAUAUAGAGUCAUACCUUGUUCUAGUUUCGAGUUGUAAUUCCUGUGUUGUAAUCAAUAAAAGUGUGAUGAUCAUCAUUAUUAGAGCAUUGUCCCAAAGAACAAAAAUGGAGGCCAAAAAAAGAAAGGCCAAAGUAAAAAAAGAGAAAAAAAAGAAAAAGAAAAAGAAAAAAAGAAAAGAAAAGAAAAGGGGCAAUGUUACUAUCUCUUUUCCACACUAGUGCUUCAAAGUAGCACCAUGUUCUUCAUAUAGUGAGUCUCAUAUCUUGUGCUUCAAAGUAGCACCAUGUUUUUCAUAUAGUGAGUCUCAUAUGUUGUCACUUUCAUAUACUAGUGGGAAUUUUUCAUUAUAGAACUUGGCUUGUAUGUUCCUACGACGGGCUUCCUCAAAUGCCCUAGGUCUUCGUGAGCAAGCAAGUUGGAUGCACACCACUAGUUUUCUUUUGUUGAGCAUUCAUUUAUUGCUCUAGUGCAUCCGUUGCAUGGCAAUCCCUACUCCUCAUGUUGACAUCAAUUGAUGGGCAUCUCCAUAGCCCGUUGAUUAUCCGCGUCAAUGUGAGACUUCCUCCUUUUUUUGUCUUCUCCACACAAUCCCCAUCAUCAUAUUCUAUUCCACCCAUACUGUUGUAUCCAUGGCUCACGCUCAUGUAUUGCGUGAAGGUUGAAAAAGUUUGAGAUUAUUUAAGUACGAAACAAUUGCUUGGCUUGUCAUAGGGGGUGUAGAAUUUGGGAACAUCUUUGUGUGACAAAAAUGAAGCAUAUCCUAACUAUAUGAUUUUGUAGGGACGAACUUUCUUUAGCCAUGUUAUUUUGUGAAUACAUGAUUGCUUUGAUUAGUAUGCUUGAAGUAUUACUAUUUCUUUUAUCAAUAUGAACUUUUAUUUUGAAUCAUUUGGAUCUGAACAUUCAUGCCACAAUAAAGAAAAUUACGUUAAGAAUUAUGCUAGGUAGCAUUCCACAUCAAAAAUUCUGUUUUUAUCAUUUACCUACUCGAGGACGAGCAAGAAUUAAACUUGGGGAUGCUUGAUACGUCUACAACGUAUCUAUCAUUUUUGAUUGCUCCAUGCUAUUAUAUUACCCUUUUUGGAUGUUUAUGGGCUGUAUUUUACACAUUUAUAUCAUUUUCGGGACUAACCUACUAACUAGAGGCCCAGCCCGUACUGCUGUGUUUUUGCCUAUUUUUGUAUUUCGAAGAAAAGGAAUAUCAAACGGAAUGAAACCUUCGGGAGAGUGAUUUUUGGAAUGAACGUGAUCCAGAGGACUUGGAGUGCAAUUCAAGAAGCAAUCGAGGUAGACAGGAGAUAGGAGGGCGCGCCCACCCCUCCUGGGCGCGCCCCCUGUCUCCUGGUCCCCUCGGGCGGCCACCGACCUACUUCUUCCUCCUAUAUAUACCCACGUACCCCGAAAACAUCCAGGGAGCCAACGAAAAACAAUUUCCACCACCGUAACCUUCUGUAUCCGCGAGAUCCCAUCUUGGAGCCUUCGUCGGUGCUCCGCCGAAGGGGGAAUCGACCACGGAGGGCUUCUACAUCAACACCAAAGCCCUUCCGAUGAGUUGUGAGUAGUUUACCACAGACCAUCGGGUCCAUAGUUAUUAGCUAGAUGGCUUCUUCUCUCUUUUUGGAUCUCAUUACAAUGUUCUCCCCCUCUCUUGUGGAGAUCUAUUCGAUGUAACACUUUUUGCGGUGUGUUUGUCGAGAUCCGAUGAAUUGUGGGUUUAUGAUCAAGUUUAUCUAUGAGAAAUAUUUGAAUCUCCUCUGAAUUCUUUUAUGUAUGAUUGAGUUAUGUUUGCAAGUCUCUUCGAAUUAUCAUUUUGGUUUGGCCUACUAGAUUGAUCUUUCUUGCCAUGGGAGAAGUGCUUAGCUUUGGGUUCAAUCUUGCGGCGUCCUUACCCCGUGAUAUAAAGGGUUGCAAGGCACGUAUUGUAUUGUUGCCAUCGAAAAUAAAAAGAUGGGGUUUAUAUCAUAUUGUUUGAGUUUAUCCCUCUACAUCAUGUCAUCUUUCUUAAUGCGUUACUCUGUUCUUAUGAACUUAAUACUCUAGAUGCAUGCUGCAUAGCGGUCGAUGUGUGGAGUAAUAGUAGUAGAUGCAAGCAGGAGUCGGUCUACUUGUCACGGACGUGAUGCCUAUAUACAUGAUCAUGCCUAGAUAAUCUCAUAAUUAUUCGCUUUUCUAUCAAUUGCUCAACAGUAAUUUGUUCACCCACCGUAAUACUUAUGCUAUCAUGAGAGAAGCCACUAGUGAAACCUAUGGCCCACGUGGCUAUCUUUUAUCAUAUAAGCUUUCAAUCUACUUUUAUUUGCAUCUUUACUUUUUGCAUCUAUAUUAUAAAUACCAAAAAUAUAUUUAUCUUAUCAUACUAUCUCUAUCAGAUCUCACUUUCGCAAGUGGCUGUGAAGGGAUUGACAACCCCUUCAUUGCGUUGGUUGCGAGUUCUUUGUUUGUUUGUGUAGGUGCGUGGGACUUUUGAGGAGCCUCCUACUGGAUUGAUACCUUGGUUCUCAAAAACUGAGGGAAAUACUUACGCUACUAUUGCUGCAUCACCCUUUCCUCUUCAAGGAAAACCAACGCAAGCUCAAGACGUAGCACCCCCUUCCCCCGUAUGUAAAGGAGCAAGGGGGAGGGGGCGGCCAGCCAGGAGGGGGCGCACCAGGAGGAGUCCUACUCCCACCGGGAGUAGGACUCCCUCCUUUCCUUGUCCAAGUAGGAGAGGGGGAAGGAAGGGGAGAGAGGAGAGGAAGGAAAUGGGGGCGCUGCCCACCCCCCUCCUUGUCCUAUUCAGACUAGAGGGGGAGGGGGCGCGCGACCUGCCCUGGCCGCCCCUCCUCUGCUGCUCUUUGGGCCCAUGAGGCCCAUUAACCGCCGGGGAGUUCCGGUAACCCCACGGCACUCUGGUAUACAUCCGAUAACCUCCGGAACCAUUGCGGUGUCCGUAUAUAGUCGUCCAAUAUAUCAAUCUUCAUGUCUCGACCAUUUCGAGACUCCUCGUCAUGUCCGUGAUCACAUCCGGGACUCCGAACUAUCUUCAGUACAUCAAAACAUAUAAACUCAUAAUAUAACCGUCAUCUAACUUUAAGCGUGCGGACCCUACAGGUUCGAGAACUAUAUAGACAUGACCGAGACACGUCUCCAGUCAAUAACCAAUAGCGGAACCAGGAUGAUCAUAUUGGAUCCCACAUAUUCUAUGAAGAUCUUUAUCGGUCAAACCACAUAACAACAUACGUUGUUCCCUUUGUCAUCGGUAUGUUACUUACCCGAGAUUCGAUCAUCGGUAUGUUACUUACCCGAGAUUCAAUCUCGUUAUUGGCAAGUCUCUUUACUCGUUACAUAAUGCAUCAUGUCAUAACUAACUCAUUAGCUACAUUGCUUGCACGGCUUAUAGUGAUGUGCAUUACCGAGAGGGCCCAGAGAUACCUCUCCGAUAAUCGGAGUGACAAAUCCUAAUCUCGAAAUACACCAACUCAACAUGUACCUUCGGAGACACCUGUAGAGCUCCUUUAUAAUCACCUAGUUACGUUGUGACAUUUGGUAGAAAACAAAGUGUUCCUUCGGUAAACGGGAGUUGCAUAAUCUCAUAGUUGUAGGAACAUGUAUAAGUCAUGAAGAAAGCAAUAGCAACAUACUAAACGAUCAAGUGCUAAGCUAACAGAAUGGGUCAAGUCAAUCACAUGAUUCUCCUAAUGAUGUGAUCCCGUUAAUCAAAUGACAACUCAUGUUUAUGGUCAGGAAACAUAACCAUCUUUUAUUAACGAGCUAGACAAGUAGAGGCAUACUAGUGACAUUGUGUUUGUCUAUGUAUUCACACAUGUAUUAUGUUUCUGGUCAAUACAAUUCUAGCAUGAAUAAUAAAAAUUUAUCAUGAUAUAAGGAAAUAAAUAAUAACUUUAUUAUUGCCUCUAGGGCAUAUUUCCUUUAGUAGCAAGUGAUGAUUGUUUUAUCGAGCGUCUUUUGAUUGAAAAACUGGAAGAACUCCUCGUAUGGAACUAACAACAUCAAUUCCAACGAGGUCGUGCUCCUCUUUAACUCUCAGCGACAAAAUACUUUUCCCAGACUUCCUCCAGAUGUCCAUGUACCAAUCAUGGAAUCUUCGCAUCAUCGUUGUUAGGGAAGUACCAGGUCUGACGAGAGGCUUCCCGUGCUCGAAUCUUAAUGUGUCCACCUCCAUUAUUUCAAAAAUUGUUGCAUCAUCGUCGGUUAUGUAAUCUCCAAGAUUGGUAGCGGGCAGCAUCCCCGGAAGAUUAGCGACGAUAUCGCUAGACACAUUGAGCGGGGGGCACGAUUGCUUCGCUUGUUCACCGAGCUAGGGAUUUUCCCCCAUUUUGUUCAUUCUGCUAGCCUUUGAUCAAUGCAAGUACUUCCCGACCGCUCCGCUUCCUUAUAUGUCCUUUCAAUGAUGCGGUCAUAGUUGGAUUGCGGGGGAGGCAGUGAUGGUCGUUGUAGGGCAUCGAAAGUGUGCUUCGCUUUCAUCGGAUCUAUCUCCAGCGGAGGUGGAUGUUUCUUAGCUUUUACCGGUUGAAAGAAUUCUCUGGUCGUGUUUCUUCAGUCUGUGAUCUUCCUGCUCCAGCCGCCCAAACCAGUGUCGGUGGAACCGCCUGCUCCCGCCUCCCGUUGCCGACUGUUCUGUCGGGAAGGCCUCACGGCCCCACCGUACUCGCAUACCUAGCCUGUCUAUCCAUCUACUCACCCACACCUCAUGUUAUUUUCCGGCGACGGCAGCCGAACCAGUCAACCUUCGUACUCCCCACCGCGUGAGCAGCCACUGCCGUGUCUUCUAUGGCUCCGUGUUGUUCCCUUUGUAUGCCUCGCCGUCGUCCACUGCCCUGGUGCUCUCGGUGCGGCGUGGUCAAUGUGGUCAACGAACGACUUCCAUCGGAAGUGGACUGUACAUGGAGAUGCUGGCAGCUGGGUCCAUGGCCGCACAAAAGGAAAUGCCUCCUUAUUACGCGCAAAAUAAUGAUUCCUUCCCAUGACAUCUGAGACCCACCAGAAGGGCCUCCGUAUUUUUCGCAAAAAAAACGACCCCCCCAUGCUGACAGGUCGGACCCACCAGCUAUAUCUUCGCAUGCAAGGAAUGUUGGAAAUAUGCCCUAGAGGCAAUAAUGAAAUGGUUAUUAUUAUAUUUCCUUGUUCAUGAUAAUUGUCUAUUGUUCAUGCUAUAAUUGUAUUAACUGGAAACCGUAAUACAUGUGUGAUUACAUAGACCACAACAUGUCCCUAGUGAGCCUCUAGUUGGCUAGCUCGUUGAUCAACAGAUGUUCAUGGUUUCCAGACCAUGGACAUUAGAUGUCAUUGAUAGCGGGAUCACAUCAUUAGGAGAAUGAUGUGAUGGACAAGACCCAAUCCUAAGCAUACCACAAGAUCGUGUAGUUCGUUUGCUAAGAGCUUUUCUAAUGUCAAGUAUCAUUUCCUUAGUCCAUGAGAUUGUGCAACUCACGGAUACCAUAGGAAUGCUUUGGGUGUACCAAACGUCACAAUUUAACUGGGUGGCUAUAAAGGUGCAGUACAGGUAUCUCCGAAAGUGUCUGUUGGCUUGGCACGAAACGUGACUUGGAUUUGUCACUCCAUAUGAUGGAGUGGUAUCUGUGGGCCCACUCGGUAAUGCAUCAUCAUAAUGAGCUCAAUGUGACUAAGUAGUUAGUCACGGAUCAUGCAUUGUGGAACGAGUAAAGUGACUUGCCGGUAACGAGAUUGAACGAGGUAUUGUGAUACCAACGAUCGAUUCUCGGGCAAAUAACAUACCAAUUGACAAAGGGAAUUGUAUACGGGAUUGAUUGAAUCCCCGACAUCGUGGUUCAUCUGAUGAGAUCGUCGUGGAACAUGUGGGAGCCAACAUGGGUAUCCAGAUCCCGUUGUUGGUUAUUAGCCGGAGAACGUCUCGGUCAUGUCUGGAUGGUUCCCAAACCCGUAGGGUCUACACACUUAAGGUUCGGUGACGCUAGAGUUGUUAUGGGAAAUAGUAUGCGGUUACCUAAGGUUGUUCGGAAGCCGGGAUGAGAUCCCAGACAUGACAAGGAACUCCGGAAUGGUCCGGAGGUGAAGAUCGAUAUAUUGGACGAAGAGUAUUCGAGUCCGGAAUUGUUCUGGGAGUACCGGUUGACGACCAGCGUGACCGAAAGGUGUUUCGAACGCCCCGGAAAGCGUUGGGGGCCUUAUGGGCCAAGGGGAGGGGGCACACCAGACCACUAAGGGGCUGUGCGCCCCUCCCAACCCCUCUCACGUAACCUGGGGAGGUGGGGCCGCCUCCCCUAGGGCAGCCGCCCCUCCCAGCUUGGGGGGCAAGUUUCAUAGGGGUGGCGGCGCCCAAACCCAUCUAGGGUUUCCACUGUGGCCACCACCCCUCCACUAGGGAACCCUAGGGCGCCUCCUCCACCCCCUUCCCCCUAUAUAUAGUGAGGGAGAGAGAGGGCAACCUCACCCCUUGCCCCUGGCACAGCCCUCCCCCUCUCCAACUCCACCUCCUCCUCAGUAGUGCUUGGCGAAGCCCUGCCAGAGAACUGCAAGCUCCACCACCACGCCGUCGUGCUGCCGGAGAUCUCCGUCAACUUCUCCUCUCCCCUUGCUGGAUCAAGAAGGAGGAGACGUCCCCGGGCUGUACGUGUGUUGAACGAGGAGGCGCCGUUCGUUCGGUGCUUAGACCGGAAUCGACCGCGAUCUGAAUCGCUGCGUGUACGACUCCACCAACCUCGUUCUUGUAAUGCUUCCGCAUCGUGAUCUUCAAGGGUAUGAAUAUACACUCAUACUCUCCCUCUCUUGUUCCUAGAAUCUCCAUAGAUUGAUCUUUGUGACACGUAGGAAAAUUUUGAAUUAUUGCUACGUUCCCCAACAAUGGCAUCAUGAGCUAGGUCUAUGCGUAGUUUCUAUGCACGAGUAAAACACAAGUUGUUGUGGGCAUCGAUUUUGUCAAUUUACUUCCUGUUACUAGUCUUAUCUUGAUUCGGCGGCAUCGUGGGGUGAAGCGGCCCGGACCGACCUUACAUGUACGCUUACGUGAGACAGGUUCCACCGACUGACAUGCACUAGUUGCAUAAGGUGGCUAGCGGGUGUCUGUCUCUCCCACUUUAGUCGGAUCAGAUUCGAUGAAAAUGGUCCUUAUGAAGGGUAAAUAGAAAUUGGCAUAUCACGUUCUAGUUUUGGCGUAGGUAAGAAACGUUCUUGCUAGAAACCUAUAGUAGCCACAUAAAAACUUGUAACAACAAUUAGAGGACGUCUAACUUGUUCUUGCAGCAUAUGCCGUGUGAUGUGAUAUGGCCAAAAGGAUGUGAUGAAUGAUAUAUAUGUGAUGUAUGAGAUUGAUCAUGUUCUUGUAAUAUGAAUCACGACUUGCAUGUCGAUGAGUAUGACAACCGGUAGGAGCCAUAGGAGUUGUCUUAAUUUAUUGUAUGACCCGCGUGUCAUUGAAUAACACCAUGUAAUUACUUUACUUUAUUGCAAAACUGUUAGCCAUAGUAGUAGAAGUAAUAGUUGGCGUGACAACUUCAUGCAGACACGAUGAUGGAGAUCAUGGUGUCAUGCCGGUGACGAUGAUGAUCAUGGCACCCCGAAGAUGGAGAUCAAAAGGAGAAAAAUGAUAUUGGCCACAUCAUGUCACUAUUUGAUUGCAUGUGAUGUUUAUCAUGUUUUUACAUCCUAUUUGCUUAGAACGACGGUAGCAUCAAUAAGAUGAUCCAUCGCUAAAAUUUCAAGAAAGUGUUCCCCUAACUGUGCACCAUUGAGAACGUUCAUUGUUUCGAAGCACCACGUGAUGAUCGGGUGUGAUAGAUUCUAAUGUUCGAAUACAACGGGUGUAAGCCAGAUUUACACAAGCAGAACACUUAGGUUGACUUGACGAGCCUAGCAUGUACAGACAUUGCCUCAGAACACAAUAUACUGAAAGGUCGAACACUAGUCCGUCUCAUGUGAUGAUCGGACACGGCCUAGUUGACUCGGAUCAUGUAUCACUUAGAUGACUAGAGGGAUGUCCAUCUGAGUGGGAGUUCAUUAAAUUAGAUGAACUUAAUUAUCAUGAACAUAUUCAAAAGGUCUUUGCAAAUUAUGUCGUAACUUGCGCUUCAGUUCUACUGUUUUAGAUAUGUUCCUAGAGAAAAUUUAGUUGAAAGUUGAUAGUAGCAAUUAUGCGGACUAGGUCUGUAAACUGAGGAAUGUCCUCAUUGCUACGCAGAAGGCUUAUGUCCUUAAUGCACCGCUCGGUGUGCUAAACCUCGAACAUCGUCUGUGGAUGUUGUGAACAUCUGACAUACACGUUUUGAUGACUACAUGAUAGUUCAGUAAUGUCAAACGGUUUAGAAUUGAGGCGGCGAAGACGAUUUUGAAACAUCGCGGAACAUAUGAGAUGUUCAAAGGGCUGAAAUUGGGAUUUCAGGCUCGUGCCCAUGUCAAGAGGUAUGAGACCUCUGACGAGUUUCUUAAGCCUGCAAUCUAAGGGAGAAAAGCUCAAUUGUUGAGCAUGUGCUCAGAUUGUCUGAGUACUACAAUCACUUGAAUUGAGUGGGAGUCACUAGUAGAAAAGGGGGCAAUGGUCCAGGCCGGGUCAGCCAUUAGUCCAGGUUCAGUCCAGAACCGGGACUCAUGGUGGCAUUGGACCCGGUUCGUGAGCCCCGGGGGCCGGCCGGGCCACGUGGGCCAUUGGUCCCAGUUCGUCUGGACCUUUUGGUCCCGGUUGGUCGGACGAACCGGGACCAAUGGGCCUCGCUCCUGGCCCACCACCAUUGGUCCCGGUUGGUGGCUUGAACCGGGACCAAAGGCUGCCUUUAGUCCCGGUUCAUGCCACAAACCGGGACCAAUGAAUUGCCUAUAUAUUCCCCUCGCCCGCGAGCAGAGCACUCCCACUGCUCUGUUUUUCCUGGCCGGCGAGGGGAGAGCUUUGUGGUGCUCUAGCUCACCUCCUAUGCACACGAGGUGUUCGAUGGAAUGCACGGGCUACACUACUUAUGCUUUCUCCUCUCCAAACUCGACCUCCAAGCUCCAUUUUACUCAAUAUUUGUCUAGGUCUAGCGGUCCGUCACGUCCCGUCCCCGUCUUCACCGCCUUCGAUCGCCCGUGCUGAUCUCAUCGCCGGCACCACCGUGGUGAGCCUCUUGUUCUUAUCUUCUUUCUGAAAGGAAAAAUAUUCUUACUUGUAUGUUUAGAUAGAUACUUGUAUUAUUUUCUUACUUUUAUUAUUGCAUCGUAUAUAGUGCGAUGGUUUUGGUAUCCGCCCCUGUCGGCCCGCGUCCUGUCUAUGAUUCGGAUGUGGUAUAUAUUAUCUUUUCAUAACUAUUGGUUCAUUUAUUGUUUAUGAAAAUUAUGCUGACCAACGUGACAUAGAUUUUAUUUAUCUAUGAGGUUGUUGAACCGGAAAUUCCAACCGACCCUAUUGUCGAGAGGUUAAAUUUAGUUGAAGAAGAAAACAAUUUCUUGAAGGAAAAAAUAAGAAAAAUUGAGGAGGAGAAGAUGAUAUUGGAGUUGCAUGUUGCGGAUGUCGUCGAUGAUCACAAGAUCAAGAUGGAUGCAAUGCGCUUGAAGAUGAGAAAGAUUAGAAAAUAUGCCAUUCAUAUCGAGGCUUGCUAUCAUUAUGCCGUUGGAUCAGUUGUUACCUUGGUUGCGAUUAUGAUCACAUUUGUUUUCGCAUUGAAAUGUUUGACAUAGUUUCAAUGUAGGGUUUAAUUAAUUUAGAUGCUCUGCAGAGCUUUAUGUUGUUAGAUGAGAACUAUGUAUGUACUUUGGUUUUAAUGUGAUGAUGAACUUCUAUUAAUUUGGUCACUUAAUUAUCUAUUCAUGAUGUUCUGUAAUGAUUUUUGACACACUUAAUUAUAUAUAAUGCAUGCAGAUGAACCGGCAAUGGUUGUACGGUGAAAGACACACCUCCGAGUACAUUAAGGGCGUGCAUGAUUUUCUCAAAGUGGCUGAGGCAAACAAGCAGAAUGGUUUUAUGUGUUGUCCAUGCCCUAUAUGUGGGAAUACGAAGUCUUAAUCUGACUGGAAAAUCCUUCACACCCACCUGCUUUACAAGGGUUUCAUGCCACACUAUAAUGUUUGGACGAGGCAUGGAGAAAUAGGGGUUAUGAUGGAAGACGGCGAGGAAGAAGAGUACGAUGACAACUAUGUGCCCCCUGAAUAUGGUGAUGCUAUUGAAGAUCAAGAGGUACCAGACGAUGUGCACAAUGAUGCUGCAACGGGCGAAGCUGCUGAAGAUCAAGAGGAACCAGACGAUGUGCCCGAUGAUGAUGAUCUCCGACGGAUCAUUGUCGAUGCAAGGACGCAAUGCGAAAGUCAAAAGGAGAAGCUGAAGUUCGAUCGCAUGUUAGAGGAUCACAAAAAAGGGUUGUACCCCAAUUGCGAAGAUGGCAACACAAAGCUCGGUACCAUACUGGAAUUGCUGCAGUGGAAGGCAGAGAAUGUUGUUCCUGACAAAGGAUUUGAGAAGCUACUGAAAAUAUUGAAAAAGAAGCUUCCAAAGGAUAAGGAAUUGCCCGACAGUACAUACGCAGCAAAGAAGGUCGUAUGCCCUCUAGGAUUGGAGGUUCAGAAGAUACAUGCAUGCCCUAAUGACUGCAUCCUCUACGGAGGUGCGUACAAGGAUCUGAACACAUGCCCGGUAUGCGGUGCAUUACGGUAUAAGAUCAGACGAGAUGACCCUGGUGAUGUUGACGGCGAGCCCCCCAGGAAGAGGGUUCCUGCUAAGGUGAUGUGGUAUGCUCCUAUAAUACCACGGUUGAAAUGUCUGUUCAGAAACGGAGAGCAUGCCAAGUUGAUGCGAUGGCACAGUGAGGACCGUAAGAAAGACGGGAAGUUGAGAGCACCCGCUGAUGGGUCGCAGUGGGGAAAAAUCGAGAGAAAGUACUGGGCUGAGUUUGCAGGUGACCCAAGGAACGUAUGGUUUUCUUUAAGCGCGGAUGGCAUUAAUCCUUUCAGGGAGCAGAGCAGCAAUCACAGCACCUGGCCCGUGACUCUAUGUAUGUAUAACCUUCCUCCUUGGAUGUGCAUGAAGCGGAAGUUCAUUAUGAUGCCAGUUCUCAUCCAAGGCCCUAAGCAACCCGGCAAUGACAUUUAUGUGUACCUAAGGCCAUUAGUUGAAGAACUUUUACGGCUGUGGAAUGGAAACGGUGUACAUACAUGGGAUGAGCACAAACACGAGGAAUUUAACCUAAAGGCGUUGCUGUUCGUGACCAUCAACGAUUGGCCCGCUCUCAGUAACCUUUCAGGACAGACAAACACGGGAUACCACGCAUGCACGCACUGUUUACUUGACACCGAUAGUAUAUACCUGGGAAGCUGCAGGAAGAAUGUGUACCUAGGCCAUCGUUGAUUUCUUCCGACCAACCAUCAAUGUCGAAAGAAAGGCAAGAAUUUCAAAGGCAAGGCAGAUCACCAGAAGAAGCCCGCCAUGCGUAUCGGUGAUCACGUACUUGCUAUGGUCAAUGAUUUACACGUAAUCUUUGGAAAGGGUCCCGACGCACUAGCUGUUCCGAAUGACGCUGAGGAACACGCACCCAUGUGGAAGAAGAAUUCUAUAUUUUGGGACCUACCCUACUGGAAAGACCUAGAGGUCCGCUCUUCAAUUGACGUGCACCUUUGCGUGAACCUGCUAGGCUUCUUGGGUGUGUAUGGAAAGACAAAAGAUACAGCUGAGGCACGGGAGGACCUGCAACGUUUGCACGAAAAAGACGGCAUGCCUCCAAAGUAGUAUGAAGGUCCUGCCAGCUAUGCUCUUACCAAAGAAGAGAAGGAAAUCUUCUUUGAAUGCCUGCUUAGUAUGAAGGUCCCGACUGGCUUCUCGUCGAAUAUAAAGGGAAUAAUAAAUAUGGCAGAGAAAAAGUUUCAGAACCUAAAGUCUCAUGACUGCCACGUGAUUAUGACGCAACUGCUUCUGGUUGCAUUGAGGGGGCUUCUACCGGAAAACGUCCGAUUAGCCAUUGUGAAGCUAUGUGCAUUCCUCAAUGCAAUCUCUCAGAAGGCGAUCGAUCCAGAAAUCAUACCAAGGCUAAGGAGUGAUGUGGUGCAAUGUCUUGUCAGUUUCGAGCUGGUGUUCCCACCAUCCUUCUUCAAUAUCAUGACGCACGUCCUAGUUCAUCUAGUUGACGAGAUUGUCAUUCUGGGCCCCGUAUUUCUACACAAUACGUACCCCUUUGAGAGGUUCAUGGGAGUCCUAAAGAAAUAUGUCUGUAACCAUGCUAGGCCAGAAGGAAGCAUCUCCAUGGGCCAUCAAACAGAGGAUGUCAUCGGGUUUUGUGUAGACUUCAUUCCUGGCCUUAAGAAGAUAGGUCUCCCUAAAUCGCGGUAUGAGGGGAGACUGACUGGAAAAGGCACGCUUGGAAGGGACUCAAUAAUAUGCAGGGACGGAUAUUCUUGGUCUCAAGCACACUACACAGUUCUACAGAACUCUACCUUGGUGACCCCUAUGUCGAUGAACACAAGAACAGUCUGCGCUCCAAACACCCGGAGCAGUGCGACGACUGGAUUACAUGUGAACACAUCAGGACUUUCAGCAGUUGGUUGGAAACACGUCUCAGAGGUGACAACACAUCAGGACCAUCUUUGACUAUAUUGAUUUACAAAGGAUACGGGAUAAAUGGGAAUACAUUUUACAUGAUUGACCAAGAUCAAAAGAGCACCAACCAAAACAGCGGUGUCCGCUUUGAUGCAACAACCGAGAGGGGAAAGGACACAUAUUAUGGUUACAUAGUGGACAUAUGGGAAUUUGACUACGGACAUGAUUUUAAGGUCCCUUUAAUUAAGUGCAAAUGGGUCAAUCUGCCAGGAGGCGGGGUACAGGUAGACCCACAGUACGGAAUGACAACAGUGGAUCUGAAAAGUCUUGGGUACACUGACGAACCGUUCGUCCUAGCCAAUGAUGUGGCACAUGUUAUCUAUGUGAAGGACAUGUCUACCAAGCCGAGAAAAAGAAAAGAUAAGGAAGCGAAUACAUCAUACGAUGAGCCAAAGCGCCACAUAGUUCUUUCAGGAAAAAGGGACAUCGUGGGAGUGGACGGCAAGACAGAAAUGUCUGAAGAUUAUGAAAAGUUUCAUGAAAUUCCUCCCUUCAAAGUCAAGGCUGACCCUAGCAUCCUGAUAAACGAUGAAGAUUAUCCAUGGUUACGGCGCAAUAAGCAAAUGACACAAGCGAAGGAAAAGUGAAGACUUUCUCCCGCAACUAUUAUGAUGAUACCAUGCCAACUUUGUAACAGACGAGUAUGAUACCAUGCCAACUGUUAUGAAUUUAGGUUGAAUUUUCUCUAUAGGCGCAUCUAUGUUCAUUUUUUUAGUAAAGUUAAUCACAAACUUGUGAUCCACACAAAUUUCAAAGAAUUCAAGUUUUAACUAUUCAAAUUUGAAAACUAAUGGCACUAACAGAAAGUUUAUAAUUUCUCUAAAACUAAUGGCACUAACAGAAAGUUUAUAAUUUUGCUGACCUAAAAGCAAAAAGAAUUAAAAAAUAAAGCAAAAAACAAAAGAAAAUAAAUAAUGCAGAAAACAAAACAAAAAAACUGGAAACAAAAUAAAAAUAGUAACAAUAAGUAUUUUGUUGUAAGUAGAAACAAAACAAAAUAAAUAAAGCAGCAAAGAAAACAAAAAAACAAAAAAAAGUGUUUUCAAAUUUGAAAACUAAUGGCACUAACAAAAAGUUUAUAAUUUUUCUAAAACUAAAAGCAANNNNNNNNNNNNNNNNNNNNNNNNNNNNNNNNNNNNNNNNNNNNNNNNNNNNNNNNNNNNNNNNNNNNNNNNNNNNNNNNNNNNNNNNNNNNNNNNNNNNNNNNNNNNNNNNNNNNNNNNNNNNNNNNNNNNNNNNNNNNNNNNNNNNNNNNNNNNNNNNNNNNNNNNNNNNNNNNNNNNNNNNNNNNNNNNNNNNNNNNNNNNNNNNNNNNNNNNNNNNNNNNNNNNNNNNNNNNNNNNNNNNNNNNNNNNNNNNNNNNNNNNNNNNNNNNNNNNNNNNNNNNNNNNNNNNNNNNNNNNNNNNNNNNNNNNGCUGUAAGUAGAAACAAAAUAAAAUAAAUAAAGCAAGAAAGAAAACAAAAAAAAACAAAAAAAAGUGUUUUCAAAUUUGAAAACUAAUGGCACUAAUAGAAAGUUUAUAAUUUUUCUAAAACUAAAAGCAAAAGGAAAAAAUAAAGCAAAAAACUAAAGAAAAUAAAUAAUGCAAAAAACAAAACAAAAAACUGGAAAAAAACUAAAAAAAACUGCCACCUAUUGGGCUAGCACGGCCUGAAUACGACUAGAAACCCAACCUGGGCCAGGAUUCGGGUCCGUAGAAGGCCCAAUAGGCCUACAGCAGCAUACUGUGAAAUUAGGCCCGAUAGCCUGCAGUUGAGAGGAGCUCGAGAGGGUGGGCGCAUUAGCGCUUAUAAACCACUCUCGAGCCCUCUCAACUAGCGAGGUGGGACUAAACUUUGGCUGCGACGCGGGCAGCAUACGGGCCUUUGGUCCCGGUUGGUGGCACCAACCAGGACUAAAGGGGGACANNNNNNNNNNNNNNNNNNNNNNNNNNNNNNNNNNNNNNNNNNNNNNNNNNNNNNNNNNNNNNNNNNNNNNNNNNNNNNNNNNNNNNNNNNNNNNNNNNNNNNNNNNNNNNNNNNNNNNNNNNNNNNNNNNNNNNNNNNNNNNNNNNNNNNNNNNNNNNNNNNNNNNNNNNNNNNNNNNNNNNNNNNNNNNNNNNNNNNNNNNNNNNNNNNNNNNNNNNNNNNNNNNNNNNNNNNNNNNNNNNNNNNNNNNNNNNNNNNNNNNNNNNNNNNNNNNNNNNNNNNNNNNNNNNNNNNNNNNNNNNNNNNNNNNNNNNNNNNNNNNNNNNNNNNNNNNNNNNNNNNNNNNNNNNNNNNNNNNNNNNNNNNNNNNNNNNNNNNNNNNNNNNNNNNNNNNNNNNNNNNNNNNNNNNNNNNNNNNNNNNNNNNNNNNNNNNNNNNNNNNNNNNNNNNNNNNNNNNNNNNNNNNNNNNNNNNNNNNNNNNNNNNNNNNNNNNNNNNNNNNNNNNNNNNNNNNNNNNNNNNNNNNNNNNNNNNNNNNNNNNNNNNNNNNNNNNNNNNNNNNNNNNNNNNNNNNNNNNNNNNNNNNNNNNNNNNNNNNNNNNNNNNNNNNNNNNNNNNNNNNNNNNNNNNNNNNNNNNNNNNNNNNNNNNNNNNNNNNNNNNNNNNNNNNNNNNNNNNNNNNNNNNNNNNNNNNNNNNNNNNNNNNNNNNNNNNNNNNNNNNNNNNNNNNNNNNNNNNNNNNNNNNNNNNNNNNNNNNNNNNNNNNNNNNNNNNNNNNNNNNNNNNNNNNNNNNNNNNNNNNNNNNNNNNNNNNNNNNNNNNNNNNNNNNNNNNNNNNNNNNNNNNNNNNNNNNNNNNNNNNNNNNNNNNNNNNNNNNNNNNNNNNNNNNNNNNNNNNNNNNNNNNNNNNNNNNNNNNNNNNNNNNNNNNNNNNNNNNNNNNNNNNNNNNNNNNNNNNNNNNNNNNNNNNNNNNNNNNNNNNNNNNNNNNNNNNNNNNNNNNNNNNNNNNNNNNNNNNNNNNNNNNNNNNNNNNNNNNNNNNNNNNNNNNNNNNNNNNNNNNNNNNNNNNNNNNNNNNNNNNNNNNNNNNNNNNNNNNNNNNNNNNNNNNNNNNNNNNNNNNNNNNNNNNNNNNNNNNNNNNNGAAAUAGUUUUAUAUAUGCAAAAGUUGCAUUUUUAGAGAAGUUUUUUAUAUGUAGCUAGAAAGAAGGAAGAAGAAGAAAAAGAAGGAGAGGAAAAAGGAAAAUAAGAAGAGGAAGAAAGGAGAAGAAGAGGAGAAAUAAAUAAGAAGAGGAAAAAAGAAGAAAAAGAAGAGGAGAAGAAGAAGAAAAGAAUAGAGGAGAAAGAAGUUCUAUUUUUUUCUUCUUUCUCCUCUAUUCCUUUCUUCUUCUCCUUUUUUUUCUUUUUUUUCUUCGAUUGCUUCUCUUCUAUUCCUUUCUUCUUCUCCUCUUUUUAUUUCUUCUUUUGUCUUGUUAUUUUUUAUCGGGUAUGUCGUUGUCAAUUUACCCCCUCCCGUAAAACUUCAACACGAGGGGGGGUACCGAUACCCCCUCCCCGAUAACAUUAUUUUCCCAUGUAUAUGUAUGUCACGUCGUUGUCCAUAUAACCCCCUCCCGGAUAACUUCGACAUGAGGGGCAGUCGAUAUAUAUACCCCCUCUCGACUGUGAUAACUUAUACAACAGCAGCACCCCCCUUGGCCCUCUCGCUCGACCAAAACUCUCGAGGACACCCAAACCCUAGAGAAAAAACGAUGUUGGUCUCCUACCCCCUCCCGUCGCGCCCCUACCCGACAAACUCUCUCGAGGCCACCCAAAUUUACCAAGUUAAAAGAGCGUUGUCGUUGAGGCCACCCCAAACCCUUGAAGCGUUGUGUCGAGGCCUCCCCAAACCCUUGAAGCGUUGUCUAGGCCACCCCAAACCCUAGAGAAGCAGCAUCGAGGCCACUAACAUGAUUCCUUAUUGUGAUUAGCUAGCUAGUUCUAUGUUUGCCACUAAUAUAUAUCCAUCUAUACCAUGUUUGAAUAAUAAUUGACAUGUUGUAAAUAUUUGCAGAAACUAUGGAGCACUCCCGAGACGGAGCAACAGAAGCGAUGUUGGGGGACAUAAUCGCACCAGGAAGUGAUGUCGUUGCGUCAUUUCUCAAUGACACCGAUGGUCAGGAAGGACUGGGUGAAGAAGAGGGCUAUGUUCAUGAUGGCUCUGGCCCAUUAAUGCCGGUACAAGAAGAGGGCUAUGUUCAUGAUGGCUCCGGUGACCCAAUGGAGGUACAAGAAGGAGACCAUGCUGACUGCUCCAGUGACCGAACCGAGUCCGGCCAGGUAUAUAUAUAUUAGUUAAGCCUAUGCUGACUAGUUAAUUGAUGCAUUCAUUGUUUUGGUAUAUGUACACAUAUUAAUUAACUCUCAUCUUUCUUCCUUUUUAUAGCCCUCCGGAUCGAGCACAACUUCGGUAAGGAGACGAGGCCCGAAGAAAAAGUUGAGCUCGGAUGAAAGGUUUGGGAUCACAGCAAUUGCGCCCAACGGCGAACCGGUUGAACCCAUCCAGACAAAGAAUGCAUUUUCUGCUCAGUGCGGGGUUCUUAUUAGGAACAAGAUCCCGAUCAGCAUCCACCAAUGGUAUAAGCCUAAGGAGGAAGACCCUGAGGUGUCUUAUGUCAAUGAUAUGCAGAAAGAUGAUCUUUGGACUCAGCUGAAGGCAAAUUUCACCCUACCGCCAUUGGAGGAUCCGGGGAAGCCAGUUAAAGAGAAAUUAAACAAGUCUUGUGCUCUUAAGAAGAUGGCAAGCCUAUUCAGGAGGUGGAGGAAAGAGCUGAAGAGGUUUGUUGACAAAAAAGAGACACCAAAAUUCAUCGUCAAAUAUGAGAAGAUCAAAGAUCACUUGCCCGCAUUUGUGGCCCACAAGACAUCGGAAAAGAGUAAGAAGAUGUCGGUGACAAACAAGAAAAAUGCUGUGAAGAAGCAGUUUCACCAUCGCACGGGGUCAGGUGGCUACCUCAAAGCCCGGCCUAAGUGGUCCAACGCUGAGAAUGAUCUGCUUGAUAAAGGGAUCAAACCAGAGACAAUGAACUGGCCAGACCGUUGCCGGACUUGGUUCUUAGGGGCUGGCGGAACCUUGGACCCUGCAUCAGGGAAGUGCCGUUGGACUGACGAGCAACUGUAAAUACCAGUCAAGAGGCUUCGGCACUAUAUCGAUGCAGCGCAGCAAGGGACGUUUGUUCCAGACAGGGAGAAGGACGAGCUCACAAUGGCCCUCGGGAAUCCUGAGCACCCUGGACGGACACGAGGCACGCCAGGCUCCAUUCCAUGGAAGGUUGGUUUUCCGGACGUAGGGGGUUACAAAACCCAGGAGAGGAGGAAGAAACUGGAGUAGGGCCAACUGCAUGCACUGCACAAAAGGGUAAUGGGGCUAGAGGAACGAGAAGCAGAUCGCAGCAAACGACCUGCCGAAGCUUCCCCCGAAGCUACCCCGCCAUCUCAACAGAGAAGCAGGGUGGCUUCCACCGAGCUGCUUCAGCCGGAGCAUUUCUUGACGGCUCCUGCUAGCUAUCCCGUGGAUGCUAUCACGGAGUCUCAAAAUUGCCACAUUAUGACGCGAUGGAUGAAUUUGAAGGUCAAGGCGGCUGUUGGCUCUGGUUAUCCUACUGAACCCGGCGCAAAUUUUCACUGCCGGCCGAUUCCAGAAGGAUAUGCUAGGGUGAUGGUGGAUGAAAUAACUGAGGGAUUUGAGGACGUCCAGCUUGACCACCCUACAGGUGAAGGGGAGACUAGGCUGGGUUCCGCUCUGAAGACUCCAUGCCUAUGGCGGAAGGAGCUCAUCAACCUUCCAAACUGGACGCCUCCGCCUCCUCCUCCUCCUCCGACGAGUCAGGGCACUCCUCCUCCUCCACCGCCUCCUCCUCCGGUGAGUGAUGAUCAGGGCACUGGGCCUCCUUCUCCGGCGUGUGGCGGCACUCCGCCUCCUUCUCCGCGUGUGCCGGCCCACCCGAGCAGCCAACAGCCUCCUCCUUCUCCGCCUCGCCAGCACAGGCGGAAGAGACCCGCCGCCGCCCCGGCUGCUCCAGCGCGUCGUAGUCCUUCUCCUCUGCCUCGUAAGCAAGCACGAAAGAAGAUAGACGCCGCAGCCGCUCUGUCUGCUCCGGCGUCUAGUAGUACAGCCAGAGGAGGGAGGCAUACAGAUAUGGUCCUCCUCUCAAGCCUCUAGAGAAGUUACCAUACGAGAGGACCGUGGAGGAAAACGCGAAGAUCGUGCGGGCCGAAGUGGACGACUUCUUUGAAGGUUGAAAGCAAAGAGACAUCCACCUCCGGAGGAGAAGGUAGAUCUGGUGAAUGCAAAGCGCACUCUCGAUGCCCUGAGGAAACCAGCAAAGUCUCCGCCGAGAACCAACUAUGAGCGCAUUACUGAACAGACAUAUCUCCAAGCGGAGCGGUCGGGAAGUACUGUUAGACAUCAAAGGUCAAGAGAACAAGCAGCUGCGAAAAAAAUUCACCAGCUCGGCGAACAAGCAAAUCAAUCGUGCCCCCCGCUCAAUGUGUCUAGCGGCGACAUCGUCGCUAAUGCUCCAGGGACGGUGGCCGGUUAUUGCAAUCUUGCAGCUUACCUGCCUGACGAUCAACUUCCUGAUUUCAUGGAGGUGGACGAACAUAGAUACGAGUACGGGAAGCCUCUCGUCAAAGAUGAAAAAUCUCUACCAACGAUGAUGCGAAGAUUCCAUAAUUGGUACAUGAAAAGCUGCAGAGAGUCUGGGGGGAUGAAUAGUUUGUAUCUGAACAUUAAAGAGGAGAAUGACCUCGUUGGAACUGAUCUGUUGCCUAUUCCAUUUGAGGAGUUCUUUGCAUUCUUCUAUCAAAAGUCCCGCGAUAAAUUAACGGUCUUUUGCUACUAUCUGUAAGUUCUAUUUCUGUCAUUAAGUCUCUAUAUACAGCUCGGCUCUUUCAUUCCAUGUAUUUAUAAUUAAUUAUCCUCACUAUAUUAUGCAGAUUGAAGAUCAUCGAAUGCAGAAAACAAGAAAUGUAUGAUAUUGGGUUCAUUAACACAAAUAUCAUAGAUGAAAUUGAGGUUAAAAAGCACGCCGAAGAGGCCGAGGCCAACUUGCUACAAUCGUUGAUCAAAAAUCAAAGCAAAGAUACCAUGCUCUUUCCUCACAACUUCAAGUGAGUGUUACUGUCGUGUGCAUAUUCGGUUUCCCUUAUUACUCGAGCAAGGUUAUAGUAAUGUAAUUGAUGAGUUAUGCAUGCGUGCGCAGCUUCCACUAUGUUCUUCUGGAGAUUAAGCUUGAGCGUGGACUAGUAACCGUCUUAGACUCGAGACGAAAAGAUCGUGAAACCUAUGCGGACAUGACUAAAUUUCUCAACAAGUAAGUUCAAUCGAUCAUUAUCGCACCAUAUCAGCAACUUUUUGUUCAUUUCUUGAUAUCUCAUGUAAUAAUAAUUAUUUUCUUUGUCUUGCAGGGUUUGGAAAUAGUUCACCGAAGAAGCUCCAGGACUGCCGAAGGAGCUGCGAUAUACAUACCCGAAAGUAAGUACUACUGGCUAGCUAGUUGCGCGCAUCUCCCGUUGAUUCUAUAGCUAUACUUUCAUCAAUGCCAUUUAUAAUGCUUCAUUAUCAGUUUGUUGACCUCUAUUUCUCGUAAAGUGCUUGUGGCGGGAACAAGGGAAUGAUUUCUGUGGAUACUACGUGUGCGAGUUCAUCUACAACGCGACUUUGAAGAAUAAGCGGGGUACUCUAAAAGAUAAUAUGAAGUGCGUAAGCAAUAAUAUUCACAAUUUCAUUUUAUUACACCAUCAUUUCUUUUGAGUUUCAUUCAUAUAUAUGUAUUAAUUAACCCCCUUCUUCAAAUUAGACGUGGCAGAUGCGGAAUGAACUCCUAGAACAAGAUCGCAUGAAAGCAACUCAAGAGGAAUUGGCGGGAUUCUUUCUUGACCACGUCAUCAAUAAAGCCGGAGAAUACCAUGUGGAAGUUGAUUUCAAUUGCUAGGGGAUUGUAAUUAAGAGAUCUUACAUAUUGGAUAUGUAUGUAGCCAGUAGCGUCGGAUAGAUAAUACGAAAACUUGUUGUUCGACCAAUCUCUCGGAGAAGGAGAGGUCGAUCGAUCACUUCUCUUGGUAUGCAUGACGAACUUCUGUACUUAAUGGUUCCCUUCAUUUUAUUACUAGCUAGCAUGUCGAGGGCCUCUCUAUGUAUAGUACAUAGCGUCGACCAAGCAUGGACAUAAGAUAGGACACUUCUCUCUAUUAAUUAGCUAGCUAACACAAUAUAUGAAACACCUAAAUUAACCCCCCAAAACNNNNNNNNNNNNNNNNNNNNNNNNNNNNNNNNNNNNNNNNNNNNNNNNNNNNNNNNNNNNNNNNNNNNNNNNNNNNNNNNNNNNNNNNNNNNNNNNNNNNNNNNNNNNNNNNNNNNNNNNNNNNNNNNNNNNNNNNNNNNNNNNNNNNNNNNNNNNNNNNNNNNNNNNNNNNNNNNNNNNNNNNNNNNNNNNNNNNNNNNNNNNNNNNNNNNNNNNNNNNNNNNNNNNNNNNNNNNNNNNNNNNNNNNNNNNNNNNNNNNNNNNNNNNNNNNNNNNNNNNNNNNNNNNNNNNNNNNNNNNNNNNNNNNNNNNNNNNNNNNNNNNNNNNNNNNNNNNNNNNNNNNNNNNNNNNNNNNNNNNNNNNNNNNNNNNNNNNNNNNNNNNNNNNNNNNNNNNNNNNNNNNNNNNNNNNNNNNNNNNNNNNNNNNNNNNNNNNNNNNNNNNNNNNNNNNNNNNNNNNNNNNNNNNNAAAACCCCAACCACUGAAAUGCUGACGCGUGGAUGCCUUUUGGUCCCGGUUGGUGCCACCAACUGGGACCAAAGGCCCUCUUGCCUGGGCCCGGCUCACCGGCCACGUGGAGGCCCAUCUGUCCCAGUUCGUGUUAGAACCGGGACUAAAGGUCUAGGGAAUUAGUAACGGCCCUUUAGUCCUGGUUAAUGAACCAGGACAAAAGGCCCUCACCAACCGGGACUAAUAGGUGUUUUUCUACUAGUGAGUUAAUCUUCCUUAAGAGAUAGUGAUGGUUCUCCAAAGUCAUUGCCACCAAGCUACCAGAUCUUCGUGAUGAACUAUAACCUAUCAGGGAUAGAUAUGAUGAUCCUUGAGCUAUUCGCGAUGUUUGACACCGCGGAAGUAGAAAUCAAGAAGGAGCAUCAAUUUUUGAUGGUUAGUGAAACCACUAGUUUCAAGAAGGGCAAGGACAAGAAGGGAUACUUCACGAAAUGGCAAAUCAGUUGCUGCUGUAGUGAAGAAACCCAAAGUUUGAACCCAAACCUGAGACUAAGUGCUUCUGUAAUGAGGGGAACGGUCACUGAAGCAGAACUACCCUAGAUACUUGGUAGAUGAGAAGGCCGGCAAGGUCGACAGAAGUAUAUUGGAUAUACAUUAUAUUACUGUGUACUUUACUAGUACUCCUAGUAGCACCAGGGUAAUAGAUACAGGUUCGGUUGCUAAGUGUUAGUAACUCGAAAUAAAAGGCUACGGAAUAAACAGAGACUAACCGAAGGUGAGAUGACGAUAUGUGUUGGAAAUGUUUCCAAGGUUGAUGUGAUCAAACAUCGUACGCUCCCUCUACCAUCGAGAUUGGUGUUAAACCUAAAUAAUUAUUUGGUGUUUGCGUUGAGCAUAGACAUGAUUGGAUUAUGUUUAUCACAAUACGGUUGUUCAUUUAAGGAGAAUAAUGGUUACUCUGUUUAUUUGAAUAAUACCUUCAAUGGUCUUGCACCUAAAAUGAAUGGUUUAUUGAAUCUCGAUCGUAGUGAUACACAUGUUCAUGCCAAAAGAUAUAAGAUAGUAAUGAUAGUACCACCUACUUGUGGCACUGCCAUUUGAGUCAUAUUGGUAUAAAAUGAAUGAAGAAGCUCCAUGUUGAUGGAUCUUUUGGACUCACUCAUUUUUUGAAAAGUUUGAGACAUGCGAACCAUGUCUAUUAGUAUGUACGCAUGAAGAAACUCCAUGCAGAUGGAUCACUUGGACUCACUUGAUUUUGAAUCACUUGAGACAUGCAAAUCAUACCACAUGGGCAAGAUGACUGAAAAGCCUCGUUUUCAGUAAGAUGGAACAAGAAAGCAACUUGUUGGAAGUAAUACAUUUUGAUGUGUACAGUUCAAUGAGUGCUGAGGCACGCAGUGGAUAUUGUUAUGUUCUUACUUCACAUAUCAUUUGAGUAGAUGCUGAGUAUAUUUACUUGAUGAAACACAAGUCUAAAUUAUUGAAAGGUUCAAGUAAUUUCAGAGUGAAGUUGAGGAUCAUCGUGACAAGAGGAUAAAAUGUCUAUGAUAUAAUCAUAGAGAUGAGUAUCUGAGUUAUGAGUUGGUAUACAAUUAAGACAUUGUGAAAAUUGUUUCACAACUAAUACCGCCUGGAACACCAUAGUGUGAUGGUGUGUCCGAACAUCAUAGUUGCGCCCUAUUGGAUAUAUAUGGUUCGUACCAUGAUGUCUCUUAUCGAAUUACCACUAUCAUUUAUGCGUUAGGCAUUAGAGACAACCACAUUCACUUCAAAUAGGGCACCACGUAAUUCCGUUGAGAUGACAACGUAUGAACUAUGGUUUAGAGAAACCUAAGUUGUCAUUUCUUAAAAGUUUGGGGCUCCGAAGCUUAUGUGGAAAAGUUUUAGCCUGAUAAGCUCGAACCCAAAGCGGAUAAAUGCAUCUUCAUAGGACACCCAAAAUAGUUGGGUAUACCUCCUAAUUCAGAUCCGGAAGCAAAAGUGAUUAUCUCUAUAAACUGGUCCUUUCUCGAGGAAAAGUUUCUCUCGAAAGAAUUGAGUGGGAGGAUGGUGGAGACUUGAUGAGGUUAUUGAACCGUCACUUCAACUAGUGUGUAGCAGGGCACAGGAAGUUGUUCAUGUGGCGCCUACACCAAUUGAAGUGGAAGCUGAUGAUAGUGAUCAUGAAACUUCAGAUCAAGUCACUACCAAACCUCGUAGGUCGACAAGGAUCCGUACUACUUUAGAGUGGUAUGUAAUCCUGCCUUGGAGGUCAUGUUGCUAGACAACAAUGAACCUACGAGCUAUGGAGAAGAGAUAGUGGGCCCGGAUUCCGACGAAUGGCUCGAGGCCAUAAAAUCCGAGACGAUCCAUGUAUGAAAACAAAGUAUAGACUUUGGAAGAACCACUUGAUGGUUGUAAGGUUGUUGGGUAGAGAUGGAUUUUAAAAGGAAGACGGACAAUGAUGGUAAGUACCACCAUUAAGAAAGCUCGACUUGUCGUUAACAUAUUUUCCGACAAGUUCAAGGAGUUGACUACGAUAAGACUUUCUCACUCAUAGCGAUGCUAAGAGUCUGUUGGAAUUAUAUUAGCAAUUACUGCAUUAUUUAUGAAAUCUUGCAGAUAGGAUGUCAAAACAUUGUUUCCUCCAUGAUUUUCUUGAGGAAAGAUUUUAUGUGAUACAACCAGAAGGUUUUGUCAAUCUUGAAAGAUGCUAACAAGUAUGCAAAGCUCCAGCAAUCCUGCUAAGGACUGGAGUAAGCAUCUCGGAGUUGGAAUAUACGCUUUGAUGAGAUGAUCAAAGAUUUUGGGUUUAUACAAAGUUUAUGAGAAACUUGUAUUUGAAAAGAAGUGAGUGGGACCACUAUAGAAUUUCUGAUGAGUAUAUGUUGUUGCAUAUUGUUGAUCAGAAAUGAUGUAGAAUUUCUGGAAAGCAUAUAGGGUUAUUUGAAAAGUGUUUUUAAAUGGAAAACCUGGAUUAAGCUACUUGAACAUUGAGCAUCAAGAUCUACAAGGAUAGAACAAAAGAUGCUUAAUAGUAGUUUCAAAUGAACACAUACCAUGACAAGAUUUUGAAGGAGUUCGAAAUAGAUCGGCAGAGAAGGAGUUCUUGGCUGUGUUAUAAGGUGUGAGUAUUGAGUAAGACUCAAGACCUGACCAUGGCAAAAGAGAGAGAAAGGACGAAGGUCGUCCUCUAAGCUUUAGACGUAGGCUCCAUAGUAUGCUAUGUCGUGUACCACACCUAAAGUGUGCCUUGCCAUGAGUCAGUCAAGGGGUACAAGUGUGAUCCCGGAAUGGAUCACAGGACAAUGGUCAAGGUUAUCCUUAGUAACUAGUGGACUAAGGAAUUUUCUCGAUUAUGGAGGUGGUAAAAGAGUUUUCCAUAAAGGGUUACGUCGAUGCAAACUUUGACACUAAUCUGGAUGACUCUGAGUAGUAGACCGGAUUCGUAUAGUAGAGCAGUUAUUUGGAAUAGUUCCAAAUACUGUGUGGUAGAUGCAUCUAGGAGAUGACAUAGAGAUUUGUAAAGCACACACGGAUCUAAAAGAUUCAGACCCAUUGACUAAUAACCUCUCUCACAAGCGAGAUAUGAUCAAACCCAAUGGGUGUUGGAUUCAUUACAAUCACAUAGUGAUGUGAACUAAAUUAUUGACUCUAGUGCAAGUGGGAGACUAUUGGAAAAUAUGCCCUAGAUCCUAAGCUUAGCACAAGAUCAUGUAGUUCGUUUGCUAAGAGCUUUUCUAAUGUCAAGUAUCAUUUCCUUAGACCAUGAGAUUGUGCAACUCCCUGAUACCAUAGGAAUGCUUUGGGUGUACCAAACGUCACAACAUAACUGGGUGGCUAUAAAGGUGCAGUACAGGUAUCUCCGAAAGUGUAUGUUAGGUUGGCACGAAUCGAGACCGGGAUUUGUCACUCUAUAUGACGGAGAGGUAUCUCUGGGCUCACUCGGUAAUGCAUCAUCAUAAUGAGCUCAAUGUGACUAAGUAGUUAGUCACGGGAUCAUGCAUUACGGAACGAGUAAAGUGACUUGCCGGUAACGAGACUGAACGAGGUAUUGGGAUACCGAUGAUCCAAUCUCAGGCAAGUAACAUACCGAUUGACAAAGGGAAUUGUAUACGGUAUUGAUUGAAUCCCCAACAUCAUGGUUCAUCCGAUGAGAUCAUCAUGGAACAUGUGGGAUCCAACAUGGGUAUCCAGAUCCUGCUGUUGGUUAUUAGCCGGAGAACGUCUCGAUCAUGUCUGCAUGGUUCCCGAACCCGUAGGGUCUACACACUAAGGUUCGGUGACGCUAGAGUUGUUAUGGGAAAUAGUAUGUGGUUACCGAAGGUUAUUCGGAGUCUCGGAUGAGAUCCCGGACAUGACGAGGAACCCCGGAAUGGUCCGAAGGUGAAGAUCGAUAUAUUGGAUGAAGGGUAUUGGUGUUCAGAAUUGUUCUGGGAGUACCGGGUUACGACCAGCGUGACCGAAAGGUGUUUCGGAGGCACCGACAAGCGUUGGGGGGCCUUAUGGGUCAAGGGGAGGGGGCACACCAGCGCACUAAGGGGCCGUGCGCCCCUCGCAACCCCUCUCAUGUAACCUGGAGAGGUGGGGGCGCCUCCUCUAGGGCAGCCGCCCCUCCCAGCUUGGGGGCAAGUUUCCUAGGGGUGGGGGCGCCCAAACCCAUCUAGGGUUUCCCCUGUGGCUGCCACCCCUCCCCUAGGGAACUCUAGGGCGCCUCCUCCACCCCCUUCCCCCUAUAUAUAGUGAGGGAGAGAGAGGGCAGCCGCACCCCUUGCCCCUGGCGCAGCCCUCCCCCUCUCCAACUCCACCUCCUCCUUAGUAGUGUUGGGCGAAGCCCUGUCAGAGAACUGCAAGCUCCACCACCAUGUCGUCGUGCCGCCGGAGAUCUCCCUCAACUUCUCAUCUCCCCUUGCUGGAUCAAGAAGGAGGAGACAUCCCCGGGCUGUACGUGUGUUGAACGCGGAGGCGCCGUCCGUUCGGCGCUUAGAUCGGAAUCGACCGCGAUCUGAAUCGCUGCGUGUACGACUCCACCCACCGCGUUCUUGUAACGCUUCCACAUCGUGAUCUUCAAGGGUAUGAAGACACACUCAUCCUAUCCCUCUAUUGUUUCUAGAAUCUCCAUAGAUUGAUCUUGGUGACACGUAGGAAAAUUUUCAAUUAUAGCUACGUUCCCCAACAAGGAAGUGCCUCCUUAUUGCGCACAAAAAAAUGAAUACCCCCUGCCAGCUGGGACCCACCAUAGUGGGAGGCUGACUUGUGGGCCUACUAAGUUUACGGGGAUGGAGGGCUUUGUCAACAUAGUCAAUAUGAACGAUUCUUGCUCCAGUGACCGUACGAUGUCCAUCCAAUGGCCAUAGUGCUUCUUCAACCUCUGGUCUUCUUGCUCCAGCCGCCCAAACCAGCACCGGUCGUGCAGCGUGCUCCAGCCUCCCGUGGCCGGCUGUGAUGCCGUGGAGUACUCACUCACACCCCUUGUUAUUCUAAGGCGACGGCAGCCUCACAUCACAGCUGAACUAGUGAACCCUCGUACUCCACUCCGCGUGGACUUCUACUGCCGCGUCUUCCCCGGAUCCAUGUCGUCCCCUUCCUAGGCCUCGUCGUCGUCCACUGCCCUGGUGCUCUCGGCGUGGCGUGGUCGACGCGUCAAGGAACGACUUCCAUCGAAAGAGUACUCUACGUGGAGAGGCUCGCAGCUGAGUCCAUGGCAGCCGCAAGGAAGUGCCUCCUUAUUAUGCGCAAAAUAAUUAUUCCUCUACCUGACAGCAGGGACCCACCGGACGGGCCACGGUAUUUCGCGAAAAAAAGUUUCCCCCUGACUGUUGGGACCCACCAGCUACAUCUUCGCACGCAAGGAAGUGCCUCCGGGCAAGAAAAAAACGAUUCGGCCCCUUGACUGCUGGGACCCACCAGCUAUAUCUUCGCAUGCAAGGAAGUGCCUGGCAGUCAGGACCCACCUGGUCAAAGUGUACGUAGCAUUGUCAUUCUGGUCAAGAACGUGUACGUACAUACUGGUCGAUCGGUCUGUUUGCAGGCUGCAGCGAUGAACCGUGACCGUGCAACAAAGGAAGGGCACGUGUUGUAGUAGAGGCGUGCAUGUAGCAUGUACACGUAUGUACAGCGGCCAGGGUGCAAGAAAUUAAAUACGGCCACGUAUGUACAUACACUACUAGGGAAAACGCUAUACACAGAGGUAUAGCAGUAGCGUUGGUCAAAACUCGGCGCUAGCGCUACUUAGUAGUAGCGCUUGUUGUAAAACCACACUACAACCAUUAUUUUAGCAGUAGCGCGUCUUCACAGAAAAGCGCUACUACUAAAAUUCCCUCACUAGUGCCGGUAGGAUAGGAAUAGUAGUAGCGGUUCUCCCAGAAGCACAAUACUGCUAAAAACAUUGUAGCAGCGCGUUUCUGUUGUAGAGCGCUACUGCUAUGUAAAAGAAAAUAAAUAGAAAAAUAAGUAGAAAAGUAAAUGAAAAUGAAAGAAAUAGAAAAGGAGAAAUGAAAAAAAGAAAAUGUAAAGAAAACAAAAGAAAAAGAAAAAGAAAACAGAAAGGGUUAGCUGUAGCGCGUUUCUCGGGAACACGCUAUAGCUAUCUUAGCUAUAGCGCGUAUCGGCAAAACGCGCUACUGCUAGUUUGACUCAAAUCCCAGCAGCCCGGGCUCAAAAUUUCGCUAAGUCCUUUCCCCCCCCUCUCUACUCCCCCUAUCCCCCAACUGCUCCAUCGCCGUCGUUGCCCUGCCGCCUUCGACCACACCACCACCGCCCGAGGCCGCCUUCGACCACACCGCCGUCGCCCGCCGCCUUCGACCACAUCGCCGUCGCCCGCCACCUUUGACCAUACCGCCGCCGCCCGAGGCCGCCCCCUUGACCUCACAGCCGCCGCCCGAGGCCGUCAUCGACCUCACUGUCGCCUCCCUCGAGCUCAUCACCGCCGCCCUCGACCUCACCGCCGCUGCCCGAGCUAGAGCCUACCCUCGCUGCCGAGCGUAAGGCUAUGCCUCUCCUGUCCCUACCCUCCUAUUUCUCUCUGCUAGGGCAAUUAUAUAAAUGUUGAUACUGUAUUGAUGUUCGUAUGAACCCUAGGUGUUCAUAUGAACCCUAGAUUUUUUUAGGGCAGUAGGCAUUUUAUAGCAUUUAGGAAAAAUGAUUAGCAAUUUUUUUAGGAAAUUAGCUAGGGCAAUUUUUAUGAAAAUUCCUAAACAGUAAUUCCAUUUAGCUUUAAACAAAUAGAGGGUAUAUAAAUAAUAGUAGCAUUUAGAUUUAAAUUAACGGAGGGUAUAAACAAAAAACACUUAGCUAUAAAAAAAUAUUUUGACUACGGACCUGAAUUUGUUCCAAAUUUCAUUCAAAUGAAAUUUGACUUAUUUGGACUAUGGACCUGAAUAUUUUUGAAGAAAUUGGGUGUAGGUACUAAGGUCUUGCUGUGGAAAUUUUGGUGAGGUCAAAAGGGUUAGAGAAAAUGUAGUUCCUAGACAUUUAGCUUUAGACAAAAAACAAAAGUAUUUAGCUAUAAAUAAAAAACAGUAGCUAUGGCAUUUAGCUAUAAACAAAAAAUAGAAUUGUUUUUCUUUUCAAAAACUUAGUCAAAUAGAACAGUAGCUAUGACAUUUAGAUAUAUGUCCUUGAUGUUCAUUUGCAUAUUCCAUUAUUGUUGAUUAUAUCUUUUCAUUGAGGUGGACAUGUUAUAUGCAAAUUCCUCAAUAGUGUUUGCUCAUGUUAUAUCUUUUCAUUGAAGUUGUUCGAUUGUGCCCAAGUGGCUUUGUUGUUUCCAGGGAAUGAUGCUGAGUGGCCUAUGUUUUGCCAGAAUGUUGAUUCGUUUUUGUUCCGGAAAAUUUUAGGUUCUCGAAUUGUCCACUUUUUAGCAAAGGUCAUGCCGAAAUUUUCCGUGAAUUUCGGCAUGACUUGUGCUACGAACUAGGACAUAUCGAGUGCCCAGGAUUUGCCGCACUAGGAAGGAGUCAACAUUCCUACAAAACAAUAGUCCUUUUUUAUGUCAUUAUUCAUUUUAUUAGGUCUAGAAUUAAUUGACUAGAUUUAAUCAUAGGAAACAUGGCUAGCAACGAUGAAGGAUAGGGUUCUGGUGAUUGCGACGACGUCUACCGGGCGGCAGACGAAUUUUUUAGCCUUACCGACGAUCAACCGAUGUUGUUGCUAGCCCCACCGGUGGGAUCGGGGACUAAGACCAACACGCAGACCGGUGCUGAGACUGAGACCGGCGCUGAGAUUCAGACCGGCAUCGAGACCGGCGCUGAGACCGGUGCUGCCUCGGGGAGCGGAGCCGGUGUAGAACCGAAAACAAAGAGGCAACGGGUUCCUAACAAACUCAGGACUACUAGACUGGUGGUCACGGAGGUGGACGACGGCAAUUUUGAGCCAAAGGCGCCCGAGGAAGCGCGCGCGUGCUACGACAAUCAAAUAGGCUGCAUCGUACGGACAACUGCCGCAAUCAACGAUGAGAAACUAUAGAAGAUAGAAAAUAUGAGGAGCUCCCUCCUAAAGAAGUUUCACCAGAUAUUCUUGUUCCCAGGCCGGAAUGAGAAGGAUUAUGAAGAUCCAGACGAGGACCCGGCAAUGAAGAAGAUAAACAAACACGCCAUGACCAAGUUUAGCGACGCGUUGGCCGCCUGGAAAAAUUGAGUGAAAGCAAAGAUCAACGACAAGGAACCCUACUCCGAGAUUGUAAAGGAUAAUUGGACAAUCACGGAAGAGCAGUUUGAAAUAUUCAAGGAGGCUUGCGAGGCCGAAGCUGCCAAAAAAGUCUAAGUACAUGAAGGGGCUUCAAAAGAGGAACAUUGGGAGCCACCACCUCGGAAGUCGUGGUUAUGGCAGAAAGAGGUCCAAAUGGGCCAAGGAGGACGCGGAAGCCGCGAGUCUAGGCAUCCCAGACCCCUUGGCGGAUUUCACCUUCCCGCAGGAGCGUGACGUCCUGAGGGCCCGACACCGUUGGGACCCAGUGAAGAAGGUUUACGAGAAAACACCGGUCAUUACGGAGUUCAUGAGACUGUUGGUAAUUUUAGUUUCUGAUCAAUUCGACUGCACACGUUAGUCAUAUUUGUAAACGAUCCUUGUGCCUUUUGCAAAGAGAGUAGCACCGAAUUGCGGCCGAAAGCGACUCGUCGUAUGAGGCAUUGGUGAGGCCCAAGUGGGACACUCAAUUCAAGCGGGCGUUGAACAUAUUGAAACGACAACCGGUGGAUACUCGACCGUCGUAUGGACGCGUGCACGAUGUCGGAGACGGCGCCACGUGGAAGAAGUACUACCGUGAGACCACGGAGGAGAGAAAGGAAAGACGGAGAUUAACUGAACAAAACAUCGACAAGAAGGUUGAGAUUGCGGUUGAGAAGAAAUCAUCUCAGACAGUCGCAACAGCGGUAGCUGCCGCAAAACAGGCGAUUGCAGAUAUGUCUACUUCCUUGGUGACUGGCGUUUUCACUUGGACAAGGCAAAAUCCAGAAAAAAAUGCAGAUGACUUUCCCCUUGCUGACUUCUUGGGAGCACCUGCUCCCGCACCGGCUCCCGCACCUGCUCCCGCACCGGCUCCCGCACCUACUCCCGCACCGGCUCUCGCACCGGACGUGCUCGGUGGUGCCUCCUCUUUGGCUGAGCUCGACGCCCUCACGUUAUCUGUCACACAGGCCCCUUCAAUAUAAAUGUAUAAUCUCCUGUUUUCAUUGCCUUUCGGAUGUCUCACAUCGCAGACUUUUCUUUGCAGGCCGACGAAACCCCGUGCACCAUAUUAUACACCAUCGGCGAACAGAAGGUGGACGUGGGGAAGGCAACGAUAAUGGAGCCGAAGGAACCAUUGUUCCACAGCCGGCCGAUCCCCCCGAACGUCUUCAAGGUUUCCGUGGCCAGUGUCAAACCGGGCCACGAGAAUUUGCCUCCUCUUAUACUAGUGGGGGAUGACGACGAGACCCCGUGGCGGCUUGGUAAUUGUUGCAAUGGGUGGGUCCUGUUGUGGCCAAAGAGUCUGCUUCGUCUGGAGGCGGCCGGGAGCACACCCACGAGCAUGCAGCCUCAGCAAGGUAUGAACAUCAACACCCCACCUACGCAAUUAGCGUCGAGUGUCGGGUUGGGUGAUAGCGGACGGGGUAAGGAGGAGGCUCCAUUAGUCGCUGGUAACGUCGCCAUGGAUGAGGAUGAGGAUGACGAUGGCGCUAAACAAUAUGUCUAUACUGGCGCCUCCUCAGGGUUUGAGCGUCAUGAGUUGGUGCCUGAAUUACCGUCUCAACGUAUUAUUGACGACCUUCCGGUAGUAAAGAAGUCUAGGAAGAGAGCGAGGAAAGGCAAAAAAUCUGAUUCUAUGAUCCAGCCGCCUCAGCAGCCUCGGCUUCAGGACCGUAUAGAUAUCCCCGAUGCGGAUAAAUGGCAUAUCCCCGGUCAACCAAUCCUACCUGCAACAGCGCUACGGGCCAGAUUCGGGAUCUAAGGAGACUUCAUGAUGAUGUGCUGCGGGUAGAGAAAGGCCUCAUCGCCUCGAAAGAUCCAGGAUACCCACUCUACGUGGUUAACGUUCUGCGGCAAAUGUCGUACGUCGACAGCUUCCCUGCGGAUAAGUUCUUCCUCCGAUUCAAUUACAUAUUCGACAUGUUUCACGUGAAGAAGCUGGAUUUUACGUUUGUCCGCCUUUAUGCCUUGCACAUGAACUACAUCAUUGGGGUUGAGCAGAUACGUCAUAUCUGUGUCGCUGACCCGUACUACAUGCACGAGGGCUUCUUGGGAGUCUGUGCAGAGCAGCGUGAAUACGCGAGGGAUUACAUCGUCAGUUUCAUGCUCUCUAAUAAGGACAAGGAGGCAAUUCUCGUGCCUUAUCAUCCCAUGUAAGUCAUCCGUGCUGCUAUCCUUCCUUUGAUUUCAAUAAUUCAUUUGCACGGUGGAGGCUAAUUAAUUUGAGGUGUACUUAUUUUGCACAGCGGCGGACGUGCCGUUCUCAUCAUCCUCUACCCCCGAUUCUCCCACGCUCUUUACUUGGACUCAUCGAAGAACAUUCACAAAAAGGAUUACACCCACAUCAAAGAUGUUCUCGACAGUGCUAUGUUUUAUUACCAAGCAAGGGGUGGAGAGAUUAGGGACAAGAAGAGAAGGGGCGGCAGGGCCGCCUUCAGCCAUAAGACCAACUUCUGCUGCAUCCAGCAACCGAACGAUUCUCUUAAUGAUGGAUUCUAUGUCCUACACCACAUGCUGGAGUACAGACGGGAUCACCAGAACCUUCACAUGUAACCUAGAUCUGGUGAUGCCCAUAUUCUGCAAUGGGCAAAGGACAUAGGAGAUAUCGAGGAUCAUCGACUUCGAACUGAGUUCUAUAACAUCCAGCCCGAACUUGCCCAAAUCAUCAUGAAGGAGGUCACCGGAAAAACAGGGAUGUUCUACGGAGAAGGACAAAUGUCGCAGGAAGACGUCCAAACAUGGAUAGCCUCUCAGCGUCUCGACAUGAAGCCUUUCACUAAGCUCGAGGACUAUCUCCCUGACAUGGAUGGAUGGCACGACAUGAUGGAGUGAUUGUCGAUAUAUGACAAUGUGUCCGUUUAGUCCAUACUAUCUGUAUGACAAAACUUUGAGUUAUGCACAGUGAAACUUUAUUUGUGAUAUAAUUAAACCGUCCUCCUCCUCGACUAGCGAAAAUCACUCUAGUUAGGGCUUUUGGGGUACGAUGAACUUUGUUAUUUAUGCUUAUGAUAUGUUGUUUCUAUUUUUGCCAAGUCUGUCUCUUUCUGUUGCUCAACUAUAUAUGUUGCAUAUCAUCGACUCAUGUGAUGAUGCAGGUGCAUAGAUCAUAGACAGCGAAGAAGUGCUACGCCAGGAGUAUAUAUAUGACAAGUGGCCGGAGUGUCAGGCCCAGGUGUACCGGUUUCCGGUUUCCGAGCGAUAGGCAGUAGUUAGUUUAGGUUCACGCUAAUGCGAGAGAGGGAUACGAACUCAUGUACUCCAAAGUGAUAGCUCUUCUCGCGUAUAUCAUUGUUUAGAUGGAUGAUGGUGUAUUUGCAAGUAAUCGAGACUUGUAUCACCAUUUUCGAGAUUUAUGACGAGACACCACUUUGUGUUGGAUGAUGAUUAUGAUGAUGACAUGAUUUGAUGAGACUAAUUGUAUGUAUAUGCUAUGAUUUCAUUUGUAUGUGUAUGAUAUGCUAAAGAUUAUUCUAUAAAGCCUAUUCAAAUACAAAACAAAUACAAAACAAAAAAGCAGGAAAAAAACUAAUAAAACUAGUAGUAGCGAGGGGGAAAAUUUAGCAGUAGCGCCGCCUUACCAGUAGCGCUUCCAUGUAAACAGCGCUGCAGAUAAUAUCAGUAGUGCACUUUUCUAAAGAGCGCUACAGCUAUUCAUGUAUAGCAGUAGCGUGGGACAACAGGCGCUACUGCUAUACGUUAGCUGUAGCGCCUUAUUAGUAGCACCGGUACCCGCGCUACUGAGAGGCCCAAAACACGCGCUGCUGCUAGGCUUUUCCCUAGUAGUGAUACGGGCUGGGUCUCAAACGCCUACUUGUGCAUACGUACGGUUAGGGCUCGUGUACAUGGCUGUUUCGGAAUGGAGAAACUGCAUCUUCGUCGUGUUCAUGGGGAGGCAACCGGCUGGGUCGGGAUGGAAUGCGUCAUCGUGUUCAUCGGGAGGGCUUGGAUGGAACAGCCGAUGGAAACGCGGCCUGGCGUACCACAGAACAGAGAAAACGGCCUUGUGUUUGACUGGCCACGGUCGAAACAGGAUCAUGUUCAUCAAGAGGGGUCUGGCGUACCGCAAAACAGAGGAAACGGACUUAUGUUGGACCUCCCACGGUCGAAACGGGGUCCUGUUGAUCGGGAGGGGUGUGGCGUACCGCAAAAUGGAGGAAACGGACUUGUGUUGGAGCACUACGGUCGAAACAGGGGUCCUGUUCAUUGGGAGGGGUGUGGCGUACCGUAAAACGGGACUCCACAGGAUACUGUUCAUCUCCAUCGUCGUCCUCCUCCAGCAUCCACGGGCUAAUGUUCAUCCACUGUCGACCUCCUAAAGCCUCCACCUGCGACUGUUCAUCCACGGGAUCUUGUUCAUCCAACCUCCACCGCGCUCCUCCACCGGCUACUGUUCGACCAGCCUCUCCAUGGGGUCCUUUUCAACCACCCCUUCACGGGCUACUAUUCAUCCAGCCCUGCACCGGCUACUGUUCAACCAGCCCUCCACGGGGUCGUCCUGUUCAUCCAGCCCUCCACGGGGUCCUGUUCAUCCACCCCAACCGGCUCGACCGGGGUCCUGUUCACCAGAGGCAACACCACAGGGUCCUGUUCAUCCACCCCCACCGGGAUCUGUUCAUCCAAACCAUCCCCCAACAACGCUCACUGUUCAUCACGGGAAGGAGGCAGUGUCGCGACCGGUUUUUCAAUAAAAGCUUAUUGAGCAACCGACCUUUAUAUAGACCAGUAUAGGAAAAUCCUCCUUACUGGUAGACAAAUCCUUGAUACAGAAAUCCAGUAGUACUAAAUAUUAUACAGGGUUGAGCUGAGGUUGCUCAACAAUUUAUUACAAGCACGCCAAUAUUUUACAUACGGGCGGAUAUGACACAAGGGUGUGGUGGCAUACUACUGACUCGCAACAAAAGUGGGGGGGGGAUAUGUCACAGUGGUUUGGAGAACAAGACUCCUAAUCUUGCAGCUCAUCGAGCGUCGAAGUGAGGCCCGAUGAAUUUAUUUGGGUAGCGGAAGCGGAUAUAAUACAAUUGACCAAAUCCAGGAUCGCACGAGACUGACUGGGACUCCUCUAGGCGUCGGACUCGCUAUCAUACUCUUCAUCCAUGAGAUCGCCUUCGUCAACAUCUGGCCAAAUCAACAAGCCAGGUGAGUACUUUGAAUGUACUCGCAAGACAGUUCGGACAUAAGAUAUAACAAAUGCAAACAUGAUGCACGAUGAGCAGUUAGCAAUGCACACUCAAACAAUAAAUUUGCACGGCAUGUAGAAUAAAAAGGAGGUCAGGCGGUAGUCCUCCCGAAAUCCCCAUAAAAUAACUGAAACCCGGUCGGGUGUCUGAAGCGACGCCUCGAAAGGUGAAGUAAAUAAAUUAACAUGUCGCAGUCGGGCGUCUGGGCGACACCACAAAAAGGGCUUAUAUUGAAAAGUAAAUGACAGUGCGUGCCACAGUCGGACGUCUAUGCGACAUCUCGAAAAGGGCUUAUAAUGAAAGUAAAUAACAGAGAUGCCACAGUCGGACGUCUGAGCGACAUCUCGUAAAGGGAUUAUAAUGAAAAUAAAUAACAAAGAUGCCACAGUCGGACGUCUGAGCAACAUCACAUAAAGGGCUUUUACUGAAAGUAAAUAACGAGAGUGCCAUAGUCAGACGUCUGAGCGACAUCACAGAACGGAAUUAUAUUGAAAGUAAAUAACAAGAGCGCCACAGUCGGACGUCUGUGCGACAUCACAGAAAGGGCUUAUAUUUCAUCAUUCAUAUUCAAUAAAUCCAUGAAGAUAUAUCACUCACAGGAAAUACUCAGCACAUAAUAAUAAACGGGUUAGUCCAUCCACAGGAAUAAUCAUUUAGCCGGACUUAACACUCAUGUUUGUACACCAGAGUUUUGUCACUGAGACUGACACUGACGAAGAUAAGUUGAACACAGUCGAUGACCAAGAUACGGUUACUUGAAUGAUUUUGACUCUGCAGAGUUUGUACUAUUUAACCACAGCCAACGGAUUUCAGUAGUCACGAAGGACUAGUUCCGUUUAUGGUACUUCAGCAGAAACAUAUCUAACCAGUACACACCCAUUUUCCACCUCACGAUGCCAGGAAUCACCCUAGGCAACGUUCAAGAAAAACUUUGAGACGGGGAGGCUACAGCCUCGAAUAGCAUGGGAUCAAAUUUAUAUACGCGCGCUCUAAGGGGUGCCCCCCUCUCGGUCCCAACCGGAAACACCCAUGCUCCCUGACCGGAUGACUGGAUUUAAUCCAGGGCCAUGGAACCCUCAUCACGGCCUCUCUAUUUGGUGUGUACAAGGAAAGUGGUUUGCAACUUACUAAACCAUAUUCUUUUCAGAAAACAUGUGGCAGCACAAAAAGAAAUGGAUGGUAACGUGACUUUAUCCACGUUGACACUGGAGUUAAAUGGUCUGGCAUAAGACUGGCAUGCUUCAACACUGCCAUCUUACCACCUCUCAUGUCACCACAUGAUCAUGUAAACUCACAUCAAAAUGAUAUGGAGUUUCGAAGCUCACUUGCAUUAGCUCUACAAGCAAUAUAACACUUACUGCAAUGCAUAUAAACAUGCCAUGAACUAACUACCCAAUGUAAACAUGCAAAACACUCAUCAUAUCAAAGGUUCAAACAUGCUUGCCUGGUUCAGAGGAGUCAGAGUCUAGCUCGGUGAAGUUUGUGGUUCCGUCACCUCCUCCGGUAUCUAUGGUAUAAAGAAAAAUACGUACUAUCGUAAAUACCGUGUGUGCACAAAAAGUGCUCCAAAUAUUUUUCAAAUAAAUCUGAUAAAAAACUAGACAGAAAAAUAAAAGUGACAGAAAAAGAACCAAUCAAAAACUUUUUUCUAUUUGAAACUUAUUAGGGUUUUAGCCCAGGGACUUGUCUAUAAUGAAACAGAAAGUUUCCAGGGGGCAUAACAAAAAAAGACAGAAAAACUUUUCAGAUCAAAAGCGUAUUUUGCCCGAAGGCACUAUCCAAAAAAACGGUUCGAAUAGAAAUAAAUGGCUGACGAGGGGGUCCCACUCAUCAGGUUUAAAAGUUGGAGGGAGAAAACAGAGCGCGCCGGUGCCCGAAGGCUGCGGUGGUCGCCGGCGGCGAUCCACGGCGAGUUAGGAAGAGUGGAUGGUACCUACGGGUUCCUAGGGCUCUUCUGCACCUGUGGGUGGUGAAGUUGGUCGUCGGUGAGCUCCACGUCGACGGUGGCCUUCACUCCGAUAGAUGGCGGCUCGGGCGUUGAUGGAUCUCGCCGGGGAGGGCUGCAAGCUUCAAAUUGGGGCGUGGGUCAGUGUACUGGGUGCACCAGAGGGCUGCUGAUGUGGUUUGGGAGGCGGGGGUGGCCUCACCUGAGUGGAUUGAGCUAGAGCACGAGGCGGAUCGGGGCGGCCGGAGACGGAGGAGAAGACCUCUUCGGGGUCCUCCUGGUGUCUUGGCGGGGCUCUCGUGAGGUGGUGGGAGUAGUGCUGGUCGAAGGAGAGCUCGGGGUGGCUAUUUAUAGCUGGCCCGUGGCAGUUCCUGCGAACGGGAUAACGCCGGUGAAGAUUACGGUGAGGCAGUGGGUGGUCAGGUGGUUUAGGUGGCUGGGCAUCAGCGUGUUGAUCCACUACUUUCAUUCAGACGCUAACCUCGGUUGAAUUAGGCUUGCUUUGUGGUUUCUACAGAACGGCGCUUCACAGGCCCGCUGGUGGCAGAGAGCGCGCCCUAUGCUCGCCAGGCCACGGCGAUGGUGCUGCGGUGCGCGAAGAGGAGCAGACGGCCACGCGGAGGCCUCUGGUGGUUUGGGCGGUGCUGGACGGCGCAGAAAGCUGCAGCUGCAGCCUGCCGGCCGCCAUGGGUGGCUCUGCCACCGCAGAAGUUGCCGGCGUCGGUGAGGCACGCCGCCACCGACACCUGCGCCCGUCCAAGAGAGCGUGCGACACUCUGGAUAAGAAGGAGAAGUAGUGCGCAAGGCGCCAGCGUGCACUGGUGAGAUCGACACCAAGUCUCUGAAGAAAACAACACUAACUGUCGAACUGAAUCAUUGGAUUUCUGAACCCGUAUAGUAACAGUGCAGGCCAGGUGUUCGAUGAAAUGAUUUUGGCAUGUGGGUAAUUUAUCUGGAGCUGAUCUUUGGUGAGGUGGCCUCUCAUUGCACCUAGGGGCUUCCUGAUUUUUGGUAGAAUUUUUGGAGAAGAGAAAAUAUGAAUUUCACCAAAAAUGAUGAAUCUGGUCCAAACUUGCAGUGAGCAAAACUUGAAAAUUUUGAAUUGUGGAAGAGUGGAUCUUGAUGGAUCUAGGUUGAGGGUGCUAAGGACCAGCUAGAGGAGUUGUCUUGAGAUCAAAACUCACAAUAAAUUUGGUACUUCCUUUGUAAAUCACCUAUGUCCAAAAUAAAAGGCAGAAAUAGUUUUAGGGUAAAAAUAAAUGAAAUAAAAAUCAAAAGUGAGUUGAACAUGCCGGGGUUGGCUACUUGUCUUGACCCAAAGUGGAGGGAGGUGUUUUGGAGGAAAAUUUUAACAAGAGGCAUGGUGAAAGAGGAUGGUUGAAAUAAAAGGAAUAAAUCCAAAACCCUAAGGAUUUCUUUUUAAAAGAAAAACUUUCAAAAUAAAUUGUGAUGAGUCCACACCAAUGAAAAGCCUUCAAAACCAAACAUCAAGGUUGAGGAUGAUCAAAAAUAAAAGUUUUGACAUCAGAGAAAAUAUUUGAGAAGGAGAGUCUUUUUAAAGGAUUUUGAGUGGCCUCCUUCAAAUCAAAUAAAGAGUUUGCUGAAAACCAAAUGAAAGUUUUUGGAGUGUCACAACAACUACCCCCUUAGGAAAAAUCUCGUCCCCGAGAUUUCAGCUGAUCGUCAAAUAGGUGUGGGUGCUCUAUCCGAAGAAAAUCCUCUCUUUCCCAUGUUGCUUCAUUCUCGGAGUGAUUGCUCCACUGAACUCUGAAAAACUUGAUUGUUUUUUGACGGGUUCUCCUUUCAGACUCUUCCAAUAUUUUUAUUGGACGUUCCCUGUAGGUGAAGUCUGGUUGCACGUCAAUGUCUUCAUGGGAUACAUGCUUCUCUGGGUGCUUACGCACUUCCUCAACUGUGAUACGUGGAACACGUCGUGGACGUCUGACAAUUCUUCGGGUACGUCUAGCUGGUAGGCUACUCUGCCUCUUCGUGCAACUACACAGAAUGGUCCGAUGAAUCUUGGUGCUAGCUUUCCCUUAACCUUGAAUCGUUGUAGGCCCCUCAUAGGGGAUACACGCAAGUACACAUACUCACCGGGUUCAAAACUGACUCCAUGAUGUUUUCGAUCAUAAUAACUCGUUUGUCGGCUUUGAGCUAUCUUGAGUCGGUCCCUGAUUAGCCUGACAUUCUCCUCGGCUUCUUUGAGCAUGUCUGGGCCGAAGAUACGGCUGUCUCCGGUCUCUGACCAAUUUAGUGGGGUACGACAUCUAUGCCCGUACAAGGCUUCAAAGGGUGCCAUUUGUAGGCUGGCUUGUUAACUGUUGUUGCAUGCAGACUCUGCAUAUGGCAAGCUUUCUUCCCAACUGGUUCCAUAAGUGAGGACACAUGCCCUCAGUAUGUCUUCUAGAAUUUGGUUCACCCGUUCAGUUUAUCCAUCUGUCUGGGGGUGGUAUGCUGUACUGAAUGCUAGUUGGGUCCCCAGAGCCUGUUGUAGGUGAUCCCAAAAUCUAGAGACGAAUUGUGUGCCUCUGUCAGAAAUUAUAGUCUUUGGAACUCCAUGAAGACAGACGAUACGGGAGAAGUAAAGCCUGGCAAGCUUCUGAGUGGUGUGGGUUGUCUUCACCGGGAUAAAGUGUGACACCUUAGUCAGUCUAUCUGUGAUGACCCAUAUGGCAUCAUUUCCGUGUCGUGACCGAGGUAGUCCAACAAUAAAGUCCAUUCCAAUCUCGUCCCAUUUCCACUCGGGUAUCUUGUUUGGCUGUAAUAGUCCGGCUGGUUUCUGUUGCUCGGCCUUGAUGGGUUGACAUGAAUCACAAUAUGCAAUGAACGUGGCUAUGUCCCUCUUCAUACCGUGCCACCAAAAUUUUUCCUGAAGGUCCUUGUACAUUUUUGUUCCUCCAGGGUGGAUUGAAUAAAGAGCGGUGUGGCCCUCAGCUAGAAUUUGUUGUUUAAGGUCUUCUAUAUUUGGAAUGCAAAUCCUAUCUCCGUACCACAAUAUUCCCUUAUCAUCCAUGACGAAUUCUGAGGCCUUGCCCAUACUCACUUUUCUUCUUAUUCCUUCGAUGCUGGGGUGUCCAUGCUGAGCCUCCUUGAUCUGCUCUAUCAGGUUGGGCUGUACUUCCAAAUUUGACAUACUGCCUUCAGUGACCAUUACCAAGUUGAGUUUGGCAAACUCCUGCUGAAAUUCUGGUCCCAAAUAUGGUAGGAUGUCGUUGCCCGAGCUGGGGUUUCGACUCAGAGCUUCCGCCACUACAUUUGCUUUUCCUGGAUGGUAGUAAAUGCCAACAUCAUAAUCCUUCACUAAUUCCAACCAGCGUCGCUGCCGCAAAUUGAGUUCUGGUUGUGUGAAAAUAUACUUGAGGCUUUUAUGGUCCGUAUAUAUUUCACAGCGGUUUCCAAGCAAGAAGUGUCUCCACUCCUUGAGUGCAUGGAUGACUGCUACCAAUUCCAGGUCAUGAGUGGGAUAAUUCUCUUCAUGCAUCCGUAGUUGCCUGGAAGCGUAGGCAACUACCUUGCCUUCUUGUAUUAAUACGCAUCUGAGGCCCUUUUAGGAUGCGUCACAAUACACUUCAAAGCUUUUGUGUAUGUCGGGCACAACCAAUACUGGUGCUAUUGUCAGUUUCCUUUUGAGUUCUUGGAAACUUUUCUCGCAGGCUUCGGUCCAUACAAAUUUUUUAUCCUUCUUGAGCAACUGGGUCAUUAGUUUUGCUAUGGUGGAGAAUCCUUCAAUAAAUCUUCGGUAAUAUCCUGCCAUUCCCAAGAAACUUCGUACAUCCGUUACGUUGGCUGGUGGUUUCCAGCCAAGUACGGCCUUGACCUUUUCCGGGUCUACGGCAACACCUUCGUGGGUAAGUACGUAGCCUAGAAAUCCGACCUGUCUUAACCAAAAUACACAUUUGCUGAACUUGGCGUACAACUGAUGUUUCCUUAGUUCUCCCAGUACAAUCCUGAGAUGCUCAGCAUGCUCUUCUGGUGUCUUGGAGUAUACCAGAAUAUCGUCAAUGAAUACCACAACAAAUUUGUCCAUAAAUUUCAUAAAUACUUUGUUCAUGAGGUGGACAAAAUAUGCCGGGGCAUUCGUCAGUCCAAACGGCAUUACUGUAAACUCAUAUAAUCUGUAUCUUGAGGUAAAUGAUGUCUUGGGAAUAUCCUCUGUCCGUACUUUUAAUUGAUGAUAUCCCGACCGCAAAUCAAUUUUUGAGAAGACUUUGGCUUGUGCGAGCUGGUCAAAUAAGUCAUUUAUCCUUGGCAUGGGAUAUUUGUUUUUGAUGCUGACCAUGUUGAGUGCUCGAUAGUCUAUACACAAUCUUAGUGUCCCAUCCUUUUUCUUGGCAAAUAAUACUGGUGAACCCCAAGGUGAGGAGCUGGCUCGUAUAAAUCCUUUGUCCAGUAAUUCCUUUAUUUGCUUCUUUAAUUCUAUCAACUCGGAGGGUGCCAUUCUAUAGGGAUUCUUGUAAAUGGGGGUGGUUCCAGGUGCUAGCUCAAUGAUAAAUUCUAUUUCCUGGUCUGGCGACAUGCCUGGUAGUUCCUCGGGAAAUACGUCAGGAAACUCACAUACCACUAGAACUUUGCUUAUCUCUGAGAUGUCGACCUUGUUCAACCUUGGUUGUCGUGACAUUUGCCUUUCUUGAGCUGAAAUCUUUAUUGUCUUCCCGUGAUGAUGGGUGAGAAUCACAGUCCGAUUGAAGCAGUCAAUAAAUCCUUUGUUGGUGGUUAACCAGUCCAUUCCUAGGAUAACAUCCAGUCCCUUAUUUUCCAACACAAUGAGGUUUGCAUGAAACUUUAGUCCUUCAAGAUCAAUAACCACACCUUGGCAGUAAUUCUGAGUAACUUACUUAAUCCUAGGGGACUUGAUGAUCUUGGAUUUUUCCAAGUGAAGCAUCGAAAAAUCAUUUUGCAAAGCAAAUCUCUUUGAAAUGAACGAGUGAGAAGCUCCAGAAUCAAACAAAACCGUGGCAGGUAUUGUGUUGACAGGGAACGUACCGAGUACGAUAUCCAGGGCAUUCUGUGCUUCCUCUCUGGUCACGUGGUUCAAGUGACCCUUCUUGUGAUUGUUACUGGGGUUGAAAUUGUUCCGCUUGGGCAUUGAAUUGUUGCCACCGUUGUUCGGCUUGGGGGGCGAGUUUCUUGGCUUGGGACACUGCUUGGCAUAGUGUCCUUCUUCUCCACAAGCGUAGCAAGAAGUAACGCCUAGACGAUAUGUGAACUCCUUGUCCCUUGCAUGGAAAUUCUUGAUUGGGCGUGAAACAUUGGUCGUGGGUUUGGAUGCCCCACCCUUCUGAAAUUCCGUCUUGCUCCGGUGGUUGCGAGCAAGUGUAGUCUGGUCUCUUUUGCGCUUGCGAAAAUCCUCCAAGCUGCGGCGUUCAUUUUCCAAUGUAAUAGCCUUAUCCACCAGUGUUUUGAAAUCUGGGAAGGUGUGUACGACCAACUGGCAUUUAAGCAUGGGUGCCAGACCAUCCAGGAAUUUUUCCAUCUUCUUGUUUUCAGUCAUACGUUCUUCGUCGGUGUAGCGAGACAAUAGAGUAAACUGACUGUUGUAUUCGGUCACCAUCAUGGUCCUCUGCUUGAGGUCAUCAAACUCCCUCUUGUUGAGCUUCAUAAUACUUCUGGGGAUGUGUGCCCCAUGAAAACCUUCUUUGAAUUCCUCCUAGGUUAUCCCAUUUUCAUUGGGGUGCAUGUGUAGGAAAUUUUCCCACCAUGAGGCAGCCGCUCUAGUGAGAUAGUGCAGUGCAUAUAGUACUUUCUCGCGGUGUAAACACUGUGCAAUAAUUAAUUUCCUCUCCAUGUCUCGAAGCCAAUCAUCGGCCUCAAGAGGUUUGUCAGUGUGCGAGAACGUUGGGGGACGUGUCUUUUGUAGUUCUGAUAACUUGGAUUGCUGCUGAUACGGUCCGCGGUGAUUUCCCAUAUUAAUGACUUGGUUCAUCAUUUCUUGAUGUUGUUACUGGCUUUGUUCAAAAAGGCGGCAUACUUGAGAAAAUGCGACAUCACUACCUUGCUGACUUGAUUGUCCUUGUGCAAAGUUGUUGCUUCUCUACGUACCAUAAUUCUCUUCUGGCGGACUUGGCAUGGAGCGAGUCCACGGACGAGGCAUUUUCCACUCUAGGUAUUCUUUUUGUAAAAAUUUGUGAGAAAAGCUGUGAGGCAGAAUAAAUAAUUUUUGCAAAACAAAGAAAAAAUUAAGAACUCCAACAUUUUUCAAAAAAAGAUUUGAUUGCACACGGAGAAGGACCGCUCAGUACAUAUCUUACACGCAAGCAUAAUUAUACAAUACAUCACUCAGGAUGUGCGUACACAUUCCUGACAUGUUAUUAAGGCUAGUGCACUUCUCCCAGUUCCUACAUGAUGCGCAUACAGACUACUUCUCACAACCUAUAUACAUAUAAACAUAUCAUACAAGCGGACACACUGCACGGCUGCUAGGCGCACUCAGUCGAAGAUGGUGAGGAUUUCCCUUGGCCUGUGAAGGGUAAGGUCCAGUGGCGGUGGAGACUCAACCUCUUCCUCAAUAAUAGGCUCCAGACGUGAAGCACUGAGCUGUGGAGCUGGAACGGGUGCGGUAGGUGGUGCAGCUCUGACUGGAGUAGGGGUGAUGACUCGGUCAAAUUCUUCAGGAGUAGGCAGGCGGCGAGAUGUGGCGAGGGUGGCAGGUGUGUGGGAUGCCGAGGACGAGAUGUAAUCCAGUGGUGGAGAUGUAUGGAGAAGCUCCCUCCUGUUGGCGAAAUAGCUGUGCACAACGGACAUGCGAGCAACCACGAGAUCGUCCACAAGGUUAUCAAAAGCGGCCUCAAGCGCCUUGAGAUAUUCAACCAGCAUCUCAAUAACCUCAUCCGUUUCUCCUCUAGGGCAAGCAAAAUGCAUAGUGGCAUGUGUAUGACACGUGGCAGGGGGUAGCGGUAGCGACGAGUCUUCAUAGAAGGAAGAAAAUCCCGAAGACGAGCUAUUGCCUCACGGGCAGCCAUCUGCAUAGCAUGCCUCUCCGUAGGCAUGGCUCUUCCCACAAACCGGAAGCGGCGAAACUCAACACGCCCUCCCUUCAAUUGCACCGUGGCCUGGUGCAUGGACAGACCAUCGUUGAUCUUGUGCUAGUAGAGUGUGAACUCUGGACGACUCGAUGGCCCGAUCGUGAUUUUGACGAUGAAGGUGAGGAGCUUGACGAACCCCUCAUGUACGUUGGCGAACACCUGCGACUCAUAGUCGUUGCCAGCCAUGUACAAAACUAGGCAAAAAUUCUGAAUGGUCAGAUCAUAAAUUUAUGCUGACUGUCAGAAAAUGACUACAUUUGCAAAAUAUUAAAAUAGCACUAAUUAUGCUAAUAACCGAUUAGCGAUCGCACCUAGUGGCUUCCUAUAAACAGCCUGGCUCUGGUACCAAGUUUGUCAAUAAAAGAUUAUUGAGCAACCGACCUUUAUAUAGACCAGUAUAGGAAAAUCCUCCUUACUGGUAGACAAAUCCUUGAUACAGAAAUCUAGUAGUACUAAAUAUUAUACAGGGUUGAGCUGAGGUUGCUCAACAAUUUAUUACAAGCACGCCAAUAUUUUACAUACGGGCGGAUAUGACACAAGGGUGUGGUGGCAUACUACUGACUCGCAAUAAAAGUGGGGUUGGAUAUGUCACAGUGGUGUGGAUGACAAGACUCCUAAUCUUGCAGCUCAUCGAGCGUCGAAGUGAGGCCCGAUGAAUUUAUUCGGGUAACAAAAGUGGAUAUAAUACAAGUGACCAAAUCGAGGAUCGCACGAGACUGACUAGGACUCCUCUAGGUGUCGGACUCGCUAUCGGACUCUUCAUCCAUGAGAUCGCCUUCGUCAACAUCUGGCCAAAUCAACAAGCCAGGUGAGUACUUCGAAUGUACUCGCAAGCCAGUUCGGACAUAAGAUAUAACAAAUGCAAACACGAUGCACGAUGAGCAGUUAGCAAUGCACACUCAAACAAUAAAUUUGCACGGCAUGUAGAAUAAAAUGGAAGACAGGCGGUAGUCCUCCCGAAAUCCCCAUAAAAUAACUGAAAACCGAUCGGGUGUCUGAAGUGACGCCUCGAAAGGUGAAGUAAAUAAAUUAACAUGCCGCAGUCGGGCGUCUGGGCGACACCACAAAAAGGGCUUAUAUUGAAAAGUAAAUGACAGUGCGUGCCACAGUCGGACUUCUAUGCGACAUCUCGAAAAGGGCUUAUAAUGAAAGUAAAUAACAGAGAUGCCACAGUCGGACGUUUGAGCGACAUCUCGUAAAGGGCUUAUAAUGAAAAUAAAUAAUAGAGAUGCCACAGUCGGACGUCUGAGCGACAUCACAUAAAGGGCUUUUAUUGAAAGUAAAUAAUGAGAGUGCCACAGUCGGACGUUUGAGCGACAUCACAGAAAGGGCUUAUAUUGAAAGUAAAUAACAAGAGUGACACAGUCGGACGUCUGUGCGACAUCACAAAAAGGGCUUAUAUUUCAUCAUUCAUAUUCAAUAAAUCCAUGAAGAUAGAUCACUCACAGGAAAUACUCAGCACAUAAUAAUAAACGGGUUAGUCCAUCCACAGGAAUGAUCAUUUAGCCGGACUUAACACUCAUGUUUGUAUACCAGAGAUUUGUCACUGAGACUGACACUGCCGAAGAUAAGUUGAACACAGUCCAUGACCAAGAUACGGUUACUUGAAUGAUUUUGACUCUGCAGAGUUUGUACUAUUUAACCACAGCCAACGGAUUUCAGUAGUCACGAAGGACUAGUUCCGUUUACGGUAUUUUAGCAGAAACACAUCUAACCAGUGCACACCCAUUUUCCACCUCACGAUGCCAGGAAUCACCCUAGGCAACGUUCAAGAAAAACUUUGAGACGGGGAGGCUACAACCUCGAAUAGCAUGGGAUCAAAUUUACAUACGCGCGCUCUAAGGGGUGCCCCCCUCUUGGUCCCAACCGGAAACACCCAUGCUCCCUGACCGGAUGACUGGCUUUAAUCCAGGUCCAUGGAACCCUCAUCAGGGCCUCUCUAUUUGGUGUGUACGAGGAAAGUGGUUUGCAACUUACUAAACCAUAUUCUUUUCAGAAAACAUGUGGCAGCACAAAAAGAAAUGGAUGGUAACGCGACUUGAUCCACAUUGACACUGGAGUUAAAUGGUCUGCCAUAAGACUGGCAUGCAUCAACACUGCCCUCUUACCACCUCUCAUGUCACCACAUGAUCAUGUAAACUCACAUCAAAAUCAUAUGGAGUUUCGAAGCUCACUUUCAUUAGCUCUGCAUGCAACAUAACACUUACUUCAAUGCAUAUAAACAUGCCAUGAACUAACUACCCAAUGCAAACAUGCAAAAAACUCGUCAUAUCAAAGGUUCAAACAUGCUUGCCUGGUUCGGAGUAGUCGGAGUCUAGCUCGGUGAAGUUUGCGGUUCCGUCACCUCCUUCGGUAUCUAUGGUAUAAAGAAAAAUACGUACUAUCAUAAAUACCGUGUGUGCACAAAAAGUGCUAGAAAUAUUUUUCAAAUAAAUCUGAUAAAAAACUAGACAGAAAAAUAAAAGUGACAGAAAAAGAAUCAAUCAAAAAUCAUUUUCUGUUUGAAAGUUAUUAGGGUUUUAGCCCAGGGACUUGUGUGUAAUGAAAUAGAAAGUUUCCAGGGGGCAUAACAGAAAAAGACAAAAAAACGUUUCAGAUCGAAAGCGUAUUUUGCCCGAAGGCGCUUUCCAAAAAAAAUAGUUCAAAUAGAAAUGAGGGGCUCACGACGGGGUCCCACUCGUCCGGUUUGAAAGUUGGAGGGAGAAAACAGAGCGCGCCGGUGCCCAAAGGCUGCGGUGGUCGCCGGCGGCGAUCCACGGCGAGUUAGGAAGAGUGGAUGGUACCUACGGGUUCCUAGGGCUCUUCCGCACCUGUGGGUGGUGGAUUUGGUCGUCGGCGAGCUCCACGUCGAUGGUGGCCUUCACUCCGACGGACGGCAGCUCGGGCGUUGAUGGAUCUCGCCGGGGAGGGCUGCAAGCUUCAAAUUGGGGCGUGGGUCAGUGUACUGGGUGCACCAGAGGGCUGCUGAUGUGGUUUGGGAGGCGGGGGUGGCCUCACCUGAGUGGAUCAAGCUGGAGCCCGAGGCGGAUCGGGGCGGCCGGAGACGGAGGAGAAGACCUCUUCGUGUCCUCCUGGUGUCUUGGCGGGGCUCUGGUGAGGUGGUGGGAGUAGUGCUGGUCGAAGGAGAGCUCGGGGUGGCUAUUUACAACUGGCCCGUGGCGGUUCCUGCGAAUGGGAUAAUGCCGGCGAAGAUUACGGCCAGGCAGUGGGUGGUCAGGUGGUUUAGGUGGCUGGGCAUUAGCAUGGUGAUCCACUGGUUUCAUUCAGACGCUAACCUCGGUUGAAUUAGGCUUGCUUUGUGGUUUCGACAGAACGGCGCUUCGCGGGCCCACCGGCGGCAGAGAGCGCGCCCUGUGCUCGCCAGGCCACGGCAACGGUGCUGCGGUGUUCGCAGAGGAGCAGAUGGCCACGCGAAGGCCUCGGGUGGUUUGGGCGGUGCUGGACGCCGCAGAAAGCUGCAGCUGCACCCUGCCCGCCGCCACGGGUGGCUCUGCCACCGCAGAAGUUGCCGGCGUCGGUGAGGCACGCCGCCACCGACACAUGCACCCGUCAAAGAGAGCGUGCGAAGCUCUGGAUAAGAAGGAGAAGAAGUGCGCAAGGCGCCAACAUGCACUGGUGAGAACGACGCCAAGUCUCUGAAGAAAAUGACACUAACUAUCGAACUGAAUCACUGGAUUUUUGAACAUGUACAGUAACAGUGCAGGCCAGGUGUUCGAUGAAAUGAUUUUGGCAUGUGGGUAAUUUAUCUGGAGCUGAUCUUUGGGGAGGUGGCCUCUCAUUGCACCUGGGGGCUGCCUGAUAUUUGGUAGAAUUUUUGGAGAAGAGAAAAUAUGAAUUUCACAGAAAAUGAUGAAUCUGGUCCAAACUUUCAGUGAGCAAAACUUGAAAAUUUUGAAUUGUGGAAGGGUGGAUCUUGAUGGAUCUAGGUUGAGGGUGCUAAGGACUAGCCAGAGGAGUUGGCUUGAGAUCAAAACUCACAAGAAAUUUGGUACUUCCUUUGUAAAUCACCUAAGUCCAAAAUAAAAGGCAGAAAUAGUUUUGGGGUAAAAAUAAAUGAAAUAAAAAUCAAAAGUGAGUUGAACUUGCUGGGGUUGGCUACUUGUCUUGACCCAAAGUGGAGGGGGUGUUUUGGAUGAAAAUUUUAACAAGAGGCAUGGUGAAAUAGGAUGGUUGGAAUAAAAGGAAUAAAUCCAAAACCCUAAGGAUUUCUUUUUAAAAGAAAAACUUUCAAAAUAAAUUGGGAUGAGUCCACACUAAUGAAAAGCCUUCAAAACCAAACAUCAAGGUUGAGGAUGAUCAAAAAUAAAAGUUUUGACAUCAGAGAAAAUAUUUGAGAAGGAGAGUCUUUUUGAAGGAUUUUGAGUGGCCUCCUUCAAAUCAAACAAAGAGUUUGCUGAAAACCAAAUGAAAGUUUUUGGAGUGUCACAGGAAGCUGGGUUCGAUCAACUUCAGUUAGCAGCUAUAGCGAAGAAAUCACUCGGGUUCAGUUAACAGUAACGGAUCAAUCGCUCGGGUUCAGUAUCGUAGCUAGUGCGAUCACUCGGGUUUAGUUAGAGCCCAACGCCUUGCUCGGGUUUAGUUAGAGCCCAAUGCCUCACACACACGCGCAUACAUGUAUGAGAGAAAUGCACAUCACUCGGCCCCCGACCACCCACCGUAACCGGGAACUCCCCAAAAUUUUCCUCGCCCUUGCUUCUACCACGGUUUUUUCCGUCAUGGACGGCCCAAAGAAUGUCAUGCAGCUGCGUCUCCGGCCCGCCCAGGACGAAAAGCCAAUUUUGUGUCAUGAUUUUUUGUCAUAGAAGUAGGAGCCCACCACAUCUAUGAUGAUACCGGGUUUUGUCACAAUUAUCGCCAUAGAAGUGUCAUAAGCAUGAAAAAAAAUUGUUCGGCCCAAAAUAUCACGGAUGUGUCUUUUUUUUGUAGUGAAAGUCUGGUACAUUCUCAGUUUGAUCUGCUUAUCAUAGGGAAUGGGAGCAUAAAUUUGGACAACAUAUGCAUGGGGAGGAUGGCCAAGGUCGAGCAAAUCCUAUCCCCAUUUGGGAUGACAUCUAGAAACUUAAGGUGUCAGCUAGUAUAACAUGGGAUCCUUCCCUGUAAAGGUGUACUAGCAAACAGACAUGUUUUAACACAAGCACAAUGUCCGGUCUGCUUGAGGGGAACUGAUGAUAUUCAACAUUGUCUUUUCAGCUGUAAGAGGGUUAUAUUUAUUUGGUACUAGUUGGAUCUAACAGAGACGAUCAGCAAGGCCAUAUGUCGAGACCGAUCAUGUUUUUUAAACUUGAAUCAAAUUACGGAUGAGAACUCAGGGAAGAGUAUUGGAGGUCUACAUAUACCCGAGCUUGUGAUCGCGGCAUCUUCGUACCUUUGGUGGCAAUCUCGACAGCUAAUAAAGAGUGCAUCAGUACUACCAGCAGAUAGAACAACAACAUCCAUCAGAGCAAUUGCCACAAAUUUCUGGAGAGCAAUUGAAAAGAAGGACAAAAGGAAGAAGGACCAAAAAAGUGGUGCAAACCAUUGCAUGGCUUUAUGAAAAUUAAUGUAGAUGCUUUAUUCCACGUAAAAGACCGAUCAGGAGCAAGUGAGGCAGUCAUCAAAGAUGAAUUGGGUUAUUUUGUAGAUGCUGCAGCAAGUUCAUUCCACAUGUUUCUGAUGCGGCCUCUCAGGAAUGGUAUUAAUUUGGCAGCUCAUGUGGGAUGCUUGAGGAUAGAAGCUGAGUCAGAUUGUGGACUUGUGAUUGAUGCAGUAAAAGAUACUUAUAGAUUCAAUGGUUCCCAAGCAGCAACAAUUAUUGAAUGCACUCAACUCUCUUGUGACUUCGGACAGGUGAAAUUUCAUUUACGCAACCGAGAAGCAAACAAUGUAGCAGAUGCUUUGGCUAAACAAAUAUGCUGAAGAUUUCUUCUGUUUGGGAAGAUGACCCGCUUGAUUUCAUUUCUUCUUUGAUUGCAAAUGCCAUUGCUAUUGCCCGUGAAACAAAAUCUUUACCCUGUCAAAAAAAUAUUAUUUCUCCCCAAUUAUUUGCUCAUCAUUGGAAUUGUUCUCAUAGUUGAUAAAUCUACUCCAUGCAAAAAAAAUAUUGAUCCGCUUGCACCUUCAAUUAGUAAUUUCGACCAAAGUGUCUGGUCUGAACUAAAGUGCCUCUUUCUAGAUGCUUAAGAAAUGACACUUCAGAAUAUGACUGACCGUUUCAUAAAGAAAACAUGAUCGACCAUGAUCUAGAAGCCCCUAAACAAAACCAAGUUCGCCAAUUGGGACUGAAAAAAUGAUGCAAUAGAAAGAACACACUAGAAGGGGAACUCAGAUCCAAGCUGUAUUUUGCGGCCAUAGAAUAAAUCAAACUAUGCUCCAACUCAUGUUCUUCAAGGUACCCAUUUAGAAAUUUCUUAACACUAUCAAAUAGCUCCUAAUCUGAAUACUAAGAAUGUGAUUUGUAUCCCUAAUCUAAUGUGUAUUUGAUCCUUUGAAUCUACUUAACUAUAGCAGUUGCGGUAGAGGAAUGGUAUUAGGAAGACAUCUAGGAAAAAAUGAUUAAUUAAAUUAUUAAAUGACUACAUGGCAUUAUGUUUUUCUUCCCACUCUUUUGUUUGUUUUUCUUAUCUUUCAAACUAACUAUCUACUUGCUUCCCUUCGAUCUCCAUUAGUGAGCCCAUGGAUUCGCCUCCUCUCCGCCUGCUGCUCCAGCGGCUGGUAGCGGGUGAGGGAGUCCUGGAUUAGGGGGUAUCCUGACAGUCGGACUAUAUACUUUGUCCGGACUGUUGGACCGUGAAGAUACAAGACUCAAGACUUUGUCCCGUGUUCGGAUGGGACUCCUUUGCGUGGAAGACAAGCUUGACGAUCCAGAUAUUAGAUCUCCUUCUUUGUAACCGACUCUGUGUAAACCCUAGCCCCCUCCGGUGUCUAUAUAAACCGGAGGGUUUGGUCCACAUAGGGACAAUCAUAAUCAUCAUAGGCUAGGUUCUAGGGUUUAGCCUCUACGAUCUCGUGGUAGAUCAACUCCUGUAAUACUCAUAUCAUCAAGAUCAAUCAAGCAGGAAGUAGGGUUUUACCUCCAUCGAGAGGGCCCGAACCAGGGUAAAACAUUGUGUCCCUUGCCUCCUGUUACCAUUAGCCUUAGACGCACAGAUCGGAACCCUUUACCCGAGAUCCGCUGGUUUUGACACCGACAUUGGUGCUUCCAUUGAGAGUUCCUCCGUGUCGUCACUGCAAGGCUCGAUGGCUCCUUUAGUCAUCAACAAUAACGCUGUCCAGGGUGAGACUUUUCUCCCCGGACAGACCUUCGUGUUCGGCGGCUUCGCACUGUGGGCCAAUUCGCUUGGCCAUCUGGAGCAGAUCGACAGCUACGCCCCUGGCCAGCAGGUCAGGUUCAGAAACUUGAACUACACGGCCGAUAUCCGCGGAGACUUGAUCUUCGGCGGAUUCAGACCUACGCCAGGAGCGCCGAACAGUCACGACGAGCACGGCUUAGACCUGCUAUCGGAAAAUACUCGGGAUAUCACACCCUCAGGAGCUCCGGACUUAAAUCUGGGGCAGAGCGCGUCGUCCGAGGACGGGUGGACGGACCCCACCCCGGAGGCCGCACACUCAUCGGCGGUAGAGCCGAACACAGACUCCACCCCCAAGGAAGCCUGUGUCAUCAGACCCCCGAACUCGUGUCCGGAUGUAGAUUCCAGACCGUGCGCCCCUGAGCCCACCGAAUUUGGUUGGGCUCCGGUAAUGGAAUUCACCACUGUGGACAUUUUCUAACACUCGCCUUAUGGCGACAUGCUGAACUCAUUAAAGUCUCUCUCUUUGUCAGGAGACUCUCGGCCGAACUAUGUCCGGCUCGAGUGGGAAACAGGCAAUGAGGGAAUUUAUUGACCACCCACCACCCACUUCAUUGCCACUAUCGAUGAUUUGACCGACGUGCUCGACUUCGACUUUGAAGACAUCAACAGUGUGGACGACGAUGUAGGAGAAGAACAGGAACCACCGCCCGGGCGCUGGACAGCCACCUCCGCGUACGAUAUAUAUAGGGUGGACACUCCAAAAGAAACAAAUGGCGAUGAGGCAAUGGAGGAUAACCCUGAUAACCCACAAGUGUAGGGGAUCGCAACAGCUUUCGAGGGUAAAGUAUUCAACCCAAAUUUAUUGAUUCGACACAAGGGGAGCCAAAGAAUAUUCUUGAGUAUUAGCAGUUGAGUUAUCAAUUCAACCACACCUAGAUAACUUAGUAUCUGCAGCAAUGUAUUUAGUAGCAAAGUAGUAUGAUAAUAAAGGUAACGGUAGCAAAAGUAAAGAUAAUAGUUUUUGGGUUUUUGUAGUAGUUGUAACAAUAGCAACGGAAAAGUAAAUAAGCGAAGAACAAUAUGUGAAAAGCUCGUAGGCAAUAGAUCAGUGAUGGAUAAUUAUGCCGGAUGCGAUUCCUCAUGUAAUACCUAUAACAUAGGGUGACACAGAACUAGCUCCAAUUCAUCAAUGUAAUGCAGGCAUGUAUUCCGUAAAUAGUCAUACGUGCUUAUGGAAAAGAACUUGCAUGACAUCUUUUGUCCUACCCUCCCGUGGCAGCGGGGUCCUAGCAGAAACUAAGGGAUAUUAAGGCCUCCUUUUAAUAGAGAACCGGAACAAAGCAUUAACACAUAGUGAAUACAUGAACUCCUCAAACUACGGUCAUCACCGAAAAAUAUCCCGAUUAUUGUCACUUCGGGGUUGUCGGAUCAUAAACAUAAGAGGUGACUAUAGACUUGCAAGAUAGGAUCAAGAACACACAUAUAAUCAUGAAAACAUAAUAGGUUCAGAUCUGAAAUCAUGGCACUCGGGCCCUAGUGACAAGUAUUAAGCAUAGCAAAGUCAUAGCAACAUCAAUCUCAGAACAAAGUGGAUACUAGGGAUCAAACCCUAACAAAACUAACUUGAUUACAUGGUAAAUCUCAUCCAACCCAUCACCGUCCAGCAACCCUACGAUGGUAUUACUCAUGCACGGCGGUGAGCAUCAUGAAAUUGGUGAUGGAGGAUGGUUGAUGAUGACGACGGCGACGAAUCCCCCUCUCCGGGGCCCCGAAGGGACUCCAGAUCAGCCCUCCCGAGAGAGAUUAGGGCUUGGCGGCGGCUCCGUGUCGUAAAACGCGAUGAAACUUUCUCUCUGAUUCUUUUCUCCCCGAACGUGAAUAUAUGGAGUUGGAGUUGAGGUCGGUGGAGGUCCAGGGGGCCCACGAGAUAGGGGGGCGCGCCCUACAGGGGGGGUGCCCCCCUGUCUCGUGGACAGGCCCUGGGCCCCCUGGUGUAUUUCUUUCGACCAGAAAUUCUUAUUAAUUCCAAAAAGUGCCUCCGUGGAUUUUUAGGACAUUCUGAUAAAUUUUCGUUUCUACACAUAAAACAACAUCAUGGCAGUUCUGCUGAAAACAACGUCAGUCCGGGUUAGUUUCAUUCAAAUCAUGCAAGUUAAAGUCCAAAACAAGGGCAAAAGUGUUUGGAAAAGUAGAUACGUUGGAGACGUAUCAACUCCCCCAAGCUUAAACCUUUGCUUGUCCUCAAGCAAUUCAGUUGAUAAACUGAAAGUGAUAAAGAAAAACUUUUACAAACUGUGUUUGCUCUUGUUGUUGUAACAUGAAAAGUGAGCAUUCAAGUUUCAACAAAUAUUAUGAACUAACCAUACUCACAAUAACACUUAGGUCUCACAAUUACUCAUAUCAAUAGCAUAAUCAGCUAGCGAGCCAUAAUAACAAAACUCGGAUGACAACACUUUCUCAAAAUAAUCAUAACAUGAUAUAACAAAAUGGUAUCUCGCUAGCCCUUUCUAAGACCGCAAAACAUAAAUGCAGAGCACGUUUAAAGAUCAAGGACUGACUAAACAUUGUAAUUCAUGGUAAAAGAGAUCCAGUCAAGUCAUGCACAAUAUAAACCAAUAAUAAUGAAUGCAAAUGACAGUGUGCUCUCCAGCGGGUGCUUUUAAUAAGAAGGGUGAUGACUCAACAUAAAGUAAAUAGAUAGGCCGUUCGCAGAGGGAAGCAGGGAUUUGUAGAGGUGCCAGAGCUUGAUUUUAAAAUAGAGAUUGAAUAACAUUUUGAGCGGCAUACUUUUGCUGUCAACGCAAAAACUAUGAGAUGGUUGUAUCUUCCAUACUACAUGCAUUAUAGGCAGUUCCCAAAUAGAAUGGUAAAGGUUAAUACUCCCCCAACCACCAACAAGCAUCAAUCCAUGGUUUGCUCGAAACAACGAGUGCCUCCAACUAACAACAGCCCUGGGGGACUUUUGUUUAAUUAUUUUGAUUUUCUUUCAUCUGUUUGGAUCAUGGGACUGGGCAUCCCGGUUACCGGCCCUUUCUCGUGAAUGAGGAGCGGAGUCCACUCCUCUUGAGAAUAACCCACCUAGAAUGGAAGAUAUAGGAAGCCCUAGUUGUAACAUGAGCUGCUCGAGCAUACAAUACAGAAUUUCAUUUGAAGGUUUAGAGUUCGGCACAUACAAAUUUACUUGGAACGGCAGGUAAAUACCAUAUCUAGGAAGGUAUAGUGGACUCAUAUGGAACAACUUUGGGGUUUAAGGAGUUUGGAUGCACAAGCAGUAUUCCCGCUUAGUACAGGUGAAGGCUAGCAAAAGACUGUGAAGCGACCAACUAAGAGAGCGACGACAGUCAUAAACAUGCAUCAAAAUUAAUUCACACCGAAUACAAGCAUGAGUAGGAUAUAAUCCACCAUGAACAUAAAUAUCAUGAAGGCUAUGUUGAUUUGAUUCAACUACAUGCGUGAACAUGUGCCAAGUCGAGUCACUCAAUACAUUCAAAGGAGGAUACCAUCCCAUCAUACCACAUCAUAAUCAUUCUAAUAGCAUGUUGGCACGCAAGGUAAACCAUUAUAACUCAUAGUUAAUCAAGCAUGGCACAAGCAACUAUAAUCUCUAAAUGUCAUUGCAAAUGUGUUUACUUCAUAAUAGCUGACUCAGAAACGAUGAACUCAUCAUAUUUACAAAAACAAGAGAGGUCGAGUUCAUACCAGCUUUUCUCAUCCCAAUAAGUCCAUCAUAUAUCGUCAUUAUUACCUUUCACUUGCACAACCGAACGAUGUGUAUAAUAAUAAGAGUGCACCUGCAUUGGACUAAGCUGGAAUCUGCAAGCAUUCAACUCAAGAGAGAAGACAAAUAAUAUGGGCUCUAAGUUAAAUAAACAAUCAUGCAUAUGAGAUCACUAAACUUUUUCAAUAUGGUCUACUCGACCCCCCAAGGAAAGAAAAUAAAAUAAAACUAUUUACACGGGAAAGCUCCCAACAAGUAAAAAUAAGAACUAGAAAUCUUUUGGGGUUUUCAUUUUAAUUUCUACUACAAGCAUGGAAAUUAAACUAAUUUUUUUUGGUUUUCUUAAGAUUUAUCAAACACACAAGAAGAAACCAGAAAAAGAAAUUUAAACUAGCAUGGAUAAUACAAUGAAAGAGUAUGAGCACCGACGACUAGUGUGUGAACAUGAAUGUAAAGUCGGUGAGAAAUACGUACUCCCCUAAGUUGGUCUAGUACCCAGGACCGUCUGGCUGAUAUCCAUAAGUGAAACCAGGGUCGUACUGAGAUGUAGCGGCAACCGCCUCCUGAGCUGCAGCAUGUUGGCGAGCUGCCUCCGCUCUCCUCUCAUGUUCAGCUGCUUCUUCCCUGGUGACAACAUAUCUUCCUUUUUCCUGAUAAUCAAAAAGGUAGGGAGUAGGAAGUGUAACAGGGAGGACGUUGCGUCUGUCAUAGGUUAGUCGAUAAUGGAGGAAUUGUUCAUUCCUUGCAAGAAAUUGAUGAUUGAACAAAGCUUCUUUAUCCAAAUAAACAGGAGGUAAAAUCAUAUCCCCCUCUCAUAGGGCUAUAUUAAGAUAAUUAGCCACACAGGUUGCAUAAAUUCAUCAAAAUAAAUUUCCCUUUCGACUAUUAUUCUGCAACCUGCGUGCAACUAUUGCCCCCAAGUUAUAACCUUUAUAACCUAACACAGUACUCUUGAGGACACACAGAUCAGCGACACAUAUGUGACAUGCUUCAUCCUUAUCGUUAAUGCAUCUACCAAUAAAGAGAGCAAAAUAAUGCAUAGCAGGAAAAUGAAUGCUCCCUAUGGUAGCUUGUGCUAUGUCCCUAUAUUCUCCCACAGUAAUACUAGCAAGAAAAUCUCUAAAUUCAGAUUUGCAAGGAUCAUUAAUAUUACCCCACUGCGGGAGUUUGCAAGAAGUUGUGAAAUCCUCUAAAUCCAUGGUAUAAGAUGUAUCAUAAAUAUCAAACAUGACACUAGGAGAAUUACAUGCACAGUUAUAUUGGAACCUCCGCACAAAGGAAUCACUCAAUUGAUAGUACUGCGGACACUUAUCUUGUAAGAAGUCCUCCAGCCCGGCAUUACGCACAUACGCGUCAAAUUCUUCCUUGAAGCCUGCUUCGACCAUAAAAUCAUCGGAUGGCCACUCACAAGCUCGUACAUCCGCGUCCCUCGACAAUUCAACAUCUUGCUCACGUAUAGCAAUCCUUGGCCCUUUCUUUACCGAGGAACCACCUUGGUACAUUCUUCUAAGCAUAAUUAUUUUUCUGAAAAUUUCUGAAAUUUUAGUAACUUCAAAAUAAAAGUGAAUAAAACUAAACAAGAUUGGUAGCAACUACUCCUACAAGUGCCUAGAGCCUAUAUCAUGCAUUAGAAUUGCUUGGGACCUCAUAAAUUUGACAUGCCAGCUCAAGAACAUGGUCACCUAUGCAGCAAAAAAUUGCAAUGAAUAAAGCACUAGAACAAAAACUAAUUGGACCAAUGGAGGAGUCACAUACCAAGCAACAAUCUCCCAAAGCGGUUUUGUGAAUGGAACUUUGAGCAAGGAGAUCGAAAUUCACAGCAAAAUGAGCUAUAACUCGUACUUAAGCUGGAUGGGGAUUUUUUUGGGAAGAAGAUGAAGUGUGUGGGUGCGGGCAUAAGUGGAGGGGGGCCACCAGUGGCCCACGAGACAGGGGGCUAUAGGGGGGGCACGCACUCCACUCUCGUGGUCUGGUGCUUUCCCCUCCUGCAGUGAUUUCAGUGCCUAAAAUCCUCAAAUAUUCCAGAAAAAUCAUACUAAAUUUGCAAGGCAUUCGGAGCACUUUUAUUUUUGGACUAUUUUUUAAUGCACAAAUAAUUCAGAAAACAGACAGAUAAUACUAUUUUUGCUUUACUUAUUCUAAAUAACAGAAAGUAAAAAGAGGGUACAGAAAGUUGUGCCUUCUAGUUUCAUCCAUCUCCUGCUCAUCAAAACGAAUCCACUAACAAGGUUGAUCAAGUCUUGUUAACAAACUCAUUCCGAAUAACAUGGAACCAGAGAAAUUUCAAAUAACACUAAGUUAUCUCAACGGGGAUAUGAAAAUCCCCAACAAUAAGAAUAUCAUACUUUUCCUUGACAGUAGGGAUAGCAAAUUCAAAACCUCCAAUAAUAAUAGUUGGAACUUUUCCAAUAGAAUUGAUGCUAUGAACUUGAGAUUGUUUCCUCGGAAAGUGUACCGUAUGCUCAUUACCAUUAACAUGAAAAGUGACAUUGCCUUUGUUGCAAUCAAUAAUAGCCCCUGCAGUGUUAAGAAAAGGUCUACCAAGGAUAAUAGACAGACUAUCGUCCUCGGGAAUAUCAAGAAUAACAAUGUCCGUUAAGAUAGUGACAUUUGCAACCACAACAGGCACAUCCUCACAAAUACCGACAGGUAUAUCAGUUGAUUUAUCAGCAAUUUGCAAAGAUAUUUCAGUAGGUGUCAACUUAUUCAAUUCAUGUCUACGAUAUAAAGAGAGAGGCAUAACACUAACACCGGCUCCAAGAUCACAUAAAGCAGUUCUAACAUAAUUUCUUUUAAUGGAGCAUGGUAUAGUUGUUACCUCGGGAUCUCCAAGUUUCUUUGGUAUUCCACCCUUAAAUUGUAAUUAGCAAGCAUGGUGGAAAUUUCAGCUUCUGGUAUCUUUCUUUUAUUUGUGAUGGUAUCCUUCAUAUACUUAGCAUCAGGGUUUACUUUCAUCAUAUCAGUUAAGCGCAUACGUAAGAAAAAAGGUCUAAUCAUUUCAGCAAAGCGCUCAAAAUCCUCAUCAUCCUUUGUCUUGGAUGGUUUAGGAGGAAAGGGCAUGGGUUUCUGAACCCAUGGUUCCUUUCUCUAACGUGCUUCCUAGCAACAAAAUCUCUCUUAUCAUAACGUUGAUUCUUUGAUUGUGGGUUAUCAAGAUCUACAGCAGGUUCAAUCACUACUUCAUUGUUUUUGCUAGGUUGAGCAUCCACAUUAUCAUUAACAUUAUCACCAGGUUCAUGUUCAUCACCUGAUUGUGUUUCAGGAACAGAGAUAGAAAUAUCAUUGGGAUUCUUAGGUGUGUCUACAGUAGGUUCACUAGAAGCAUGCAGAGUUCUAUCGUCUUUCUUUUUCUUCUUUUUAGAAGAACUAGGUGCCUCUAAAUUAUUUCUCUGAGAAUCUUGCUCGAUUCUCUUAGGGUGGCCUUCAGGAUACAAAGGUUCCUGAGUCAUUCUACCAGUUCUAGUAGCCACUCUAACAGCAAGUCAUUUUUAUUAUUUAAUUCAUCAAGCAAAUCAUUCUGAGCUUUAUGUACUUGCUCAGCUUGAGUAGCAACCAUAGAAGCAUAUUUGCUAAUGAGUUUGAGUUCAUCUUUAACUCUAGCUAGAUUAUCGCUUACACGUCCUAUCUCGAAAGCAUUAUUCUUUAACUCUCUAGCAACAUAAGCAUUAAAACUUUCUUGCCUAGCCAUAAAGUCAUCAAAUUCAUCUAAGCAUGGUCUAUGAAAUUUAGUAGAGGGGAUUUCAACUUUAUCAUAUCUAUGGACAGAAUUUACCUUUACUACCUGUGUCGGGUUAUCAAGACAAUGUGGUUCUUCAACAGGCGGUAUAUUAAGACCAUGUAUUUCUUCAAUGGGAGGUAAAUGCUUAACAUCUUCAGCUUUAAUACCUUUUUCUUUCAUUGAUUUCUUUGCCUCUUGCAUAUCUUCAGGACUGAGAAAUAAAACACCUCUCUUCUUCGGAGUGGGUUUAGGAAUAGGCUCAGGAGUUGGCUCAAUUGGUUCAGGAAUUGCCUCAGGAAUUGGCUCAGGAAGAGUCCAAUUAUUUUCGUUAGUCAACAUAUUAUUCAAUAGUAAUUCAGCUUCGUCAGUUGUUCUUUCCCUGAAAACACAACCAUCACAACUAUACAAGUAGUCCUUGGAAGCAUCGGUUAGUCCAUUAUAAAAGAUAUCAAGUAUUUCAUUUUUCUUAAGAGGAUUAUGAGGCAAAGCAUUAAGUAACCGGAGAAGCCUCCCCCAAGCUUGUGGGAGACUCUCUUCUUUGAUUUGCACAAAAUUAUAUAUUUCCCGCAAGGCAACUUGUUUCUUAUGAGCAGGGAAAAAUUUAGUAGAGAAGUAAUAAAUCAUAUCCUAGGGACUACGCACACAACCAGGAGCAAGAGAAUUAUACCAAGUCUUAGCAUCACCCUUUAAUGAGAACGGAAAUAUCUUAAGGAUAAAAAAAUAGCGAGACUUCUCAUCAUUAGUAAAUAGGGUAGCUAUAUCAUUCAACUUGGUAAUAUGUGCCACAACAGUUUCAGAUUCAAGGCCAUAAAAAGGAUCAGAUUCAACUAAAGUAAUAAUCUCAGGAUCAACAGAGAAUUCAUAAUCCUUAUCAGUAACACAGAUAGGUGAAGUAGCAAAAGCAGGGUCAGGUUUCAUUCUAGCAUUAAGAGACUGCUGCUUCCAUUUAGCUAAUAAUUUAUUAAGAUCACAUCUAUCAUUGCAAGCAAAGAUCUCCCUAGCAGCUUCUUCAUUCAUAACAUAACCCUUAGGAACAACAGGCAAUACAUAAUCAUUGGGAGAACCUUCAUCAUCACUAUCAUCAAUAAUAGCAUCUUCAAUAAUUUCAUUCCCCCUAACUCUAGCAAGUUGUUCAUCAAGAAAUUCACCUAAUGGCAAAGUAGUAUCAUGUACAGAAGUAGUUUCAUCAUGCAUAGCAGAAGUGGCAUCAUCAAUAACAUGCGACAUAUUAGAAUUCAUAGCAGUAGCAGGUUUAGGUGUCACAAGAUUACUAAUAAUGGAAGGAGAAUCUAGUGCAGAGCUAGAUGGCAGUUCCUUACCUCCCCUCGUAGUUGAGGACAAAAUAGUAGUUCGGUCGUCUUUCAAGUUCUUCAUAGUGAUCAACAGAUAUAAAUCCAAAGUGACUCAGUGAAUAGAGCUAUGCUCCCCGGCAACAGCGCUAGAAAUUAUCUUGAUAACCCACAAGUGUAGGGGAUCGCAACAGCUUUCGAGGGUAAAGUAUUCAACCCAAAUUUAUUGAUUCGACACAAGGGGAGCCAAAGAAUAUUCUUGAGUAUUAGCAGUUGAGUUGUCAAUUCAACCACACCUGAAUAACUUAGUAUCUGCAGCAAAGUAUUUAGUAGCAAAGUAGUAUGAUAAUAAAGGUAACGAUAGAAAAAGUAAAGAUAAUAGUUUUUGGGUUUUUGUAGUAGUUGUAAUAGUAACAACGGAAAGGUAAAUAAGCGAAGAACAAUAUGUGAAAAGCUCGUAGGCAAUGGAUCAGUGAUGGAUAAUUAUGCCGGAUGUGAUUCCUCAUGUAAUAGCUACAACAUAGGGUGACACAGAACUAGCUCCAAUUCAUCAAUGUAAUGUAGGCAUGUAUUCCGUAAAUAGUCAUACGUGCUUAUGGAAAAGAACUUGCAUGACAUCUUUUGUCCUACCCUCCCGUGGCAGCGGGGUCCUAGCGGAAACUAAGGGAUAUUAAGGCCUCCUUUUAAUAGAGAACCAGAACAAAUCAUUAACACAUAGUGAAUACAUGAACUCCUCAAACUACGGUCAUCACCGAGAAGUAUCCUGAUUAUUGUCACUUCGGGGUUGUCGGAUCAUAACACAUAAUAGGUGACUAUAGACUUGCAGGAUAGGAUCAAGAACACACAUAUAUUCAUGAAAACAUAAUAGGUUCAGAUCUGAAAUCAUGGCACUCGGGCCCUAGUGACAAGCAUUAAGCAUAGCAAAGUCAUAGCAACAUCAAUCUCAGAACAAAGUGGAUACUAGGGAUCAAACCCUAACAAAACUAACUUGAUUACAUGGUAAAUCUCAUCCAACCCAUCACCGUCCAGCAAGCCUAUGAUGGAAUUACUCACGCACGGUGGUGAGCAUCAUGAAAUUUGUGAUGGAGGAUGGUUGAUGAUGAUGAUGACGAUGAAUCCCCCUCUCCGGAGACCCGAACGGACUCCAGAUCAGCCCUUCCGAGAGAGAUUAGGGCUUGGCGGCGGCUCCGUGUCGUAAAACGUGAUGAAACUUUCUCUCUUAUUUUUUCUCCCUGAACGUGAAUAUAUGGAGUUGGAGUUGAGGUCGGUGGAGGUCUAGGGGGCCCACGAGAUAGGGGGCAUGCCCUACAGGGGGGGGGGCGCCCCCCUGUCUCAUGGAUAGGCCCUGGGCCCCUAGUUUAUUUCUUUCGCCCAGAAAUUCUUAUUAAUUCCAAAAAGUGCCUCCGUGGAUUUUCAGGACAUUCCAAGAACUUUUCUUUUCUACACAUAAAACAACAUCAUGGCAGUUCUGCUAAAAACACUGUCAGUCCGGGUUAGUUUCAUUCAAAUCAGGCAAGUUAGAGUCCAAAACAAGGGCAAAAGUGUUUGGAAAAGUAGAUACAUUGGAAACGUAUCAAACCCCUCAAGGAAGAAGGCAAAUCAUGGGCGUCAUCGGCGCCGCUCCAAGCCUCGCCAUAGCAAUACCGGCACAGGAGACGAAAACAAUCCAGAUGGUGCCAAAGAAGAAUACAACCCAGAUCAACCUGCCUUCGAGCAGGCCAAAUAGGAAGACGGGACAAUUCAGCACAGACGAACAGGCGACAGACGGAUACCCGAAGGAGGACAACUACAAGCCCCCCUCCAAAGACGAGAUGAGCCUCGGCGACGAUGAAUUCGGCGUGCCUGAGGACCCCGUAGAGCAGGAGCGCUUAAAGCGCCGGCUCAUGGCCACUGCGAGGAGCCUGAAAAAGAAGUAGGAGCAGCUCCAAGCUGAUCAAGAUUUGCUCACAGACGGAUGGAAUGAAGUCCUGGCAGCCGAGGAAUAUGGACUCGAGCGCCACACCAAAGGCUACCCAAAGCACAAGUUGCUACCUCAACUCGAGGAGGAGCCUAUACUACCAGCACAGGACGAGGCUGACCGGCCACCUCAUGGACGGGAUAAAACAGCGUACCAGCCCGAAUACCAGCCUGCACCCCCACGCGAAUACACUACGGCCCGAGGCAAUAGGAAGGACCUGCAAGCCAUACUGGAAAACAAGGCAGGAUAGCCAAGAUCGAUCUAAGGAUCGCGGGUGUGCGCCCCAACAUGUGACGAUUAUCGUCAUGCCGGAUACACUAUCAACAAGUCCGGCCGGGCCGAACAUAGCCAACUAGACUUAUUUGAACUGCGUAGCCACAUAGCCCGACAUAGAGGCGCCGCACACCCCCUCUGCUUCACUGACGAAGUGAUGGAUCAUGAUUUCCAAGAAGUGCUUAAACCCGUAAACAUUGAAUCAUACGAUGGCACAACAGACCCCGCUGUAUGGAUCGAAGACUUCCUUCUCCACAUUCACAUGGCUCGUGGUGAUGAUCUACAUGCCAUCAAGUAGCUUCCCCUUAAACUCAGAGGACCGGCCCGACACUGGCUAAAUAGCCUGCCGGCAAAUUCCAUCAGCAGUUGGAAAAACCUAGAGGACGUGUUCCUUGACAACUUCCAGGGCACGUACGUGCGACCACCGGAUGCCGAUGACUUGAGUCACAUUACCCAACAGCCAGGAGAGUCAGCCAGGAAAUUCUGGACUCGGUUCCUAACUAAAAAUAACCAAAUUGUCGACUGUCCGGACACUGAUGCCUUGGUGGCCUUUAAGCAUAAUAUCCGCGACGAGUGGCUCGCCCGACACCUCGGCCAGGAAAAGCCAAAGUCCAUGGCGUCCCUCACGACACUGAUGACCCGCUUUUGCGCGGGCAAGGACAGCUGGUUGGCUCACAGUAGCACCAAGCCAAUAAACUCUGGCACUUCAUAUGUCUGUGACAGAAACGGCAAGCCACGGCACAACAGACAUAAGCGUCGGAAUAAUGGCGACAACACUGAAGACACGGCAGUCAACGCCGGAUUCAGUGGCUCAAAAUCCAGUCAGCGGAAAAAUCCUUACAAAUGAAAGAAUCAGGGAUCGUCCAAUCUGGACCGCAUACUCGAUCGCUCGUGCCAAAUUCACGGCACCCCUGAUAAACCAACAAACCACACUAACAAAGAUUGCUGGGUGUUCAAACAAGCCGACAAAAUAAAUGCUGAAAACAAGGACAAAGGGCUGCACAGCGACGAUUACGAGGAGCCCCGGUGUCCGAACAUGGGGGGACAGAAGAAAUUUCCUCCCCGGGUGAAAACGGUCAAUAUGAUCUAUGCCACCCACAUUCCCAAACGGGAACGAAAGCGAGCACUAAGGAACGUCUAUGCGAUGGAGCCAGUCGCCCCAAAGUUCAACCCAUGGUCUGCCUAUCCGAUCACUUUUGAUCGUAGGGAUCAUCCUACCAUCAUCCGUCAUGGCGGUUCAGCCACAUUGGUCCUAGACCCAAUCAUUGACGGAUUCCACCUCACACGAGUCCUUAUGGACGGUGGCAGUAGCCUGAACCUCCUCUAUCAGGACACAGUGCACAAAAUGGGCAUCGAUCCUUCAACGAUCAAGCCCACCAAAACCACCUUCAAAGGUGUAAUUCCAGGAGUACAGGCCCGUUGUAUGGGCUCCAUAACACUGGAAGUGGUCUUCAGAUCCCCGGAUAACUUCCGAAGCGAGGAGUUAAUCUUCGAUAUCGUCCCUUUCCGUAGUGGCUAUAAUGCACUGCUUGGACGAACCACAUUCGCUCGAUUCAAUGCGGCACCACACUACGCAUACCUCAAGCUCAAGAUAGGCACCAUGGAAUAACAAGGUCGCUGUCCGGAACGAAAAUAUGAUGCAUGUCUUAUUGUGCGCGCGUGCCCUCCCACUCAUGGCAUCGCCGGGUGGUCGCGGUCGACGUACCAUUUCCGAAUAAACGACGCCACAUGCCCGCAGAUGGUCGUCCGGCCGUCAAGAAUUUCUGUGCACCCGGGUUAACGGCGUCAUGGGCCAAGCCGCCCAGAGUAGCAUGGCAGGCACAUGUAUGACCAGUCAUGUUAAUCAAUCCACUGCCGCGCGCCCUUCCGUGGUGUCAUGCGUACGAACAUUGAUGCCCUCGCCAAUGUAUAUUGUUUUGGUGAUAGACAUAUUCCUAUUCUGGAAUUGUGCCAUCCAGCUCUCCACUUUAACAACCCUUACUGAUCUUCGUUAUAAGAAAAGGGCAAUGCCAGCAAGCCUUUUUCUCACCGCUAUCCUACUCUGUCACUCAUUCCCUGGACGAGCACGGUUCACUUCCGUUCACUACUCAUUCCCUGGAUGAGCACGGUUCGCUUCCGUUCGCUUAAUGAUGAUGUGGCCGUGACAUCCGUGUCCCGCUACAUGAUCAGCGAGUCCGUCCUCACCUCCGAGCCCAUCCAGAUGCAACCGGUGCUAAGCCAGCUUUGGUGUAGCUCCAUUUACACCAUCCUCUCCACACGGUGAUCCACUUUUGUGCACACCGCCACAGCAUGGUAGAUCGUAGUGCCGGAGUUCUAGCGAGAUUUGUUUGCUUAAACAUGUGUGCAUAUUGUUUUGAGUAGCAGUAAAAUGUGAUGUUGCUUGUAUGUAAUCUUAAUGUGUCGGUUGUUUUUGUUUAAGUCGUUUUUUGCUUCUUUCUUUUGGUGUUCGGUGUCACCUUAUUUCCCCUUAUGUGCUCCCAUAGCCAUAAAUAUCUAGUAAAUGUUCCUAGACAGUAAUAGUGAUUAAUUUAAUGUCUAUAUGUAUGUUCAUUUCUAUAGAGUCGAGAUCUGGUGUACCCAUUUUUUGUCCCGAUUUCUAUGUUUUCUAGAUGGAUUUCUUUGUUUCUUGAUCAUGUAAGAUCAACGAGGACAUUCCUUCGCAUAUUGGAAGCCUAUUUUUUUCUAUUUCUAUGUCUAUUAAAAUCCUAUGAAUCAAUGAGAACUAGUUAUCAUACCAAUGCAAACAACAAGUGACGAGGCUAUGCACAAUUUUUUAAUACACACAAAAAGGGUCAAAUACACAGCAAAUGCCAUUCAUCUGACAUCAUUCUUGCCGCGGGUACAAGGUACUUGCCGCGGGUGGAGGUGGUAGCUUUAUUUCCGGAACACGAUAACCUGCAAAAUUUCAUUCUUCACAU
rnacentral:lncRNA from 1 species